AUUUAAGUGGAUAAUUGGUUGGGCUGGUGGAAAGAAAAAAUUUUAGAAUGCAACGGCUAUAUUGGUAACGUGACGUAAUAAAUUAAUUAAAUAUUUUUUUUUAAAAAUAUAUGUCCUAUCAUAAUUAUAAAAUAAUAUUUUUAUUAUACUUUUAUUUAAAAAGAAGAAAUAUUAUUGGCUUGUUAUUAAUGAUGUGGUGCAAGUGUGACAGUAUAGAAUUCCUCCGUGGAAAGGCCUCUUGCCUUUUAUGUUACUAAGAAGCGAACUUGUAGUCACAAAUUUAGACCGAAAAAAAAAAAAAAAGUUUUGCAUUUCCUUAUCACUUUAGUACUCUAUAGUUUAAAGUGUAUUAAUUUAGUACCACGUGGUUUCAUUUUUUUUUUUUCGUCAGCUUUUUCGUUAAUAUUUCGUUAAAUUAUAUACAAAAAACUUUAGAUACCCAUCUAGGUUUAUCGGACAUUCAUUUUAGUAUUUUCUAGUUUUAACUUUGUCGUUGAUUUAAAAAAAAAAAGAAAUUAGUAAAAUUAAUAAUAAAAAGAGAAAAAUGAAACCACAAGAUACUAAAUUGAUACAUUUUAAAUCACAAAAUAUUAAAAUGAGAAAGUGCGUAACUACAGUGAUGUUAUUUGAAAUUUUUUCAAAAAAAAAACGAAGACCAAAAAGUUUGAAGCUUUUUUUUGCCUAAUUAUAGCUGCGUUGGCAAGGAAGAAGUGAAGUUGUGCGCAAGCGCAAGCAGAUGAAAGAUCUUACGCUUGUAUCAUCACUGUUAGCAGCAACUUAAUUGAAUAAAAUAAUCACAGGUAAAUUAAGAAACAUCAAAAAAGGCUCCAUCUUUUCUGCGUAAACCAUAUAACCAUUCUCUUCUAAAAAUUGAGGCAUCUUUAGAUCACCAUGUAAGUAAGUAUAUAUAUCAGAUCUUGGUAAUGCCCAGCAGCUGUAAGACCAGUCGCUUUGCAAUGCCAUUCUGGACAAAUAACUAAGUACAAAAUUUGCAUGACAAGAAAGGUCACAGACAGUGAUAUGGCUAAUUUAACGUUAAAGUUUCUGAAAAAGUGCGGCUCAACCAAGCUAAGCCGAAAAUUCUGUUGAGUUUGAUAUAUUUUACAAUCGGCAUGAGAAAUCAUUAAACAGUUUCUGCUAUUAUAUUUUUAUAUUUUUUUCUAUUUAGAAACAAACAGAAUAUUUUUCUAUCAUCGUUUCUCACCGCACGUAACGCAACCUCUCCGCAAUCCUAAACGAAACCUACAUCUCCUAAAACACUAAAGCAAAAGCAAAGAUCAAGAAUACACAAUUCGUCAGAGUUCAAAAUAAAUCUUUACUUACAUGCAAACGGUAUAUACUUUACAAAUUAGGAUUGAGUGUAUUAAUAAUCUCGCCAAUCUUUCUUCGACUCGUUUAAGGCUGCUAACAUACACAGAUCACAAAAGAAGCAUAGCAAUUACAAGCAAAAAAACAAAAACAAAUGGCCACAAAUUUGUAGAAAAGGCGAUAGGAAAUAUAAGCAUAUGAAAUUUGAGCAACUCAACCAUUAAUUUCGGGCCAGUAAUAGUAGGAGAAUUUCAAACAAAUAAUAGAAAAGACGAAGCAUGAAAAGGAAACUUAUAAGCAAAUGUACACUACCAGUAAUAGCAGAGUAAAAAAUAAGGAGCAACGAAAACAGCAUAAGCACAUCAGGGACAAAAUAAAAGAACUUCAAUACUAUAAAAAACAAGAAGAAAAGUAUCCAAAUAGCUACACGAGGACUCGAGAGGUACGGCUCAGAUAGUAUCAAAAAGAAAAGUAGAGUAAAUGUGACCACUAAGGGGCGCAACAACACGGCAAUUGUAACUCUAUGCAAGUGCAAAUUCAGUGUUUGAUUUGAUAUAUUUAAUUACAACUGUGCAGUAAAAACUGCAGGAAAAGGUUUAUCUGUAGCAGUUGGGACUACGCCUAAAUUAGCCGUAGUUCUAACUAUAGCCGUUAGUGAGAGUAACUUCAAAUAAAAAGUAAACUUACCUUCUUAAUUAUUUUUUAAAUAAAAAAUAAUUUUUUUUCUCGCCAUCAUAUAUAUAAAAUGAUAAAAUUUUAAAAAUUAUUUCUCAAUUAUAUGCAACAAAAUAAAUUAUUUGUAGUUGCAGCGUUUUCUACUCUAUCCAAUCAAAUAUAUUGCAUGUAAUUACAAUUGCUGCAUUUUCAGUUGUAUACAUCUCCAACUAUAUAGUAUUUGUAAUUGCAUCUAACGAACCGGUCCUUAAGUUCCAUAUUUUAUUAUCAAACAAACAUGAGAAGUAUAUAAAUUGUAAGCAUUCUUUCUACUACCAAUUUGCCCUUACGCUUUAUCGUGAAGAAUUAAAACUUAAAAGACAAAAAAAAUUAUUGUACCAAAGAUUUAAUAUAUAGACAAUGGGCUUGGGCUUUGUACGUUUAUGCUAAUGCUAGUGCCUUAGGUCUAGCGUGUUAGGGAUAUUUUAGGGAUUCCUAAGAAAUAAAUGUCACAGUAGAGUGAUAAAAAGAUGAGAAUAAAUAUUACCCUUUCUUUAUGUUGAGAAAUAUAUUAUAUAUAUACUAUAAUUAUAUUAUAUAUAUAUAUAUAUAUAUAUUUAUAGUCUCUAUAAAUCUUUUAAUCGUCCAAAAAAGAAUUCACAAUGGCAGCCCACUUUCAAAGUUGGGUGUGGGCUCGCAUUUUCAAGGUUUGCUCUUUCUUGGCCCGCUCACUUUUUUUUAAUCGUUUCUUCCCAUGUGACAGUUUUAUCUCUUCUCAUAUACCGUUCUAAUUUUUCAUGCAACUGUUUUCUUGUCCACAUACGCUGUGAUUCUUUUUCUACUUUCUUUCAAUGCAUUUUUUUAUUAUCUUUGCUUUUUCAAUGUAGUUAGUGUGACUGAUUUAUGUGAUGUCUCUUCUUUGGCACAUCCGUGUCAAGGGCGCCAAUCCAUCCACUUCCUCCCUCCUUGGCGAUCCCGGAUCUUCCUCUGCCACACCACUAUCCACGACCUCCUCUCUACAUCCACAAUCGCCGUCGUAAACAGGCCGCGUUGAAGGCGGCUUCGUUUUAAUCGCUUUUUUAUCUCUUUGUAAUUUUUUUUUAUUUUUUUGUGUUGGGAGAUGAAAGAGAGCGAGAGUUUAUCCGAGAUGUAGAGAAAGAUAGAGGAAAGGAUUUAGCAAACUGUGGGUGGUGUACUGGAAUCUGUAGUCGGAAUAGAGGAUGAGGUUUCCCCGUCAAUGUAGGUGGAGUAACGUGCGACCGCCUAAUGCGAUGCGGCAGCAUAGGGUCCACUAUUAAUGGAGGGGUUAGAGGUGAGGGUGGAUUCCGUCGCGUCCAAUCUAUCCUGUCCAUGACAGCUUCUUCGUUUGUUUUUAUUGAAUGAAUACUUUUACUUUUUUAUUGGUAGCUUUUAUAUUUCCACUCCGCUACGAAGCGUGGAUGCUUUCACUAGUGUGUUCAACCCAAGGGCCCACAUCAUCCUAACGCACAUCACUUAAUCCAAUGGCCAAAAACUUGGUAGCACCAUUGACUUGGUGCUAUUAAUAGCAUAGUAGCCUAGUUCUAUCAUAUGAUGUCCGGCUGCUAUGCUAUCAAUAGCACCAAGUAGUUUGGUGCUAUCAAGUUUUCUGUGUUAGACUCAACCCAUUUGAUUAUUUUUACCCGUUAGAUUAUACUAUUCAACUAACACCCACUCAACCCAAGGGGCCCACUAUCAUCCUAAACCGCACAUCACUUAAUCCAAUGGCCAAAAACAUGUAGCACCAAUGACUUGGUGCUAUUAAAUAGCAUAGUAGCCAAGUUCUAUCUAUAUGAGUCGCGCUGCUAUGCUAUCAAUAGCACCAAAGUAUUGGUGCUAUCAAGUUUCUUGCCGUUAGAUUAACCCUUUGAUUAUUUUUACGUUAGAUCAUACCAUUCAACCAACAACCCACCCACUUAACCCAAGGAGCCCAAUCAUCCUAACGCACAUCACUUAAUCCAAUGGCCAAAAACUUGGUACCAAUGACUUGGUGCUAUUAAUAGGCAUAGUAGCCUAGUUCUAUCUAUAUGAGUCCGGCUGCUAUGCUAUCAAUAGCACCAAAUAGUUGGUGCUAUCAAGUUUCUGCCGUUAGAUUAAGCCCUUUGAUGUAUUUGUACCGUUAGAUUAUACUAUUCAACCAACACCCACUCAACCCAAGGGGGCCCACAUCAUCCUAACCGCACAUCACUUAAUCCAACAUGGCCAAAACUUGUAGCUCCAAUGACUUGGUGCUAUUAAUAGCAUAGUAGCCUAGUUCUAUCUAUAUGAGUCCGGCUGCUAUGCUAUCAAUAGCACCAAGUGUUCGGUGCUAUCAAAUUUAUCUGCCGUUGAUUAACCCCUUUGAUUAUUUUUACCCUUUAGAUUAUACUAUUCAACCAACACCCACUCAACCCAGGGGCCCACAUCAUCCUAACCGCACAUCACUUAAUCCAAUGGCCAAGAACUUUGGUAAGCACCAAUGACUUGGUGCUAUUGAUAGCAUAAGUACCUAGUUCUAUCUUAUAGUCGCGGCUGCCUUCAGAAUAGCACCAAGUAGUUGGUGCUAUCAAGUUUUUCUGCCGUUAGAUUAACCCUUUGAUUAUUUUUACCCGUUAGAUCAUACAUUCAAGCAACCACCCACUCAACCCAAGGGGCCACAUCAUCCUAACCGACAUCACUUAAUCCAAUGGCCAAAAACUUGGUAGCACCAAUGACUUGGUGCUAUUAAUAGCAUAGUAGCCUCGUUCUAUCUAUAUGAGUCCGGCUGCUAUGCUAUCAAUAGCACCAAAUAGUUGGUGCUAUCAAGUUUUCUGCCGUUAGAUUAACCCCUUUGAUUAAUUUUUACCCGUUAAGUAUAUAUUCAACCAACCAGCCACUCAACCCAAGGGGGCCCACAUAUCCUACACGCACAUUCACUUAAUCCAAUGGCCAAAAACUGGUAGGCACCGAUGACUGGUGCUAUUAAUAGCAUAGUAGCCUAGUUCUAUCCAUAUGGUCCGCGCUGCUAUGCUAUCAAUAGCACCAAGUAGUUGGUGCUAUCAAUUUUCUGCCGUUAGAUUAUCCUUUGAUUAUUUUACCCUUUAGAUUAUACUAUUCAACAACACCCACUCAACCCAAGGGGGCCCACAUCAUCCUAACCGCACAUCACUCAAUCCAAUGCCAAAAACUUGGUGACCACAUGACUUGGUGCUAUUAAUAGCAUAGUAGCCUAGUUCUAUCUAUAUGAGUCCGGCUGCUAUGCUAUCAUAGCACCAAGUAGUUGGUGCUAUAAUUUUCUGCCGUUAGAUUAACCCCUUUGAUUAUUUUUAUCCGUUAGAUUAUACUAUUCGACCAACCACCCACUCAACCCAGGGGCCCACAUGCAUCCUAACCGCACAUCACUUAAUCCAAUGGCCAAAAAACUUGUAGCACAAUGACUUGGUGCUACUAAUAGCAUAGUAGCCUAGUCUUAUAAUAUAUAUAUAUAUAUAUAUAUAUAUAUAUAUAUAUAUAUAUAUAAUAUAUAUAUAUAUUAUAUAUAUAAGCCAUAUAUAUAAGUGCUUGGUGAUGUUAUGGAAGCAUGAGGCUCCGUGCUUCCAAGUUGUUUUCGAUGUUCGCGUACUUUCGAAUCGACGAUCGGCUCUGUUAGAGUUAUUUAGAGUAUUUGAAGUACUAGAAAAUAAAUUUUGCGAUUUUCGAUAUCAUGUGCCUAGUGAUCGAAGGGGCUCAAAUCAAUAAUUUUACGGCCGUGCGUGAGCCGGUUGCAAGUUUAACGUGUAAAAAUAUCCAAAUCACAUGAAACUUUUGAUAGAAAAUUCUUAUACAUAUAAAAUAAGAUCAAUAACUUGAUCUAAAAUUUUAAUGUCAUAUCAUCUUAUUUUGUAAGAUUUUAUUUUCAGCCCGUUGAUUUUGAGCCACUUCGAUCACUAGGCAAAUGAUAUUCGAAAAAUCGCAAAAUUUAUUUUCUAGAUACUUCAAAUACUCUAGAUCAACUCUAACGGAGCCGAUCGUCGAUUCGAAAGUCCGUACAUCGAAAACAAAGUGAAGCACGGAGCCCUCCGUGCUUCCAUAAGCAUCCUAGCCGCACUUCUAUAUAUAUAUAUGUACUAUCUAUAUAUAUACUACUAUAUAUAAUGAGAGAAAGCCACCAUGAGUGCACUCUUGAUGGCUAAGGGAAAUGAUGUGCACGAGAGGCCAUCGAACUGCCGCAGAGGGGAAGAGGUAGAGAGAAGAGAGAGGAUGGUUGCUAGCGAGGGUGGGGUGGUCAUCAGUUGUGGGGGCGCGGGGCAGCUAGAAUGAAUGAGAGAGUCGAGCUGGGAAUACUAUCGUAAACCAAGGAUUUGAGCUUAUAUCCGAGUUCUCCACCGUUAGAGUUUACUUUGUAUUUUUACCAUUAGAUUGGGCGCAUCAUUCCUAACACAUAUUUCUCAAUCCAAUGUUAAACUAAAUAGCAACGCAUAGCUCCUGCUAUUAUAGUAUUUUCCAACCUAGUUCUCUCUCUCCCUCUCUCUCUCUCUCUCUCUCUCUUCCUCUCUCUCUCUCCUCCUCUCUCUCAUCAUAUAUAUAUAUAUAUAUAUAGAGUUGAGCUAGAAUACUCUCGAUAGUAAACAGAGCGUUUUACUAUCAAGUUGUUUUCGAUGAUAGAGCUUCCAAAUUAACGAUCGGCUCCGUUAAAUAUGAUCUAAACCAUUUAAACUACCUAGAAAUUAAAUUUCACGCACUUUCGAUAUUAUUCUUUUAUCCAUCUAGUGAACAGAAAAUGAAUGGUUGAAAAUGAAUAUUCUUUAAAAAAUGAUGAUAGGAGUCUUGUAAUCAAGAUCAAGAGUACAGAUCUUGUUUUAAAUAGUUUAAAGAAUUUUCUAACAAAAAUUCAAUUGAUUUGGAUAUCUUUACACCGUUAAAGAGAGAAAACGUCUCUUAUCCACCAUUAAAAUUAUAAAUUUUGAAACCCUUUGAUCAUUAGGCAAAUGAUGUCGAAAAGAUUUGAAAUUUGAUUUGUAAAUACUUUAAGUGGUAUAGAUCAUGUUCAACGGAGCCGAUCGUCAAUUUGGAAGCUCUAUCAUCGAAAACAACUCGAUAGUAAAACGCUCCGUUUACUAUCGAGAGUAUUCUAGCUCAACUCUAUAUAUAUAUAUAUAUAUAUAUAUGUCACAUGUUGUAAUUAGAUAUAAUUUUUAUAGUUUUAUUUAAAAAAAUAAAAGAGUAUAUGUAUGUACCUAACUUUAUACCUAAUUCCUUUUUGCCUUGGUAAAUGAAGUAUGUUUUCUAUCUGCUUUCGCUUUCAAGGGAGAAAAAACAAAUCGACUUAUUAUCACUACUUAGAAAAUGCGAUUUUCUUAUUUUCUGGCUUCGAAUUCCAUUUUAAAGCCAUUUGCAUAAACCCAUUAUUACCUAAUUAAUGUAGAAGGACUUUGCUGAGUAGUGUAAAACAACCUUUAUUUUUUAAUGAAAAUUUUAAACUGGCAUAGUGAGUUAGAGAACGGCCGUUUUAUAUAAUAAUAGAAACAUUGACGUGACUCGAAUUUAGAACCUUCUACUCUGAUACAAUAUAAAACAAUUAUUAUUUUUUAAAUUUAAAAUUAUGUUUAGCUCGAAUACAAAGAAGGAAAUAAAACCUUAUUUCUCCCUUUAUAUCCAAACAAAAAAUGAGAAAAAUGGGGACUAUUGUUUCCACCUCUCUAAUUAAUGAAUUAUUUGGAAUUACCCAUUAAGCGGUGGAAACAAUAAUUCCCUACUCAUGCCAGAACAAGCUUGUCCCAAUAGCUGGAACAAGUUAAAUUAUUUUUUAUAUUUAAUUAAUUAAUUAAUAUAUUUUUAUUAUAUUAUAUAAUAUUUAUAGCUAAUAAAUUUAUUAAUUUAUUUUUAAUUAUUAUUUUGAUGUUAAUUAAUUAGAUAAAAUUUUAAUUUAAAAUUAUAAUUCUUAUUCCUUCUGUUCCAAUCUAAUCAUUCAAAUACUAUUACCUUAUUUCCAAGACCAAUCCAAUUUUCACUCAAAUACAAAAUUGGUUUAGUUUCUGCUUAUAUCUGAACGUAUACUUAUCUCUGAAAUAAUCAGUUUUUACUUAUAUCCGAACCAAACAAAAUAGCUUAAGCUAAUAGAGAAUAAUAUUUUUAUAUGUAACAAGAAGCGCCUCAAUGAAAUCUCGUUAAGUCAGUUUGGUGAAGCAUACCAAAGCCCUUCUGAUGGGGUUAUUGCCAAACAAACAGUUUCCGCAUGUAUGCUUUGGGAAGCAAGUAGACAAAAAAGAGGUGCGCUCGGAGAAAGGAGCUUGCAACAAUUGCCUCUCCAUGGUGGGCCAUUUGGUUGGAGAAAAAUAGAAAAAUUUUUGAAAAUUCUAAAUGUACGGCGAGAUACUUCGCGACCGAUAUACGCUCUCUAAGAGACACUUGGGCUCUCUUCCGUUAGUUUUUUUUUUUCCUGUGAGGCCUAACUGCCUCAGAUUGUAGCCCAGUUUAAUCUUUAUUGAAUGAAGCAUUACCAAACCGCCUUAUUUUAAAUUUUUUUUUUAAAAAAAAAGGUUUGGUGAACCAACCAUUUCACCCUAUUCAUAGCUUUGUUCCGGUCUAAAAAAUUUUCGUACGAAUCUCAAGACUAGGGACGUCAAUGGAUAUUGAAACCCGAAAUUUUAUCCGAAUGAAACGAAUAUAUCUGAUACUAAAUGGAUAUAAAUUCAGAUAUAGAUAUCAAAAAUAGAAACAAGACGGAUAUGGAUUCGGAUAUGAAUUUUGACUGUACCCUACUCGAAUCCGAACCCAACCCGAACCCAAAUUUAUUUUGUAUUUUAUAUAUAUAUAUAUAUAUAUAUAUAUAUAUAUAUAUGUCACAUGUUGUAAUUAGAUAUAAUUUUUAUAGUUUUAUUUAAAAAAAUAAAAGAGUAUAUGUAUGUACCUAACUUUAUACCUAAUUCCUUUUUGCCUUGGUAAAUGAAGUAUGUUUUCUAUCUGCUUUCGCUUUCAAGGGAGAAAAAACAAAUCGACUUAUUAUCACUACUUAGAAAAUGCGAUUUUCUUAUUUUCUGGCUUCGAAUUCCAUUUUAAAGCCAUUUGCAUAAACCCAUUAUUACCUAAUUAAUGUAGAAGGACUUUGCUGAGUAGUGUAAAACAACCUUUAUUUUUUAAUGAAAAUUUUAAACUGGCAUAGUGAGUUAGAGAACGGCCGUUUUAUAUAAUAAUAGAAACAUUGACGUGACUCGAAUUUAGAACCUUCUACUCUGAUACAAUAUAAAACAAUUAUUAUUUUUUAAAUUUAAAAUUAUGUUUAGCUCGAAUACAAAGAAGGAAAUAAAACCUUAUUUCUCCCUUUAUAUCCAAACAAAAAAUGAGAAAAAUGGGGACUAUUGUUUCCACCUCUCUAAUUAAUGAAUUAUUUGGAAUUACCCAUUAAGCGGUGGAAACAAUAAUUCCCUACUCAUGCCAGAACAAGCUUGUCCCAAUAGCUGGAACAAGUUAAAUUAUUUUUUAUAUUUAAUUAAUUAAUUAAUAUAUUUUUAUUAUAUUAUAUAAUAUUUAUAGCUAAUAAAUUUAUUAAUUUAUUUUUAAUUAUUAUUUUGAUGUUAAUUAAUUAGAUAAAAUUUUAAUUUAAAAUUAUAAUUCUUAUUCCUUCUGUUCCAAUCUAAUCAUUCAAAUACUAUUACCUUAUUUCCAAGACCAAUCCAAUUUUCACUCAAAUACAAAAUUGGUUUAGUUUCUGCUNAUAGUUACAGGAUUCCGUAUUUUAUUUAGACCAAAAUCAUAGAAUAAAAAUUUCAUGGAGUUUUUUAACUAUCCAUCCAAACAUGGCCUCAGUGUAUGUUGAUGUGGUAUGAAAAGCACAACCAAUAGAUUCAAUUGAAUCCAAUCACUAUUCAAUGGAUAAUUGAACCGGAUUCGAUAAAUUUAAUUCGUUCAAAAAAUUUAAGUGAGAAGCGUUGCAAUCUUGGUUAUUGACCCACUGUAAAUCCUUGGUCUAAUAGUCUUGAGUAGGAAUGUCAAUGGGUAUGGAUGGCCGGAAUUUUAUCCUAACCCGAACCCGAAUGAAACAAAUAUAUUCGAUGCUAAAUUAAUAUGAAUUUGGAUAUGGAUAUAAAAAAUAAAAAUCCGACGAAUAUGAAUUCGGAUAUAGAUUUUGACUGUACCCAACCCGAACCCGAACCCGAAUUUAUUUUGUAUUAUAUACGAGCCCAGCUGCUAUACUAUCCGAACCCGACUGAUUUUAAAAAUUCAUAUCCAAACCCGAACCCGAAAAUUUGAAUCCAAAAUAAUUAUUUUUUUUCAAUAUUUAAAAAUAUAUUAUAUUAAAUCUAAAUUUUUAAAAUACAAAUUCAAAUAUAACAUCAAAUUUAUAUAUAUAUAUAGAGAGAGAGAGAGAGAGUCCGGCUACUAUACUAUCGGUAGCACGGAGGGCUCCGUGCUACCAAAUUGUUUUCGAUGAUGCGGCUUCCAAAUCGACGAUCGGCUCCGUUAGACUUGAUCUAUACUAUUGAAAGUAUUUGGAAACUAAAUUUUAGAUUUUUUCGACAUUAUUUGACUAGUGAUCAAAAUAUCUCAAAAUUGACAAUUUUAAAGGCCGAUGUGGUGUGUUUGUGAGUUUAACGGUAUAAAACAGUCCAAAUUCGAUGAAAAUUUUAUAGAAAAUUCUUUUCACUAUUUAGAGUGAGAUCAGUAUAUCUGAUCUUGAAUUUAAAUCUUUUAUCAUCAUUUUUUAUGAGAUUUUUAUUUUCAGCCGUUCAAUUUUANGAUACCCGCAGUUACCAGUGGGUCGUCCAAAAUAUCUAUAAUUUGACUGGUACCCACUCUUCUUACUCUCAAAUUUUUUGGUAAAAAUAUUAGUGCCUUAUACUCAUAAAUUUACCAAUAAUCCGCGAAUAUAUGUGUGGAUAUGGAUAGAGAUUACCAUAACUAUUUCAAUGAUUACUUGAGGGAAAGAGAUGACCUAAUAUGCGUCGUGAUUCUUCAAGGGAUCACGACCCUUUUACAAUUAUGUUACAAAUACUCUUACACCUAUUCUAUUAUUAUUAAACUAAUAAUAUUUUUAUUGAUACUGAAAACAAUGUUACAAUAAAAAAAAAAAAAAAAGAAAAAGAAAAAGAGACACUAUACUUGCAAGCCCAAAAAUAUACGAUAAUCGUAAUAUAAUAAGAAAUUUUUAAAAAAAAGAGGGAUAACCUUUAAAAUACUUCUAAUCUAACAAAAUAUUUUAAUACAUAAUAAUUAAUUUUCUGAUUUAGUACAUUGGAUAAUUCUAAUCUAAUAAGAGAAAGGCUAGUAUACGCGACGAAUUCAGAUUCAUAAUUGUAGCAAUCCACCACCAAAAUUAUAAGUUGUUUGUUUUUGUAGAAAUAUUGUUUUCAAAGGUAAUUCAAGAUUCUUUACAUAUAUAUUAUUUCUGGUGAUAGAAUAUAAUGUAAGCUAUUUGAAUUUUCUAAAGAUCAAAUUUGUAGAUUUUAUGACAUCAUUUGCUUAUGAAUCAAGUGGGCUCAAAUUCACCAUAUUUAAACCAUUAAAAUGUACUACCAAUUUUUAGACCACUUGAAUUCUAGAAAAAUAUUGUCAAGAUAUUACAAAAUCUAAUUCCCAAAAAAAUUAAAAUAGCCUAUCUCAAGUUUAGCUGUGCCGACAAUCGAUUCAAAUGUUCUAUAACUAAAAAUGAAAUAGAGGCAAACAGCUUGUUUACUUCUGAGAGUGUUCUAGCUCUACCCUUAUACACACAAAAAACUAUAUAAUGCUAUAACUAAAAGCAAAAAGCAUUCAAAUUUGAAUUGCAUUACUACUAUUUUCGAGGGACAUUCUGAGAUAUCCUCUGGGAAAUUUCAGCUGGAAAUUAUAAUAUUGAGUUAUAUAUAUUUAUAUAUAUAGAGAGAGAGAGAGAGGCUGGUAUGCUUCCGAAAGUACGAUACGCUCCGUGCUUUCAAACCGUUUUUGAUGUUGGAACUUUCAAAUCGACGACCGGCUCCAUUAAAUUUGAUCUAGAGUAUUUAAAGUACUUAGAAAAUAAAUCUCGUAAUUUUUCAAUAUUAUUUUGAACCCUUUCGAUCACUAGGCAAAUGGUAUAAAAAAUUAUAAAAUUUAUUUUUUUAGGUACUUCAAAUGAUCUAGAUUUAGUUUAACAGAAUUAAUCAUCGAUUCAAAAGUCCCAAUAUCGAGAACGACUUGGAAGCACGGAGGAUUCCGUGCUUUCAGAAGCAUACUAGCCUCUCUCUCUCUCUCUCUCUCUCUCUCUCUCUCUCUCUCUCUCUCUCUCUCUAUAUAUAUAUAUAUAUAUAUAUAUAUAUAAAAGAUUGAGCCGGUUUGAGAGAAUCGACACUCAACAAUGAUCGAUUCGAUUCAAGCUAAAAAAAAAAAAAAAUGAUCCUACUCGAUUCAAGAAAAUAAAAGAAAUGUCAAAGAUUUGAGCCGGAUGGAGAUGAAGCAGAGAUGAAGCCCACGUCCAACAAUAAAAAGGAUAUUCGCAUGCGGCAAAUUUAAGGUAGGUAUAGAUCAUCAUCCAUAGUAAAAUCAGUGGUUCCUAUCAUUAAAAAUAUUAUUAUUCUAGCUAGACUCUUUUUUAAGUCUCUCUCCCCCUCUCCCCAAAUCACCGCAUAAAUAAAUAUAUUUAACAUGCCGCCCCUCUCUUUCUUCUCUAUGUAACAUGCCUGCCUAUGAAUGAACCCCCGCACGAUUAUUAAAGCUCCUCCCCCCUCCUCGCCUCCCAACCACCGCCGCCAUGUCGAUCGCUCCCACCUCUUAAACCCUAACCCGAACCCUAACCCCCCUCUCUCUCUCUCUCUCUCUCUCUCUCUCUCUCUCUCUCUCUCACUCUCUCUCUAAUCCGCUAAUCUGAUCCGAUCUAAUCAGGGUUCGGGUUCGGGUUCGGGUUCGGGUUCGGGUUCAUGGGGUCUCGCCAUCGCCGCCGCCAUUCUCCGGCGCCGGCUCCGCCUUCGGCGGCGCGGAGGGGGUGGGUGGCGAUCAGGGUUGGGGCGGAGGGGGAGGAGCGGCGGCGGUUCGUGGUGCCGGUGGGGUUCGUGAACCACCCGCUGUUCGCGGGGCUGCUGAGGGAGGCGGAGGAGGAGUUCGGCUUCCAGCACGACGGCGCCCUCACCCUCCCCUGCCGCCUCGACCACUUCCGCCGCGUCCACGCCGCCAUCCACCGCCACCUCCCCCUCCCCCNNNNNNNNNNNNNNNNNNNNNNNNNNNNNNNNNNNNNNNNNNNNNNNNNNNNNNNNNNNNNNNNNNNNNNNNNNNNNNNNNNNNNNNNNNNNNNNNNNNNNNNNNNNNNNNNNNNNNNNNNNNNNNNNNNNNNNNNNNNNNNNNNNNNNNNNNNNNNNNNNNNNNNNNNNNNNNNNNNNNNNNNNNNNNNNNNNNNNNNNNNNNNNNNNNNNNNNNNNNNNNNNNNNNNNNNNNNNNNNNNNNNNNNNNNNNNNNNNNNNNNNNNNNNNNNNNNNNNNNNNNNNNNNNNNNNNNNNNNNNNNNNNNNNNNNNNNNNNNNNNNNNNNNNNNNNNNNNNNNNNNNNNNNNNNNNNNNNNNNNNNNNNNNNNNNNNNNNNNNNNNNNNNNNNNNNNNNNNNNNNNNNNNNNNNNNNNNNNNNNNNNNNNNNNNNNNNNNNUUAUAUUUGCAUAUAUGGUCUUUUUUUUUUUUUUUUUACCACACAAGCAUUAUUUUCGUAUUUUUUAAGUUAAAAACAGUAACUGAAAUCACCGUUUUUAAACACGUUUAUGUAAUCAACGUGUUCGUAUCCACAGUUCUUAAUUUAGAAUACAGAAUACGGUAAUUACAUUACCAUAUUUAAAUACAGUGAUUAAAUUAUCGUAUUCAAUUUAAAAGUGUAACCUAGACGCUUGCAUGGCAAGUAGAGGACUGUUUAUACAAAUAUAAAUUUAUUAUGACUAAUUUAUUUUAAAAAAAUUGAGAAAAUUAAAUACAAAAAAUUUCACAAUCAGUCAAACACAUCUCACUUUUUUAAGAAAAAAGUAUAAUAAAAAUAACUUUUUUAAUAAUCAUGAUUGAACGGAUAAAUCCAAGAAAAAUAAUCUAAUUAGUUAGAAACAUCAUAUCAGUAAUAUAAUUAGUGCAUUGUAUACUUUAUACCAUUGAGCAGCUUCCUACCAAAAUUUCAUUUUGGGUGUGAGAAAUUAUUUUUCUUUUUCUUUUCUUGUUGGAAAAAGAAAUGAAUGAUUAGUCUAAAGCUAGUUUAGAUUAUAUUGUUUUUUUAUUACAUAAUUUGUUUGCCUUAUGAGGCUUCUUUAUACCGCGGAAUAAGUUAUUAGUAAGUAAAAUAAUUUUUUUGUGUAAUUGAAAAUAAAAAGUUUGAGGUUUGUUUUUUGAAAGAUUUUAAUUGUCAUAAUUUUGUAGGAUUGUGUAUUUUAUUCAUGUGAUAAUUUACUUUAUCACAAAAAUUAGAGCUUUAAGGCUUAAUAUAAUAUUCAUUUAUAGACAUUUUAUUAUACUUUUUAUUUAUUAAAUGCUAUAUAUUUUUAGUGAAUAAAUAAAAAAAAUUGUUUCUAAUAAAAUAUUUAUGUAUUCAAACAAGACCUAAAGAGUUAUUGUAAAUUGCUGGAAUUAAAUGUUGUUCUAAAAAAUAAUUGUAUAACUUAAUAAAAUUUUGAAUAAAUUGCACUUUUUGUCCUCAAUUGUUUUUUAGAAGAGUUAUUGUAAACUUUAAACAAGACCUAAAGAGUUAUUGUAAACUUUAAUUUGUGUGUAAUUUUUUCUCGAACUUUACAAAUUAUUACAAUUAAGUCUCGUAACUUAAUUUAGUUGACCAAAUAAUAUUAAUAUUUUAAUAAUAUAAAAGUGAUAUAACAUCUUAAUUGUUAUCAUCAUGUCAUCACUUACACAUCAGCAAUGCAUCAAUUUUAGCCGAUUAAAUUAUGAUAUAGAAAUUAAUUGCAAUAGUUUAUAAAAUUUGAGUCAGAAAUUAUAAGAACUUAUUUAUAAAGUACGAGCGAGAAAUUGUAAUUGCAAAUUGAAGUUUAAAAACCAAAGUGUCACGCGCGGCAUAGUUUGAGGGCCAAAACUGUAAUUUAGCUCAAAAUAAUUUAUUGCUUCAUAGAAUAUUCUGCAAGUUAUUCUGUCUAGUGGACCAGGCUCAUCAUCAUGGAGAAUGCAUGCUUAAGGUGGCAAAAUUGGCAUUAAAAUAAAUAAUCAUAAUCAUGUCUAGACAAUAAUCACAUUCAUUUAUGAUUUAGGCUUUUAUGCUACUUUUAAUUUUAAUUAAUCAGAUCUAUGAACAAAAUAAUGGAAUUCAGCCUGGUUGAAUGUCGAAAUAAGUUAUCGUAUAAAAAUUUAUAAGUGAUGGAUUUUUUUUUUGAGAGAGAAAGAUAACAUGCUACCCGCUUCGUUUAUUUCAUUUAGAAAUAAACUUAGCUGGAAAUGUGAAUCAAUUAGGAUUCGAACUUGGGUCUCGGAUAUCAAUCACCAAGCCUUUUACCACUUGCACUAGGGACGGCCAGUAUAAGCUAUGGAUUGUUUUGAUCCUCGUAUGGCGCUGCAGUCGUGAUUUAUUAAAACAACAAAUUAUAUUUAUAAAAAAAUAUAUUUUAUUAAAAAAAUAUAUAAAACUGAAUAUUGUAUGUUGAUAUAGAAAUCCAAUCAUACUUCCCAUCUAGAGUUGACUCAAAUUAGCCUUCUUAAUUAUUUGGGAAAACUUCAAAAAACCCCAGUGGUUUUGCAUUUUUUCACUUUAAUACCCUGUGGUUUAAAGUGUAUCAAUUUAGUGUCCUAUAGUUUUAUUUUUUUUCUUUUUAUUAUCAAUUUUACUAUUUUUUUCUUAAAUCAGUGACAAAGUUAAAAUUAAAGAGUACUAAAAUGAAUAUUCGAUAAAUCUAGAUAGGUAUCUGAAGUUUUUUUGUAUAUAAUUUAACGAAAUAUUAACGAAAAAACUACCGAAAAGAUAAAAAUGAAACCACAAGGCACCAAAUUGAUACACUUUAAACCACAGAGCACUCAAGUGAGAAAGUGCGAAACCACGGGGGGGUUUUGAAGUUUUUCUUUAUUAUUUUGCUAAAUAUGAAAAAGAUUAUAAAAAUACUGGUUUUGAUCAUAAAAUGAGUUUUUUUUUUUUUUUUUUUUUUUUUUUUNGUCUCUAUUUAUAUUUAUGCUUGCAAUAAACUAAAAUCAAUUGUAAGACAUAACCUAAGUCCUUCAGUAUUGUUGUUCUUUUUUUAUUUGAAUAUCAUCCUAUAAUUUAUCUUCGAGGAUUGAGAUUAAAAAAAAGGUAAGAACUAGUUACUAUAUCUUUUACUAAACAAAUAUAUAUGUAUUGCGAGUAAUUCGCCGUUAAUGUAUUACAGAUACUUUUGUAAGUCUCGCGUGUUUAUGUCGGAUAUGCAUGUGUUCGUGUCAGAUUCGUGUCCGAUGUGGAUACUCUUUGGACGCAGGUUCAAAGCUGAUGCAUAGCACAUAUAAUUAAAAUAUAUUAUAUUUUUAUUUUAUUUUUUAUACAUAUAUAAUGUAAGGUGAUGAAUAUUUUAGCUUUUUUGAUGAACACAUACAAAUUUUUUUGAACAAUAUAAAUAAAUUAUGUAUAGUGAAGAAUUUUUUUUUUCUUAAAUAUAUGAACUAUUAAUGAAAAUUUUACUAACUUUUAUUCGUAUAAAAAAUAUAAAAAUAUUUUACCAAAAUUAAUAUUUAUUUAUAUAUAAUAAAUAUAUAUCUUAAAAUUAAGCUCCUAUACUAUUAAAAGCAUAGAGUCAUUAGUGUUUAUACAUUUUCCGCUAUUAGAUUAAAGGACUUGUUGCUGGGAUGAUAGUGCAUCCCCUAGGGUUUAAGUAAGUGGUUGGUUAAAUAGUGUGAUCGAACGGAUGAAAAUGAUUAAAGAAAUGAAUCUAACGGCAGAAAAUUUACAAGACCAAGUACUUGGUGCUUUUAAAAGCACCAUAGUCGGACUCUACGUACUAUUAUAUUAAUAUAUUAUAUUUUUUUAGCAUUAUGCACGUCGUGUUCGUGUCCUAAUUUUUUAAAAAUUACUGAAUCACCGUAUCCGAAUCGUAUCAUGUCCUGUAUAAGUGUUCGUGAUGCCUAGGUCCCAUUCACUAGCUUCGCUCUAUUUGUAUUGAAAAACAAUAAAAUUAUAGCAGCAAUCCCGGACAAUGCGUAACUUAAAAAUAUGCUUCUUUGUUUCUGACUUGACUUAUUAAUUAAUUUUGAACACAGAUGGGAGAUUAAUUAAUAGGUGUAAACUUCGACGAAGCUUCGUAUUUGUGUAUGUAGACAAAAUUCUUGAAUUUUAAGUUGCAAAAAUAGAAAUAAUCUCUUGUUAAGAUUCAAAGUCCACGAGUUCCUUCCAACUGCUCAAUACAUGAGUUAUGUAGCAAUUACUUUACGUGGACUUGUUCUCCAUCUUUAUUUUGUCCUUAUCCUAUUAUAUUUUCAUUACUUUAUUGGUUGGAGCAAGAGGAAAAAUGAGAAUAAAUCCUCUCUAGAUGUUGACUUUUGAAAAAGAUUUUGAAGUUAAUUUUGUAGUUUUAGGGAAGAAAAUAUUAAAUUAUGCAAGUGUGUGGAAAGUUAAUGUUUAUUAAACUACUGCAAUACCAAACAAAUUACUUGCCACGUUCGUUUGACUACGGAGAAUUAAAAUAGUUUUCUUGAGUUUUUCUCGUUGUUUAAACUGUUCAGAGAUUAUUGGAAAACCCAAAAAAAAAAAAAAAAAAUUGUUCUUUUGAGUAUUAUUUUCAAGCACGAAAAAGUUAUGUUAAGAUAAAAACUAGACGAUGGCAUAGUAUAUUUUCACUUUGUCGUUCUAUAAUUUAGCAUAUUUGUUGCAAAAAGUGAUAAAGAGAAUAAUACAGAGUGCGCGAAGGAAAUGUGUUUUUAAUUUCAGAUUGCAAGUUUGGCACAAUAACCUUGAAAACAAAAACAUGUAUUUCCACUCAAUUACGUAGAAAUAUUUUCAAGCAAAAAGCACUGGUAAAUAAAGCAAAGCGCUUCAAAAACUUUUCGGCACGAAAAUAAACUUUGGACCUCUUUUACAUGCAACCAACACCACCUUACACAAGAGAGAGAGAGAGAGAGAGAGAGAGAGAGAGAAUAAUGUAAAAUUAAGAGGGCAUAAACUUUAAAGGAAAUUUGUUUCAGCAAAAUAUAAGAGCAAGAGAUGACACCAUAAAGCACUAUAUUGCUCGACAAAUCUUUCAUCUGAGAUUCAUUUACACAUGGUUAUGAUGAGGAACAUCAGCAAACAAGAAUGAUCGCUCGAAAAUAACGACAAAAGACGAAAGAAAAAAAGGGGAGACGGGGACAGGGGGGGCGCAGUGUUAAGAUUUGUGAGCGCGCUAUUUGAAUAGCAUCGGCAUUUGGAAACAAUUGUAUCGAUGCCUGCACGAAUUUAGUGGUGUCUCGUGUUUGAGCUUCGUAUCGUCACACCAUGCAAGAAUUUGGUAUAGCCAAGAAAGUUCAGCUUGCCAUCCGACUUUCUGAUCCAGUCUUGCACGAUCGAAUAAGCUGUAGGACCGAGGUUCAGCUCCUGCAAAGAACAGUUUAUUACAUCCCGGAGAAUAUAGAUUCGCUGCACAAACAAGUACAGCCAAAAGGAAAUCAUCAAACACUCCCACGGUAUAGCCUAUUGUUACAUUUAUUGCCACAUAGAUUGAAAUCAUAUCGGUUGCUAAGAACACUAAAGUAUGGAUAAUUGCCUAACCUUAAUAUUUCGCUGUGUGCUCAAUUUUUAACAUUAUUUUAGUUCGCGAAAUGCUGAAAGGUAAUCAAAAAGGUGACCUGACAGUUUGUUAAGUUACUGCUUGGACUACAGGGUAUUGAAGUGAAAACUAGGCAUUAUAUCAUAGGGUUAUAAACCUAAAUUUUCUUCAUAAUUAUACGCGAGGAUGUUUCUUUAUUGAUUUAUAGUACCUGCGCCAGUUCCUCAACCGACAUAACUCGGUUGCCUUCCUUCUCAAAGUAUUCGAAUGCUGUACUUGCAAUCUGCUCCCAAUUUUCCAAAGCCUCAAGCUGAUAAGGGCUUAUUGCGGCUGCACAGAACUCUUCGAAGUCCAUCCGCCGGUAUGCAAGCGGCUCCAACUGAGGUUCAGGCCAUAAAUUUGUUAGCGCAUAUUGAUUGCUAUUAUGAAUAAUUUAAACUGGUAGUUUGAGAGACAGAGAGAAAGAGAGAGAGAUGAGGAUAAACAGGUUAGAAAACAGCUACGACUAUCACUAAUCAAGAAAUGAUAAUCUUAUGUCAUCUCCCAUGAGCUACAAGAUUUGAGAAGUCAUCCACAUGACAGUAGAUACCACAUAUUCAAACAAAUUUUCUCCUAAACAGCAUUCAGGUUGUGAAAAAAUUGAGAAAACAUUUAAGAUGCAACAAUCUCAUAAUACUAGCAAGUAGAUAUGUUUGCGGGCCAGGAUAUUAUCUGCAAUUCACAGUACCUUUUGGCAAUAAUGUAGAAAUUAUCAAGAAAUUGACACCACCUUACAAAGUGGAUAUAGAGAACAUCGAAACAGAUACGGCAAGGAGAUUUUGCGACAAACUCAUCUAAAACACAAGAUUGACAAGAGUAGUUGAAGCAACAUCAAUUAUUCAUAAACAUGUUGCUCCAUCCUACUUUCCAUAUCAGAGAGCUUAACCCUGAAGAUUAACAUAAAAUAAAUGAAAUUUUAAAUUAAAGAAGACUCUGCAAUAGUAAGAAACAUAAAAAGACCACAUAAUGGUUAAACUUAAACAACGCCUGAAUAAUAAAGGCCAUAGAAAGGAAAAUUAAGCUAUUGCAUGCAUAUAUAAUCAAGGCAACGUACUGCAUUCAAAAUGUCAAGAACCCUAGACUCUUUCAUUGCUGGUGUCGAGUUCCGAUGUAGUGCCUGCAUAACAAGAUGUAAAAUUAGAAGCCAGAUGUUGUAAUUAUUAAAGGGUAAAAUGCAUAGGCAGUCCCUGUAGCAUCCUGAUAUUGCAACUGUGUCCUUAAAAUUUUGACUUGAAAAUUUGUCUCCAAAACUCUGCAUGCAUUGCAAUUCCAUACCCCGCAUGCAAAAAAAAUCUGAUAACACGUGAUUUUUACCAACACCUUUUUUAUCUUGUUUCGAGUAUGUUGGAGUAGAAACAAGGAAGUAAUUUCACAGGACAAAUGAUCAACUAGUAAUUUUACAUGGAAAACUAGAAUUUUUUUAUGGUCAGGCUUGGAAUUGCAAUAAAUGUUCAGAGACUGAAAUGUUUAAGCAAAAGCACCAAGGACUAAGUCACAAUAUCAGGAUAAUACAAGGACUAUCCAUACAUUCUUAACCAUACAAAAAAUAAAUAAAAACCAAAAAUUCAGAACCGGAAACAAACUCCUAGAAUAUGCACUUCAUCUGCAUUAUUAUGCUUACGAGGAACAAUUGAAGGCAAAGGAAGCGCGAAAACUAACCACUCGAAAAUUUUCUAGGGAUACAUGCCCAUCUUUAUUUGGUUCAAGCAGGUUAAAUUGCAACCUGAGAUACAUGAGCUCAUUCCCCGUUAAAGCUUUAGAAAGUGCCUGUAGCAUAACAGGAAUAACAGUUAGAAAGGUGUAUGCGGUAAUCUACAUUGGCCACGUGAAGCAUCAGAGUUCACGCUAGUUAAGAUCAUAUCACUACAGGGAAUGAUCUUAAAAUUAAGAAGAAAAGGCAUUGCAUUAACAACUGACUAUAGCAUUCAAAGAAAAUUGGUGGAUUAAUUAUUAAAAAUAAGAUAGUAUGCAAAUUAGAUGAUCAGUUUCAAGAAACUCAAAAGUUUUCAAUUAUUUUGACAACUUGCUGGUCAAGUCGGUUUAUGAAAUAAUGUUACUGCAACACCCAUUGCAUUCCAUCCUCUAUCCACUUCUCCCUUACGAAUACUGUGUACGUGCAUUGGCUUCCAGAAACAAAAUCUCAGUGCUUGAAACACCACCAUCAAACCCGGGGGAAAAGUGGAAAAGGAAACAAAAGACGUUAAAAUAUCGAGAAAGCAGAAAAAUAACUAAUGCUUCAGACUAGGAUGAGAUCAAGAUGAUAAGACAACACAGAAAACUAAAGUUACUUUUGUUACUUAUAUUGAUAAUUUUAUAGCUAUUAUAUACAUGUUAAACGGAAUAGUACUAAAUGCAUCAUGGCUUUCAGUCUUUAAAAGCUAUAUUUGCAAGCUAAUAAAUAAAGCUCUGCAAUUUUUGAAAAUCCACGGAGACCUAGCUCACUACUGUCAUCUUGUAAAACAUUUACAUAUUUAUAGCGAAAGUCAUUAAUGUAUUCUCUAGCCAAACUUUUAAUUUGACCAGAAUGACUCUUCUUAUUUAACACAUACCCUUAAUGCCGCACGUUUGAGAGGUGUGGCGCGAAGAUAAUGCUUUAUUAACUUGUAAAUUAGUAAAUCCAAUGGGACUUGCUGAUGUUGAUCUCGCAACCAUGGAUGAGCUGUCACCACGAAAAAAACAUUAGUUUAAAAUACAUUAUAUGUUCAGCAAGCGGACCUUAAUUAAAUCACAGUAAACAGAAGUAAAAACUUACUAAGAGCCUGAGCAGCAGUCAUUCUUUUCCUGUAGUCCUUAUUCAAAAAUCUCUUCACAAAAUCUUUAGCUUCAGCCGAUACAGAAGGCCACGGAGAGUCGUCGAAGUUUGGAUCAGCUCUCAACACGGAACGGAAGAUUCCAGAUUCUGUCCGUGCCCAGAAUGGUCUACUACCACAUAGCAGGAUGUAUGUUAUGACACCAAUACUCCAUAUAUCCGCCUCUGUACUGUAUGACCUGUGUAGGACCUCUGGAGCAACGUAGUACGCACUUCCAACUAUGUCAUUAAGUCUUUCAUCUGCAUACAAUUAGCAAAAGAGUCUGGGAAGUUGACAACAUAUUUGAGAUAACCACAAUGCGUUAAGAAAAUUUAUUCGUUAACAAGCAAAAUAGAGCACAUAUUGAAAAGUUAAUGUUGCCAGAUUUGGAUAGCCACAAUGCGUUAAGAAAAUGAAUGGCUGAAAAUAUUGAAAAUAAUAGUAAAAUGGAUCCAAUACAUUUUGCAGUGGAAACAAAAGUUCCAGUACAUUUAUUUCAAUUAACACGAUAUAACAAUGCUAGACUCGCUGCCAAUCUAUACCAGAACAUAAGGACUUGCUUCCUAAUUGCAUGGAUCAUGUUAAUAUUCCCUUGAUUUUUCAAGUGCUCUAUCUUAAGAGUAAAGACCGAUUAAGAAGAUUCUGCUUAGAAAGACUAAGUUAUUGAUUUUCUUAAGAUCAGGCCAACUUGACUUUCUCCAAUUUAUUCAUCUAAGCUAGUUAUUCAUCAAAUAUGCUCAUAUCAUAUCCGAAAGCUUUAAAAGUAUAACUGCAUUUUACAAAACUUUAUUGCAAGUGAUAGGUUUGAGUGGUCCAGUUUGAAUAGCAACUUACUCUUUGCAAUUUCAAGCCUAUCUUUUUCAACAAAAUACUAGCUGCACCUCUAAAUCAACAUUAGAAACAAGUUGGCACUUCUGGUAAUGCUAUCCAGCAAUUUCAGCAGCAAGCUUGUAGAUAUAUAGUUUGGGCAUCUACUGGUUCCCUCUUCACAAAAUAUAUUAUUUUUACAUAUAUCUAUCUGUAAAUAAAUCCUCAUUCACCUAAAUAAUCCAAGGAAAUGUUGAAGACCAAAGGUUUUAACUGGACCAGAUCAUUUUCGAUAAAGGAAUUUUGCAUGAGGUGCCAUAAAAUUGAGUUUGGGGGUGGGGGUGUUGCACUAGUUCAUAAAGUUAACUGGGUAUGCAUGUUUGCUUUUCACCUCUGUGAUCUGCAACUGGCAUAGCAUGUUGACUGAUUUCUUUGUGAUCUACAACAGCUUUUUUUUCACUAACAGAUUGUCUUGAAUAAAUUCCAUCAAGCCUGUCUUGGCCAACAGAAAAGUACAGACAAGGAAUGAGGUCAAAGACUUAGAAUGAAUAGGUCCUUUUGGUUAGGCCUAAGUAGGAGAGAGAGAGAGAGAGAGAGUGUUGCGAGGGUGCAGUGGCACAUAGAAAUAGUUGCCAUAGUGAGAGAUCACAAUUACAAUUACAAAAAUAAUUGGAAAUAUGGAAUUAGGUUCCUAACAAGAUUAUUGGAAGUUCAGUUUGAACUGCCAUGAACAAAGGGGAUUUGAUCGGUGAUACGAAGCCUUCAUGGGUUGAUACGAGGCCUUCAUUUGAGACCAUGGAUAAAGAGACUUUAUCAAGUUAAUUUUAUGAAUAAUACUAACUCAUGCAUGCCUUCAUAGAUGCUACAUGUAUAAAAAGACUUUGUUUAGUCAGUUUCACAAACAAAACUACCUCAUUCAUGCUUUGAUGGGUGAACCAUGAAUGAGACGACUUAACUAAGUAAAUUCCACCUCAGAUAAAAAUGUAUCAUGUGGUUCGACCCCUUAAUGAGAUUAUUAGAAUUUCAAACUAAACGAAUCAAGAAAGAAUCAGAAACACUCUUAAAGAGAAAAAGGAGGAAUAUUUUGAGACAGAGAGUAGCACUCAUAUAAAAAUAAAUAUGAAAUUUUAUGAAAUUUCUUUGAACCAGGAAACCUUUUAGACACUUAUUAUAACAAGUUAAAUAACAAAAAAAAAAAAAAUAGUCACCAAUGUCACUUUAUUCAGCACCUAGUGCAUCCCUACAAGUAUUUUCUAUAAUCAUACCCAGGCAUCUAUAAGAGUUGAAUACUUAACAGAGAACAAUAUGCUUAAGUCGAACAGCUUAAAACGAAAGGAAAGAAACAUGCAGGAUCUAUUUGUAUUCACAUUGUUUACCAGGCAAAGCUGACUAGAAUUCAACCAUCCAUGUCCAGUAAUUUAAAAUAUAAGUGCAAAUUUAUAUGGAGACAACUUAGAUGCUGUGGCAAAUAUAUACACAAACACUCCACAAAAAUCAUAUCUAGGUACACCAUUUAGCAACUACAGAUCGACCUUUCAUUCUACAUCAAUACUAACAACUCUGUGUAGAUCAUCUACAUAAAAUGAGAUUAGUCCAAACUUUACAAAGAUACCAAAAUUGCAUCAUUCAAAGACAAGUGGCAAAAUAGAUUUACUCAGAAAGUUCUCAAAUUCAGUAAAGAAGGUGUGAGAUCCAUGGAAACAAGUUGAAUACUUCUUCAAAAAGGAUAGGACCUAGGAGGUUAGCUAUAUCAUGAUUAUAGCAUCUAUACUGUCUCCACUUUCCAAAUCUUGGACUUCUGACAUCCUUGCUUACGUAAGAGUAAGAUACUAUAAUGUUAUGAGAGACUCCAUUUAUGAGCACUUACAAGGAAAAAACCUUGUAGGAUGAAUCUAGGAAAUUUGUGAUUAGAAAUAAUAACAAUAGUAUGUAAAGAAACAACAAAUAACAUGUUAAGAAACUAAAUAAAGAUUGUAAGCCAAUAAGAGCUUUUUUUUUUGCAUUUUCUUCAUCAGAUUGGGCUAAAAUACAGUUAAAGUUAAUUGCUAAAAAAGAAUAGACAUCUCUAAAUUAUUCAAUUAUUACCUGGUCUUAUGAAAUCAGAAAGACCAAAAUCAAUCAACUUCAUAGGAGCAUUUUCAUCUCUCGAGGUGAAGAGAAAAUUCUGUCCACAUGAACAAAACCAUCAACAGCAGGCACACACUGAUACACUAGAAAUUAAUAUUAGUUAAGAAGAAAGCAAACGGAGGAUGACAAGAAAAUAAUUUAUUCAACAGAUCUAUAAUACAGGAAAUAGUAAGUCCAUAGAAUAAGACCUCCGGCUUCAGAUCACGAUGCACAACACCUUGAAGAUGACAGAAUGCAACAACAUUUAAUAUUUGCACUACGAUUGCUUUUGCGUCUUCUUCCGUGUACCUUCCACCUCUAUCAUAAUAGAAGAGAGAGUUUUCAAGAGAUUUCUUUGCUUGAAUAAGCAUCAUAAGAAGACAACUUGAUGACAAAGACAAAUAUACAUCCUAACAGUACCUGGCCAAAAUUCUAUCUAAUAGCUCUCCACCUUCACAUAACCUGAAAAAGGAAAAGGAAAAAAAAAAUAGAUGAAAACAUAGAAUAAGAUUACUAAAUCAACUGAUAAGAAAAACUCAUUAAUGAGUCAAUCAUGCAUGGGCUAAUUUGAUGCCAUGCCAAAACUUAGUUGUUCCUGAGUAUGUGUUUGAUCAGAACUUUUAGGAAAAAGCAGAUAAAAUGUGUAAAUAGCUGAAAAUUAUUAUCUCCACCAGCUGCGACAUAAAAUCCCAAUCAUGUUAUAACAGAUAUUCUCAUAAGGAUAAUUAUUAAUUAUAGAAAUAUCACAUUGAAGAAGAAAUAAAAAUAGACAUACUCCAUGACUAUGUAGACAUUCAAGGCAUCCUCACAUGCAUCAUGAAAUUUGACUAGAUUUGUAUGCCCAGACAGAGCUUUCAGAAUUUUCACCUCCCUACGGACAUCCUCAAUUGAAAUCGCUGUAGUCAUCUGUGAAUGACAUAAGUUAAUAGCACAGCCAAUAAGGACAACUUAGUAAAGAAGUUAUUAGAAGCCGUCAGAAAUACAAGUUGCACCACAAUUGUGAAAGAAAAGGCAUGAAUAAAACCAAAUCAACUGCACCAGUGAUGCAGCAACAUGCAAUCCUUUUCGUUGGUUUUGUUGGUUAAGUUAUUUCAAUCACUUUCUGCCAAUAUAUAUAUUUAUCAACCACAUAAUGCAAUAACCUGAAAUCCUCGUUUUUUUAUAUGCUGUUUGUCUUUAAUUAGUAAGACAUGAAACAGUACUACCAGGUCUUAAUGUGCAUCUCACUUUCUCCAUGCUAUGCCACAAUUUCCUGGUACCACAGCUACUAAAAUAUAGGUUAUUUGAUAGUUGAAGGUCGAUAGCUACAUCUCAACUAUCAAAGUGUGGACUCAUCACAGCAAAUCACGAAAGGAAUACUUGGCAAAAAUCAGAAGAAUAGUGCUUAAAAGCAUAGAUCCCAGUCAUCUUAAGAACUUUGGUACUAUAAUUAUCGGACUAACGCUUGCGAAUUUGAGUGGACAAUAAUCAUGUGGUGGGCGAAAAAUUGAUUUUUUUUUUUUCAAGCUUAUGUGACCAAAGUACUCUCUUGCUCGCUGCAGGUUUAGUAUUUGAAGCAACAAUGGACACUACUACUAAAAUAGGCAGUGUCAGCAUGUAACCCAUUUUUGAUAUGCAGUGGACGAUUUGGACUAGUCAACUUCUCUUGAGAUUCUUUUUUAAUCAAGGGUUACGUAAAUCCUCUGAAUAGUCUUUUAGUGCAAAAUAAUAAUGGAGUCAUUCACUCUAAUGGAUCUAAUUAGCUUGCUACACGUCUAAUCCAGGAAAAUAAUAGAAUAAUAAUGGGUUAAAUCGUCUCCAUGACAAAUUCUUGCAGCUAUUCUUAAGUUUACAAGCACAUGCUCUGCAGCACUUCUAGCAUAUUGACAUGCACAAAGGAGAAACCACUUCACAUUUUACACUAUCUUUUAGUUUGAUAAAACAGGGUAUCCUAUUUCUUAUUUUAGGCUAUCAAGUAAAGUAAAUCGAUCCCGAAUGGAGAUUAAUACCAAAAGGCAUAAAAUUUGGCAAUGAGAUCAAAUAGAUGUACAGAGAUUAGAAAGCCAAUUAUGACUAACAUAAGAUUAUCGCCUUAAAAACCAGUUCUUUAGCUUAGAAAUGAAACUCCCCCCCCUUCCCCCCUCUUAAUGGAGAACAAGAAGAACAAAUUAAACUAGAAAAAAAAAAAAAAAAAAAUCUAAUUUGGACAUACCACCGCACCUUAGCUUUGGAUAUGAUCUUAACGGCGACGACCUGCCCCUUCAAAUCCCCCUUCUUCACCGUGGCCGAGCACGUGUGCCCGAAAUGGCCCCUCCCCACCUCCUUCCCCAGCUCGUACUUCGCCCCGAAGUUCUUCGCGAACCCGAACGCCUUAUCCAGCGGCCGCUCCGCCUCCCCCGCCCCCGCCCCGUCCUCCGGGAUCGGGCCCUCCUUCGGCUUCGGCGCCCCCAGCCGCUUCGCCAGCGACGCCUUGAUGUGCUUCGCCGGCGACGGCGGCGGGAACGGCCGCCGGAAGAACCGCCGCGGCGUCGACGCCGGGUGCACCGGCGUCGCCCCGCCGCUCACGGCCGCGCCGGCCCCGCCCUUCCUCCUCGGCGUCGCCGCCGCCGCCGCCGCCGCCGCCGGCGGCGGCGGGGGCGCUGCGCCGUUCGCCAUGUGCGGCGGCGUCCGGUCGUCGCCGUCGCCGGAGACGGAGAUGUUCCUCCCGUGGCACUGCCCCAUCUCUACCCCCUCCCACUCUUCGAUUAGGGUUUUGGGAUCUCGAUCUCGAAGGAGUUAAAGAGGAGACAUUGGAUUGGGGGAGAAAAGAGAGAGAGAGAGAGAGAGAGAGAGAGAGGGUUCGUUAUGCGAUCGGGGUCGGGGGUGGAAAUUGAAAUGGAACGGGGGUGGCGACUGUGAAUAAAUUAAAAUCGAGGGUGUGUUCCGUAAUUUCCACCCCCCUCUUCUCCGGGAGAAGGAGAAGGAUCGGAUUUGGUGUUUAGUUUCUUCGAAAUAUUAUUUUAAUUUCAGUCCCGCUGAUCGUUCCGAGACAGGAAUUAGUCCCAAACAGGAAACAGCUUUUCACUCCCCCAGGACUGGCCACGUGGCCCUAUGUUAUUGGCCAGCAAGGGUGUCGGGUGUUCUAAGAAGAACACGUGAUUUUUCCGCGUCGCGAUUGGAGCGAAGAUUUUACCGUCAGAAACACAGCGAAUCUCGGAGUGGUUCUUUUUAGCUUUUUCCUGUUUAUUUAUUAUUAUAUUAUAUAUUUGUAAUUUAUUUUUGGGAUACAAAAAAAAAGUACAUUAGACCCUCAACUAUGGGAGCUUUUGAAAUGGACCCCUCGACUAUCUCUUUCUUUUUUUCUACGAAAACCCCUCCAACUUCUAAAAUGUUUUUUAUUCAAACAAUUUGGAUUGAAUCGAACAGUAGUUUGACCAAAUUUAAUUUAAUUACUAAGUUGUAGAACUAAUAUAUUUCGUUAACUAGUAAUGCCUGGUUAGCUAAUAAAUUUGUUCAUUGCUAUUUUUGUUUUAAAGUAAGGUUUCAAAUGUAGGCCAAUUAGAAAUGCAUUUUAUUGUUACCUUCUUUAACUACUAAUUUUCCAUUGUGUGAAAUGCAUGGAGACCACUAAACUAUAGGCUGUUUCGAAAUAGGUCCAACACCGAAAAUGUGACGCCCUGCUUUCGAAGGCUCACUCAUUCUAAGAAUAUUUUAGUUUUAACAUAUCUAAAUUUUUUUAACUUCUUGGGACUAACUACUAUUCAAAAUACUAUAAUCGAAUUAAGAUGUUAGUCCUAUUAUAUUUUAUAUAUAAAAUUGCUCCAAUUAUGAGAGUACUUUUUAAGUCAUGACGUUUUUAUCAGACUCAAGUAUACUUUCAAGCACGAAGCGAUGUGAGUCUUGUCUUGCUAGUCUUAUCACUCAAAUCUUGGUUUGACCGAGACUCAUUUCACACUACAGAAUGCUGAGCGGCACUGUUACCAAUUGUGAUGCUCCACUUUCUAGGGGUGUCAGUCAUCCUAAAACUAUUCUAGUCCUAAGAUGCUUAACAUUUUUAACCUCUUGAGCCUAACUAUACUCAAAAUAAUAUAGCCGGAUUAAGAGAUUUAAUUUUAUUAUAUCUUACAUAUAUAAUAAUUCUAAAUCUUAGGGAUAUCACAAUCCGUGCUUCCCAGCGGGAUCACUGAAAAGCACAAUUCGACUGUUUCCUGUGAAAUUGCUAUUCUGAAAAAAAAAAAAAAAAUCAUGUUACUUUCAUUUUAUUUGUUUUUCACAUGAAUUUCAAGAUAAUUAUGUUCCAUUGUUUCGAAGGAUACAUGUUGUGAGGUCAUUGGCGUAGUCCUCUCUUUUCCCAAACUAAAAUUAUAAUCAGCGUUUGUUUUAACUAACUUCUUAAAUAAGCUCUCAGCAAAAGAAGUAACAGUAGUUAUACUUUUAACAAACAUAAUUUUACGAUUCUUGUACGUAAAAUUACUUUUUGGGCUCGAAAAAGAUAAAGUUGUAUUCUUAUUACACCGUCAAUCUAUUUAAGCAGUUUCCUUAAGAUAAUUAGUACUCUUCCAACCAACUCCUCUUAAAUGUGUCUUUUUGGUCAUAGUGUUAUGCUUUGAAUAGUAUUAGAUGAUAUACUUUAUUAUAAAUCUCUCAACAACUUCUUACAGCAAAAAAGAAAGCUUUACUUAAAUGUGGUGUUAGGUGUAUCAUUUCAGUUUUUCAUUACAGUAAAAAUUUAGAACUUCAUAUUUUCUAAACAAUCGAUAGAGAAUGACUAUGGCUGGAAGUAGAAAUAAAAUUUAUAGUAAAUUAAUUCGCACUGAUUAUUUACUUAUCCAUUCUAUAUCAAACAAUUAAGUAUGCCUUUCUCUCUCUCUCUAGUUUGCUCUUUUUUUUUAGGGAAAAAAAUAUUUCUUAGUUAAAAUUUCUCUUGAUCUCUUAUUCUUAUAGCUCUAUUUUCUCAUAUCCUUAUCCAUUUGCUUAGUUAACACUAGUGACAUGAGCAAGGAAUAUUUUACUGUAGUUAGUAGUGAAUGAUGUGAAAGAUAACUUUUUGAGUCUAUAUUUUAAUUUGGAUUAACUGAACCAGUGGUCCUCAUUUUUAAGCCAAUUUUUCAUUUUAUUCUCCUAUAUACUUUGUUUUAAUCAGAUUCUUAAUUUUUAAAAUUAAUUAUACUAUUAGUUUCUAAUAUAUACCCAUUCAUUCACUUUGAUCUCUAAUCUCUUCUUCCAUAUGGACAUCCAUCACACAAGCACAAUGUCACAACCCUCAACAUUGUUCUCCAUAUCUACGAGCGCACAUGUUGCCUAUUGCUUCUUUUCGAGCAUCUGACAGUAUCGAUUUGGGCGUGAUAAUAAACCUAACAAAAAUAAAUUUAAACUUAUCAAAAAUAUUGGAUUAUUUAUCAAUAGUUAACAAGCUUGCCCAGAAACUUGAAAAAGUUAACACCAAUAUUGACCAAAAACUACCGGAUAAUGAUCAUGGAUUAUAUGAACAAGCAAAAUUUUAUUAGAGCUAGCAUAACUUAUUCUGUCAAAAAAAACUAAAAUUUGGAUGGUUGUUAUCUAACUUUAACAAAAUAUAAAGAUUAGGAAUCGGGUAAAAGCUUAGGGACCAAUGGUGCAAUUAACCCUAUCAAUUUUGAAGAAUAAUUUCUCAACAUGGAACAAAUUUGAUAGGAAAAAAAUAUACAUAUCUCUAUAUCCCUACAAUGUUGCAAUAUGGUAAAUUCAUUCUACAACAGUUUAGUUAUCAAAUAUAUUUUUCUAAACGUUUAUAAUUUUUGACAAUUACUCUUAAAUUUGACUGUUUCUUUAAAAAAUACUAGUUGUACAUUUCAAAAAGGAGAUGGGAGUCUUACAUCAUCCUAGAGUUUACAAAUCUUUUUAAUACUACAAAAAAAAAAAAACAAAACAUAGGUGCAAUAAUGAUCUUCAGAUAAUGGGUAUAAGAUUUAUACAGUUUUUGGAAUGUACAAAUUGUAUUGCUUUCCUUUUUUAUUUAAUUGAUCAUUCUAUUCUUAACUAGUAUAUUUCUAAUACUUAUAUGUAAUUUCUUACUUUUAAACCCUAAAUCCUAUUGUAUAUUUCAUAUCAUAUUUUUUAAACCCUAAAUACUAAAAUAAAUAAAUAAAUAAAUAAUUUCAAGAGCAUGAUAGUCCUAAUAUUGAAAAGUUGUCACUUAAUAGUAGUCAACUAACAAAGACAAAAUAUGCACAUUUUAGAAUUUCAAAGGAUAUAGUCACUAAACAAAAUUGUAAAUCCAUAAUUUUAGAACUUUUUAGGAUCGCAUACAUAACUUGUCCCAAUUAUUACAUUUUGGCUUGGUUCGAAUACUUUAAAAAUUGGGUAAACUUUAAAUACCAUCCUUUUGAUUUCACGCUUCUUUACUUUAAUAUCCUGUGGUUUAAAAUGUAUCAUUUUAGUAUCCCGUAAUUUCAUUUUUUGUCCUUCAGUACCUCCGUUAGCUCUCCGUUAAAUCAUAUACAAAAACUUCAGAUACACCCACCUAUGAUUUUUCGAAUAUUCACUUUAGUACCACGUGGUUUACUGAAUUUCACUUCAGUACUGUGUGGUUUACCAAAUUUUCACUUUACUACCUUGUGGUUUUAAUUUAUCACUGAUUUAACAAAAAAAUUAAUAUAGGAAACAACAGAACAAAAAAAAAUAAAGCUAUAGAAUACUAAAGUGAGAAAGCGUGAAACUAUAGGGGUAGUAUUUGAAGUUUUUUCUUAAAAAAAAAAAGAAAAACUCCAAAAAACCCCCUUGUGGUUUCAAUUUUUUUCACUUUAGUACCAUGUGGUUUAAAAUGUAUCAAGUUAGUACCCUGUGGUUUCUCACUUUAUCACUUUAGUACCCUGGGGUUUAAAGUGUAUCAAGUUAGUAUCCUGUGGUUUUGCACUUUAUCACUUUAGUACCAUGCGGUUUUAAUUUUGUAUCAAGUUAGUACCCUGUGGUUUUUUAAACCAUAGGGUACUAAAGUGAUAAAAUGUGAAACCACAGGGUACUAAAGUGAUAAAGUGCAAAACCACAGGGUUCUAACUUGAUACACUUUAAACCACAGGGUACUAAAGUGAUAAAGUGAGAAACCACAGGAUACUAAUUUGAUACACUUUAAACCACAGAAUACUAAAUAAAAAAGUGUGAAACCACAGGGGGGGAGUUUUGAAGUUUUCCCAAAAAAAUAUAGUGCUUUGGACCGAGCAGCAAUUUAAUACAAUGAAUAUAGAGGAAUGCUUCCAUACAACACACUCAUUCAAAUCCAACCAUUAAUUAGUGAAGGAUAUGAUUAACUUUUAAACAUUAAUAACCUGCUAAACAGGUCACAGAUUUAGACUAAUCAUAAGGGUAAUAUUGGUAAAGAACUAGUAGCUAAUUAUCCUUGCCAAAUCUAAUAUUACCCUAUAAAUAUUUAUUUUCUUACUUAAUUUUUUUAUUUACCAAAUUAAAUAGUGGCUAAUUUGUUAGGUAUCCAACUUGAAAAAAUAUACAUUAAAGUUUGAAUUCAAAAUUUAAAUCUAAUUUACAUUUUGAUUUUGAAAUAUAAAUGCAUGUUUUUGAAUUUGAAUUAGAAUCUAAAUUGUACAUUUAACUAUAAAACAAAAUUUUAAUUUAAAUUAAAAUUGUAAUUUUGAAUUCGAAUCAAAAGCUUGAUAUUAAUUUGUAUUUUGUAUUUAAGAAAAAAAAUUGAAUUUGAUUAAAAAUUCAAGCUUUUGUGUUGUUUAAAUAUUCAAUUAACAAUUCAAAUUCAAAAUAUAUUAUGCAUUUAAAUGUAAAUUUUUUAUAUUGAAAAUUAAAUUCAAAAUUAAGAUUUGAAUUUAAUUUGUUCUAUUACUUAUAAAAACCAAAUUUUAAUUUAAAUUGAAAUUCAGAUACUGAAUUUGAAUCAAAAGUUUUAUUGGAAUCUCUAUUAUAUAUUUAAGAAAUUUUUUGAAUUGAUUCAAAUUUUAAAUUUAUAACUUAUUUCAAUAUUGAAUUAACAAUUCAGAUGUAAUUUGAAUUCAAAUUCUCAUUAAAACGUUUUUUUACACUUCUAAUUGGAAAAGACUUGAGUGGAAGCUCCCGAAGGAUGAAUCAUUUGGGAGCAUCAAUCCGUCGCCUAUUUUUAUUUCUAUCAAAAGGUUAUAAUCUUUCCUUCUAGAGUUUUUUUUUUUAAUCUUUCCUUCUAGAGGAGUUUUUUUUUUGUUUUUUUGAAUUUUAGUAGUGAAGAAUACCAAACCUAUGAUUGGAUAGAGACAAAAUUAACACGUGACAGCAAAUGUGACACCCCUAGAAUUUUGAAUAAUUCUACACAUAAAUAUAAUAGGCCUAAACCUCUUAAUCUGGUUAUAGUAUUUUAGGUGGUGGCUAGAUACAAAAGAUAAAUAAUAUUAAGCGUGCUAAAAUUAGAGUAGUUAUAUAUGACCUACUGAGAAGCGGGGUAUCAAAGUUAGUAUCAGAGCCAAUCACUAACUGGAAGUAUGAUAUGAGUUUUGGUUGAGCUAAAGUUAUACAGCAGGUAGAACGCGGUUUUCCGACUGACGAUUGUUAUUGGUCGAGCGUGACUUUCUACAAAGUUAGCUAAGGCUAACGAAAGGAGUCUCAUAUUGUCUGAUACUUGUGAAUGUGUUUAAGCCUAACGAGGACGUCAGGACUCAUAGGAAAGAAAAAAGUGCCAUCCCCUAAGAUUUGGAAUAGAUUUAUAUAUGGGAUAUAAUAUUAGUAAAUCUUUUAAUCCAACUAUAAUAUAGUAAUGGUUAGAUUCAAGAGAUCAAGAGUGUAAACGUGCUAAAGCUACACGAGUUCUAGAAUGAUUAACCCCCUGAAAAGCGGGCAUCGCAGCAGGGGCUUGCCACGAGGCGCUGUUGAGGAGCUCCGAAGUUUUAUCCCUGCUAAUAUGGAUGUAUUAGAUUCAAAAUAGAUUUUGUUCGAAAGGUCCAUAAUGCCCGCUUUUCAGGGGCUCCCCACGAGGCGCUGUUGAGGAGCUCCGAAGUUUUAUCCCUGCUAAUAUGGAUGUAUUAGAUUCAAAAUAGAUUUUGUUCGAAAGGGCAAAUCCUAUUUUGUUGCUGAGUGAUCAGUGUCGGAGGCUUUAAUUGCUGGUCCCCACAAACUCUAAAGAGCAUGUUUGGUUCACAGUAUUUUUUUUCAAAUACCUGAAAAAUGAGAUUUCCGUAUGAAUUAAAAAGUUAUGUGGAAUCUUAUAAUCCUUUAAAACAUAAAAUUUAAAAAACUCACCUACUCCCUCAGAAAUUAUUUUCCAAAAAAAAUUAAUUUAAAAAGACCAAAACGUCCUUGUGCAAAUUGGAUAUUUAAAUAGAUUAUACAUUCAAAUAGUUAUAGAUUUUAUAUGAUUAAUGUGGUAUAAAAUAAUAUAUAUGUAUAUAUUAUUAUUAUUAUUAUUAUUAUUAUUAUUAUUAUCCCCAAAAGAGAGUAUUGUAGUAAUUUUAUUGAUACAGUUAGGUAAUUUUUGUGUUGAAUUAAAUGCAAAAAUAGUAUAUUUCUUUUCAUUCUAAAAUAUAUACCAAAUAAAAAUAUUUCUACUAGACAGGAGAAAAUAUAUUUUUUUUGAAAAGUUAAUUUUUAAUAAAAAUUUAAAUUCCAUGAACCAAAAGGCCCUGAAUGGCUCUGAUUUGAAUAAAAAAAAUAAAUUGUAAGCAUCUAAAUCUUGUGCCGAAGCAUGACAAAUAAAUGUAAAGUUUAGUACACAAAGUUAUGAGUUUAUGUAGCUAGAUUUGUUCUAUAUAUAUUAGUCAAACUUUAGUACUAUGGUAAUUAAAUGAUUUGUCAUUUAACUUUUCCGUACAUAAUAGAAGAGUUCACUUGAUACAAAACACCUUUAAAUGCAAACAAAGCUUUUUUUUUAAUGAAUGAAACUUAUUGGAUCUAGGAAUGUCCAUGAGUACGGAUACCUAAAAAUUUAUCCGAAUCCGAAUAAAAAUGAAAUGAAUUUUAUCUAAUAUUAAAUAGAUAUAGUUCUGAAUAUGGAUAUAAAAAACAAAAAUACUACGAAUUUGGAUUCUAGUAUAAAUUUUGUCUCUACCCGACAUGAACCCGAAUUGCUUUUAUAUUAUAUAAUAUUUAUAAAUAUUUAAUGUUAUAUUUGAAUUUAUAUCUUAAAAAUUUAAAUUUAAUGUAAUAUAUAUUUGAAAUAUGAUAAAAAAAAAUUAUUAUUUCGAGUCGAAUUAUAGAUUUGGAUAUAGAUUUUUAAAAAUUCGUUCCGAAUCCAACUGAUUGACAUCCCUAAGAGGAAUGCGGCAGGUUUUGAUUGGACAUGAAGACCGCAUUUGAUUCUCGAAACUCGAUUCGGUGAACUGUAGCUCGUUUCACAUUCAAAAUUAGAUCGGAUAGAAUAUUAAAUGGUUGAGUAACUUUGAGAAUUGAUAUACAAUCGAUAGAACGAUGGAAUGGAAAGAGUUUCGAAUGCAAUAUUUGGCCCCAUUUGAUUCUCCUCCUAAUCUUCGACACCAUUUUAAUUGUGUUUAACGAUGCUGAUAGGAAAUUUAGAUGAUUCGUCGUCCGAAACGACGUGAAAGUAAAUAAUUUUAUUUAUUGUAGUUUGCAGAAAACAUCCUAUCACAUCAUAUACUAUAAUAGAAUUAGGUUAUAGAGACAUAUUUUUAUGAUACUUUUGUAUAAAUAUUCUAUUUAUGUUAAAAAAAAAAUUUAAAAAAAUUCACUAAGGCUUAAAUAUAAAGCUCAAUCCAACCAAAAAUAAAAAGUUUCUCUACUCAAUCAACCCCACCUAGCCACUCAGUCGAUUGCAAAUAGAAAAGGAAAAAAAAAAAAAUUUGAUCACCAUCUUCCCUUCUCCUCCUCCACUGCAGCAGCCGAUAAGGUGGGGCUCCGGCGGUUGGAGUUUGACCGCGAGGAUCUCACAAGAACCGUAGAGGGCUACGAUCGCCACGUGUCCCUCCGCCACAGGUCGCUGGAGGAGUAGGUGUCAAACAUCGAGAUAGCCUCACAUAUAGCGACCCCACAUAUAACAGUACUUUUAAAAUGUAUCGGUAAUUUAGACAGCCACACUUUUUUUUAAUCUGUACCAAUAUUUAAAACGUGUCGUUAUACAUCGUUUUUUGUUGUAAAGGUAAUAGUUAGUUAAUCUACAAUUGUUUAAAAUCCCCAGUUAAUGAGUGGUAGGGAUUGGAAUCUAUUACCUAUAGCAAUGGGAUUAUGUGAGCUACAUUUGACUAAGGGUUAGGUCCAAAUUGAAACCCUUAAAAUAUAACAAUGCACAGUGCUCCACACCCAAGGGUCAAAGUCAAACCCUAGAAACAUUUAUUUAAAGUGUCCAUCACACUUGUAUCUCGUGGAUCAAGUAAAUGCAAUUGCUUCCUCUACUAUCAUUCCUUUUCAAUUUUCUAAGUUUAAUUUAUUUAAAUUCUGUAAAAAUUUAUGUAGACCCCUCAACUAUAAGAUAUUUCAAAAUGACCUACUCAACUUUUUUUUUUCUUCUAUUAUUAAACUUUUGACUUUCUGAAAUCAAAUAGUUUUAGUCAAAUAAAUUGAAAAUUCUAUUACAGUCAUUGAUAAUUCUAUUAAAUUUUAAUAUUUUUAUUAUUUUCAAAAAAAAAAUUGAAACAAGCGAUGAUUAGUACCUAAUAGAGCUAUUUUAUUUUAUUUUCAAUAAUGAACUUAAUUAGCUAACUAUCAUCAAAUAGAUUAAGGAUUUAUCGAAUACAUCAAGGAUUCUAUUAAAUUUAAUAGUUUUAAUCCUUUUCUAAGCAAAAGAUCAAAUUUAACAAAAUUUUUAACUUAACUACCAAAGAUAGCUCAAAUGAAAAAUUGGAAAUUAUAAGGUAUUAAUAGAAAAUUGGUAAAUUUAAGGGUCUAAGUACAUUUUCACCUUUAAAUUUUAAUAUCAAUUUGAUAUGGCACAGAGAUUGUAGGUUUGAUACAUAAAGCCUUGAGGUCCUACAUACAAUGCAACGUUCCAUAGGAAAAAAAUAAAUAAAAUGAAAUAAUGGAUUUAUUUAUUUGUUAGAGAUAAUAACACUCCAUGAAUGAUAAUUUCUUGGUUAUUUCUUUCAAAUAAUUCUCUUGUAAAAGAUGAGUUUGUACAACGACUUGUAGUUGAAUUAAAAAGAAGGGAAAACUUCAACUACCAUCCAUAUGAUUUCACACUUUCUCACUUUAAUAUUAUGUGGUUUAAAGUGUAUAAAUUUAGUCCUGUGGUUUAUUUUUAUCUUUUUAUUAUCAAUUCCACUAAUUUUUUUCGUUAAAUCAGUGACAAAGUUAAAAUUAAAGGGCACUAAAGUAAAUAUUCGAUAAAUCUAGUUGGGGUAUCUGAAGCUUUUUGUAUAUAUUUUAACAAAAUAUUAACGAAAAAGCUGACGAAAAGAUAAAAAUGAUAUCACAAGAUACUAACUUGAUACACUUUAAACCACAGCGCACAAAAGUGAGAAAGUGCGAAACCACAUGGGUAGUGUUAGAAGUUUACCCUAAAAAGAAACUUUGCAAAAUAUCCUCACUUGAUUUUGAUUUUAAUUUUUUUAGAUAAAAAGUCAAUGCCUCUAUGUAGUGAAAAAAAUUUGAAGGAACCGUCACCACGCGUCACUUUUAUCUUAUUCAAUUAUUAUAAUCUUUUUCUCUAGAGCUUAAUUUUGUUUUUUGAGUUUUAGUAAAAAGAUAUCAACGAAGCAUCAUUGGUGAGCUUCCACUAAAAUUUUAUCCCUAUUUACCGACCGUCCCUAGAGCAAGUGGCAAAGGGCUUGGUGGUUAGUACCCGAGACACAAGUUCGAAUCCUAAUUAAUUCACAUUUCCAGCUAAAUUUAUUUCUAAAUGAAAUAAACGAAGCGGGUAGCGUGCUACCUAUCUCUCAAAAGAAAAUUUUAUCCCUAUUUGAUAGCAUAGAGCGGAGAAAAUUUAUAGUUCUAUAUUAAGGCCGUGAUUGACAAUUCAAUUCUACUAAUAUCAUAGUUUAGUGUGCGUUUUUUAGCCAAAACUCUAGCGGAAAAAACAAAGGAAAAAUCCUUUGCGUACCCCUCCGAUUCCAAAGUUAAGUUAAUAAAUCAAAUUUCUAAGUUAAGAAAAAAAACAACUAAACUAUCAAAUAUUUGUCUUGUAAAGAUUAGAAAGUUGACUAAUGAACUGUAAUUUGACAAUGAGAUAAUAUUUUUGUUCCAUUUUACUCUACAGGGGAAAGUUCGUUGUCAUAUUAAUAUGGAGAUGAAUUGAGUUUGGUGAGCAUCAUUGCAGUUUUUGUCUUUUUAAAUAGAAUUUUUAAAGGACAGAAUAUAAGAGAAAAUGAUAAGUUGCUUGCAAUUCUUAUAAGUAUAUCUAUUUGAAUAUAUUUAUAGAGUUCCGUUAUGAUACUUUUAAAAGCAUAAAAGCUCAAUUAUAUUAUAAAAAAACUUAGUUUUUUUUUUUUUGUGCUUUCAAAUUUUCUUUAUGAUAAGUUGAUUUAUAUUCUUAUAAGUAUAUCUAUUUGAAUAUAUUUAUAGAGUUCCGUUAUGAUACUUUUAAAAGCAUAAAAGCUCAAUUAUAUUAUAAAAAAACUUAGUUUUUUUUUUUUUGUGCUUUCAAAUUUUCUUUUUAAGAAAUUGUUAUGCAUUAUUUGGGAGAGAUAUUUUAUAAGCUAAUAAAUCAUGAUAGUAAAAGAGAAGUUCUUCAACCCGCAUAUUAAAUGAUAUAGAAUCAAUGUUUUUAAAAAAUAAAAAUAGUAAUGAUGUACUCAAACGAGACUAUUAUUUUUCUCUUUCAUUUUUUACAUUAUGUCAUAUAUUUAUUUUAUAAUGAUAAUUAGCAAGUACCAAAUUACUCUCCAAUUGUCACGGCCAACCAAUUAUUUUUCUCUUCUCAUUCUACGUACCUUUCCUCCAAAUAUCUAACAAUAACUACCAAGUAAACCUUCACUAACUACUUUGUCUUUGUAGGUUUCAGUAUUACGUCUCUUUUGCCUGCUACAAAAGGCGUCUAUUUUUUUUUUUCUAUUGUUAAAUAUUCUUUUAAGGAUCUAUUUAGCCUAACUUAAUUUUCUCUUGUAGAUGAUUAACCACCAUAGAACCAAGCCAUCGGUAGCUACAUUUGCUAUUACAGUGCACUCUUUCAUCGCAGAAUAUUAUGUUGUUUGCAGUACUGGUUGCGUAGUUGAAUUUUUUCUGUACUGAGAAAAUUAUGUUCUUGAGAUUACAUUUGUCAGAAUAAGUUAAUGAGUGAUGCUCGAACUUGCAUCCUUUACAUUGUUAAACAGUUCAAGGGAGAACUCCUCUCUAUCGUUGCGAAACGCAUCUGACCAGAUUGUCCACAACAAAGCGGAACUACGCAUGCAACUUCAUUGAUCAGCACUCAACACCUUCUACGUACAUAGAUCCCCAUGCACGCAUGCAAUCCGGAAGACAAGCACUGGGACUUCAUCGAGCGACAGAUAGCCAAUCUGCCUUUGUGGCGGCACUCCCAGACGAUCGAGCUCGAUCUGAGAUGUGCUUUUUAGCAUGAUCAGAUAGUGCAUCACCUCGGUCCAGUACUCUAUACUUGUGAAUAAUGAAGAAGGCAAUUGCUUCUCAUAGUCUAGGGUUAUCAGGCAAGGAUGUCCUCAUUCACCUUACAUUUUUAUUCUCGCGACCAACGUAAUGUCACUUCUGCUAAAGGAAUCUAUUCAGUCCGGUUUAGUGGAAGGCGUAAAACCAUCAAGGUCGGGUCCGACAAUCUUGGAUGUCUUAUUCGCCGACGAUAUAUUUAUCUUUGGGAAUACGACUAGGGGUGUAAACGAGCCAACCAUGAGCAGCUGCGGUCGGCUCGUGUUCGCCUCGUUUAUUAAACGAGCCGAAUACGAGCUGGCUCAUUAAAGUAUCGAGCCGAAAAAUCAGCUCGUGUUCGGCUCGUUUAUUAACGAGCCGAAUACGAGCGCUCACGAGCUGGCCAACGAACAAUAAAUUAAAAAAUUAGAUUAAAUAUAUAUAAAAAAUAAAUUAUAAAAUCUUAUUAUUAGACUUUGAUCUAAUAGUUAAACUUUACAUAUAAAUAAGUUUUUUUAUAAUUAAGCUCGUAUUUUUAUUUUUAUUUUGCUAAAAAUUAAAUAAUAAAAAUAUAUAUUAUAUAUAAUUAUUUAUUAAUAUAAAAAUAAAAUUAAAUAAAUUAUAUAAAUAUAAAAUAUUGUAUUCGAGCUGUCAUCGAGCCCAACACGAGCGAGCUGACCCCAGCUCGUGUCGGCUCGUUUAUUAAACGAGCUGAAAAAUCCAGCUCGUGUUCGGCUCGUUUACUAACGAGCGAGCGAUUUCGAGCUCAUUUCGAGCCGAACACGAGCUGUGCCGGGGGGGCGGGGGGUAUCGGAACAGACUAGCGCAGCUGGAUUGCCACCCCUAAAUACGACUAGUCAAUAAACAAUAUUAGGCUAACAGAUACACUUUCUCGUUUCUAUAAUUUGGUAAUCGACUUCAGUUUUGAGCUUUCGACUCGUAGACAGUUUCGUGGUGCCAUGGAUUUUGAAAAAUUGAAUUACGAAGGGAAAAUGAUUGUCUAUGGUAGGUAGCGAAGGGCUCGGACCGAUAGACAAUAUAUCGAUCAUUGUACUCAGAACAUUGCAUUCCCUUUUCUCUGUAAAGAGUUUUUUAUGUAAAUUCUGUGUGUUCUUUUAUUUUCUGUUUGUGAUUUGUCUACUUAGUAUGACAGAACUUCACGGUAACAGGUGUUAUCUAAGUAAUUCUCUAUUCUUGAACCUUUAUCGUACCUUUCGCUUCAUCACCGACAAAAUACAAUCAUGCUUGGCAGGAUGGAAAGCUCGGAGCUUGGCUAAUAACAUAAUUAAUUUUAAAAAUUGGAUGAAAAUUGGGGACCAUUAAUGGUUCAAUUAAUCCUAAUUAAAGUAUAGAGCUAUGAUAUGUGCUAGCUUUAUCAAUGCUCAAAAGUUACACCUUUUACAUCAUUCACUACUAACUACAGUAAAAUUAAUAUUCCUUGCUUUUGUGUCCCUAUUGUUAUUAAGCAAAUGGAUAAGAAUAUUAUAAAAAUAGAGUUACAAGAAAAGGAGAUGGAUGAAGAGAAAUUCCAUGAUCUCAUCUCUAAUUUUAGCUGAGAAAUGUUCCUUUCCUUCAAAGAAAAACAGCUUAGAGAAACAAUAUUUUAAAAUUUUGAAUUUUUGCUACCAUAAGAAAUAAUAUUUUAAAAUCUGGGUCGAACAGCAACCCAAAAAUAUUAUUGGGUCAAGGACCACUGGUUGAACCAAUAACUUUUGUGCGACGUCAUAAAUAUUUAAUCAUUAUUUUAUUAUAUAGAAAAAAUGUACAUACAUAUUAUGAUUCUAAUAUCAUACUAAUAAUAUUAUAAAAUACUGAUUUCUAGACUAAAUUAAGUAGAUAUAAGUUUUCAAGCUUCACUUUUUGUAAGACUAGUAUGUGCUAAUAAAAAAUAAAGUUAGCUAAGUUGAUUUUAAUGCAUUGAAUUUUAACAUGACUUGAUCAAAGAAACCCGACCUGUUUGAUUAAAAUCGGAUCGGUUUACUGGUUGGCUGGCUGAACUGUCGAUUCAAAUAAUUCGAAGCGGUUUUUAGACUUAUUCAAUUCAAAGAAUUGAACUAAAUCGCUUUAUGGACUAGGUCAUAGUAGGACCGGUUAAACUAGACGAUUUUACAAGAUUUUUAAAUAAGGAAUAAUUUCAUACAACUCUUUGCUAGUGUCUGAUAGAAAAGUAUAGUUAACCAUAGAUAAAAUACUUAACCUUGGUUGGUGAGUGAGAUUUUUAAUUAAUAUUUUUACCCUUCUGAUAUUAUACCUUCUUCUCUGAAUUAAAAUCCAAAUUUGAUUAAAUCCUUGGAAAUGAGAACUCUUUUUGAUCUUCCUCUUUCUCUUUCUCUCUCUCCUUCAUGCUAGUUUCAAAUCUGUAACUAGAGUUUUUCCGUCCCUAUUCAUCCAUGCUUUGCCCAGUAAACCAUGAAUACGCAAAGUACGUAUAACAACUAUUUUGUGGGCUCUAGAAUAUAAUCUCUUCCCUCUGCUGCAAAAGAAACCUAUUUUUUUGAUUGCUAAAUGUUUUUAUAAGGACCUAUUUAGCCUAGCUUUAUUCUUGUGGUGAGAUUAGUCACAAUAAAAUCAAGCCAUUUAGCAGCUAUAAUUUACCAUUAUAAUGCAUUAUGCCAUCUCAAAAAAAUUAUAUUAUUUGUGGUAGUUGCAUAAUUAAAGCAUUAUGUACUGUAGUACAAAUUUUGACAAAAAAAUGUCCUUGAGGCUCUAUUUGCCGGAAUAAGUUACUGUAUGAUAAUGUGUCUGGCAUAAAAAUUUUCACUACUAUUGGAAGAUAAAAGUUUAAUUUUUACACUUUGAAAAAAUGACCUGGAACACAGAAAAUGGUAUGCUAUGCUAGAUAUUUUAUCACACUCAUCUUUCGAUUACUAUAAUCUUCUUGAGUAAAUCAAAAAAAUAAUAUUGAACAAAACGAUUUUGUAUCCAAAUAGGGCGCUUUAAAUCACACUCAAGCUUGAGUAGGAGCCUAUUUGGUAUUUAGGCCCGUCUAAGACUAAUAACUUAAUAAGCAAAUAGAGUUGGUGUAAAAUCAUACAGAGACAUCCUUAUGUAUUUUUCUAUGGGACCGGAGAGUUACGAUAUGUGAAAUGUGAUGUGAUAUUACGUAUGUAAAUAAAUAACGUAUAUUUUUUCACCGUAUAAUGCAUUCUUUCCGCAAUCCCAAAUGAGGCUGUUUGCUUAUUCAAAAAAGCGUGAAAAAAAAGUUUUCCCACAUUUUUAUUUUAUUUUAUAUAGAAAUGCUUUUUCCAACUUUUCACCCAUUCGGUUUGAAACAAAAUAAUACAUGUUUAGAAAAAAAAUUUUCCAUAUUUCAUAGAAACUAGCAUUUUCAUUUCUUGAUUUGUUUUUUAAGGAAAACGAAAACCAUAGUUUUUCAUAAAGAUAUAGAAAAAAAAAAGUUUUUCAUAAAAGUUUGUUUCUCUCAUAACCAAACAAACGGAGAACUUGAAAAACAUUUUUUCAUGAAAACUUUUUUUUGAAUUUAUUUUACACUUUUUCGAAAAAUCAAACAGUCUCUAAAUCGGAGAAAUGUGGCGAACAACAUGCUCAUGCAACCCAACUGGGCUUAAAUCCGAACAGGGUAGUUGCAUAAUUAAGGCCCCUCAACAAUGAAGCCCAAUGGGCCCCAUAAGAAAACAAAAAAAAAAAAAAAAGUAUAGAAUAGUGAGGACUUUUUUUUUGGAAAUAACCCUAUAAAAUUUUUUAAUUAAAUAAACAACCCUAUAAAAAAAUUGACAAACUAGCUCUUCUUUUACCGUGUAGAAGCCAUGGUAAAAUGUUUCUUAAAAACGAUAAAUCCUUUAAAUAAUUUACCGUCUUUCUAAUUUUUUACAAAAAGUAGUAAAUUAUUUACCGUCUUUCUCUCUCUUUCUCUUUUUAUUUUUUUUUUAUUUUUCAUUGGUAAACGAUUCACCAUUUUUAAGAGAAAAUUUUACGGUACCUCCUAUAUGAUAACGAAGGGUCAUUUAGCCAAAUAUUUUUUUAAUAGGGUCAUUUAGCUAAUUACAACAUUUUCUAGGGUUAUUUCAAAAAAAAAGUCCGAAUGGUGAACACAGUGUGAAUUGGCAAUUAUCCGAUGCUUUCGCCUCAUUGAUAUCUUAAUAGAUCGGACGAAGCGGUGGUGGUGGUGGUGGUGGUGGUGGUGGUGGUGGUGCGAAACAGCGGCGGCGGCGGAGGGAUGAGCAUGUCGGCGGCGGGGUAUUUGGCGCGGCGCGCGGCGCAGAAGGAGCGGGUGAUGCUGCUCUACCGCCGCGCGCUCAAGGACACCCUCAACUGGGCCGUACACCGCCACAUCUUCUACCAAGACGUAACCCUAACCCUAACCCUAACCCACCUCUUCCCCUACAUCUCCAUCUCUUCCUCCUCGUCAUCGCCACUUGCCCUGAUUCGGCGCCGAUCGCUCGCCCUGGUGUGAGGGUUUCGGUCCUCGGCGGGAAUCGCGAUCCGGGAUUUGAGUUGGAUCGGAUUUUGGGUUCGAUCGUUGCUGAUUUCGGGGUAAAGGUGUUGAUUUGUGGUAGGGAUUGGGUUUUAGGUUAGGGAAAGUCAAAAAACCUUUAUUCAUCUGCAUUGGCAACGUAUGUGGAAUGUGGUUUACUAAGAGCUAGACUAGUUAUUGUGAGUGGAUGGCUAGCAAAGAAGCGAACUUGCUGAAUAUAUGCGAUGGAUAGCGCAGUGGUGGGUUUUAGUUGGUUUCUUUUAGGUCCUGAAUGAAGAAUUUUGAGCAUUAUAAUGAGACAAACUUUCUCCUUUGUGUGAGAUGCUUAUUAAUUACCAAAGAAUGAUCAAUGUGCUUGUUGUAGAUUGAUGGUAGAUAUAAUUCUUUUGUUAAGUAAAGAUUUAACUCGUAACUUUUGACUUUGUGUGGGAUGUUUAACUUUUUUAGUUUUGCAAAAAUUGCAGUUUGUCCCCAUUUUGACUGAUGCGAAUGAAAAGAUGUCUUUUUUGUUAUUGUAUAGUGAGCUUAUAAUGGCAAGCUUUUGAAGAUUAGAGAAAUGCUUAUAAUGUCUUUGGAGUGUUCUGCCGAUGGUUAUGCUAGCUAUUCUUUUGGUAAAUGUGAUGGUGUUAAACUAGGCCUUUAUCUCUUAACCGGUGUUUGUCAUCUUGCCACUGGAAGUUGUGCUUCUUAUGGAUAACUGCUUCUCACACACAAUUAUGCAAUUUGUUUUGGUCUUCUUUUUUUCCUUUUUUUUUCCGUAGAAUAAUAUUUUUUCUGCAUCUUCAUGUGCUGCUUGCUGUUCAUACCCAUCCUACAGGUUGUUUCAUAGGUUAGGUUGGUUUGAAGCACAUUAGCCUAUAGACUUGAUUAAUUUUUUUUUUUAUAAAGUAAGAUGUAUUAGUAAUAUAGUUUUGGAUGUUCUUCUUUCAGGCAUCAGAUCUACGAGAGAAGUUUGAGGCCUACAGGCAUGUGGUAUGAUCUUUUUUCCAGCUAAUUUUAAACUUUUAAUUGAUUGUUGCUAAGGUUGUUUGUGCAGGAGAACACCUACUUUAUUCCUGUUUCUUUGUUAACUUCUGAAAAUUGUAUUAUCGAAAGAAACAUCAUAUAGAAACUAUGAUAUUUAUCUUCAGUGUCCCUAAAUAAAUGUAAUUCAUAUAAUAUAUGCAUCUUGUUGGAUACAUUUUAUUAUUGUUUCUUUUACUUUGCUUCUAUUAGUUUUAUUUGUGUUAUUUUCCUCUUUGGAUUUCUCGGGCACUUUGUUUGAUGAACUUCAAUUAGAUCUGUUGCAUAUAUGGUUGUAGACAAGAGCAUAUUAUUCAAAAUUGAUUUGAAUAGAGAAUUUGUAUUGUUUAAAAUUUAAAAGGGACAUAAUAGCUUCUCUUUUUUUUCCUCUAUAUUCUUUUCCUCGUUAAGUUUUGUGAACAGAUUGCAUAACAUGGUGCAUCAUGUUCAGUUUUUUUCGUAUGUUAUGGCUGGCAUAGAACCGUUAGAAGGAAAGAAACUGAUGUAUAUGUGUUCAUAUUUGUUUUUUAAUUUCUGAAAUUUGGUGAAAUUUUUCAGGAGGAUCUAGACACUAUCGAUAGGCUUAUUAGUGAGGGCGAAGCAACCUAUGAGAAGUGGCGGCACCCUGAUCCUUAUAUUGGUUAGUAAAAAACUUAUAGAUCUUUUUAUGAUCCGAGUCUUGCGUGUUUUUAUUCAUUAUAUAAUACGAUGGAGUUGAAUAUAUUACUGGGUCAUUUAGCUCAUGUAACUAAUUAGGAUAGAAAGGUAGUCUCCUUGAUUUCUUGCUUUCCCUAAUGCAUGCUGAGGAGUUUACCUCUCUUCUCUCUCUUCAUCAUAGACUUUGUUAUAUAAAUGACAAGCAUUCUUUAGACUGUGGAGACUCUUAGCGUAUCUUCGUUGGAGACAAUCAGAAAAGGGAAUCGCCUAAUCCUAAUCUCUUUAGUAUGAAAAAUUGGCCGGGUCAUACCCUCAUAUUGCUAUUCUUUAGCAUUGCUUCUAUUCUUAUUUAGUUGUGAUUUGGAAAUUCUUGCAAAUAUAAGAAGUGGCAUACUUUUCAAGCGCUAAUGUUAGAUUAUCAGAUGUAGAAGCGAGAAAGCUUCUCUCAUUUUGGAUAGUCCCAUAUUCCAAUCCCUUUCUGUUAUUCUUAUGCUAAUCCAAACAACAAAGGGCCACCUUAUGCCCCUCAAAAUUGUUAUUGUGUUUUUUACCCUCCUUGUAGCAAAUCAUGUUUCAGCCUUGUUUCCCAACAAAUGAGUGCUUCUUUCUUUUGUUGCAUUUUCUUAUUCUUUCACUGCUCUGUUGCUUCUCCUACACUUCAGCAAACAAUCCGCUAGCUCAUCUUGUCCUGUGUUCUUGUACAAGGUUGCCCUUAAUAACUUGAGAUGAGAUGAACCUAUAUUCAUUGUUGUUAGGGAUUACUUCAGAGAGUCAAAAGGACAACUUGAGGAUUGAAAGUUCAUGCAGUCAUAACAUGCCUUUUGAAAGUAUAGACUAAGGACUUAUUUGGUCCAGUUCCCUUUUUUGGCUUUUUCGAACUCAAAUUUUAUGAAAUGGAGUGUUCCACACCAAAGGAUUGUUUGUAAUUUAAUCAUCUGCAGGGUUUAUUUGGCAACAGAAAACAAAAAUUUACUAGUAACUUUUGCCACUUUUUUCUUUGUCUUGACUGUAACUUAUUCUGUUGUUUUCUGUAUAAAAGAUGACUUUGCAAGUUAACCAACCAUAACAAAGAAUAGAGAAGUCCAUCCUCUGGUACACUCCAUCCCAUCCACCUGCACUCCAUCUUAUAGAAUUUGAGUGUGGUCUAAAAAUUUGGCAAUUUGGACAAUAGAAUGGACUUAUACUCAAAAUUAACUACAAUUUGAUGCUUAGGGUUAACCAACCACAAUUCACUUUUUUCAUGGCCAACAUGGGCAAUAUUUUGAUAGAUCCAUUUGUGAUAUAGAAUUUAACGCGAUUUUGAAUUAACAGACACGACCUUCCGAUCUGGAGCCAGACAACCAACACUAAUCUUCUCGAGUUACCAGUCUUCUUUAUUGUUGUGGAAGAUGUAAAACUUUUGUUUUAGGAUCAUCACCAGAUGGCCUUCUGAUAUUUGAUGCCUGGAUAUAUCUGAUGCCUGGAUUUUGGAUUAAGACAAAAGUUUGGCGCCUUCGGCUUGCCAAAUUGUAAAAUGUUUGUACCAUUUUCAUAACCAAUCACCAAGGUGGGAUCUGUGAAGUGCGCCAUGUAGUGAACCUUACUGCACCAUAAUUUGGACUAAAAUCCAACCAGCCAGGGUCCACAGUGCCAAGCCAUUUCCAUCAGCUUUUCUCUGGUUAAGUGCUAGUCCACGUCUUGACAAUACUAUAUCCGAACAUGUAUUUCGUAUUACGGAAUUCAUCUCAUCUUUUUAGGCCCAAAACAUUUUGAAAUAAUUAACUGAGUGGGGUUUUCAUUUCGAAAUCUGAUUUGUUAUUUUAAGUGGGUUAGCUUUUGUUGCAAUUAUCUGCAUAUACCGUCCAGUAUUACACCCAUGUUUGUGGAUUAGCUUCUUGACUGUUUCUAUAUGCGCCAUGGAGUAUCAAGGGUAGUUUCUUGCGGUUCCUUCUGAUCUGUGCUAUUUUACAUUUGUUGAGUGGUUGAUGUUAUUAUUUCACAUAUGUGCUUUUUCUCGUGAUCUGCAGUUCCUUGGGCUCCCGGUGGCUCCAAAUUUACACGAAAUCCUCCUCCACCUGAAGGGGUAAGCUGUCAUAUUUGUUUUGACAUGUAAAUAUUUAUUCGACCAGUCACUACCUUUCUAUCUGUGGAGCAUAAGCUAGCCUAUUCCUAAUUUAUUUUGGCAUUUUGGGGGGCUUUGUUGUGGGGGGCGGGGGGGCGGGGGUGUGUGGUUGGGGUGAUGGAUGACUGAACUAUAACUAUUUAGAUGCUGUUUGCAUGUCCAUAACAUGUAAUUUGUUGGUAACUUACACAUCCAAGGAUUGUCCAACAUAAAGAUCAGCAAGAGUUUCAGUAGAAUAAGUUGAUAUCAUUGAUAAGGUAAGUCUGUCUAUGGUUGGCUAUAACACUGUUAUUUUAGAAAGUUGUCUCACAGUCAGCUUAUUUGGGCAAUCUGGAACUCCUUUUCCUCCCGUUUUUCACUUACUUGUAAAGAUUAGACUCCUUUAUUGUGCUUGCCUGGGAUUUGAUUGCUGCGUUGUGGCGAAGUAACCACCAGGUUUGCUUCAUAAAAGAAUAUGAGCGAAAUUCCUUAGCAUCUAUGAGACCCGUGAUUAUUUAUUUAUUGGACGCAAACAUCCAUUUUGCUCUUUCCAUUCAAUUUGUUACUUACAGCUGCUCUAACCAAUCAGCCAUCUGAGUUGCCUUCAUGAUGAGUAUUAUAGGCCUUUCUUGGUAAGGCAUGUAAAUGAAAAUGAGUCAUGUUUCAACAGUGUAUAUCUUGAGCUACAUUUUUGUUUAAUGUGUUUAUGUAAGAGCUUGCUAACAGCAAACUAGAUUUCCCUACUUGAUCAAAUAGUUCCACUUAAUUGUGACUGCUGAGUGCUGACUAUAAACUAUAAUUGUUUUUGAACCGAUUCUUCCAUCAUCGAGGUUGUCGAAUGACUGAUAAAGAUGGGUGAAAGAUUUUCAGUACUAGAUUGGAGCAAUUGUUAUCUAAUUAAAUGCCUUUGCAGGCACUUCAGUUUAGUAUUAUAAGAUGACAGUUUGAACCUGUUGGUUCAGAUAAAAAAGUAGAAGUAGAAAAGUAUCAUUUUGUUCCUUAAGAAAGUUGACUAGAUAUAGAGAAGACCUUAUACUUUCGCACAUAGCAGUGUAAUAAGCCUUUAGCAUAAUUCUAUUAUAUGUGACGUAAUUCGAAAUUCAAGUUCAGUUUAAACUUUACAAUAUGUUGUUAUAGUUUGAAACAAUGUUUUCUUCCUGUCUGGUGAUUUAAUGGUUACCAUAUUUUAAAUUGACCAUAGACCGCCUUUUGAUAGACUUUGCCCAUUGUUAAUAGCACAUUAUUAUUAGAUAACACUAACGGUGCUGAUAUUGACGAGUAUGUGAUUUUCCCGAAAACUGAAUAGCUGAGAUUAUAUUAGGCUGAUCAUAGCUGUUUGUUAUUGAAUCUUGGUUAGGACCUUUGAAGUUCUUAAAGAUUCUAACUGUUGUUCCUUGCAUCCUCUGCAAACAGUCGCCUAACUUGACAUUAAUAAGGAUAAAAAAUGACUAUUCCACCUUUUCCACAACCAAAUACAACCUCAAGCAGGUUAGACUACAGUGAACAUUUCAGCAUCUUGCAGUCUUGUUACUGUACUAAAUUUUUAUGUAUUUCAAUAUGCUUAAAGUUCAAACCCUCUACGCAUUUCAGUGCAUACUUCAGGUGUUUUAUGAUAACUGACUGAUCAUGGCUUGAAAGCGCUCUUUUUAUUGUGGCAGUCAUCUUGGUCAUUUCUAACUAACGCUUCACGUUUGCAGAUUGAGAUUGUUUAUGACUAUGGCAAGGAAGACUAAUGAAUGCGCAAGAAAAUCUCGGCACUUCUGCAGUGCAAUGAUGUUCUCUUUAACCUUUCACUUAAACAUGCGGAAUGGUGACUUUCUGGUGAAUAAAAUGAAAUCAACAAAGUCUUAGGUUGUUGUGUGCCUAUGUUAUGGAGAUUUGUAUCUAAAUUCUUCCGUUGUCUUCGUUCGUAAAUGCAAUUGGCAUAAUCAUCUCUGUCACAUUCAUCGAUCAUACCUGGAGUACUCAGUGUGUCUAUGAUUUUGUUGGCUCACUUCGAAAUAAAGGUUGUUAACAAAUAUUUUAGUCAUGCUGCUCGGCCAGGGAUCUAUUGCGGAACAUGAUAAGCUAUAUUUUAGUCGUAAAAGAGUAAGCGGUGCUUGAUACAAGGUAAAAAGCUGCAGAAAUGAAAUGAAAAUGCUAUCUGUGUAUGUAUUGUCUACGCAACUGCUAAUGUCUUUAUCAAGAAUUUUAGUGCCUAUUAGUAUGGGUUGUGUUCACUGUGCCGUUUCUGGUGACAAGAUAUCAGCAUUGUACCGACUCUUGUACUGAUGUCAUGGUUUGAAAUUCUUUUUUCUGUAAAUUUAAGUAGUCAUUUCAAUUUAAGGACAAAAAUUUGAUAGGAGCAUAUAAUAAACAAUUAGACUAAAUUGGUGUCCAAAAAAAUUGAUAUUUUGUGUUGUAAUGUGUUAGCACCCAGGUAUCUUUUGAUUGGCACAUGCCAGCACGACACGCUACGUAGUGUGUCGUAAUAUAUCAGUGAGUUUGCUACGUAGUGUGUCGUAACAUGUCAGUAAGUUUCCGGCAUGGGGUUCCGCUGCAUGUAAAUCCUUGAUCUAUGGAACUCUGUCAUACAGGUAAUGAGCAGUAAUCAAGCUAUGAAGCCUACUAACUCUGAAGACUUUGUGACUUGGAAUAAUUGUUUCGAUGCCAAGCAUUUGGUCAGAGGGAGAGGGUAAUCAGUAAUCACCAUCUAUUUCUUGUUAAUCCAGUAAAAAGUGGUCAAUUGAAUUAUGUUUCCGAAUCGUUUAGAUGCAAUAGUGUAGUGAAAAUGCCUUAAUGCUUGAUGCAUCCUCUUUGAGUGAAAGAGUAUUGCAGUGCAUUCUCUGAUUUUUUUUUUUUUUAAAUUCUUUCGUUUUCCCCCUCUUUUCUGUUUUCUGACGGCUUCGGUAGGCUGACAGUGCCUACUAGUGUAUGGAUAUGUUUUCUGCACUGCAUUGAGAUGAAGCUGACAGUGGCUACUAGUGCAUGGAUAUGUUUUCUGCACUGCAUUGAGAUGAAUAUUUAAGGCCACUGGUUUAGUUUGGCUUCCAUGGAAAAGUAUGAUGCAUCUUUGUCAUGAAAAUAGAAAGGUCCAGUACAUAUUCCUUUCAUGCCGCUUGGGGUGAUGAGGUAAGUUAGGGUUCAUUACAAAUUUUCUCCUGAAAUUUUGAUCCUUUGAAUUGCAAUUGUAACAGGUUAGUCCAUAAAGUUUGCCCUUGACCUCAAUUUUAUCCUUGAAAGUUCAAUGUUCUUUAAGUUCCACCUUGAUUUCCAUUUCAUCCAUAAAGAGUUGCCCUUGGUUUCAAUUUUGUGAUAAUUGUGUUUCAACUUCAACAAAUAUUUUGAUGUUGCCUUUGUGUCUGCUACAUCACUUCGCAUGGAAAAACUUACCCAGUUUUUAGAGUUUCCUCAAUCUCCUGAUCACAUGAAUGCAUAUAUUACUUAUACGCGACAAAACAACAGGAGAGAUCAUUUGUUUUAGCUGGAGCAGAUCCUAUGUUAACUGGAAACUAAACACAAGCACUCUCACUCUUAAGAAACUAACAAAUAUUUGGGAACUUAAAUAGGCAAAAAUACAAAUCACCCUUUAGCUUAACUAAUCAAUAUAUAAGCAUCGUUAAGCAUCAUUGAUGUAAUUGUGAAUAGUUGUCCAUGUUCAUGGAAGAACUUUAUAAGAAAGAAUAAGUAAAUGAUACACGGGAAAUAAAUUUUCCAAUCACAGCUCUUUCACGAUGGCCUUUAGUGCUUCUUUAACAUAAGGGUACUGAAAUGAGAACCCUAAUUCCUUCGCUCUUACAGGAAGCACUUUUUGACCUUCCAAAACCUGCGUUUGAUGCGAACUUAACUAUCUUGUGUAAUGUGAUACAAGAAUAAAUAGAUGGAAGAGUAUCAGGCACUUACAACUGAGGCGCCUUCGCCAAGGACUACUUUGAGCGCAAACUCCGGUACGGGCAACCAAGAGGGGCGACCGAUUACUUGGCCCAGGUGGUCACACAUCUGCGACAGCCGAACUGGGUUUGGUGCAGUUCCAUUAAUUACACCUGAAAUAUUGAAAAUCCAACUUUUGAGGUGAAUUUUUUGAAUACGCCUUGGGCUUAAAAGUGAAUAAAGAAAAAUAGAAAUCUUCUAUUCGGGCAAUAGAAAUGGUAACGGUGAAAGAUUGGCGAAAAUCCUAUCAUAUAAAGUCGGUAAGUUGCCAAUUCGGUACUUGGGCUUGCGAGUUGCUUAAAGUCAUUGAUAGAAUAGACAAAAGAAUAGGAGGAUGGCAAUCCAAACUGCUCUCGCCAGGAGGAAGGCUCACUUCGAUCAACUUGGUUCUCCCCACUCUACUACUUUACUAUCUUCAAAGCACUGAAAUGGGCUACUCAUCGUGUAGAAUCCUAAGGCAAUCCUUCUUCUAGAAAGGUUGCUCAAGAACUGGAGGUGGCGCAUCACUUAAGAACUGGAAGAAUAUAUGUAAGCAAAAAGGGAGGAGGACUAGGGAUAAGAAACAUGGAAGAUAUAAAUAUUGCGCUCCUGACAAAGUAGCGGUGGAGAUUCUUCUCCAAAUUAAACUUGUAAUGGAUCAAGUUGAUCAGGGCGCUUUACUAUACUAAGAGAAGACCACUAAAAGAUGGGAGAUCCUUCAAACCUUACUCUCAAUGGUGGAGGAACGUCUUAGAAUGUAGCAAGGAUUUAAGUGCCGUGACACUGGGUCGUGCCGGAAACUUGCCGGCACGGUAUGCGUGCUGGUCAAAAAAAUUCUUGUGGGCCGAUACAUAAUAGCAUGAAAUAUUUAUUUUCUUUAGCAACAAAAUAUUUUAGCUAUUUAUUAUGUCUUUUUAUCACAUCUUUUGAACUUUAUUUAGGAAAUUCUUACUAAUUUAAAGAAUAGAGGUUUUGAGCUGUGUCAUCGGCACGAGGUCUGUAUCGUGCCAGUAUCUUGUUGGCACGGUACGGCACGGUAGAUAUGGCCUGUGCCGACGGGCACUUAAAACCUUGGAAUGUAGAGACAUCUUCAUGUCUGGAACUACCUACAACAUUGUGGAGGGCAAGCACAUUAACCUUUGGUCAGACACUUGGAUCAUUGAUGCCCCUCUUCAACCCAUUUUCUCGGACAUUUUUUAUAGACCAACACAUAGAGAUCUACAGGUUAGAAACUGUUGGGGGCAAAGGGGCUAGAAGUGGAACAAAAUUCUUAGAGGCUUCGUUUGGUUCGGGAAUUAGUAGGAACUAGUUAUACCGGGAAUAGGUACAAAUAUGAGUUUUUGUAAAAACAAGGGUAUUUUUUUUGUUUAGAUGAAAUUGUGAGUAUAAGCUGGAACUAGAAAAAUUGUGUUUGGAUGGUUAUUGGGAAUAAGAGAAAUAGUUGAUGGUUAUAAAUAAAAAAUAAUGAUAUUACCUUUAUAAUUGAAUUUAAAUUUUUAAAUUUUAAACUUAUAAUUUUAAAUUGAAAAUUUUAACUUUUAAAUUUUAAAUUGAAAAUUUUAACUUUUAAAUUUUAAAAAUUGAAAUUAAAAUUUAAAAUUUAAAUAUUCAAAUUUAUAAAUUUUAAAAUUUAAAAUUUAAAUUUAAGACCAAAUUUAAAUUUGAAAUAUAUAAAAUAUCAAAUUUAAAAAUUAAAAAUUAAAAAUUUAUAAUAACAAAUUUAAAUUUUAAGCUUUAAAAUUUAUAAUUUACAAUUUUAAAUUUUAAUUUUAAAAUUACAAAAUUUAAAUUCUAAAUUUUAAAACAAAACUCUCUCUCUCUCUCUUUCUCUCUCUCUUUCUCUCUCCAGUGGGUUCCCAAGCUUGUUCCUACCUGGGGUGGGAACUGUUGUUCCCACCCCUUACCGGGUUAUAUAUAUAUGUAUAACCCGGUAAGGGGUGGGAAUAACAGUUCCCACCAAAUUUUUUUUUUUGUUUGGGUAUAAAGGAUAACCCCCUUAGCCCCCCUUUUAUACCCGAUCCAAACGGGGUCGGAGGGUUCAAAGCUAUUUCCAGAGGACGGGAACAGCAUACAACAAAUAAAGGAUCUGUUAGGACAUGUAAGAGUGACAAAUUGGCCAUAUAUGGUCAGCUGGAGAUGGACUAUACAAUUUCUUCUUUAAUGUACGUUUGAGGAUUAACGAUCUCACUAGGCUUUCAACAAUCUGGUGGGCUAUCUGGUUGGAAGGAAACAACAUCAUUUAAAAAAAAAAAAAGUACAAACCUGUCUCAAGUUCUAGUGGGCGUUCGACACUCUCUAGGGCAGUAAUCUGAGCAUUGCGACUAAUUCUUCUUUUCUUGAUAUUUUUCAUGAAUUUUUCAUUUUAUUUGAGUUUUUAUUUUGAUUUUUGUUUUUUUUAUCUUUUAUUUGUUUAGACUCCAGCUGCCUCUCUCUCCAUACUAAAUUCAUUUUCCCAUUGAAUGAAGCAGCUAGCAUGCUAUCUUUUUUCUCCAAAAAAAGAGAGGGGAAUUGACAUAUAUAGAUUUGCAUUGUUUAAUGCCCUACGCUUCAUUUAUCCUCCACAUAGGAGUAGACGAUAUUAAGUAAAUAUUGAAAAGAUCACUAUAAUUGUAAAUGUGGUAUUGUUGUUACAAAUCAAGAGUGUGUCAGAUGAUCGAGAUGAUUUGCUAGUAUUAUUCAACAAGAUGUAUGACGAACCGUUGAUCAUAAUUACGAGCAGAUAACAAAACAAGCAAACCUAAUGCAAAUGUAAAUAGCAAGCUACCUUUAUAAGAAGGAUUUGUUAGAGCUUCACAUAUGAGGUUCACUAAAUCAUCUAGAUGAAUCCAAGAGAACCUGUAAUGCAAAAACAUGAGGAAUAAACCUAAUUGAGGAAAAAGAAAAAGCAACAACAAUAGCUAUGGUCGGAAAGGUGUAGACCCACUAAUUUGGGCUGGCAUGACAUUUCAAUGUAUAAACCAUUUAUCAGGUAGUAAAAUAAUAGGAAAAAAAAUAUCUAGUCGCCUAAUGAUAUUCAAUCCUAGAGGAAAAGGGAAUUGAAAAAAAUUUCAAAAUUGGAUUUAUAGAAGAUUUCGUAGAAUUUAAGGACGAUUUGUAUAGCAAUGUGAAUAUAAAUCCUACUGCAUCCAACUAGAAGGUAAACUAAAACUAACAAUGCCAACAAGCACAUAAUUUAAGCAGAUUCGAUAGCUAUUAUUUCCAGAAAAUCCAUAUUGAUUUUUCUCCUUCUCCCUGGCAAAGCAAAGAAAUUCGGAAAAAAAGAGAAGAAAAUUACAUGUUACAUUCAAGCUCAUAUUUUCUUUCUCAUGUGAAUUCUACUCAUUCUAUAAAUCUUUCCUCAGCAAGCAAAAAUAACUAGCCAAGCAAACUUGCAUUAACCAAGUUCUAGAAUAAUAUAACUGCAAUUACAGAAGUACACUAGUAUGGAGAAGGAACACAUGACUUUGCUGGCCCGUAAAGCAAGUGGAAAUUAUUGGCACUUUUUAAUGUGAAGUCAAUAAAUUCCCUAUAGCUUAGCAGAGUAAACAUGUGUGGAGAAUCUAUUGAUUAAAACCUUGCUCAAAUUAGGACUGAAUGGUCACAAAUUAUCAAAAUAUCUGACCCAAGUAGUUCAGACUAACAGGUUGAUUAUUGUUAAUGCAAUAAAGAAUCUGAUCUUGUUACAAUUGGAAAUACAGUUAUCUGAAAAAACUUACCAUUGCCUUCCAGAACCUAGAGGACCUCCAGCAAACAUCAUAAAUAGGGGGAUCAUUUUAGCUGCAGUAUGUCAAGAUAAAAGGAAUAAGAAGUUAAGAACAAGUCAGAAGAUACUUAUCAAAUGUUAAAUGCACAUCCUGUAAUUUAACAUAUAAUGCGACAAUGCUCAUUUGUGUACUGUGCUAUAGAAAUGAGUCGAAAAUAAAGAAUACUCACAACCAUGAAGAACAAGUCCUAGCUAUGAUACUUUACAAUCUUAAUCAGCAUUAUUACUUUAACAAACCCACAAACAGCAUUUCAUGGCACCAUCACAACUAUAACACCAAUACUAGGGCUGCUCUUACAACUAUGACCGCUCAGAGUAUAUGAUCUUUUUUUGAUCGACUUUCUCAACUUUGAUUUGUGCCCUAGCAAUACCAAAUACUUGUGAGAUGGAGUUAUCAUCCUUGCUGUCUAAACAUGGAAUUAUCAGAAGUUACCUUUCAGGCGUGAUUAAUUCAAGUGAAAAUAAAAUUACAACCGCUGAAGAGGAAGAAGUUACAUUUUUGCAAGCAUAGAAUCUUUUUGUACAUACUAGACAUUUGAGAUAUCAAAGAGAAUAUUGAUAAAACUAAGCCAACCUAGAGCACCACCAUCCUUGCCAAGAACAAUGCCAAUACGAAUAAGCACCAAUCUAACAUUAUUAUCUACUUCACUAGCCCUUGCUUCCCAUUCUCUACACACCUGAUGCAUUAUACACAAAAAAUAGAACAUAAGAAAAUUACAAUAUGAGAAAAUGGUUUAGUAUUUUGUCUAACAAGUAGUAUAUUGCAUCGUGGAGCUGAAGCAAAGUAAAAUCAAAUAUAUGUACUUUCAGGUCAAUCAAGUAUAUGAAUGUUAGUCAGAGAUAUGAUAACUAAAAUGAUCAUUUCGCUAGGUUGUCAUACUUUCAUUUGCAAUAACAUGCAACCUGCUUACAAGAUCAAAACUGCUAAGAUCACCACCAAUGUGUUAGGUCUAUAGAAGUAGUAUGACACGUUCCUAUUAUUUGAUCAAACCUGCAGAUAAUGAAUGUAUGAAGGUUUUGAAGCAACUUAGAAACAUUAUUUGAGAAACUUAUUAGGUUGCAGCACCAUGGUUAAUCUAUGGUAAAAUAUUUGUUGGCAUUCUCUAACAAGAUAGUCAAUUUUUGUCUAAACAUUUCUAGUUCAUUCUUUUCUGCCUAACAUCAAAUCACACUCAUUCACGUGCAUGUUCUCAGAAUUGAUACUAAACAGAAAACCUUCUAUCCUUCUGUUUAGUUUUCAAAUGAGUAUUAUACACCUUACAAUUGAAAUGCAUUAUGUCCUCAAGCAAUGUUUCAAUAAUGACAAAAAAUUUCUGGUUUAAUCUGUUUUGUCUAUUCUCAAAACUAUACUUAUUCUGAAUGCUAUUUCCUAGAAAUGGGACUCAGCAAAUGAAUCUUAUUGAAAUUUUGCAACUAGCUUGAAGGUUUCCCUACCAACUAACUAGCACCAAUAUAUAUAUAUAUAUAUAUAUAUAGAGAGAGAGAGAGAGAGAGAGAGAGAGAAGGGCUACUGUGCUAUUAGGAGCACAGCAGCUCUUGUGCUUCUAACUUUCUAACCAUCCAUCAAUUUUGAUGAGUGGUUAAGGUGAGAGAGAAGAGAAAUUGAGGAGAAAUUGGAUAUCUCAAUUUCUCUUCUCUUUGAAUUUCUCUCUAAUUUCUCUUCUCUCUCUCAUCCUAAUCACCCAUCAAAAUUGAGGCUGUUGUGCUCCUAAUAGCACAAUAGCCCUACUCUCUCUCUCUCUCUCUCUCUCUCUCUCUCUCUCUCUCUCUUUAUAUAUAUAUAUAUAUAUAUAUAGUGCUAUUUCCUAUAUAUGGAACUCAGCAAAUGAAUCUUAUGGAAAUUUUGCAGCCGGCUUGAAGGUUUCUUGACCAACUAACCAGUACCAAGAUAAACAUAAAUUAAUCAAUGUCAUAGUUCGAUGCCAUAAUUUUCUCACAAGACAUGUUCAAAAUUCCAAUUUAAGUGCAUAAUAAUGUAUGAUGAUGAUCCAUUACCUCUGAGAGAUAGUCAUUUCCUGAUGGACUUGUCUCAUCGAAACUAUGAGUUUCACUCGUCCCUGUUAUUGUCAUGAGAAAGAUAAUUAGAGAAGUAACGUAUAUGGUAAUAAAAAUUGGAAUUCUUUCACAUGAGUAUAAAUAAGACCACAUUCAUGACCAUGAAUAACUAAAGGCGAAUGCAACCUAGUUGAGCAUGCGAAAGAUAAGAUUGACAAGCAUAACCAGAUAGACUAAAGGCAAAUGCAACCUAGUUGAGUAGGCGAAAGAUAAGAUUAACAAGCAUAACUAGAUAAAAGAAUGGUCCCCUAGUGAAGAAUGGUAUUCCAAUGGUAAGGCACUUUGGUGGGGUAGGGGUUGGAAGGUGUUUUGUGUCUGAAUUUUUGUCCAGGUGGGGGACUUUGGAUAGGUUGUAGGGGCACAAGUUCUUGAUCCUCAAAAAUAAAAAAAAGAAAAGGAAACUUAAAAAAAAAUCACGCUAUAGAUAAUGUGCCUCAUAAUAUCAUGUAACAAACCUUGUCAGUUACCAUAAAAUUAUUUUGUCUUCAGGUCUUUAUAUUGGUUUGAACUUAAAAGAUUUUCUAAGUUAAAAGAUUGAACUUUUCUCCUUUGUUAAGGCUUCCCCAUCUUCAAUAGGAUUAUGUGUAGAGUUGUCCCACAGAUCUACAAACUAAAAUACAAUACUUAAGAAUUAAGAUAUCUGUACCAAUUGGCCUUAAUAGACUAGUUUCCUGAAAGCAGUAUCAAUUACUUCACUAACGUCUAGACUCUAGAGUGUUGAUGUAAGGCGAAAGUCAAGCAUAUUUGCCUAUUCUUCGUCCAAUUCGCAAAAUGGUAAAGGCUCGAUCAUGUCAAUGUUGCAGACCCAAAGAUUGCCUAUAAGGGUUAUGCUAUAGCUCUCUAUUUCUAAAGUAAGGAAGAACAGCCACCACUGACAUCAUGUAAUGUAAUUCGUACGAUUAAUCUCAACGAAAAUGAUGUGAAGAAUUUAGAUAGCACUCAACCAUAACGUUUAUGCUAGUGAACAAAGUAGCUGAAAUCUACAUAGUGGUUUCUCAAUCAGGCAGUGAUCUACAGUCUUUCCAGUCACAUAUUCGGAAGGGAAAUCUCAUCAGGAAAUCAUAUAACAUCGCGUACCAUAAUAACCGAUGGCUGUUGCACUGACCAAAACUGAAGGCCGAAAAUCUGGAUUAGUGCGGUUUAUACUUCCUACAAUCUUUACCACAUUAAGUAAACUCAAUUAAGUGAAGAAUGGAAAAGAAGCAUGCUUUGCAGCAUAAACAAGAAUUAAUAUAACAUAUAAUGGUUAACUUAUAAUCAUGGUUGGGACGUGAUAAGGGGUACAAUUCAUUGGUGUGUCAUUGCCAUUCAGCGCCAUCACUGUCAACGGCAUGCAUGCUUACAGCUGAUUGGCAGGUCACCAUGCCACCCCAAGUAAUCCUUCAUUUCAAGUACAUAGCAAUUACAAAAAAGACUAACUAAGAGAAAAUCAAGUAAAAAUCACCUUCGAUGUAACAUUGAUCCGGCUUUUCUUUAUUUCCUUCUUAAUCUGCAAUUUGAAUACCAAAACUCAGUAACUCAUCUCAAAUUAACUAUAUACAAUUCAAAAGGAUGCUCCUGAAUAAAGCAAUGAAUUCUUGCGUUAGCCAACAGAUUCACUGCAUUUCAAAAAUAUUAGAUACGUGAGAAACAUAGAAUUACAGAAGAAUGCGAGGUUCUUAAAGUAAACAACCUCUGAAGACCACCUUGUGCUUAUGGGCAUUCCAGCCAGGUUAACAACACCAUUUGAGCCUUGAAUGCAUUUUUCCCACUCUUCUUCUUCAGCAAUUAGAAUUUCAGGAAAUUUCUCAGCUGCAAUUGCACAAUUUUUUUUCACAAGAGUAGACAAAAGUUUGUAGGCAAAUGGAAAACAGACUAAUAAAGAAACAAGGUAUAACAUGGACCAGCUUCAACUAAUUAAGAUUAAAGAAGUCUCUUCUUUUGGAUAAUUAGACAAUGGAGCAGCGAGACAAAAUGGAAGAAGCAGCAGCAGCAGCAAAUUCAAAUAACAGUAACAAGUACUCUGCAGUUACUGCAAGAGAGCAAUGUUACUAUUUUAGUCAUACUACAUUGAGUAUUUUAGGAAUUGAAAGGUUGGCUCGUGACUAGUUUAUGCCAGAAAUCUUUUUCAGUUCAAAAAGUGAUCCUAAGAAGUAGCAUACAAAUUAAAAUCUAGAGAUUAAAGAGGGAGUCAACAGCUGGUGUUUGACAUCUAUUUAGAGACCAAAUCCUUUAUUACUUUGGUGGGCUCAUAGUUCCACCACUAGAAGGAAAAGAAAACAGAAAUUGAUAUUUCAACUAGUGCAAUUUUGGGUGUAACUCAUGGCAUGAGUUACUAGAAAUAUUCAUUACCUUCUUACCAGGAAAAACUAAUCGUGCCUUUGCCCGAGAUCGUGUUAAAACACGAACUUUAUGAUCAUCUGCAUCAAUGUUCACAGACAUAGCAUUAAUACAGGGAAUGUCGAGAUGAUGCCUCAGCACUUAUGGACUUGAUAAUCACUAACAUAAAUUUAAUAUGCAUGAUGACAAGCUUGCACAUAAAGAUGUGUGUGUGUAUGGCGCGCGCGCGCGCGCGCGCGAGAGAGAGAGAGAGAGAGAGAGAGAGAGAGAGAGAGAGAGUAAUAACUAGGACACCACAUUCAUUCAAAGACUAACAGAUAAAUUAAUGUAUGAGCACCAGAUAACUACGAAGGUGUAAAAUUUCUUCAAUUGGUGGCUAAUCAAACAAACCUGCUAGCAACUUCUGAACCAAUCUUUGACUGAUGAAGCCAGUAGCUCCAGUUAUUGACACCACCAUCUGACUUCCCUAAAUAAACAUGAAAGAAUUACGAACUGAGAGAAAUAGUCAUCUCACUAAAAUCACACAAAUUUAGCAUCUUUUUCAAAAGGAAACAAUUAGAAAGGAUAAAAACUAGAAGAGCCUAAGCAUUGUCAACUGCUUAUUAUUUAGUAAAAUGAGUUAGUAUAUCACAUUUUUCUACAUUUCAACAUAUAUCUAGUUAGCAGCUUAAAUAACAACAAAAGAUAUCUUCUACUGUGCUAAAAUUAUCAAUAUCAGUAGUAUAAGAAUUCUAUUCAAUUUAUAUGAUUCCACUCUAUCAAAUACAACAAACUUUCAUAUGCAAACUUGCUUCUUAUUCCAAAAUUUUGGAACUAUUGUGACGCCUUGGAGGGAAAUCAAAUCAUGUAUGAGAAUAUCAAGACCAGCAGCAUGAGAAAUAAUAACUGGAUUUUAAUCAUUUUAGGCCAGUGGUUUGGGCUCUACAAAUAAUUAGUGCUAGCAUGCUGGGUCGUUACAUUGCGUACCAGAGUCAGUGUUGCCAGCCGGAAGUGUCAGAUAGGUCUCACACCAAUGGUUAGUUUUGGUUCUUUUGGGCCAAUGGCUCGGGGACAUGAGUUAUUAGUGUUAUUAGUGCUACCGGGUUGGGUCGUUACAACUACUGAGACAAUGGCGAAGCGCUACCUAAACUCUUGGUCAAUUCAAUGGCUCUAUUAUCAACUAGUGCUUGAAUUGCUCCUGUUUCAUUGGUUAAAAGGAAUCACCUGUGAUGGUUUAGUGGAAUUGGAGCACACCACUCUCCAUCUCUUACCAUCUCGCCCCUGCAAACAACCAAAGAUCUCUUCCAUCACAAACAUUUACCAAGCAAGGUACAACACCCACAACCCCCCAUUCACCCACACCCACGCACACAACCCCACAUUCACACACCCACACCCACACCCAUAGAGAGAGAGAGAGAGAGAGAGAGAGAGAGAGGAGCGUACGGAGAGGGAGGGGUUGGGGAGGGAGGAGAAGGGGGCGAGGGCGGUGUUGGUGAAGGAGAGCGCGGCGCGGCGGAGCUCCAUUAGGGUUCGGUGUGGUUGGGGGGGAGGAGGGCGAUGAGUUAGAGGCGAAGGGAAGGGAAGGGAAGGGAAAGCGCGGGUAAAUGUGGGGCGCGCGCGCGGGGUGGGGGGAUAGAGGAUUUGGGAGCGGCAGUUAAUAUUACCGCCGGAAUAAAAAAAGGGUCAAUUGCAUAUAUGUCCCCGCAAACAUAGUAAAUUACAAAUAUAUUCAUAUAAAUUUUAAUUUUUAUAAGUUAUUUCUAUAAAAAUUCUAAUAUUUUCAGAUAUAUCUCUACCGUUAGAAUCCGUUUGAAAAGUUUAGUUAACCACAGGUUAAAUACUUUAUCCGGAUUAAUUUUUGACAUUUUUACCUCUCUUAUAUUAUACUAUUAUAAUUUUUUAAGGGACAUAUUUGUGAUGGCAAAAUUAAAAAUAUAAACAGUUUUCUAACGGUUCUCUAACGGUAACAAACCAGAGGGACAUAUCUGAAAAUAUUAGGUCUUUGCAGGGAUAACUUAUAAAAAUUAAACUUUAUAGAUAUAUAUUUACAAUUUACUAUAUUUGCGAGGACCUGUAUGUAAUUAAUCCUUAAAAAAUGAGUUCUUUUUUUUUUCGCUCAAUUGGGCAAUGCUACAUAUACAUUCUAAAAUAGAAUGUAUAUCUUAUAUCUACUAAUCUACUUUACCUUAAAAUUGUUCUUGGUAUUAAUUUUUUAAAAUUUUACUAAAAAUCAAUUCGAUUUUUAUUAACCUUAGAAUUGUGGGUGUAAGAGGUACACUUUUUUUGGAAUGUACAAGAAGCAUUUUCCUUAUUAUAAAUAUCUGUUUUUUUUUUUUUCUCUCUAACUUUCAAAAAUUUAUAUUUUACCCUUUUAACAUUUUAAACUGCUGCAUUUAUUCUCCUCAAUCAAGGUUCCAUCACUAUUCUGUCCAUUUCUUAUAAUUUAUACCAAAAUGCUCCUCAACAUAACAAAAAUAUAUUAAAAAAUUAAUUUUUUUUUUUAUAGAAAAAGUAAAGAUAAUUUGGUCGUUUUGACCUGAUCAUUAGCUUGCACCUCCUGGAAAUGUUUCUGAAAUUUUAAGGAUGCAAAAUAUAAAUUUUUGUCAGAAAGGGAAAGUAAAAAAGCUGAUAUUUACAGAAAGUUUUUUAUGAUUUAGCCUUUUUUUUUAGAAUAAAACUAUAUUUUAAUACAAAGAAAGAAGAAAAAUAUAUAUUAAUCAGUUUCCAAACCUAAAUAUCAACUGACCAACAAAUUAAGCUCACGAGCAUUAAGUACAAAUUAUAAAAAAAACCUACGGAUAAAAAUAAUCAUCCAGACUGUGCUUCCGUUUCAAUUUCUAUCUUCGAAUCAUAUCGAAAUGUUCCUAUCUUCGAAUCCACCGAGUUCUGGUUCAAAAUAUAUUCAUAAAGUCUGCAAUACUCGACAGAAUUAAGGAGAAAGAAUUCCCAAGUAACAAAAGAGCGAAGCAAGAAUGAGACAAACAAAAUAGAUGAUGUGGAAAAGAUCAUAGAGAAAAUUAACUAAAAUAGGAAAAACUUCAAAUACUCCCCUUGUGGUUUCACUCUUUCUCACUUUAGUAUCAUGUGGUUUAAAGUGUAUCAAGUUAGUAUCCUGUGGUUUCAUACUUUCUCACUUUAGUACCCAGUGGUUUAAAGUGUAUCAAGUUAGUACCCUGUGGUUUCACACUUUCUCACUUUAGUACCAUGUGGUUUAGUAUUUCAUUGAGAGAAAAAUAAAAUCACAGGAUACUAAUUUGAUACAAAAAUAAAACCAUAGAGUACUAACUUGAUACAAAAAUAAAACCACAGAGUACUAAUUUGAUACACUUUAAACCACAUGAUACUAAAGUGAGAAAGUGCGAAACCACACGGUACUAACUUGAUACACUUUAAACCACAUGGUACUCAAAUAAAAAAGUGCGAAACUACAGGGGGGUUUUGAAGUUUUCCCAAAAAAAUCUAUAGAAGAAGAUAAAAAGGAUUAAGUUCAUGCCUUUUGGUCAGAUUUUGAUCGGAUUUUUGGCCAAAAUCCAGCCAAAAGGCUAAAGAAACAGUAGAAAGCCAAGAGAGUUGGUAGAAAAGGUGAGAGAGAGAGAGAGAGAGAGAGAGAGAGGAGAAUGGUGCAGAAAAUUAAAGAAAGCCUAUUUAAAAAAAUGAGUAAGCUAAGUAUGUAGAACCGCGAAAUGAUAAAUUACUUAGUGACGUUUGUAUAGUUUUAGUUAUCAUAUAUAUCUUCAAAGUACCAUGGUUUGCAAAUAUAUUUCCCCCUUUGGUUGACCAACUAAAGUUAACUUUUGUUCCAAAAAAUAAAAAUUCUAUUUUUAGAUAAAUAUCUUUUUAGUUGCUUUUAAAAUAUUUACGAACUUUAAUAUGUUUAUCUUAAUUUUUAUAUCAUUCUGCGUAAACUAUAAAUUUUAGAUCAUAAUUUUUUUUCAAAACAACUAUUUUCUAUAAAAGCUUAAUGGUCCAAAUAGUGAAAAUUUAACUCUCAACUAGCGGUAAUAUUAAUCAACUAGUAGGACACUAAAGUGGUGAUAUAGUACUAAACUUUUCGAUCAGAAAUAGUGAUCUUGUUGUGGAUAGAAUAAAGAACUUUGUAUUAAAGCUUAUUAUGCUAAUCUCUGUACACCAUUAAAUCGAAAACGACAACAUCAAUACAUUAAAAUAUUUGAUUUUGAAUUAUUUUGUCACUAGCUAAUGAUAUCGAAAAAAUUACAAAAAAUAUUUUCAUAGAAACUUCAAAUACUUAGAUUCCGAGUCGAUUGCGGUUAGUAUAAUGUGGCCCAUUAGGGUAUAAGUGAUUAGUUGGUUGAAUAGUAUAAUCUAUAAGGGAAAAAUAAAUCAAAAUGGUUAAUCUACGACAGAAAACAUUGAUAGCACCAAGUGAUUGGUACUAUCGAUAGCAUAGCACCGACUAUAUAAAUAUAUAUAUAUAUAUAUAUUAUAUAUAUAUAUAAAUAUUAUAGAGUGAGGCACAUAUGCUAUCGAGCACGGAGACCUUCCGUGCUUCCGCAUCGUUUUCCGAUGUUGCGACUUUCGAAUCGUCGAUCGGCUCCGUUAAACUUGAAUCUAGAGUAUUUGAAGUAUCUAGAAAAUAAAUUUUAUGAUUUUACGAUAUUAUUGCCUGGUGAACGAAAGGGGCUCAAAAAAUCAACCGGCUGAAAAUAAAAAUCUUACAUAAAUGCAAUAAUAUGACAUUAAAAUUUUAAAAUCAAAGAUAUUGAUCUGUUUUAUAUAGUAUAAAGAAUUUUUCUAUUCAAAAUUUCACAUGAUUGGAUAUUUCUAACAACGACCGUUAACUAGCAAACGGCUCACGUACGGCCAUUGAAAUUUGUUGAUUUGAGCGCCAUUCGAUCACUAGCAAAUGAUAUCCGAAAAUAAUAAAAUUUAUUUUCUCGUACUCUCAAUACUCUAGAAUCAAGUUUAAACGAGCGAUCGACGAUUCGAAAGUCGCAACCUCGAAAACGAGCUGGGAAGCACGGAAGGCUCCGUGCUUCCGAUAGCAUAGUAACCUCACUCAUAUUAUAUAUAUAUAUUAAUUUAUAUUAUAUAGGUUGGCUACUAUGAGUAUAGACCUUCUGACUUGGCGUGGGGCUGGGUUGGGUAUUGUGAGUGUGGGCAGCGGCUGUAGCUGACCCUCUUGUACUCGUAAAUUUUUAACCAUUGAUGAUCGGAUGUGUGGUUAGAAUGAUGGUGGUCCCCUAGGGUUGAGUAGGUAGUUGGUUAAAUAGUAUGAUCUAAUGGAUGAAAAUGAUUAAUAAAAUAAAUCUAAGGGCCGAAAAAUUAUGAAUAUAAGCGAGCCAAUACUCAUAAAAUUAUACUAGCCGGACUAUAUAUAUAUAUAUAUAUAUAGUGCUAGGCUGGUAUACUAUCGGCAGUACGGAGGCUUCCGUACUACUAAGUUUUUUUCAAUAAUGCAGCUUCUAAAUCGAUGAUCAGUUCCGUUAGACUUGAUAUACACUAUUAAAAGUAUUUGGAAACUAAAUUUCAUAAUUUUUCGACAUCAUUUGGCUAGCAAUCAAAAAGUCUCAAAAUUGAUAAUUUUAAUGGUAGAUGUGAUGCAUUUGUGAAUUUAACGGUGUAAAAUAAUUCAAAUCUUAUGAAAUUUUUAUAGAAAAUUUUUUUCAUAAUUUAGAGUAAGAUCAUUACCUCUGAUCUUAAAUUCAAAUCUUUUAUCAUAAUUUUUUAUGAAAUUUUUAUUUUCAGCCGUUUAUUUUUAGACUACUCGUUUGAUAGGUAAAUGAUGUCGAAAAAUUAUAAAAUUUAGUUUUCAAAUACUUUCAAUAUUGUAUAUCAAGUCUAAUAGAGUCGAUCGUCGAUUUGAAAGCCGCAUCAUUGAAAACAAUUUGGUAACACGGAGGCCUCCAUACUUAGUAUACCAGCCUAGCGCGCGCUCUCUCUCUCUCUAUAUACACACACACACAUGAUGAUGAAAAUACAUUGAAAAUAAACAAUUCGAAGUAUCUUUUAUUAGCUAGGCAGGUUCUAAGUUUAAGUUGAAAAUUAAUAUAAUUUUUUAUAUAUGGCGUCAAUCUAGAGAGUUUCCAAGCAAUUUAUUUAAUUAUAUUUUAGACUAAAUUAUAUUUUUGGCCCUCAAUCUACAUGGCGCUGAUAUUUUAGUCCUCAAAUUUUAAUUUAUUAUAAUUUCUAACUCGAACUUUAUAAAUUAUUACCAUUAAUUUUUGCAGUAUAAUUAGUUGACUAAAUAUUGAUUAAAUAUUGCUAACUUCUUCUUUUGAUCUUUAGUUAAAAAAAAAAAAAGAAAAAAAAAAAAACCCUUCCGAACCACGUGUGCCACCGACCCGAUAACACCCACGUGGGCGGCAAAACCCGGUCCAACCCGAUCCGGACGAUCCGGACCGGAGCCGAGCGGCCUCCGCCACGCAAUCCCCACUGUCCUGGUCCGGUCCGACAAAACCAGCUCUUCGACCGGCCCUGUCCCGGUCGGACCGGCAUUUCCCUAACCGAUGUUCCCUGUCCCCGUUACACGGUUUGCUGUCCAAUGCAUUUCGCAAACUACAUAGUACAUGGAUACAUUAAAAUUGUCUCCUCUUUCACAUUUUUCUAUUCUUUUCCACCAAGACUAUUUAACUACUACUUAUUGAUCAUUUCCUACAACACAAGGUACUUAGACAUAUAUAUCAACCUUGUUCUAAAUUUCUUGCGCUAGUACUCGUAUAUAUCUAUCGAUCGAUCAAUUUGAUCAGUGUUUUUGCUGUUUAUUCUUUCACUAGUACUUGAAUUUGUCUGAGUUGUACCAGAAAUGAAAGGUGCAACGUGCUAUAAAAACGAUCUCGAGAAUCUCAGGGCGACCGAGCUAACACUUAGGCCCCCUGGCAUCGAUGUGGAGGAAGUGAUCAGAUCAGCAUCGAUAGCUACAAAGUGCAAAAAACGGGCACUAUCGGAGAAAAAAGAGACCGAUGAGAAUGAACAAGCAACCGAACCCGUGGCUAAGUAAGCAAUGUUGAAUGUUUCAUAGAUUAAGUUUGUGAUUUCUUAGUAUCGAUUUUAUUUACGUGUGAUCUUCAACUUGAUUAUCAGGGCACAGAUAGUCGGAUGGCCACCGAUUCGUGCGUAUCGAAUGAAUAGCUUUCGAUCAAGAAAAAGCCUUGUAGUCGAUGAUAACAAUGGCGGGAUUUACGUGAAAGUUAGCAUGGAUGGGGUCCCUUAUUUGAGAAAAAUAGAUCUAAAGAUCUAUGAAGGAUAUGAGGAACUUUGGAGAGCCUUAGAAGACAUGUUUAAAUGUUCAUCUUUAGGUAAGGGUUAAUUCUUGCACUAUCCCCAUAUGGUAACUCAGUUCCUGUACCUUUUAAUUUAAAUACUUUAUUCUCUGAGCAUUAAGAUUUUUUCUUAUAAAAUGACCAUUUUACCAAAAAUGAUAAGACUAUUAUAGGGAAUUAUGAAGAUGAUUAUACGUCAUAUAUUGUAUAUUAAAAAUCUAAUUUUCUAAUAGUUAUAGCGCAAAAUGUACUGUAUAAAUAUUAAUUAGACCCAAAUGGCUAACAGCUCUAGGGGUACCUUAGUGAUCUGAACAGAGCAGUAUAUUUUUAGCGAGGUACGCCUAUGAGCCAAUAAAUCUUCAGAUCUAGUCAAAAAAUAGACAAAAGUUUGAACUGGAAGUACAAGAACCAAGUUACUAUAUAAGGAUGGUAUGAGAAUAAUUUGUACAUUUUAUCUUUAAUUUCUUAAUUAUUGUGCUAAUUAACUAAUUCAAUCUUAUUUGUUUUGGCUUCUAAUUCUAGAUGGAGUAGAAGGUUAAUUAUGAUGAGCCCAAGUAUGCUAUCACAUACGAGGAUAAAGAUGGUGAUUGGAUGUUGGUUGGAGAUGUGCCUUGGGAGUAAGUACUUAGAUCUCUCAUACAUAUUUAUUAUACAUGCAUAUGUAUGUUUUGUAUAUGUAUGAAUAUACGUAUGUACGUAUGUACGUACGUACGUACGUAUGCAUGUAUAGUAUGUAUCCUUUUCAUUGUACUAAUUAAGUCAAGCUUUUCUUGUGAAUAUUCUUGUAGGAUGUUCAUCUCUUCAUGCAAGAGGAUGCGAAUAAUGAAGGGAUGUGAAGCAAGAGGGCAAAGUUCAAGUGCAUAAAAGAAGUUUCAAGGGGAAGAUAUAUAUAUAUACAACACAAAAAGGAGCCUUUUUAUUUUUCUUUUGGGCUUUUUUUGCAUUUGACCCCCUGAAAUUUUUUUUUUACAAAUAAUCCCAUUAAAUUUAUAAUUACAAAUUUGGUCCUAUCCCCGCCAUGCAGGCGCCACAUCAGCGCCAUGCAAGCAGAAGGGUUUUAAGUUGAACACGGUGAAUGGUUUAUCGUGUUCCAUACUUAUAUUCCUCUUAUUUCCCAUUUCUUCCUUUUCAAUACUUAUAUUUUUUUUUGCAAUACAUAUAUUUUUUCUAAACACGGUGAAACACGAUGAAUGUAUGGUUCAUCGUGUUCCGUACUUAUAUUGAAAAGAAAGAAAUGGGGAAUAAGAGGAAUGUAAGUAUGGAACAUGGUGAACCAUUCACCGUGUCUAGACACAGUGUACCAGACACAGUGAAUGGUUCAUCGUGUUUAACUUAACAAACUGAUCCCAGUCUGCUCAUAUGGCGCUGAUAUAGAGCCCACGUGGCAGGGCUAGGGCCAUUUUUGCAAAUAUAAAUUUGCUAGGGCUAUUUUUAAAAUAAAUUUUUUUCAAGGGGCCAAAUGCAAAAAAAGCCCUUUUCUUUUUAAUUGCUUAAUUCUUGUAGUUUUUUGCUUUUUUAUCUUGUGUCUUUUUGUAUUGUAGUCCCUUUAUAUGCAGCUAAAAAGAAACUAGAAGUGAAACAGUAAAAGAAGGAAGAAAAAGGAUAAGGUGAAAUAAGUAUGGCUUGUGAUAUAUAUAGGCUAGUGUUUUAAAUAAAUGAACAAUAACAAAGGUGUUGCUUAAUAAUAGUUUAUUUUGUGGAUAAUUCAGAUGUUUUUCUUAUCAUGAGAAAAUGUUAAAUUGUUUCUUAAAAUAUAGCAAGUUCUCAUAAUUAAUUAUAAAACUUUCAAAAAUAUAAAAAGGGAAAAUUUUGUGGAUUCAGCUCCUUUUCUAUAUAUUUAUUCUGUCAAUUCAACAAUUUUGUGGGGAAAAUUUAAAUCAAAUAAGUUUUUGAAUUUUGUUCAUUUGUUGCGCAUAAAAUACUAAAAUACCAUUCUUUAGUAUGUCAAGUUUCGAAAGAAUAAUGAAAUUGAUAUACAUUUAUAGGAGAGAUUGAUAGUUCAAAUUUCUACAUGAAUACAAAAGAAUUUCUCCACAAGAUGCAAAAUCAUUCAAUUAUUAUAUAAUGCAACAUUCAUAAUAUUAUUAUCGCACAUGAGUUUAAUUCCUUGAUUGUGGACCCCCAGAACUUGAAAUAUAUAUAUAUAUAGAGAGAGAGAGAGAGAGUGAGGGCUGGUAUGCUUCUGGAAGCACAGAGCGCUGCAACAAAAAUAAUUUUUAGUGGCGUGAGGGAUUGGGGGAAAAGGUGUUGCGUGAGGGAUUGAUUUGAUAUUUAUUAGCUAAUGUCGUUGGAUAUAAAUAUUGCUCACUUGCAUUGGGAUCAAAUAUUUUGUCUUUUAGUAGCUUUUGUGUGUAUUUUUACUAAAACCUUUUUAUAUGGCACCUGGUUGCAUCUAAACCCUGUCAGAUCCUCAUGCAUUGUAAUAGUAGAUUACAUGACCCACGUGCUGCUGCUAUAAAGAUGCUAAUAUCUGUGGCUGAAAGGGAAUGCAUCUGCAUAGAUGAGUUGAAAAGGAUUUUGUCAACAUAUUUUUGCUUCUGUAGGUUUGCUGUUUCAGAAUGAGUCAAUUGUCAAUUAAUUUGGAUAAACGAAUGGCAAAGCAUCUAUUGUCCCACUGUGUAAUUAAACUCAUGAGUUUGUGGUACCAAUAAGCCGUGCCAUGCUAUUUUCCUUUUUAUCUUGUUGGUCUCAUGUCACGCCUUGGACUUCAGCGGAAGCUUACCAGUGACGUGCAAAGAUCCGCCGUGUACAUCCCUACUUUAAGAGUACACCAGGCGUCUACAAACAAUGUGGCAAAAGAUAAUAUCAUAGCUAAGGAAUCAGAGCAUAAUUCAAAAACUUAAACUUAUACAAUCCAAAACCUCAUUACAAUAAAUAAGAGCACAGUACAAUCUACGUACUUUAGUAUACAACACUGAACAAAGUUCAGUGUAUUACAUCUCAAGUCUUAUAUGACCUUCUUAAGCAGGCAGUGAGUGCAAUUCUUCUAGAUUGACAUUUGAUGGGGUUGAUAUGAUGGGUGAGAGGCUGGCUCAAGAGGUAAUUGUUUUGAAUAGCUUUUUUUUAUUUUGUUCUCUGAAGGUCUCCACAUUACAACUUUUGUCAUGAUCGGAUGAGUGAUGAGAUUAUUGUUUAACCUCUUUUUUGAUUUUAUAUUUGUAGUGAUUCUAAUUUCGUGAUGCGAAUGUAUGUUUGAUAUGUUGUUACAGGUUCGAUCAGUUAUUGAGCAAAGAAGAGGUGUGUAGAUCUCAUAUUUUGAUAAAUUUACAUUGAUAGCAUGUGGAAAUGACAAUUUUAUUUUUUGAAUGUGUUGUGUGUUUUGUUUUUUGGAUGUGUUGGAUGAUUGUAUAAGGUGAUAAUGAUACUCUAACAUAGUUCUUGUGAGACAAUCUUUACUUAUUUGCCUUAUAUGAUUAUUUAUGCUCUUCUUAAUAUUUAAAAUUUAAUUCAGUCUUAUUUAUUUAUGUGGAUUAAUUUUAUGAUCAAAUACUUUAUAGAUAUUCAACUAGAUUUAAUAUAUAUUGGUUAUAAGGUGUUUGAGCCAUAGUGCUUGGAUUUAAUUUAGUUUUGAGAGGAUCAAAUUGAAAUUAAAGGUUAAAAUUUAAGAAUCAGAGUACGUAAUUGAAAUUUUUAUAACUAUAUGUUAUUUUUUAGCAAUUUAUAUUAAAUCAAUUGUUGGAAAUAAUAGGCAGCGGAAACUUACAAACCGGAUAGCCAACGUAUCCGGGAACCGGAAUCGGAUCGGGUUGCUUGUUUUACAAGCCUUCUUGGAUCGUCCUUGUCUUUAUGCUUCUGGAUCUCCCACGUUUCUCGUCUUCUUCCACGCGUACACCUUAUGUCACAUAACUAUAGGUUAUUUUUUAGCAAUUUAUAUUAAAUCAAUAAUAUCUAUUAUUACCAAUUAUUUUUUUAAAAAAAUUAAUUUUAGAUCAGAAAAUUAGUGACGACAAUAGUCGCCAUCAUAAAACUAGACAUAAAGGAUAUUUAAACUUUUCGCGGUGGCAGCAUGUUGCCGCUAAUUAUUAUCUAAGCUUUUUUCAGCGACAGUUAUGUCGCCGCUAAUCAUAUAACUUUUAACUACGACAAAAUGUCGCCAUCAAAUAGUUUUACCGUCGGGGUUUUAGGCGGUGGCAUGCGGCGGCAUGUUUAUCGCCGCCAAAAGUUUUUCGUGGCGACAAUUUUGGCUAUGUGAAUCUUGUACCUUGUAGUAGUGAGCCUUCCGUGCUUCUAAAUUAUUUUCGAUAUUGGGACUAUCGAAUUAAUUAUCGGCUCUGUUAGAUUUGAUCUAGAAUAUUUAAAGUAUCUAGAAAAUAAAUUUUGCGAUUUUUCGAUAUCAUCUGCCUAGUGAUCGAAAGGGCUCAAAAUCAACGGAAGAAAAUAAAAAUUUUACAAAGUAUGAUGAUAUGACAUUAAAAUUUUAGAUCAAAGAUAUUGAACUUGUUUCAUAUAGUAUAAAAAAAAUUUCAUCAAAAUUUCAUGUGAUUUGGAUAUUUGCACACCGUUAAAUUGCAAACGUUUCACCGCAGCCAUUAAAAUGAUUGAUUUUGAGACCCUACAAUUACUAGGUAAAUAAUAUCGAAAAAUCACAAAAUUUAUUUUCUAAAUACUUCAAAUACUCUAGAUUAAAUCUAACGGAGUUGAUUGUCGAUUCGAAAAUCCCAACAUCGAAAACGACUUAGAAGCACGGAUGGCUCCGUACUUCCAAAAGCAUACCAGACUCACUAUAUAUAUAUAAUCCGGCAACUAUACUCUUAUGAGUAUGGACCCUUUUAUACUCAUAUAAGUUUUCGGCUAUUAGAUUUAUCUCUUUGCCUAUUUUCACCCGUUAGAUCAUACUAUUCAACCAAUCACCUACUCAAGCCUAGGGGACUACUAUUAUCGUAAUCGGGGACCACUAUCAUCUUAACCGCAGCUUUAUCCAACGGCCUAAAACUUAUGAGUAUAAAGAAACUAUCUUCGCUGGAACUUAUUUUCGAAGUAUUUGGUUUAUGGAUUGUAUAACGUAGAACUCAUUAUGUUUAAUGAAAUUUGCUGGACAUAACUUUAUAAACAUAAUUAUUACCAAAUAAGCUCUCUAUUGAGCUGCUUCGUCGAUGUUUAAAAUUGAUGAACUUCUAGUAUUGAAUAACUUCAAAAUACAAUGACUUAGAAUUAACUAAACUAAUUUUAUUUUUUAUUAAUAUAUAUUAGUCUUAUGAAAAGUAAGAUUUGAAAACUUAUAUUUACUUAAUUUUGUCUAAAAAUUAGUACUUUAUAAUAAAUUAUGAUGCUAGAUUAAUAAUAUAUAAUUUUUACAUAAUAAAGUAAAAAAUUAAUUAAAUAUGCAUGACAUAUGAUGCCCUGCUAAUAUUACUGAUUCAAUUAGUGGGAGUCAGUGACUUUUGGCCGAAUAAUAUUUUCAGGUUGCUGUUCGAUGUGAUUUUUAAAACAUUAAUUUUUAGCUUUUGAAAAAAUAAAAUAAAUUUAUAAAUAAGAGCUCGGCUCGUUCAAAGCCGUGAGCUUACUGGCUCGGCUCGGUUCGGCUCGUUUAUUCUCGGGAUUUGAGUUAGAUUCGGUGCGCAAGAAAAAGGGUCGGGAGGAGGGAACGGAAGAAGAAGAAGACACGCAAAACGAAGAGGUGCGAAGAGAGAUCGACACGCGAAGCGAAAGGGUUGGGAUUGGGGUUCGCGGUAGGGUUAGGGUUAGGGUUUCCGACGAUGCAGCCCCUCCAGCAGCAGCAGCACCACCACCAGCGAUCCUCCGCCGCCGGUGCGGCGGCGGCGGCGGCGGCGGCCGGGGNAGGGUUGGGAUUGGGGUUCGCGGUAGGGUUAGGGUUAGGGUUUCCGACGAUGCAGCCCCUCCAGCAGCAGCAGCACCACCACCAGCGAUCCUCCGCCCCGGAUUCGGCAUCGGCCCCUUCAACCUCGGUGGGCGACCCGUCCCUCCUCCCGAAUCUUUGAUCUCUGAUUGCCCUAAAUUCGAAUUGAUUUGGGGCUUCGACCUGCUGUUGCGUCUUUCGAUGAAUUGGGAGCGAAAUUGGGGGUAAAAAUGAGUGUAAGAGGCAAUCAAAUGGUGGCCUUUAAAAGGAAGAAAUUGAGAAUAUCAAGUCAACGAAUUGUCUUCUUCUCGUUCUUAACAUUUUCCUUGAUGUUGGUGGUGAAUUUGGCUUUGUUCCUCAAUCAUGUGGUCAUGUGACUUGUUUUUGCGUUAGUGCAUCUUACACAUUCCAUAAGGAGAGAAAUGCAGGACUUAUAUGUAUAUUCUGGAGUGAAUAACUCAUUGUAGAUGUGUAAGAGGCUCUUUCUUUCUCAACCCUUCUGUCUCAGGCACAAAACAUGACCUGUGGUAUGUGUAGUUUGAUGUUGGCGGGUUAUACCUUUUUAAUAGUUUGGGCGGCACCGUUUGAUUUGUCGAAAUCUGAGGAAAAGUGAACGUAAAGUGGUCUCGAGUCUUAAGAGCAAGACAAUCUCUUUUUUUCUUAAAAAUAUAAUAAUUUUGUGCUGAGUCAAUUCCACUAUUCUUGUUCUGUAAAUUUAUCAUUUGUCACUUUGCAGAUAUGGUUUCAUUUUACUUUUGCAAGCUCAUAAGGGAAUCAUGUUUGAUACAGGCAUGCCUAUUUGUGAAGCGUUUGCUCAAGUAGAACAUCAACCAAACAUAUAUGACGUGGUUCAUGUGAAGUAUCUUGAUGAGGUUUGUACUGUCUUAUUGUGGCUCAAUUCUUUGAAUUUUGUAAGUGUUAAGUACAAAUUCAUAAAUGACCUCAUCAUCAUUGAUGCUACUAUAGUAUGUAAACUGAUAUGGAACCUGUUUAAGAAUGGACGAAUAGGAGGAAAAGUAUCUUAAGGUAAAAAAUUUGGAUAUGCUGAACGUUGAAAAGCUAUUUAUUGUUUAACACAAGUGUAAAAAAUGAAUGGGCACAUAGUAACAUUAUUCGUGUAAUAGAUUAAGUCUCUUUUGAUGGGUUUUAUUUAAACAUAAAGGGAAAAUUCUGGUGCUUAUUAUUGUGUGAGAAAAAUUUUAAAGUCAUGGAAAUUGUUUGUCAAAAGUAAAAAACCAGCUGAAGCAAUUACACACAAUUUGCUUAACUUAGCUAAUCUGCUUGGUGCCCCCAACUAGUAAAUUUGCUCUAAGUUCAUAAAUUUGAUGUUCUGAUUACCCAGUUGAUUUGUUAUAAAUUAUCAGAACUGGAGUUCAUCUAGAUACCAAGAAAUUGGAUAUUUCUAUAAAAGCCAAAAAUGGUUGUAUUAACUCCAAAGAUGGAAAUCUAUGUUAUUUCAUUUUUGCCACAUGUUGAUAGAAAUUACAUUUGUAACAUGUCAAUUUGAUGCCAAAUAGCAUUGGCACCUCAUUGAUUUAUUUGUAUCCUCAUUUUCUAUGAUCAUUUUCUUUACAGGAGCCUUUAAAAUUGGACAUUGUUAUCAGCUUCCCUGAUCAUGGGUUUCAUCUUCGUUUUGACCCUUGGUCACAGGUAUAUUUGUAGUUACACAAUUUGGCAAUCUGCUUUGAAUAGUUUCAACUUAUUGAUGCCAAGUGAUGACAAGCAUUUAUUUGCAUUUAUUUUGUAUUUGCAUGUAGUAUUUACUUGAAUGAAAAUAACAUUAGCUUCAUUGAUUUAAGUUAUGCUUGCUGAAAGCUAUGUUUAAACUUCUUUAGCAACAUUGCAUGUCAUGGUUUCCAUUGGAUUUUUUACGCAUUCAUGAGCAAACAUUCAGACUGGAAAGGUCGAUUGAGAAUGUACUUCUUGUUGGAACUCCGAAAAGAAAGUAAACUUCAACUUUGAGUACUAGAGAGGUAGAUAUAGCAUUUAUUUACCAAUGCAAGGAUAGAUUACAAAUAGUUUAUAUGACUCUGAUAUGAACCUUAGUUUUCUAACCUAUUAACCUUGGUUAGCUAAUCUAUUGUAAUGUUAGCUUGUAUAACUAUUAUUAACUACAAUUUGUCGGACUAAUUUACAUAAUAUUUUGAGACACUAGGGACAGUGUUUGCAUUGUGUAUAUGUGUAUUUCUUAAUGAUGUCUGUGCCACCCUAUAUUGAUUAGUUAAAAAUAGUAACUGCUAUGUUAGACCUUAUUCUUCUAUUUGCCUUUUCCUUGUUUUUCUUACUGGGUACCUGAUUUACAUACUUUGAGGGCAGGAAGAAGGCAGCUAAUAAAAAAAUGGACCAGAUCGAAUUCUUAUGUCUGUCACCUUUUAGCCAAACCUGUCUUUAGUGGGAAAUCUUGGGUGUUGAAUUUGGUACUUUGUGUUUCCAUAUGUACGUUGGGUCAAGGAGGAUCUGCAAGCCAUGUUUAACCUAUAAAUAUAUAUUUACUUCUGUAAGUGGUUAGGUUGUUUAGUAUGCCACCUGGGGAACACAGUAAAGGGGUUAGGAAACUAAGGAAUUUCUCUGUAACAGCUUUUUACAUUUUGAUGGUUUAUUUUAUUUUUUCCUACCGUAUUGCUAACUUUUUAUUGUUUGAUUUGGUUGCAGAGACUGCGUCUUAUUGAGAUAUAUGAUGUUAAACGGCUGCAAAUGCGCUAUGCGAAGAAUCUAAUUGGGUGAGGCAUCUUUGCCAUUCUUUACAAAUUUUAAAUUUGAGCAAGGAAAAUAACUUUAGGAAAAAUUAUACACUAGAUCAUUGCAUAUUUUUCAUUUUACUUAAGUUUGUUACUGAAACAUCAAAAAGAUCUCUUUAUUCAUUAAUCUCAAUUAUUUUAUUAGUGGUUCCUCGACGUUAGCCACUUUUGCAGCAGUAUAUGACCUGUUUGGUCCUACAUUUCCUGGAAUCUAUGACAAACAAAGAGGGAUUUAUACUUUAUUUUAUCCGGUAUGUUGACGAAUCUAUUAUUCUCGACGGUGGUAUGUCAUGUUAUUUUUUUUUCCUCCUUUUUUUUGGCUUAUUGGGUGACAUGAUUUAUGGUAUUAGGGCUUGUCCUUCGCUUUUCCAAUUCCCACCCAAUAUGCAAACAUCUUCAGCAAUGGAGAAGGUUUGUUGCUCCAUUUGUCUCUUGUCAUGAACGAUUGACUCAUUUUUAAGCUUUCCUACUAUCAAAUCUGAGUUCUCUAACUAUUUUGGCAGUACUAGCAGAGUUACCUCUGGAAUUUCCAGAUGGAACAACCCCAGUUGCAUGCCGUGUUUCUGUGUAUGACAGCUCAUCGGACAGUAAGGUUGGUGUCGGAUCCUUGAUGAAUAAAGCUUCAGUUCCUCCAUUACUUGCUGGCAGCUUAUACAUGGAAGAGGUGCAUGCAAAGGUAGAUUGUCUAUAUCUUUACAUUCUUCUCACGUUUUGUUCAGUGGUUCAGAAUUUUAAUUUAAAGAUGUUUCACAACGCGGUGUAGGACUGCUUUUUUUUUUUCUCACUUUUGCAAUUUUUUAUGUUGUUAGACACUUUAUACAAUUGCCUGGACAAUUGUUACAGUUUGGAGGAUAAAGGGAAAAGAUAUCUGAGAAAUAAUUUGCAUUAAGAGAUGACCUGUGUGUUUUUAGCUUCACACUUUUAGCUUUUUACUUGUGAAUUCAUAUCAUUGAACUACUAAGAUUGUAUGGCGGCUUUCAGUUUUAUCGCAUUUUCGUUCCAUAGAUAUUGAUCAGAAAUGCUUUACACGAAGAGAAGUGCUCUAUCAUGAUUUAUCAAUUAACCUUCCAAUAGACCCUUCCGAUGGUGUACCCUUAGUUUUGGAGGAAUGAUUCACCGAAACUGUUUUCUUUUCUGUCUUUUCAGCUUGGAGAAGAGCUAUGGUUUACUGUUGGGGGUCAACACAUUCCUUUUGGUUCAUCUCCACAGGCAAGGCUCUUCCUUUCCCCAUCUCUCUCUCUAUAUAUGUGUGUGGUUGAGUUACUAAAUAUGCACCUUCCCUAUUUUUACUUUUCUUUUGCUACUCAACUUUUUCACUUUUCUGGCUUGUCUAAUGACAUGUGACUCUAAGAGGUGUUUUAUUAGUUUUCAUUACAUUAUAUCAAACAUUCUAUGUUUAUCUCUUUAUCCAGAUUUGUGCCUCAUGCUUCCUCCCUUUUUAGAGAGUUUCCUAUACACAUAAGUUGAUAAUUUGCUUUAAGUAAAGUUUCUAUUGGCUUCUUGUUGUCGAAACUGUGUCAAAGAUCUUUCUGUUUCUCAGUAGCUAUGAUCAUCUUUUCAGGAUGUGUGGACUGAAUUGGGUCGGCCUUGUGGAGUCCACCAAAAGCAGGUGAGUACUUGCACUAUAAGUUAAUGUGGCUUCAAAGAGAGUCUUUAGUAAGGGAUGAAGCUAUUGAGAUAAAGAUAUUAUAUAUGCAAACGGAGUAAUGCUUAUUUAAAGUUUGGUGAUAGAUACAGCUUCUUGAAAAUAUGCUUAAGUAUGUUUUCUGCUAUGUUCGAGGUAGUUGUCCAAAUGCUACAUUUGCUGAAAGUAAUUAUUAAAUGGUCACCCUCUCUUAUUGCAGGUUGAUCAAAUGGUUAUACACUCUGCUUCAGAUCCCCGCCCUCGGACCACUCUUUGUGGGGAUUACUUCUACAAUUACUUCUCUCGUGGUCUUGACAUACUGUUUGAUGGACAGGUAAUAUCUAUAAACUGCAUACUCGUAUUAUGUAUUCUAGUGGCUUUAACUUGGGCUUUUUUUUCUCUUGAAAUUGUUGGAUAAUCGUACUCCUGCUACUGCAGACUCAUAAGAUCAAGAAGUUUGUUUUGCACACCAAUUUUCCAGGACACUCAGAUUUCAAUUCCUAUAUGAAAUGCAACUUUGUUAUUUAUGAUACUGAAAGUGAGUAUUAUUGAUCUAAAGCCUCUUUAAUUGAUUGAAGAAUGGGAGUGGAAGAAUUAAGCUCUAUGUUUCUGUUUGUAGUUGAAGGAACACGGCAGCCUGGUAGUACUUCAAAGAAUUGCAUAACACCUACCACAAAGUGGGAACAAGUAAAGGUGGGCAGUAUAUGCAUCUAUGAACCAUUCAUUUUAGAACUGACAGGAAGUCUUUGUAUGGUCUUUUUUUUGUAAGCUUUUAAGUGGGAUUUUUUGUUUGUUGCUUAACAAAGACUUAAUGUAUUUAAGGAGAUUCUUGGAGAUGGCGGUCGUGCUGCAAUCCAGACACAGGGUUCUAUGAACAAUCCUUUUGGAUCAACUUUUGUUUAUGGCUACCAAAAUGUGGCUUUUGAGGUGAAUAAUGAUGAUUUUAUACACUUGGGAAUGCCUGGAGUUCAUUUAUUCAUGCAGAACUCUUUCUAAACUUUAUCUUCUUUAUAUUAUUGUGCCAGGUGAUGAAGAAUGGCUACAUAGCAACUGUUACUCUCUUCCAAUCAUAAGGUACCGCAGCUAUCUUGUAAAUUCCAUAUUUUGGCUUGUUUUGCUAUAUAAUGUUAAAUGCAAUUUACGUUAUAAUUUGUUGUGAAAUGGCCAACAAUAUCUUGUUUGAAACUUACAUAUUAUUGUGCUGUUUAUAGUAGAAAUAAGGUUUUAUACUGUAAUUUUUGCUAUUUUGGUAUAAGUUGGGCCCAUCAUUUGUCACCAGGAAACUUAUUUUGUUUACGUGUUUUUCUUGUUUAGGGGGAAAAUGUGAAUUAGCAACUAUAUCUUUAUUUUCUUUUUUCCUAUGAGAACGCAUGAAACAGUUGAAAACAGCAAGAUUAUAGGUGAUCACUUAUUUCAUCAUACAGAACUCUUCAAUCUGAGCCCCUCCUUUCCUUCUUGUGGUCUCACUUUCAGACAAGCAGUGGACAACGGGGCUGAUUGUAUCAACCCUUAAUAUUGAUUAUUAUUCUUUUUCAUUGCUUUACUUAACUAACCAACAAAUUUUAAUUUUUUGGAAAUAAUUAGUUUCUAUAAAAUGGACUCCUCUCAGACACUUCAAUAAAUAUCAUCUUAUCAUCAUCACCUUUUGCUCUUUUAUCUUCUCACAUUAAAUCCACUAAACUGUGAAAUGGCUUUUUUCAGCAUUCGACAUCUUACCAUUGUAUUCUGGUUCUUUAAUAGUUCUAUUUUUAGUUCGUAUGGUCGGUGCUAUGUUAAUACAAACUUGCAGAACAUUUCUCGAGUGUUUUACAUUUCAAAUUCAGGAUCCUUAUUUUCAUGAGCAUGGCAAUUGCUUCCUAGCUGACCAAUGAUAUAUUUAGAAUGUAAAUAUCCUAAAUGGGUAUCAAGUUAGAAUGCUUCAAUUUAAUCUUUUUAGGCUAAAUUACACUUUUGUUCCUCAAACUAUGAGGCACGUGACACUUUGGUUCUCAACGUUAAUGUUGUUGCAAUUUCUAACUCGAACUUUCUAAAUUGUUGCAACUUUUAACUCGAGCUUUUUAAAUUGUUGCAACUAGCAAUUAAAUCCCAUAACCUAAUUUAUUGAUUAAAUGUUGAUAUGCUGCUAAUGCGGAAGUGACGUAAGAGUAUUGUGAUUGAUAUUUAGUCAGCUAAAUUGGAUUGUGAGAUUUGAUUACAAUAAUUUAUAAAGUUCGAGUUAGAAAGUAUAACAAUUUAAAGUUUGGAGAUCAAAGUGUCACACAUCUUAUAGUUUGAGAACCAAGAGUGUAAUUUAUCCAUCUUUUUAUGAUCCCUUUUUUGAAUGUACAGAAAACUUUUUUAUUAGUCUAAUGUUCUUGUUGAUGAGACUUCAUUUCUUGGGUUUGUGCAGGGUGCUCGCAGGCAGUUUGCCGCGAACUCUUUAUCAUGCACCAAUGUGCCUUUAAUGUUGUAUAGCUCUGUACAGGAAUUAAUCUCUUAUUCAUAAAUAUGUAUCUUUUCUGUAAAUAAAUCGGACUUAACAGGAAAGUUUAUCUCUCAUGUGUUCAUCAUUUCAAUUACUCUGUUUCUUGUGAACUGUACAAUGUAAGAUCGAACCGUUGUAAGCAUGGAAAAGUAACCUCCCCAUUCCAUUAAGCAAAAUUUGGUAUUAUUAAGGCCUUUUUAAUUUUCAUUAUUUUGAUUUUGGUAUUAUUUUGCUGUAGCUAGUUUAUUUAGGGGGUAUUCCUGGAGUGUUGGUUUGUAUUAUUUUUGUUUUCCUUCUUGUCUUAUACUUGAAUACUUUGUCGUCUUUUCUUGAUUUUUAAUAAUAUUCUUCUAGAUGGUUGUGGCAAAAUUGUCGAAAGAGGAUUAGAUAAUGCAGUCAUUAAUUGAAUUUUUUCGUUAUUCUUUUUUAGUUGGCCAAUUUGCAUAAAAAAUUUAUUAGUUUUCAGUUUUUGCAAAAGUGGGUCGUGUUUUUAGAUUUUGCAGAUUCAGAUCAGAUUUGAGCAAACUGAUCAAAAUAUUUUUAUUCUUUUUUCUUUUUUUUUUUUUUUUCUCUCAUUCUUUUUUUUCUCUUUCCGAAUAGGGCGGCGGAAGCUGAAGCAGAGGUGAAGGCGGCCUGUCUCGCCUUUGUCCCGCGCGCCCUAGCCUUCACCCUCGCUCACGCACCCUCCCUCCCUUCGCCUUCCUCGUCUUCGACCUUAGCGUAGAGAUGUCAACGGAUCGGAUUCGGAGUGGAUUUUUAAAAACCCGAAUCCGACUCCAAACCCGAGACCCGAACCUGAAUCCGAAUCCAAAUCCGACGGAUUUUAAAAAUUCAUAUCCAAACCCGAACCUGACCAAAAAUUCAAAACCCAAAUCCGAACCCGAACUCAAAAAUUUGAAUCCGAAACAAUUAUUUCUUUUUUCAAUAUUUCAAAAUAUAUUAUAUUAAAUUUAAAUUUUUAAAAUACAAAUUCAAAUAUAACAUCAAAUAUAUAUAUAUAUAUAUAUAUAUAUAUAUAUAUAUAUAUAUAUAUAUAUAUAUAUAUAUAUAUCAUAAUACAAAAUAAAUUUCGGUUCGGGUCGGGUUCGGGUACGUGUCGGAUACAAUUAAAAUCCAUAUCCGAAUCAUAUCCGUCGGGUUUUUAUUUUUUUAUAUCCAUAUCCAUAUCCAUCGGAUAUAUCCGUUUCAUUCGGGUUCGGGUUCGGAUAAAAUUUCGGAUAUCUAUACCCAUUGACAUCCCUACCGCUAGCGAGACCGCGUCUCAACACUUUUUUUUUUCUCUCUAACUCUCCUCCACCGUCUUUCGGCACUUUACAACGGUAAAGAGGGAGCGCCAUGUCUUUUUUUCUUUUCUUUUUUUUUCUCGUUUUUUUUUUUUUUUUCUCUUCAACCCCUUCUACCGCCUUCGUGUAACCCUUUAUGACGGUAACAAGAAUAGCGUCGUAUACUCUUCCUUUGUCUUCGCUAGCGAAAGCACCGACACCGUUGCCGGAGAAGAAAGACUUGGAGCAAGUGCGGGUAAGAGCGGAACCGAGAAAAAAAUAUACAAAAAAUAAAAAAAUAAAAAGAAUAAAGAAUAAACACAAGAAUAAAAUAUAAAAAAUAAUUAUUUUUAUAAGAAAAAUGAAGAACCAGAGAGAAAAGAAGAAGAUAAAUUUGCACUGUUUCAAAUGUUGCAUUGUUUUUGAGAAAAUUUAUUCUCUUUGAGAGAAAAUUAUACUUUUUUGGAUGAAAAUUAUACUUUUUAAAUAAAAUUUGCACUCUUUGAAUGAAAAUUGUACUAUUUGGUUGAAAAUUGCACUAUCUGACUAGAAAGAAAAGGAGAAAAAGGAGAAAGUGUAAUUUUUGUCCAAAUACUACAAUUUUUAUUUAAAAAGUGCAACUUUUAUCUAAAAAAGUAUAUUUUUUCUCUCAAAUAAUAUAAAUUUCUUCUAAAAUAGUGUAACGUUUUUCUAAAAUAGUGCAAAAUUCUCCUGAAAUAAUGCAAUAUUCUCUUGAAAUAGUGUAAAUUUAUUAUCUUAUUCUUUUCUUGCUGGUUCUUCAUUUUUCUUGAAAAAAUAAUUAUUUUUCUUUAUAUUUUAUUCUUUAUUUUUUUAUUUGUAUUUUCUGCAUAUUUUUUUCAGCUCCGCUCUCAACCGCACUUGUUUGAGUCAUCCUUCUCCGGCACCGGCGUCGGUGCUUGGAGCCGAUGAAGGUGGAGAAAGAGGAUGUGGCGUUGUUUUCGUUACUGUCGUGAAGGAUCGUGGAGGCGAUAGAUGAGGGUUGAAGAGAAAAAAAAAGAGUGAGAGAAAAAAAAGAGAGGAAGAAAACGUGACGCUGAUCUCUUUACUAUUGUAAAGAAUUGGGAAGGCGGUGGAGGAGGGUCGGAGAGAAAAAAAAAAAAAAGAGGGUCGAGGCGUGGCCUCGGCUGGGUAGGAGGCAAGGAAGGCGGAGGGAGGAAGGGUGCGCUGUCGAGGCCGAGGGUGAGGGCGCGCAGGACAGAGGCUAGGCGAGCCACCGCCGCCUUUGCCUCCGUUUCUACCGCCCUCUUCGGAGGGAGAAAAAAAGAACGAGAAAAAAAAAAAAGAAGAGAGAAAAGGGAAUAAGAUUAUUUUAUACAGUUUUUUAAAAAUCCGGUCCGAAUUUAUAAAACUAAAAAGGCGGCAUAUUUUUACUAAAGCUCAAAACUAAUAAUGAAUUAUAUAGUUAUAAAUAUUAUAUAUAUUAUAUAUAUAUAUAUAUAUUAUAUAUUAUAUAUUAUAUUAUAUAUAUAUAGUGGUCUGGGUGCUUUGAAGCACGGCGCGUCGUGCUUCCACUUUGUUUUCGAUGUUGAGGACUUUUCAAAUCGACGAUCGGCUCGUUAGACUUGAUCUAGCAGUAUUUGAGUAUCUAGAAAAUAAAUUUUUGCGAUUUUUCGAUAUCAUUUGCUAGUGAUCGAAGCUGGCUCCAAAAUCAACGGCUGAAAUAAAAAUCUCACAAAUUGUUGAUAUGACAUUAAAAUUUUAGAUCAAGUUAUUGAUUCUUGUUUUAUAUGGUAUAAAGAAUUUUCUUAUCAAAAUUUCACGUGAUUUGGAUAUUUCUACACCGUUUUAACUUGCAACCGGCUCACCCUGGCCGUUAAAAUUAUUGAUUUUGAGCCCCUUCGAUCAUUGGCAAAUGAUAUCGAAAAUUGCAAAAUUUAAUUUCUUUGAUACUUUAAAUACUCUAGAUAACUCUAACGGAGCCGAUCGUCGAUUCGAAAGUCGAACAUCGAAAACAAGUGGAAGCACGGAGCGCUCCGUGCUUACGAAAGCAUACCAAGCCAUCUAUAUUAUAUAUAUAUAUAUAUAUAUAUAUAUAUAUAUAUAUAUAUAUAAUAUAUAUAGUGCGGCUAGGAUGCUUAUGGAAGAGGAGGGCUCCGUGCUUCACUUUGUUUUCGAUGUUCGGACUUUCGAAUCGACGAUCGGCUCCGUUAGAUUUGAUCUUAGAGUAUUUGAAGUAUCUAGAAAAUAAAUUUUUGCGAUUUUUCGAUAUCAUUUGCUAGUGAUCGAAGUGUCUCAAAAUCACGGUGAAAAUAAAAAUCUUACAAAAUAUGAUGAUAUGACAUUAAAUUUUAGAUCAAAGUUAUUUGAUCUUGUUUUAUAUGGUAUAAAGAAUUUUCUAUCAAAAUUUCAUGUAAUUUGGAUAUUUCUACACCGUUAAACUUGCAACCGGCUCACACGAACAUUAAAAUUAUUAAUUUGAGCCCCUUCGAUCACUAGGAAAAUUGAUAUUGAAAAAUCACAAAUUUAUUUUCUAGGUACUUCAAAUACUCUAGAUCAACUCUAACUGAGCCGAUCGUCGAUUCGAAACGUCGAAAUCGAAAACAACUUGGAAGCACGAAAAGGCUCCGUGCUUCUAUAAGCAUAACGCCACUCUUUAUCUCUUUCUCUCUCUCUCUCUCUCUCUCUCUCUCUAUAUAUAUAUAUAUAUAUAUAUUGUGGUUCAGCAUAUUUUUUUAUUUUUGUCAUUUUUUGAUUAUUUUUUUAAUAAAUUGUUUACUUUGUCUUUCUACUUCGUAUUGAAAUUUUUGAUAAAUUAAAAAUUAAAUAGCGGAGAAUAAAAUAAUUUUUUUGUACUAUAGAAUGAUUAGGUAAAAAUGAGCGAAACUGUGAGGGGCAAUUUGAAGUUUACUCAAAAAUGAAUAAAAAAUUAAGUGGAGAUUAGGGGUUGAAACUAUUGCUUGUGCCUUUUCGAUAAACACAGCUAAUACCUCUGCUCUGGUUAUGUAUAACUAAUGGUGUACUCGUGUAUUGCAUGUAAUUUUUUAAGAAAUUCAUAUUUGGUUAAGAGUUUAGAUUAGAUUAGUUAUACUUAAAAGUUCAGAUCAAAAUUAUUGUAAUCAAGUUUUACAACUUAAUUUCGUUGACUAAAUAUUAAUAUAUCAUUUAUCUAUAAGUUAUACAGUGGUACUGUGAUUGAUGAUGCACUAAUAAUUAAGAUGUUAUAUCACUGAUACAUCAGCAAAUGCGUCAGUAUUUAGUCAAUUAAAUUAAAUUGUGAAAUUUUUUGCUAUAAUUCUAAAAAUUUGAGUCAAAAAUUGUAAUACAUUAAAAUUUGGGGAUUAAGGUUUAUCCCUCUUAUAGUUUGAGAGCCAAAAGUACAAUUUAUUUAUAAUUCUUAAAUUAAUAUGUCUAGAUCAUAUUAUAUAAUAGAAUUUUAAAAGUUUAUAAUAACUUUCUCAUAUGGAUUAUUAUCAUUAUCAUUAAUAUUAUUGGUGUAAAUUUUAGAUUUACAUUUUUCUCUUGUGUAUAUAGAUAAUAUUUUUUAAAAUUAAUGGCGGCGGUGUUGACUGAAGAUUGUGUAUAUAUAUAUAUAUAUAUAGAGCAUGGCUACUAUAUUCUUACGAGUAUAGAAUCCUUACUACUCAUAAGUUGUUUUCGAUGUUGGAGUUUUCAAAUCGACGAUCCACACCGUUAAACAUAAUCUAGAGUAUUUGAAACUUCUAAAAAAUAAAUUUCAUAAAUUUUUGAAAUCAUUAUAAAGUCCAUCAAGCGAGUAUAAAAUUACGGUUAAAAUUGAACGACAUCCUAAAAAUGAAUGAUCAGAUCCUUCAAUUUAUGAUCGGAAUUGUUGAUCUUUAUUUAGGUAGUGAAUAGAAUUUUUUAUCAAAAAUUCAAUCUAUUUCAAUUCUUUUUCACUGUUAAAAUAACAAAUAUUUCAUACCGGCCGUUAAAAAUUAUCAAUUUUGUGACCUCUUGAUCGUAAGGUAAAUGAUAUCGAAAAAUUAUAAAAUUUAAUAUCUAGAAGUUUUAAAUACUCUAGAUAAUGUUUAACGGUAUGGAUCGUCAAUUCGGAAGCUCUAUCAUCGAAAACAACUUAUGAGUACGAGGGUGAUCGUACUCAUAAGAGUAUAGUAGAUCCAAAAAUUAUUAAUUUUUAACUUAUCAAACUAAUUUUUAUUUUAAUUAAAAAUUAAUUAACUUUUGUAAAUUCGGGGUGCAAGAGAGAACCACGUCUCUGUUUGGAGUCCAUAAAAUAAAGUUUUUUUUUUUUUUGAGCUAAUUUUUUUCAAAAAAAUCUUUCAAAUUCAAUGGUGUUAGAUGAACAUGCAACCUAAUGUAAGGUGGAUGCGUAUCAUUAUUUUUUUUUUUAUUUAUAUAUUGGAAUAAUUAUUUAUAUAUACUCCUGAAAAGUUCGCGAUAUUAAAAAUAUUCUUUUAGCAUUUCAAGUUAUUUCAAAUAUUUUCUGUUAGUGAACUAUUAGCAAUAACACUUAUCUAUGUAAAAUUAUUAUUUUAUUUUUUUAAAUAUACUCUUCUACCGUUAGCUAGUUUUCUUAUUUGCUCUUAGUAUAUGGGCCAAAAAAGUAUUUUAAUUUUUUAUCUAUUUAAAUAUAUUUUGUUUCUAAGUUAAGGAUAAAAGAGAUAUUUUAAUUUUAUUUUUAACUCAGAUAGUAAUUUAAUUCAGAUUUAAUCUAAGAUAACGGAUACUAAUAACAAAAGUAUUUUUGAAUAAAGAAGAACUAAAUAAGAUGUAUAUUUGAAAAAAAAAAAAAUAAGGAUAAAUUAGAUAUUUUAAAAUUGUUCAGUGGCAUAUUAGAUAUUAUCCCCUAUUUAUUUGUUUCUUCUCCGACUCUAGGGUUUACUCGGAGGGCACCAACAAUGGCGACGAUGGAGGGGAAUCAUCGCAAUUAGAUCGCGCGCGAUGGAGGAGGAAUCAUCGGAUCGCGGCGGGGAUACGACGAGGGAGGCGAAGGCAACGAGCCACAAGGGCAAAUCGUGCAAGGGUUGCCUCUACUACUCCUCUCUCCUCAAAUCGGAGUCGCGCGGGCCCAUGUGCUUCGGAAUCUCCCGCACUCACCCACAAGGUUUGCGCAAUUUCUCCUCCGAUUUCUCUUUUUCUGGGUUUUGGUUCGGAAAUUUGUGACCUGUGCUUGUAUUUGUGACUAAUUUGGGGGAAAGAUGAGAAUUUGGGCGGUACGAUUCGGGGUUUUCUUCGAAGCAAGUGAUUUCUCUAGGUUUUAGGUUGUGAAUUUUAGCUGCGGGGUAGUGAUGAAUUAGUGGAAUUUGUUAACCUAAUUGUCUAAGAAAGCAUUGGUUUUUUGGAAAAAUCUCUAGGGUUUGUUCUUUGGUAUUCAUGUUUGGGCACGUAAUCUGCUUUGGAUAGGAUAGAGCAUGAGAAUCAGCUGUUUAAACAAGCCCUAACUGCUAUUGCAUUACAUUAUCCCGUCAACUUCUGCUGUAGUUAGGAGUAAAAACUUCAAAUUGGAGCUUCUGCAUUUGGAAUUGGGACCGGGAAGCUCACUUUUGUGUCUCCCACCAUUAUCAGAAGCUCUAGACGGAGCUUCUGCUUUUAGAAACAAAAACUUCAAGUUCGAGCUUCUGCUUUUAGAAUUGGGACAGAGAAACUCUUUUGUGUGUCCUACCAUGACGAGAAGCUCCCCACUUUUUCUGUUGAUGAGGAGGAAGAUUCUCGGUGAAUUGCAAGGUUUCAUGUUUCAAAUUUUGUGCAGCAUUUCACCAUAAAAAUUCAUUAUCAAAUGCUCAUGAAUCGGAAAUAAAGGGGGGUGUUGCUUCUGUCUUUGUAAGAUGUAGCUAAAUAUUUUCUCCUCCUAGUAGUUUGGUGCAUUUAUCUUUGAGGAAACUAAAUUUUAGUGGUAGUUAAGAAUGCAGGAAUUAUGUGAUACGAACUUUACUUUCAAAUGCUAUUGUUUUGGACAAUUCUGAUACUUUGUAUGGAUUUUGAGAUGCACAUGCAAAAGUAAAAGAGCUAAUUAGGCCAUUAGAGUACAGCUUUGGUGUUUGCUGUAGAGUUGUCUUUAUGUAGAUAAUUUAAAUUGACUUAAAAUGGGCUUAGCUUAUCUCUAGAUAAUUUUGAAUUAAUAAAGACAUUGAAAAGUCAUUCGUAUUGGACUCAAAAUUGAAUUUACAAUAAUGUGACCACCGCUUGCUGUGAGUUUAGGCAAUCAGAUAAAUAUACUCUAUAUUAUUACCAUUUGGUUGCUUUGUAAUUUAGAACCUUAAAACUUUUUGCCUUUUUUUUGGUUGAAUCCUCUCUUGUUAAAUAUUCCUCAACUCCUAGUAACUUACUCUGUUGUUGUUGGAGAUUGUUAUAAUUUCAUUUCUUUUACCUCUAAACUGUUCAUAAUAUUGUGUUUAUGCAACCAGUUCCUAGCUACGUAGUGGGAGAAUCUGAUAUGCAAGCUGCGAAAGAUGGCCAUAGCCUAUCAGACUUCAAGUACGUCUGUGUUGGUUACUCAGUUUUCUUGGACAACAAAGACAGUCCUAGUGAGAAGCGAGAAAACCAAGCAGAAUUGCCUUCUUGUGUUGGAAUUAAGGUUUUUGUAUCUUUUGUUUCGAUGUACCUCUAGCAAUGCCUUUUCAUUGUGUAGUGUAAGUUUCUUCUUUGCUUUAGUCUUUAGCUCAAUGGCUGCUUGGUAAAAAGUUUACUAUAUUCAUACAAGCUGAUAUAAAUUAACAGUUUGUCAACAUAGGUCGCUUGUUAAAUAAUUAGUAUCUUCUUUAAGAUUUGCCAUAUAAUUAGAUGUAAUGGAAGGUUUUUGUUGACCAGAAUGAUAAAUUAUCCUUGUCUUUUAUGCAAAUAUAAAUAGAUUAGAGGCAUUUAGUUUAGUUAUUCUUUCAGGCUAUCUAUUUAUGGACAGGAUCAAAUAAACAUUUCAGGCCCUAUUUGGAUGUCAGAAUAAGUUAUCCACUUAUCCAAGGAAAACUUAGUGUGAGGCUUUUCUAGUAUGAUUGUGACUAAGGAUAGCAUAUUUCUCCUGCAAGGUGAUUUGUCUUCUUUCGACAAAUAACUUGAAGGCCGAAUAUUAUAUUCUGUUCUAAAUAUUUGAUCACACUCCUUAUCUAUUAAAUGUAUAAAUUUGUUGAGUAAAUGAAGGAGAUAUAUUGACCAAGCUAUUCAUGCAUCCAAACAGGGCCUACAUGAUCCGGAAGUAAGAUUGAAUUUAAAUCCUAGCUAACGUGUAGAGCACUUAUCUUUUGAUUGUUUUGGAUAUAUAGAGACCAUAUUCCGUGCUUUGUCCAUCUAUUUUGGUAUCUUUGGUCCUCGUUUUUAUGGCAGUGUAACGAACUUAUGUGAACAAUUGCUCCUCGAUAUGCAUAAAAUCUCUAUGUUUGUCUUCAUAAUUUCUUGUGGAAAACAAUUUCUUUCAUGACUUGUUUUUUCUUUAAUUCUUUGUCUGUUUUUUCUUUGGUUGUGUCUGAUCAGUAGAAAAAAAAAUUGGUACAGGUAUUAGUGGAUAGAAGACCCUCUACUGCCUCUCAUGCGCCAUCUUAUGUUCACAGGGAAGGUAAUUGCAAAAUGUAGGAGAUCUCUAAGCAUAUUUGAAAACUUGCUAUAUUUGUUAAUAUCUUUGAUUUGUUAAUUUAUCUGUGAAGAGGUAUGAUCUUAUCCCCGUCUACCUCUCAUUGCAAGGUCCUAUAUAGUAUAUAGCAACUGUCGGGUACUUUUAAAAUAAUUGUGCACUCCAUUGCUUUCAAGUUUUACUAAAUAAUCUCAGAAAGUGUAUUUCUUGGUUAAACUACCUAAUUCGAUUACUGCAAGUGCAAAUUUUAGGCCUUUGUAGAACAACAUGAAUUGUCGUGUCGUAUUUUUGGAAAUGAAUGGGACAUUGAUGCUUGUCGCAUUGGGUGAGGAGAUUGACUGGGUAUUCUUAUUCUUUUCUUGUUUCUUCAUAACUGAACAGCUAAGUUGCUAUAGUAUUUAGGUUUAUCUUGCUGUUCCAUUAAUUAAUUUGUUCUGGGCCAGAAUAUAUACUGGAUAUAACCUGGGUUCAAAUUUAGAUUUGGUUGGUAAAACAUAAGCUUAAACCAUGGUAAAAAAAAAAAGAGAAAAAGAUACCGGUAACAACUUUUAUUGAUCUUGCAGAUACUGGAGCACGUGCUCAACCGCGAGGAUACAAACCUGGACACUCUUCUGUUGAGGAGUUCUUGAGCAGGUAAGUUGCAGUUUUAGUUUACUUUUGCUUUUAUUUGUUUCUAUUUUUAAUGUAUUGUUUUCCUGCUUGAGAGCCCCUUCUUGUUAGAGUCAAAGGGUAUGUCAUACUCAUAUAUUCAGCACAAUGCAGGCUUUCUAGGAAUGCUGGUCUCGUGGCUUCAAGCGCGGCUCGAAACCUACAAAAGGUGGGCAACUACGUCAAAGAAAAUAUCGACGACAUAUUGUAUCCUUACCGCCGGCCACCCAAGUAAGCUCCUGCCCCCAUUCCUCAUGCUCAUCUAAAUUGAGGAGUAAACAAAGCAAGGGAUUAAUACUAUAAUGUGUAUUUUGAUUCAUUUACUUCCAUGUGAAUUUGUAACUCCUUUCCAAGGAUAGCUCCAUCCCAUCAAGUAGACAUGACAUGGUUCGGUAAAUUUUGCUUGUUAUGGUCUCAAUUGCUCUGAUACUAAAAAGAAAGAGCUUGUUGAACCUAAAAGAUGGAUCAAGUUAGUUUUACUGUCAAUAUUAAUGGUUCUCAAUUCACAUGGUGGAUUACAUUUUAUGCUUUAGAUGUGGCGUCUAUGCUCGUCUGAGCUUACCGUAAAAUUGUUGGCAUGAUUCUGAACGCUGUAUACUGUGUGUUCUGUUCAUCAAAAUCUGUAAAGAUACCAAUUAUGUGGUAUUCAUUGAAGGUUUUUUAUCGAGUCGAAUUUUUUAGCUUUAGGAGAUUUUUGUUCAUGAAUUUAUAACAUUCUAAAAUACUGUAUUUUUAAGCUCUGUUUAGAUGUCAUAAUAAGUUAUCUCAGGCUAACUUAUUCAGUGUGAGAAUUGUUUAGGCCUUGUUUGAUUUUAUGAAAAAAAUCAAUCUGUAUGCUUAAUUAUCAAAAUUGAAAGAGUACAAGAUUUUGUGCCUGAAUCUGAUGGUAUUCUAUCAAGUUGGUUACGUUCAUGUUGAAUUGGUAGUACACAAGAUGAGUCCUCUUAUAAUAUACUUUAGGUUGGCUCGUGUUUGUUCGUUUAUUGUGCCAAACCCGUGCUACGUCGUUAAAAUAUUGAGCUAAAAAAUUCUGCUCGUUUAUUAAUGAGUAGAACACGAGCUGGCGAGUGACAAAUUAGAUUGUCAGUCUUAUUAAUGAAUGAAAAUUUGAACGAAAAUUAAAAAAUUAAAAUUUUAAUGUAAUAAUUAAAAUUUAGAAAAUAUAGGUCAUUUUAUAUUUGGAUUGGCAUAUUAUUUAAAUAGUUUUUUUUUUUUUUUAAUGUGUGUGUGUGUGAGAGAGAGAGAGAGAGAGAGACUUUAUUUGGCUCAUCAAGAUUUUGAGGUGAAAAAUUGUGUUUGGCUCAUUUAUUAAAACAAACGAUAAAUUUUGAGCUCAUUUUGAGUCGUAUAUUAGUUGGCUCGCGAAUAAUAAGCUGGAUUGCCAACUCUAACACCAUAACACUCUUUGUUUAAAAAAAAUAUAUAAUAAAAUUUUUAAAAAAUGAUAGUGAAAUAAAUAAAUUCUAAAAAUAAAUUUAAUUAGUUAGAGACAUAGAUAAUCUUCCGCAAGUGACAAAGGAUAGUACCCGAGAUUUUAAGUUUAAAAUCUAUUUGCUUAUAUUUUUAAUUAAAUUUAUUUCUAAAAAAAUAAAUAAAAUAAAUUGCAUGGUAUUUUUCUCUUAAAAAAAUUAACCACAAUUUAAAAUUUCUCGAGGUACUGGAGUGGUCGAUGGUACCGUACCAUUUAGAGAUGUCAACGGGUCGGAUUCGAGGCGAAUUUUUAAAAACCUGAACCCGAAUCUGACUCCAAACCCGAGACCCGAACCUGAACCGGAACCCGAAGCCAAACCAGACGGAUUUUAAAAAUCCAUAUCCCAAUCCGAACCUGACUAAAAAUCUAAAACCCGAACCCAAACCCGAAAAUCUGAACCCAAACCAAUUAUUAUUUUUUCAAUAUUUCAAAAUAUAUUAUAUUAUAUGUAAAUUUUUAAAAUACAAAUUCAAAUAUAACAUCAAAUUUAUAUAUAUAUAUAUAAUACAAAAUAAAUUCGGGUUCAGAUUCGGGUCGGUACAGUCAAAUACAUAUCCGUCGGAUUUUUAUUUUUGAUAUCCAUAUCCGAAUCCAUAUCCAUUUAGCAUCGGAUAUAUCCGUUUUAUUCGAGUUCAGGUUCGGAUAAAAUUUCGAACAUCCAUACCCAUUGACAUCCCUAGCAAUGAGCGGAUCCCGUCUACUCGGACUUUGUGCUGGUGAGAGGGAGAAACUGUUGUGUGCACCGGGUGCACCACAUUUGUUGAAUAAGUUAUUAGUUUAAAUUAUAAAAGAGUAUAAUUUUGGAGUAAUAUGAAGAGAGNAAACAAAUCCCCAACGUGAUUUACUCCACCACCUCCCCUGUAUAUAUAGCAAACCCUCAAUUCCCCCUCCCACCACCACCACCACCGCCCAAAUCCCCUUCAGAAGCGGCGAUAAAGCGGGGGAAGAGGUACAGAAAAGGAGAAUUGAGGCUCCGACGACGCCCUACCCCCUUCUUCUCCCCGCAAGAUCCCCUUUUUAGCUCUCCAGAGGCUCCGAUCCGAUAGAAUUCGGUAGUUUUCGAGGUAAUUUGGUACGGAUUUGAGCCUAAUGUCCUCCGCCGCCGCCGGAGCCGCGGGUGCUGGUGUUUUCCGGCGAGGAGUGGCGGCGCUGGGCCCCCUCGCGCGGCUCCCCUGGGCGGCGGCGUCUUCUCCCUCGGCGAUCGGGAUCGGGGCCUCGGUGUCGGUUCGGGGCGUCUCGCAGCUCGUUAAGACCAACGGAAAGAGGGUGUUCCUGGUCGACACAUUGGCGUUGGUAAUGUUGGAAAUUUUCCUCCUUUUGAUCCUGUCGUCAUGGAACUGGGCGGCUACGGAGGAUGCACUCAAGGUGUUUGUGUUUUUGCGUCUUUGGCAGGUUAGGAGGUUGGAGUCGCAAGGGGUGCCGACGAAGCAGGCGGAGGCGAUCACGACCGCCAUUACGGAGGUUCUGAAUGAUAGCUUGGAGAACGUGGCGCAAUCCUUUGUGUCGAAGGGGGAGAUGCAGAAGGUAUUGGUGAUGGUGGUGCUUAUGCUUGUAAAUUGCUUGCUUCUUUGUCAUCCUUUUAUAAUUUGUUAUUUCAUGCAAUUUACGGCAUGCGCAGAGCGAGAUGCUGCAGGAUUCCAAUAUCUCGAAAUUCAAGUCGCAAGUACAAAGCUCUCAGGUAUUUAGCCUCAUAACACGGAAACUCAUAAUUUGUUAUCAUCUAAAUCUAUACAGUAAUGAUGCUCGACAUUAGUCUAACAUAUGUGUCUUUAUUGGUUUACGGACGGAUGUUUAUAUCAGUGUGACAUGUUACCGUCUCGUUCUAUGUGGUCACCACUAGAUUGCAUCACAAACUUCAUUAACUAGGUAGUGACAUCCAAAUUGAAUUCUUAAAGAAUUUCUCUGUUGUUUAUCAGAUCCCCUGGUAUUAAAUCGAAGAAUAGGCUUUUUCUGUUCAGUUUUGACCCUGAGUUUAGAUGAUAGUACUGAAUGGCAAUAUAAAAUGGUUUCUUGUUGCGUUGCUAAACUUUUUGAAGGUCCACAAUCCAUCAAGAGGAUAAUGCAAAAUCUAAUUGACAAACAUUGGAUUAAAACUAACAAGCAUGAAGUUCUUCAAUAUUUGUUUUGUUUUUUAGAACAAGCAUCUCAUUUGGGCAUAACUCUGCUUUACCUUUCUGAACAAACAUGUCUCCCCACAAAAUCACACCGAGUACUUAUCCAUGAGAUACUAGAGUGGAUCUGCAUAUGGCUAAAAACAAAGUAUAAAUAGGAGAAAACAGUUAUACAUUUAUGUAACAAAUCCAUGUACUUAGACCGAUCUCUCCAGGUUGAGAAAAGAUCUGACCAUUUCCUUCAUAUAUGACAAAAUGCUACAACAAAACUAAAUAGGUUAAUACAUGAAUAGAAGACAUCAGAUCUUACUAUUUGUGUUUUUCAGCUCUGUAAGGAUAUGCUUGAUUCUAUUAGCCUUCGUAUGUUCUAUCAGUGUUUCUAGUGUGGCUUUUCUUUUUCUUUUUUUUUUCCUUUCAUUUUUUGAUAUCUUUUUUAUUGUCCUUUAAUGUACGCUAGUCUUGCAAAUAUGAAGUUAGGAACGCUUGUUUUGUUAUCUAUUUGAUAGGAUCAUAGGAUUAUUGGUGGCAUGAGUUUUAUUGUCUAAACCUAGUUCUCUAUCAAGUUUCCUUACAAGAAACUAAAAGCAUUAUAAAUAUGAAACUAGGAAUGCUUGGUUUAUUAUCAAUUUGAUAAGAUUAUUGGUUACAUGAAUUUUAUUAUCUAAACCUAGUUAUCCAUCAAGUCCUUAAAAGAAACUAUAAUCCUAGAACUGUUGAGGGAGCCAAUAUUUGCUAUUUUAUGCAUCGUCAAUUCUUAACUUUUGCGAGUUUUAUUAUCUAAACCUAGUUAUCCAUCAAGUUUCCUUAAAAGAAACUAUAAUCCUAGAACUGUUGAGUGAGCCAAUAUUUGCUAUUUUAUGCAUCGUCAAUUCUUAACUUUUGCGUGUUUCUUUAUAUAUAAAAUCUUUGACUUAAGUUUACCUCAACUGGAUGUAGGAAAACCAUUUCUCUUCAAUACAACGUGAGACUGAGAAACUCCGGGGGGAUAUUGAGAAAAUGCGCAGCGAGCUUAGGUUGGUAGUGCAAUUUCAUUAGAAGUUUUUUAUUGCAUUCUUUUUUGGAGUCAAUGACUCGGCACUUCUAAUUUAUAGCUUCUAUCCUGAAACAGAUAUGAGAUUGACAAAGUCACUGCCGGGCAGCGGUUGGAUCUAAAUCUUGAAAGAGGGUAAGGCAAUUGCAUCAACAGAUUUCGUGCAUCUCCCAAGUCUUGGUUAUUUACUUCACUACAACGUUUUUUCUUGUUUGGAUAUGAGAAAAUGAAUAUGUUGAUGAUGAAUGGAUUGCCAUGCUACAGGAUGUUAAAAGGAAUUUUGCGGGUGAAUUUGCUUUUAUUUUGAGGCCAGAAUAGCCUAUCUUGACUAGGCAUUUUCACUGAGCUUAAUUUGACAAAGUCCUAUUUUCAGUCCGGCUCUCACUUGUUUUUAUUCAGCUACCUGGUUAGAUAGAAUCUAAGCAAGGGAUGGGAUUAAGUAAUCUAAUUUGAAUGGGAUAGAUUUACUUGUAAUUAUGUUCUCGUUAUUCAAGAUUUAAUCUAAUUUGGACGACCUGCUUUUGAUUACUUGUAUCAAGUUUUGUUUUAUAGUUUUGGCUAAACUACAGAAACCCCCCCGUCAAAACUCGCUUUUUCACUUUUCCUCUCCGACUUUUAAAUAAAAUCUACAUUUUACCCCCUUAAAAUUUGAGAAAUGUUCACAAGGGCGGUUACGGUGUUAACUGUGAUGACAAAAUGAAAUUGUCCUCUUCCGCUUCGUCUCCUCCCUAACCCUCCUUCAUCCACAACCCCUCCGUCCUCCGUGCCUCCCUUGACCCCAGCUCCGACUUCACUUGCUCCACCUGCUCCCCUUUGCUUCUUCUGCACCCUGCCGCCUCUCCAUUCGGCGAUGAUAGGGAGAAAGUUGGGGUGGAUGGAGGGGUGGGCGAGGUGAGGCAGCGGAGGACGGCGAGGGUGUGGGUGUGGGUAGGGAACUUGAGUUUGCCGCGGAGGGAGGGGAGGAGCGAGGCAACGUGGCCGAGGACGUCCGCGGGAGGGAGGUGGCGCGGUUGAGAGGAGGGGUCUAAGGGUAUUUUGGAUAUUAAAAAAAUAAUAAUAAUAGGAUAUAGAUGAAACCCUGAUAGAACACUGACGGCGGAGCCAAAGUGAACAUUUCUUAAUUUUUGAGUGCGUAAAAUGUAGGUUUCUAAAAGUCGGGGAGAGAAAGCGAAAAAGUAGGUAUUGACGGGAGUUUUCUAGAAUUUAGCCUAUAAUUUUUUAUUUUGUUUGCGUCAAGGUUAAAUUCAUAUUGGUUUCAAUUCUGAGCACAACUAUUCUGAAAAUCAAGAAAGGGAAGGAAUAUAUAGAGAAUGGAAAACUCAUGAAAUGUAUUUUGAAAAGACAUCUUGAUAACUAAGGAAAUUUUUGGAUCGCAUCAAAUGAUAGAUGAUGUAUAUGUACCACUGAUUUCUGUUCCAAUUCAUGAAUGCAGGCGAAUACGGGACGAACUAGCCAAACAAAAUGCAGAAACUACAGAUCUCACCACCAAGCUUGACCGGGUGAGCCCUAAGUAGAUUGAGGGGAAAAAAAAAAAAAAAAAAAAAAAAUAGAAACAUGGAACUAUUAUGAUUUUAAAGUUGGUUUGUAACACUGAUUUCCUGUACUGUGACAUUGUCUUUUAUAGGAAAUCCACUCGUUGAAAGCCCAGUUGGAGGGUGCCAAGUACGAUGUCAUAAAAUACUGCAUUGGUACGCUUGUGUCGAUAUCAGCUGUUGGGCUUGCUAUCCUUCGCAUUCUGAAGUAACAAACAUCCCUUAUUGUCGGCAAUUUAAUGAAUCGACAAGAAGUUAUGUUUUUUUUUUUCUUUGCUUUUUUGUUUGUUCAAGAAAUUCAUUGGCAAGUUGUUGUAGCAUUGAGUAGAAAUAUCUUGCCAUUUAAACACAGUAGCUCAAAGAUGUAGAUUUAGUUCUCAUGCAAAUAUUUGAGACAGUUUACCUAUUGGAUUCAGAAUACUCAAUAAGACACUGACAUUUUAUGCUUGGCCCAUUGGAGACAUCUCAAUAUUGAUAAUCAGUAUCUGAAAUGUUAGUUUCUUAAUCUUGAAGAUGUUUAAUAAGUUGAUUAGUUCUAUUAAUAAACUCUGGGUGGUGGUUCACUCAAUACCUAGUUUAGCAUUCUUGUUGUCUUGUUGUUUUUCAUUUCUACUCUAUUCUUAACGUGUGGAUGCGCGCGCAGGAAACAUGUUUGCGAAGUCAGUCUUCUGCGAGUGCGCAAUUGAUCAAUUGCUUGCAUUAGGGGCUAAGAGUCUUUUUGGGUCCUACCUUUUAGUAAUGCAUGGUCCGCUUCUGCGUGAGUUGGUCAGUUUUGUCGAGCAGAGCACUGGUUCAGAGUCUUUUUGAAGUGCAAUUGAUCAGUUGCUUGCAUUAGGGACCAAGAGUCUGUUUGGUCCUGCUUCUGCUUCUGCUUCUGCAUGACUUGCCAAGUAUUGUCAAGCGGAGCGCUGAUUCGCUGUUUGUGUGAAGUGAUUACAAACAAUGCGAAUGAUAGAAAGAAAACCAAACACUGCCUUUGUCUUUGUUGCACACAGAUAAGUGGAACCAAUAUGACUCUUAGGAUAUGUUUGGUUCAUGAUUGAAAUAAAAAAAAAAAGUUAAAUUACAGAAAAUUCUCCCAUCAAAAUCUGAUUUUUUACUUUUCCCUUCUGUCAUUUAAAAAUCUAUAUGUUGCAUUUUAGGUACGGUGCUAAUAAUAUUGAUAAAAUAAUCAAAAUGCCCUCUUCCUUUUCCUCUCUCCUCCUAACCCUUCUUUAUCUGUAAAAGGGUAUUUUUGAUAUAAAAAAUAAUAAUAAUAAUAAUUGGAUAUAGACGGAACUCUAACGGAAUAUUGACGGCAGGAUCCAAAGUGAAUACUUUUCACUUUUUAGGAGGGCAAAGUAUAGGUUUUUUAAAUGAUAGGGAGAGAAAGUGAAAAAUCGGAUUUUGAUUGGAAGAUUUUCUAUAAUUUAGCCAAAAAAAAAAAGGAAUUGAUGAAUAAUCCAAAAUUAUUUAUUGUGCUAGUUUGUCUUAAUAUUAUAGUUUUUUUUUAGCUGCAGUUAUAUCUAGUAGAGAGUUUGAGAAAUACAAGAGUUCUAGCUUUUCUUGUGAUUCAAAAGAAAAUAGUUAGUGAUCAAAUGACACUAAAUUUAUAGCGAGGAGAAAUAACCUCUUUUGGGUGUAUGUUUGGCGUUCUUUUGCGUAAAAAACAAUUUUUAGGACAUGGAAAAAGACAUUUUUUGUUAUUAUAGUUAGUAAUUUAAUUAUGGGUUAAUUGCAAUUAGGUCCCCGCAAACAUAGUGAAUUACAAAUUUAUCCUUGUAAAAUUUAACUUUCAUAAAUUACUAGUAUAGAACCCGCGCUUCGCUGCGGUUAACAUUUAUAUGCUCUGAAUAAUUUAAAAUUUUUUUAAAAUUUCACCACGACCCCUGCAAAAGUUAUUUUUUUAAAAUUUUUUAAAUUUGUUUUUUUAGGGUAUAUGAGAUGUUCACAGUAAUCACUCUAAGAUUCCUCAACAGCGAGAUGAGGUUGAGGCAAAGCGACCCCCGCUGAUGCUCAAAUGCUAAGAUACCUCGAUGUAUUAUGUUUUUAAUUUUUUUAAUUUAUUUGUUUUAAUUGUAGAGAAUGGGUUUAGGGACGAUCGGAGGGGGGUUAGAGUUUGGGGAGUGAGCGGGCUUGCGGGAUCGCGAUCGGCGGCUAGGGCUCCGGCGAUCCACGGGGGCGGCGUCGUCGGCGGUCGCAGGGGUGGCGUCGUCUGCGACCGCGGGGGCGGGAUCGGGAAAGGGGGGCCACGGCCGUCGUGGGGAUCUCCGCCGGUGGCAAAGGAGGGACGAAGGGCCGAGAGAGAGGGCGCCCCAGGCGAGGAGGGAGGCGGGGGCGGAGUGGGAGUAGCGGAGGAGCGCGGCGGCGGAGAGGAGGUUAAUGCCCCUCCCCCCCUUCCUCUCCUCCUUCUCCUCCUCCGCCGCCGCCGCCUCCACCCUCUUCGUCGAGCCCAAGCUCCGGCCCCUUCCCUUCUCCCCCCUUCCCGCCUCGCCCAGCCUCGCCUACCUCAUCUCCGGCUUUUCCGGCGACGGCGGUGCGCUCCUCCGCGCCCUCCUCACUCUCUACCACCCCCGCAACCGCUACGUCGUCCACCUCGACCUCGACUCCCCCGCCGCCGAGCGCGACGCGCUCCGCGACAGCCUCACGCGCCACCCGGUCCUCGCCGGCCGCCGCAACGUCAAGAUGAUCUUCAAGGCCAACCUCGUCACCUACCGCGGCCCCACCAUGGUCGCCAACACCCUCCACGCUGCAGCCAUGUUGCUCCGCGACACCCCCGAUUGGGACUGGUUCAUCAAUCUCAGCGUCAUUUUAGGCUAAGAUAGAGAGGAGAGAUGGGAGGGAGAGAGAGAGAGAGAGAAAGAGGGGGCCCCACCUUAAGAGAGGAAGAGAGAGAGAGAGAGAAUAGGGAGGGGUUAUCUGUAAAGGCAAAGAGAGUGCUAGUUGGCAAUAUCUUGGUCCAAGUCCAACCUUAGGAAGGAGCCAGGAAUAUCCAAGAAUAUCUUGGAAAUAGAAAAAAAAUUUUUGGGGAAGGAGUUAAGGAGUAUCUUACCUUCCCAAGACAUUUUGGUAUGAGUGGGAGGAGAGAGAAGAAAAGAAGAUAUGAAAGGAGAAGAGAAGAAAGGAGCAGAUUUAGAGAGAGAAAAAGUGAGAAAAAGGAUGUAUGACUUGGAAGCGUUAAAAAAUGCCACGUACAUCUUUUGAGACUGUCAAAUUAUAUAUUUGUAGUAGAUUCCUGCAAAACUCUUAAUAUUUUCAUAUAUGUUCUUAUGAUUUGUUAUCAUUAGAGAACUGUUAGAAAUUUGUUUAUAUUUUUAAUUUUGCCACCGCAAAUAUGUCCCUCCAAAAAUUUUAAUAGUAUAAUAUAAGAGGAGUAAAAAUAUAAAAAAUUAAUUAGGGUAAAGUAUUUAACCUAUGGUUAAAUAAAUUUUUUUAAUAAAUUCUAACGGCAGGGACAUAUCUGAAAAUAUUAGGACUUUUGCGGGAAUAACUUAUGAAAGUUGAACUUCACAAGAAUAUAUUUGUAAUUUACUAUAUUUGCGGGGACCUGUAUGCAAUUAAUCCUUUAAUUAUUGAUAACAACCUGUGUAAAAAAUUUUGGAAGCCAAAAAAAAAGGCCUCGUUUGGCAUUGUUUUCACUUUUUCAUUUUUUAAACAUUAAUUUCAUAUAAUUUGAUAUGUUGAAAAGAAAAUUUUCUUUUGUUGAUAUAGUUGGUUAGCUUAUAAUGCAUCCGGUAAAGUGGUAGAUAAUAAUUUAUUCAAAAAAUUUUGAAAGUAAAAAAUUUUUUUUUUUAUCAUAUUUUUAUUUUUUUAUGUUAAGUAAUUCACUGUUAAUUCCCUCCUACACCUUGGAAUAUUCAAAAAUUCUAUUUGAAAAAAUAAAAAACAAACAUGAUACCAAACCACGCUUUAAUUUACAGCUUUUGUUUUCACCAUGGAAAAGAAAUUAUAAAAAAAUUUAAUAUAAUAAUUAUCUUAAUAAUUCUCCUAAAUAAGAUUUUAUAAAAGAGUUUAUCGAACAACAUAACACUCUGCAACAAAAUUACUCAUACUUUAAAAUCUCAUAGUGUUGGGUAAAAAAACUGUACGAUCAACACGUAUGGGAGGGUCGAUUUCUGAACCAAAUAUUCUGCACCGGUAAAAAAUGAGCGUCUGCAUCAUACCCAUCCUACGUACUCAGUAACCCCACGAUGAAAUCCAUGAUAAUCAUCUACUUACUUGAAAGUCAAAAUUAAUGUUUUUAUUUCUUAGACCCUAAAAUUAUAUUUUUAUGAAUUUUGCAAUAUCAAACAGAUCCUUAGGCUAAAAUGGCCCUCAUCAUGUGCUUAGUCCCAAUUAAAGGUGUAAUCGGUUCAGGUUGGUUCGGUUUUAGGCAAAGCUCAAACCGAUCUGAAUUUUUCGGCUUGAAAAAAAAUUUGCAAUCGAACCGAACCGAUUUAUGCUCGGAACCAAUUCAAACCAGACCAAAUUAAUCGGUUUAGUUUGGUUUUGCAAUUAAUUUUCGGAUGUUUUAUUUUUCUGUGAAUUAAUUUAUGAUUUAAGAUUCAAAAUUAGUACAUUAUGAAAUCACACACAAAAAACUUAAUUAUAAACAUAGAAUUUUUCAAAAUGUAUUGAUAUCUGAUCAAGAUUUGAUCAUAAAUAUAAAAUGUGAAUAAACAGUUUAGAUAAAAAGUGUAAAAAAAAUUAUUAUUUGGCUUUCGGUUUGGUUCGCUUAAGAAGUGUGUUUAAAUUGAACCGAAAUUGAAAAUUAAAUUUCAGCAAAUUUAAAAAUUGAACCAAACCGAACCAAAAAUCAUAUAAAUAGAGCCAAAAAAUCUUAUUUGGUUUGGUUCCUUUUGGUUUUCAAUUUGGACCGAAUCUUGUACACUCCUAGUCCCAGCUAGACCUGACAAAUAGGUAGAUUGGGCAAUCCGUAGGCAGAUCAUCAUACCAGCAUAUUAUUUGGGCUUAAAUAGAAUUUGUUUCUAAAUUUUUCGAUAGUUAACACCCUUAUCCAUACUCAUCUGUGAGUGGGCGGGUAUAGUAUGCGGAUUUCCCGCAAGAUUUUUUUUAUUUUUAUAUUUUCAAACACAAAAUACAUAUAUAAGUUUUAAAAGACUACAAUACUAAAGGUGUCUGUGAACUGAGUUGGAUCUCGUUAGUUAAUAUAUUAUACCAGUACAUUAAAAAGAAAUGUGUAAGGAAAAAAAACUGCUUUACUUAUUUAAUUUCUGAGUCGGGCCCGGGUCUGGGUAUUUAAGUUAUCAAUAUAUUCGCCGGUUCUAUUUGAGCAUGUUUAGGUAGUAACUAUCCGUAUAGUACCCGCUUAAGACUAGAUAUGGGUUAGGUUUAGGUUGGGUAUCAAUAUCCGUAUGCAUAUAUUUUUUAUAAACUAUUAAAUAGUUUAUGGACAAAUCAUACAUUUUUCACGAUCUAAUAAGGUGCACCUAGUCAGCGGGAUCGGAGAGGCAAAGAGAGCGGCUGUGGUUUGAUUUCUUCUUCUGCUUCUUCUUUUUCUUCUUCUUUUUUUUUACUCAUUUUCUUAACUCCAACAGUAAACAUCGACCCUGUCUAGAGAGAAAGAUUCAAUCGGGCGGCUAGGGUUAAAAAAGUGAGUUAAAAAAAUUAAAAAAAGAAAGAAGUAAACAUAGCUGCUAGAUUUCAGAUGAAAAUACACAAAGACCCCUCACUUAUAAGUUCUAGUGAAAUUGAUCCCUCAAUAUCAAAUCUUUGUAUUUACUGUUGAUAUUCCAUCGAGUCCGGGUUUGGGUCCGAAUCUGGAUUUUGGUCCGGAUUUGGAAACUAUUUUGAACCCUACCUAUUAAAAAAUCUGGUUCUAGAUCAAGUUGGAUAUGAAUAUAAAGUAUUUGAAUCCAUACCUGAAAUUUUUAUUAUUUUUUUUACCCGUACUAUACAUUUUUUAUUGGGUUCGGAUACGGUCCAGAUUGGAAAUGAAAUAUCAGGUAUUUUGGAUAGCUCUACAUAACAUAAUCUAUUGAUUAAAAUAUCAUGAUAUACAGUAAAUAAUAUAGUCUUAAAACAAUACCAAGAAAAAAAAUUAAGAUUAAAAUUUUACAGAUAGAUAAAAUAAAAUAAGUAUUUAUUUAUUUUAUUAAAAAUAUAUAUAUAUUGGUGUACACAAAUAGUCUAAAUAUUUAUAAUUUAACGAAUACCUAUUUGUUUUAAUGAUAACUUCACAUACCACCUCGGUACUUUCACACUUUCUCACUUUAGUAUCUUAUGAUUUAAAGUAUAUCAAUUUAGUGUCCGGUGGUUUUUUUUUUUUUUUUAUUAUCUAUUUUACUUAUUUUUUUCAUUAAAUCAGUAACAAAGUUAAAAUUAAAGGGUACAAAAGUAAAUAUUUGAUAAACUUAGAUGGGUAUCUAAAGUUUUUUUAUAUAUAAUUUAACGAAAUAUUAACGAAAAAAUUGAUAAAAAGAUAAAAAUGAAAUCACAGGAUACUAUCUUAAUACACUUUAAACUACAAAAUACUAAAGUGUGAAACUACAAGAGUGGUAUUUGAAAUUUGGGAAAACUUUAAAUACCUCCCUGUGGUUUCGCACUUUCUCACUUUAGUACCCUGUGGUUUAAAGUGUAUCAAGUUAGUACCCUGUGGUUUCGCACUUUCUCACUUUAGUACACUGUGGUUUCAAGUGUAUCAAAGUUAGUAUCCUGUAGUUUUAUUUUUGUAUCAAGUUAGUACCAUGUGGUUUCAAUUUUUCCUUUCUAUUAUCCAUUUCGGGUAUAUAAUUUAACGAAAUAUUAAACCACAAAAUACUAAAGUGAGAAAGUGCGAAAGUGCGGAAUCACAUGGUACUAAUUUGAUACACUUUAAACCACAGGAUAUUAAAGUGAAAAAGUGCGAAACCACAGAAUACUAAUUUGAUAUAUUUUAAACCACAGGGUACUAAAGUGAGAAAAUGCGAAACCAUAGGGUAGUAACUUGAUACAUUUUAAACCACAGAGUACUAAAAUAAGAAAGUGCGAAACGACAAGAGUGGUAUUUGAAGUUUCCCCUUGAAAUUUAUCCUCGAUUUUAUUACACAUAAAAUAGAGUCGAGUACUUUUGCACUGCAAAUUUGCGGAUACGAUAGAUCUCGCCGGGUCUAGUCCCACCACCUCUCGAGUCUCAACUUCUUAGGAGCGCCGUUCGCACCCAUUUCCCUGCAGCGACCCAAGCAUAUAUGAGGUUUCGACCUUUCCUUUCUCCCCUCCACACCCGGCCGUGUCAAAACCCUCGCCACCGAAACCCUCACCGCUCCUCCUUCCUCUCCUUAAACCCUAGCUCCUCCUCCUCCAUGACCACCGGAGCCCGCCCCCUGCCCUGCGACCCCGAGGAGGACCCCGACGAGGCGAUCUGCGCCGCCCUCGACGGCGCCUGCUCCCUCUCCGACGCGGCGGGGCCGCCGCCGGGGCCCACGGAGAUCCCGCUCUCCGGCGAGCUCCGCGUAGCGCGCGCCUGGGCCCAUUGGAGGCGGAUCGGCGCCCCGAGGCUCGUGGUGGCGCCCAUGGUGGACAACUCCGAGCUCCCCUUCCGGAUGCUCUGCCGCAGGUACGGCGCCGAGGCCGCGUACACGCCGAUGCUCCACUCGAGGAUCUUCUCCGAGAACGAGAAGUACCGUAGGAUGGAAUUCACCACCUGCAAGGUGAGAUAUAAUAUAUUUUUGAUGCUUGGGUUUGGAUACAUGUUGACUGGUUAGGGUUUUGUUUUGAUCAAUUAUUAUAUAAUAGAUCAAACACUAACUAAAAGGCAUCUCCUUCUUUACUGAAGCUAUCCAAUUUGAUAGUUAAUGAGACAAAUUAUUCAUUUUAUACGAUUCUACUCCAUUGAGCAUAAAUAUUGUCAUAUGUUAACUAAUUUCCAUAAAGCUUUCAUCCGAGUUUAGCAUUCUUCCCAAAAUUUUUGGGCCUAUGUGACAUAAGCUGGAAAUUAAAGAAUUUUUUUAUUUUAUUUUAUGCAGAGUGAUAAUUUAGACAAAGGCUAAAAUGCAAGGUGUUUCUUUUUUAAUUUAGCCCAAUUUUUAAGUUCUUAUGAAAAAAAUUAGGCCUGGGAAUACUUACUGGUCUUUUAAUCAAGUUAGAUGUCACUUUUCCUACAGGAUUUGUGGUGUCAGAUACUGUAGGCUCACAAGUUGUGUUCUUUGGAAGAAUAGGUUUUGUGAACUAUUUUCCCUCAUAUGUGAAUUUAUUGAUUUGCCGAUCACUAGCAGCUUAAUGACAAUACCACAUUCAUUAUCAUGCCAAUUUAUUGUGUUGCGCAGGUGUUUAUUUCAUAUAUAUAUAAAGAUGUGAUAGGGCUUAGCUAAACAUAGUAUAUGAGCACUAACUUCAAGAUGUUGUUUUAUCUGCUAAUACAUGCAGGAGGAUCAUCCACUAUUCGUCCAGUUCUGUGCAAAUGAUCCUGACAUAUUGUUGGAAGCAGCAAAAGUGGUGGAACCUUACUGUGAUUACGUCGACAUAAAUCUAGGGUAAUUUGUGAUAUUUCAUGUUUCUCAAUGCAAGUAACUAAUAUGUACUCCAGUAAAUGGCAAGAAUAUAGAAGCAUACAAAGAAUUUUUUAUGUCAUAAAUAGUUAAGCUAUUCAUUAAUGAUCGGGGGAACAUUACUGACUACCAUCUUUGGCUAUAUUAUUAUCAAUUUUAGAUGAUGAACGAAUCUUAAUGUUUGCUUUUUACGACAUAUCAUUAUACUCUGCAAUUAACAUUUGUACUAUUAUAUCUAGCUUAGGAACAUCCAUUGAAUUAUCCCAUUGGCCAUAAAAGGACAUGAGGCUCUGCGUUCUAUGCCGCUGUUUCUUAAACUUGAAAGCAACUAAGGUAUAAGGCCCUAAAUACCCUACUAACUGUAGUAGCUUGACCAAAAUGGAUCUAACAAAUAUAAUAAGUCCAAAAUCCUUAAUGUAUGAGUAAGCUAGUGUUAGUUAUCUAUUUCUUUGUGCAACAUGUUGUGAAAUGUUAUCGUAUUUCAAAAUUUAUCUGACAGUAUUUUCAUUAGCAUGUUUAGCUGGUCUUUCUGUAUACUGCUAACCUGACUAUAAGAUAAUCAGUGAUUAAAAGCUAUUAUAAUUUCCUUCAUUUACUGUAUCUGUUUUCUCUAACCUUGCAGUUGCCCGCAGAGAAUUGCCAGGCGAGGCAAUUAUGGGGCUUUCCUCAUGGACAACCUCCCUCUCAUCAAAUCCCUCGUCCAGAACCUCUCGAUAAACCUCCAUGUCCCAGUUUCAUGCAAGAUACGGAUUUUUCCGAGCCUAGAAGAUACGAUAGCAUAUGCAAAGAUGCUUGAAGAGGCCGGAUGUUCUCUCCUAGCCGUCCAUGGCCGUACUAGAGACCAAAAAGAUCAGAAGAAAAUCCAAGCCGAUUGGGAUGCUAUAAAGGCUGUUAAAGAUGCCCUUAAAAUACCUGUCCUCGCAAAUGGAAACAUUCGCCACAUGGGAGAUGUCUAUAGCUGUUUGGAUCACACAGGUGCCGAUGGUGUGCUUUCAGCUGACUCUCUUCUUGAAAAUCCAGCACUUUUUGCUGGAUUUAGAACAAUGGAGUGGAAGGAGGAAGAAGAUGGUGAUGGUGGUUUGGAUCAGGCAGAUUUGGUGGUAGAGUAUUUGAAGCUGUGUGAGCAAUAUCCUGUGCCUUGGAGAAUGGUAAGGUCUCAUGUUCAUAAAAUGUUAGGGGAUUGGUUUAGGAUGCAUCCCCAGGUGAGGGAGGAGCUCAAUGCUCAGUCCAAGUUGACUUUCGAGUGGCUUCAUGAUAUGGUGAAGAGGCUCAAGGAGCUUGGUGGAAGAAUUCCGCUUUAUCAGAAGGGUGGUGCUGAAGAGAGAAUAAUGGCAAAUGGACAUGCAGCUUACAAUUCAUGAUCCUUAUAAACAUGUUGGUUUUUUGAUUGCUUGUUGUCUUGCAGCACGUAUAGAAGUUAACAGUAUUCGGGCAUCAAUUAAAAUCAGGCACCCAGAGCCAGAUUUUUUGCUAAAUUAUUUACUGAUGUAUACUUUGAUCCUUGUGGUAGAACCCAGAGACAGCCAAUUAUGGGUUUACGGAAGCGAACACAUUCUCCUUACUGAUUUACAUUCACCUGCUGUUUAGUAACAACAUUGGGAGCAGGCCCACGGAAUCAAAUUAGAUCACACAGAAAUUUUGUUAAAUUGGGAGUGAUUUUUUUUAAAGCUUGUUGAUCUAGUCACAAUUAUAAUGUCAACACCAUUUUCUUGCCCGGUUCUUGGUUCAGCAUAUUGAGACGGUCAAUGUGAGCAAAUUGUUUACUCCACUGUCUCCAUAAUUUUGAGUUGUCGUUUAAAAGUUUGCCGACGACUUCUCUUUUUUGUGCAAGGAUGUUUCCUUCAUUCUAUGUUGUGCCGCACUUUGCACUAUGUAUCAUUUAUGCUGAAUCCUACGAUCUGCUCUAAUAAGUGAUUUAACAGAUAUUUGUUGUUGUGCAACAUUUUGAGUUGUCAUUUGAAUUAUCUAUUGUUCUUUUCUUCGCCUUACUAGAGGGAGGAUUCAUUCCUUGUUUGUCGACCAUUGUGUAUUUACUUCAUUUGAAGCGGCAAUUCUCUCAUUAGUCAUUAUGGUUUAACACUGCAGAAAUGUUUCUUCAUCAAAUGCUUGCUUUUAUGGCUCUAAUUGUUGAAAGCAGUGAACUGAUUUAACAAAAAGUACUGCUACAGGUACUGCAGAAUGCCUUCUCUUUUGGACUGUUGGUAUGUUGGUAUGCAUGAUGUGGGUAGUCUUUUACACACCGUCCCCAAACGGCAUUAAAUGGGGGUCGGAUUUGUUAAUCUCACUCCUAACGAGUUAUUCCGGAAUAGUUCGUUAAUUUAAAUUUUUAAUUUAUAUUUAUAUUUUAAAAUUUUAAUUCUCAAUUUUUUAAAUUUAAGAAUUUAUAAUCUAAAUUAAUAUUUAUAAUUUUAAAUUUUAAAUUAUUAUUUUUAUUUUUUAUUUACGCCCGUAGUUUCUCAAAUCGUAUCUUUUAGCUGUGGUUGGAAACACAGUGGCACAUUUGGUUUUCAAUUUUUACCAAGCAUUUAUGCAGAUCUUACAGUUGUAGUCUAUUUUGUAAUGUUUAUGACUUCACAAACCACCAAAAAAAAAAAAAAAAUUCUAUUUACAGAUGUACAUAUUUAAUAAGUAUUAUAUUAGUUUAUUAAUAUUAUUAUUAACUGAGAAGAAAAAUAUUUCAGAGAAUCCAAAAUUAUUUUCUAUAUUUUUAGUACUAUAUUAUUUUUUCAAUCAAACAACUAUAUAGAAUUUGGGUUUUUCUGGAAUUCAAAUCCCAAACUCAUUACCCAUUCAUCCGUCCACCCGCCAAAAACCACCACCACCACCGUCGUCCUCUUCACCCCUCCUUGCACGGCGGCAGCGGGUCACCGCAGAGCCCGGCAUUCCCUCUAAACCCCCCGGCUGGCACCCGCGCCUUGUGCGGCGGUAUCGGUCCUGUCAGCCGGUUGUCCGACACAUCGAACGCCUGCAGCCUCGGCAUGUCGAGCAGCCCCCCCGGUAUCCCCCCUUCGAGCCCGUCCCCUGCCAUCCUCAACUCCGUCAACGACGCCAUCUUCGCCAUCGUCCCUGGUAUCCGCCCCCCCAGUUCCGGGUUUCCUGACACCGCGAACCUCUCCGCCGACCCCAUCGCCGCCAAUUCCCCGACGUCCUCGUCCACCCCUCCCGUAAACCGAUUCUUCGAUAGGUCCAGCGUCAUGUAGUACCCUAAUGGGUCGCUCGUUGCCUUUGCGAGCACCGGUCGGAUCGGCCCGUAGAGCUUGUUGUCCGACAGGUCGAGCUCCAUGAGCGUUGCAAGAUUCUUGAAGCUUCCAGGGAUUGCCGACCGGAGCUCGUUGCGCGAGAGGUUGAGGGUGGCGAGCCCUGUCAUGUUUCCGACCCACGGCGGUAACUCGCCGGACAAUUUGUUGCUCGAGAGGUCGAGCUCCCCAAGGGAGGACAUCGCGGCGAGCCAUUCGGGCAUUGGGCCGGAAACGCCGAUCCCGGCGAGAUGUAGCUUGAACAGGCCCGGCAUUUUGCCGAGCCAGCUCGGCAAAGCGGGUUGAUUGAUUGGAUUGAAGGAGAGGUCGAGCAAUUGGAGACUCUGGAGGCCGGCGAUCUCAUCGGGGAUUGGGCCAGUUAGGUUGUUCCGUGAGAGGUCCAGAGUUAGUAAUCGGGCUAAAUUGCCGAUGCCGGAGGGGAUUUUUCCGGUGAACUGGUUGUUGCCGAAGUAGAGGGUGUCGAGUGAGGAGAGGCUCCCAAUCGACUCCGGUAUCUCUCCGGUGAGCUCGUUGCCCAAUAGAUACCACCGCUGCAUGCUCCGGAGAUCGCCGAUCGACGGCGGGAGGCUUCCAGAGAGGCGGUUGCUCGAGAGACGGCAGAAUUGGAGGGACACCAUCUUGGUGAAGGAAUGUGGGAUGGCGCCGGUAAGUCGGUUCUCGGAGAGAUCGAGAGCGGCAAGUUUGGUGAGGUUGCCGACGGAUUCCGGUAUGCCGCCGGAGAUUCGGUUCUUCGAGAGGUCGAGGUCGGCGAGGUUCCGGAGAUUUCCGAUCUCCAUCGGAAUUUUGCCGGUGAGGCCGUUGCUUUGGAGAUCGAGUCUUUCGAGGGCCGAGAGCUUUCCGAUGGACGGCGGGAUAGCGCCGGCGAAUUGGUUUUCAUCGAGGGCGAGGAAUUUGAGGGAGGACGAGGCGAAAACGGAUGGCGGGAUCGCGCCGGAGAGGCGGUUGCCGUUCAGGAGGAGGAAUUCGAGGCGACGGAGGCCGGAGAAGGACGGGGGGAUCGGGCCGGUGAGGCUGUUGCCGGAGAGGCGGAGCUCGGUCAAUAAGGAGAGGCGGCCGAGCGACGGCGGGAGCGGUCCGGUGAGUUUGGCGAGGCCAGCGAGGGAGAGAAUUCGGAGGCCGGUGAGGUUGCCGAGGGCCGGGGAGAGGGUGCCGGUGAGGGUCACGAUUUCGAAGUCUUGCCCGGCGCCUGAUAGGGUGAGGUUGGAGACGUGACCGCCGGCCCCGGCUGGGUCGCAGGUGACGCCGUACCACCCACCGCAGCAGUCGGCGGUGGCGGCGGACGGGUCCCAGGUGCGGAGCAGGCCGUGGGGGUGGGUGGUUAUGNAAUUCGGAGGCCGGUGAGGUUGCCGAGGGCCGGGGAGAGGGUGCCGGUGAGGGUCACGAUUUCGAAGUCUUGCCCGGCGCCUGAUAGGGUGAGGUGAAAGACAGAAGCAGAAGAGUAGGAGGAGGAGAAGAUUGAAGUGGAUGGAGAUGCAGGGAAUGAAAUUGUUUCCCAUGGAAGUUGCUGUAGGAAGUUGCUGUAGGUGUAGAGGUUGAUUAGUUUCUAAUAAGAAUUGGAGUUGGGUGAGAGGAUAUAUAUUAUUCUUUUGGUGCAAUUAAAUUAAAGAACAUUGUUUGGAACAGAAGAGGAAUGAGAUUCAAUGCUUUAUAUGGUAAUAAUACAAUUUGAGUGUGUGUUUGUGUGUGUGUGUGUGUGUGUGUGUGAGUGUGUGAAUAAUGCUUACGAGAAACUCGCAGUGCAGGUGUUCACAUGAAAAGGGUGCGGCAAAUGCAGCGAGGAACGGAAACGGCAGGGUUCUGGAGCUGUGCUCCACACCAGGCUUUUGACUCUGGUUUUGAACUUUGAAGAGUUAAAAAAAGCAACAAAAAUUCAAAUCUCUCUCUCUCACACAGGUUUUUUUUUUAUCAAAAGUUAUAAAACUUAUCCAAAAAUUAUAAAAUUUAGGCACAUUGCUUACUUAAAUGACAGCAUAGUUACGUAAAUAACGAAAAAAAUACUUUUGAUCAAGCAUGGAAUAAACAACGCAUUCAAAUGCUGAAGUAGAAAAGCCAACAGAUGACGCGAAUUAAACUUAUUAAAAGAUCAUUUAUUCUGAUCAAAUCGUUUCGUAGCCACAUGCGCCGCAACAAGCCAACUAUCCACUAUAUCUUAUUUCUUCAAUUUUUCUACCAGUUGAGCUGCAACAUUUUCAAACUUAAUUUAGAAAGUGAAAAGGAUGCAUGAAGACCACCUGAUUUUUUUAUUUUUGUUCAUUUAUAAAUAUUUGUCUGAACUUUCAAUUUUGACAAUUAGAUCAGCUAAAUGUUCAACAUACACCUUUAUUUAAUUAAAUGUUUAAUUAUCUAAUUAUUUUGGUUGCAUGCAUUGCAUAUAAUUUUAUAAAUAUUCAAAAUAUUAAAAGAAAUUAAUUUUUGUACAUAUAAAGAAAAAUUUUUAAAAAAGUUCAACCUAUUCUUUUGUCGCCAUAUUUAAUCAUCAAAAUUAAAAGGAAAAAAAAUAAAUUCGUGAAAUUUUUUUGGAGUUACAGGAUACUCCAUUUCAUUUGGACCAAAACUACGGUAUUUAAACUGUAGAAUUUUUUUACUGCUCAUCCAAACAGGACCUAAUUGCCAAAUUAUAAGUUUAGCAAGGUACCUAUUUGCAAACCGCUAAACAUUCAGGGGUCUCUACACAUUUUUUUAUUCUAAGAGAUAUAAACGUGUUUGGGAUGGUUAGAUGAUGAGGAUUUAAAAUAGAUGGUUCGAGGGUGAUGAACCCCGCUUGGAUGUUUUCUUUGAGACACACACAUCAUGUGGAGGCAUGGAUAAAAGGAAUAAAGGGCUCCCCUUUUUGUGUUUUUGUUUACACAAUUUUGGUCCAUAAUUCGUAUGCAGCACAGCAGUGGAGCCCAGGUGAAAGAGUGUGGGUUAUUAAUUACUUGUUAUUUUCUAUUAAUUUCUGUCUGGCUUUUACUUACUUUGCUGGAUAAAUCUGGUUCAUCAUAAACAUGGCGUGGAUAUUGGUGAUAUGAUCAGAUAAAAAUUGAUUGGCAGUGUUGAGCCAAUUAGGCGCGGACAGGUGGUACGCCGAUAUUUCAUUUAAAGGUGGCAAUUUUGCUGUACACCGGGAGCAUCGGAAGGGUUUUGAAGGAGAUGAACCGCCGCGAAAAUUAAGGGAGAUUACAAUAACCGCAAGCAGUUUCAAACGGUUCCGAUCGGCUGAAAGUGGUCCGGAAAAUCAAGAAAAGUGGCCGAUCAUGUAUAGGUAAUAACUGAUCAUAAAGGGCGAUCUAUAAAUAGAUCAAUAACGCCCUAAAAAGGGGUCUUUUUCCUGUGAACAAAAGACCGCCCUUAUUUCCUUAUAAUUUUUUCCAUUUUCUAGAAGUAGUAUACUUGUAAUUUUUACUUUCCCGCAUUUACUGUUUUUUUUCUAGGAGUAGUUCCUAAAUAGAUCAACCGAGUCUGUAUGCCAUCCGGCACAUUCAACCCUUGUACUUUUUCUCAAGCUUAAUUUCCAAGGCUUUCGGCUCUUCAAGCCGUUUAACUGGUGUGUGUUUCUUCUAUUCGGCUUAUCUACCGAGUCAAAUUUGUAGUUGGUCCGUACAUUCGGUUCAUUUCAGCCGAAUCGAAUAUUUAAUAGAGUUUUCGAACUCGGCUGAUCCGAUCCAUCGUCAACCGAAUCGUUUGAUUCAGUCGAAGGGUGCAAACUUCGAGGGUCACUAUUCGAAUCCGUUUUUCAUCCCGACACACUCCCCGAGAAAGAUUUUGACUAAGUCAAGGGUUAGAAAAUUCGGCACACAACAGUCAGAUUUAAGAAUCAUGAAUCAGUGGAGAUUGUUGACCUAAUGGGCCAGUGUCUUGGCUUAUAGCAGAAGAUCGGGUUGGACCGAGUUAUGUUCAAAGUGGCUUGAGGCUAGUUCAGCUGAGAUACAAUUAAGACCGUGAGUGUCUGUGUUUGUACGUUUUAAGUGAAUUAGUUAUAUAUUUCUAAAAAAUCGAGUUUUCGGAAUUAAUGGUUGGUGUCAACUAUCCAACAGUGAUGAUACGAAAGUUUGGAAGGAUUACAAUAGUUUCCUAUUAUCAAAAUAAUUAGAAUAUUAUGUUAGAGUAAGCCUAUUUAUUAUUAUUAUUACUAUUAUUUUUAUUUUCUUUUGUUGAAAGGUUGUGUCUCUUUUGUAGAGUAGUGUCUUUUAAAUUAUUCUGUGAAGAUGUGUCUAUUUGUGUCUAUUUGUGAAGAUGUGUCUAUUUGUGAAGUGAUAUAGGGAUAUAUAUAUUUUGAAGGGAUAUGUCUCUUCGCGCGGGACUUUUUGUUAAAAAAAUUGUCCCCCUAAUAUUCUAUAAAUAAGGGACGUGAUUUAUUUUGUGUAUGAAGUCAAAUUGUAAUUGAGUUUAUUUUGUAAAUCAAUAGAAUUUUGUUUUCACAAUUACUAUAUAUUUACAUUACUUUAGAGAUAGACCCACCAAAACUUGGUAUCAAAGGAAGAUUGUUAAUUAAGAAGAGGAAACUCUGUUGGAAGAAAAUGAUUAAUCAACUUUUUCAACUCCAAAUUUUAAAAUUGGUAAAAGAUAAUUAUGAAAAUUUAUGCAUUCAAAUAAAAGCAUUAUUUAGCUCUCAAGAUAUUUGGAAUGUCAUUAAUAAUGGCUAUUGUGAAUAUAUGGAACUAGAAGAAGUGCAAUUAACCGAACAUCAACGGAACGACUAAAAGAAUGCAAAAAAAAAAAAAAAAAAAGACAAAAACCUUCUUUUCACUCAUCAAAGCAGUAAAGGAGUCGACAUUCGAGAAAAUUGCCAAAGCAACUUCAAGCAAGGUGAUAUGGGACGUCAUUUCCACCAUCUUGAAAGGAGAUGAAAAAGUAAAGUGGAUUUGUCCACCAAAGCUUUGAGUGAAAUCAAUAAUUAUUCGCAUGAAGGAGUCCGAAAGUGUUGUGUAUUUUGUUUCUUGCAUUCUGGUUGCUGUGAGCUAAACAAAGCAAAAUAAAUAACAACUCGAUGAUGCACGAGCCAUAUAUAGGGAUGAUUUUUUGCCUUUUGCCACAAAAGUUUGAGCAUAUUAUUGUUGACAUAGAAGAGUCAAAGAAUACCAAUCCUUCUCCAUCAACCAAUUGACGGAAUCUCUCCAAUUACAUGAGCAAAAAUUACAAAAGAAAAUUGAAGCCAAGUCAACUGAACACUCCCUCAAGUCGAAAGUAAAACUUGAUAAUCAAAAGGGCAAAAGUUGCCAAGAAACUAACAAAAGAAAUAAGAAUGAAAAGUGAUAUAGUCAUAACCGACAUAGUAGGAAAAAAGAUGGUCGCAAUUUACGAUGCUGGAUUGCCACAAAAAAUAGUCGGUACAAUAGUUUGUAAUACCUAUAGCCACAAAAAAUAGUGGGUACAAUAGUUUGUAAUACCUAUAGUCUCGAACCCCUUCUUGAAAUCUUAUUUUAUUUUAUUUUGCGUACAGAAUUUUGAAACUUUUGACUUAGCAGUAGACCAUAGUUCACCCUAAUUGACCAAGCAUGGUCUUUCCAGGCUCACUAGAUCCUCCCACUUACUCUCUUUCUCCCUUCGGUUUCAUCGCGCUACUGCCCUGCACUACCAACGGGGUGGUGACACGUGGUCUAUUUUCCCCUCCUUUUUAUUCUUUCUUCUCUUUACAAAUCUCCCACCAUUUCCUAUCUUUCUAUUUUUCUUCUUCUCCACUACUAUCUAGCUCUCUUUUUCUUUCUAUUUCUUCCAAUCUUCCUACUGUAUCUCCACCGUGACACUCGAAAUCCAAUUUUCUUCUUAUUCUUUUCCCUCUUCUUUUCUUUCUCUUCUCCUUCUUUUCAUCACUUUCCUUGUACCCACGAUGCCUCUAUCUCCAACUAGGUCACCACCCUUUGGCAUUUGGGCAGCUUACACGUUGAUGGGAGACCGGGGUGAGGAUCUUUGGUUUUGGCUUGGAACGAAAAAUUUUGUGCGUGCAAGAACCAACAGUAAAAGCACUUGAAAACUCGGACUUCUAUUUUCUCUCAUUGCUUUUUUUCUCUUUUGUUUCGACUUAGCCCAAACAACCUACUAGUUGUAGGACAAUGUGCAAUUGGGUGAAACUAUGCCCUACCCCUCACCGCAUUCCUGUAGUGUUCGUAUUCCAAAAUUAAACAUUGCAGUAUUUGGCAGUCGAUCAAGGGCGUUGACGAUCAUCCAAUGGUGUGUAAAUCAAACGUUGGCAGCGGAUUAACAAAUACUCAAUUGUCUAGAUAUCGAUGGUCGACCAGCUGCUGGACAAUGGUCGAGCGAUUGCUGGACAGCAAUCAACCGCAAUAAGGUUAUAGCAUAUCUAAGUCUACUUGAUGAGUUAGAAUUCUUACACUCCUUUCUCUCUUUUUAAUAGGAACUUAAAGGGUUUCUUUUGAGUGUCAAACAGUGCAGUUUAAUCUCAAAUAAUGCAACUUUUAUUUUAGAUAAUACAACUUAGCCUCUUAUAGUUUUAAAUAGUAUAACUCUCAAAAUAGUGUAAUUUUCGUCUCAAAUAGUGCAACUUAUUAUUCUUCUUCCUUCUUCUCUACUCUUGGCCUUUUAUGUAGAAGCCAUAACACAUGAUUGCCUUCCUAAGAAAAGUAAUUUUUUUUUCUUUUUUAUUCUUUCUUCUUAUUUUUUUUCUUCCACCUCCGCAUCUACGCUAUGCGCUCCCUCCCUCGCCCACUGCUAUAGCAGCUGCCAACACUCCGAUGCGCUUUCUUUCCCCAUCAUCCUCAAACCCUGUGGCACUUUCAUCGUCGCCACCAUCACCAACCAUGGCCACACCCUCUGUCGUAGCCUCACAUAUGUGAUUUGCGCCAUAUCCGAGCUGGCAUCAAUACAUAUGUGAUCAAGAUGAGAGAGGAGCGCAAUGUCGACGUGGGAACAGUAGAGAAAGGGAAGGGAGAGAAAGCGGGAGAAAAAAGAGAAGAAGAAACGGCGAGGAGGAAAGAGACGAAACAUAAGGAGAAAAAUAAACGAGAGAAAAAAAAAAGAAAGAGAAAAAGGAAUAAGAAUAUUUUUGUCAAUUUACUAAAAAUUCGGAUCGAAUCUAUAAAAUCCAAAAAAUAUAAAUUAGCCCGUUUUUACAAAAAAAGGCAAAAACAAUGGAUUAUUUUAUGUAGAAAGGCCAUAAUAUAUAUAGAUGAGUCUUCUUGAUGCCAAAAAUUAUUUUCGGGAUUAAAAUUUACUAGAUUUAUUAUCUAAUUUUAACUAUUAAAUGGUAAAAGAAUAUUUUAUUUAUUGCAAGACUGAAUUUAUUAGUUUAACAUCAGAAAUUUUUUUAUACUUUAUUAUUUUUUUAUCAUUUGCCCAAUAUUAGUCAUUUUUUUAAUAUAAAUUGAUGGCCAAUUUGCAUAAAAAAUCCAUAAGCUUUGAGCUUUUGCAAAACUGAGCCACAUUUUUCAAUUUUGCAGAUUCAAGCCAAAUUUUUUGCCAUCGGACGAAAAUACCCUUAUUCCUUUUCUCUCUCUUCUUUUUUUUUCCUUCGUUAUUUUUUUCUCGAGGACGCGCUCCAGAUCGCCACCACCCGCCUCAAGGACGAGUUCCGCCACCUCCUCCUCAGCAGUGCCCUCCCCAUCGCCUCCUCCUCCGUCAACGAACCCACCUCCUCCUUGUGCCGCCUCUCCCUCUCCCAUGGCGUCCAUGGCCUGCAUGGCAUCGGCCUCCAUGGCCUGCAUAGCGUCGGUAUCGAGCGGGACCAGCGCCGCUUGCACGUCAUACUGUAGCGGCCACUAGCCGUUGCACAGAACCGUGAACAGGGCGGCGCGUAGCAGCGCAACGUCGAUCCAUUGGAAGCUAAGCGUGAAGCCGACGUCCGAGAAGCCUGCGGCGGCCACGCGGUUGUCGUUCUCGGCGACCACCGUGAGGGGCAUCCGGACGCCGAGCGUGCCGGACUGGUCAUUAUCGAGCCAGCCUAGGUGCGCCGCUGGCAUGUCAAACGGAGGGGAAGAAGGAAAAAGAGGAGGAGGAGGAGAAGUGGUGCAAAUUUCGCCCAAAAUUGCACUAUUUUGCCCAAUUUUGCACCAUUUCGUCCAAAAUUGCACAAUUUCUUCUUCUCCUCCUCUUCCUCUUCCUCUUCCUUCUUCCUUUUUACACCAUUACACCAUUUUUUACACCUUAAAAAAUUGCAUUCUUUAAACGCUCUCAUCUCCCUCGCCGGAAAGUAGGACUCGGACGGCAAUCUUGAGGGCAUGGAUCCAUUUCUUCAUCUUAGAGUCGAGGGUGCUCCACUCGAUCCUUUGGACCUCCUCGAUACUCAUCUUGUUGACGCCAAGGGCGACGAGGGUCUCUGCGAUGGCGUCGCGGCGGACAGCGAUGUACAUCUGGCUCAACUCCUGGUCGUACCUGGCGCGGAUCAUGCGGCCGGUGACCUCCGCGGGGUCGGCGACGGCAUUGACGUGGAGGAGGUCGGAGGAGAAGUGGUCGGCGGAGAGGGAUCCCCCGCCUCCUCCUUUGCCGCCACUGCCGCGAGAGUCCUCGAGAUUGGCGCCGUGGGGGUGGGGUCGGAUCUGGCGGAGGAGGUGGGGGCAUCGUCGUGGGAGAGCGAGAGGCAGCAGAAGAAGGAGGUGGGUUUAUUGGAGGAGGAGGAGGCGAUAGAGAGGGCGCUGCGGAGGAGGAGGUGGCGGAAGAAAAAAAAUACGAAGGAAAAUAAAAAAAGAAGAGAGAGAAAGAAAAUGAAUAAGAGUAUCUUCGUCCGAUGGCGAAAAAUCCGGCCCGAAUCUACAAAAUUGAAAAAGAUGACUCAGUUUUACAAAAGCUCAAAACUUGUUAAUUUUUUAUGCAAAUUGGCCAGAAAUAGACUAUAUAUAUAUAUAUAUAUAUAUAUAUAUAUAUAUAUAUAUAUAGAAAUAUAUAUGAUUAAUUGCUANNNNNNNNNNNNNNNNNNNNAUAUAUAUAUAUAUAUAUAUAUAUAUAUAUAUAUAUAUGAUUAAUUGCUAAAAAUAAAAAAAUGUAGAUGGAAAAUAGAAAAUUCUUAAAAUUUAGACGACGAAAAGCUCACCAAUGUAUGUAAUACUCUAAUAUUAUAUAGAUUUAAAUAAAUCGCAAAAACUUAUCAUCCAAUGUCAUCACAGAUUUUUUAUUAAAAACGGCCUUCAAAAUUAAUACUCCAAUUAAAAGUUCAUUUUCCCUAUGAUUCAAGGCAUAAUGUCUUUCCCUCCUACUUUCACAUAUUGGGUGACCAUUACUGCUUGAGAAUAGCAGGUCAUCCUUUUUGAGUUAUAAAUUUUAUUCCUUCAUUGAUAAGAAAUAAGUGACUAAGAUUACAAUGAAGUGUCCGAGCAUUGCUCUCAUUAGAUAUAGGGUAAACUUAAAUAUCACUACUAUGAUUUUACACUUUCUCACUUUAGUACCUUAUAGUUUAAAGUGUAUCAAGUUAGUGUUCUUUGGUUUUAUUUUUAUUUUUUCGUCAGCUUUUUCGUUAAUAUUUCGUUAAAUUAUAUACAAAAAACUUCAGAUAUCCUAUCUAGAUUUAUCGAAUAUUUGUUUUAGUACCUUUUAGUUUUAACUUUGUCACUGAUGUAACGAAAAAAAUUAGUGGAAUCGAUAAUAGAAAGAUAAAAAUGAAACCAUAUGGCACUAAAUUGAUACACUUUAAAAUCACAAGGUACUAAAGUGAAAAAGUGUGAAAUCACUCGGGUGGCAUUUGAAGUUUUUUCUUAGAUUUUAUAUCAUAUCUUUUGCUCAAGAAAGUCUAGGCUUAAUUCAAAACUUUCUAUCAAAUGAAAUCGGGCUGAUGGUUUGAUAACUCUAAAUUACGUCCUCGUCUAAGUGGAAUAGUAGAAUCGAAUUUGUUGCCCUUAUAAACAGAUGCCUAAAGAGAAAAUUUAAACUUUUCCUGAUGACUUGGAAAAUCUCCACUUGCAGAGUACUGCUGUAGAUUCUUUGGAAAUUUUAAAAAUAUUAAAAUUAUAUCUGUAUUAAUGUUAAAAAAAAUGUUCUAUUUAUUAAUGUAUAUAUUUUUAAAAGUUUAUUAACAUGUUAAUAACUUACCAGGAUAAUAUUUCAGAGAAUCUAAAAUAUUUUCUAUAUUUUUAAUACUAUAUUACUUUUAUCAAUCAAACAACUAUAGAAUUUUGUUCCAAAGUCCUUGCUGAUUGGGGUAUAUUUUUUACGAGAUUCCAGACUUCCCAACCUCUGUCAGUCUGUCAGAAUUUAAAUCUCAAACUCACGCCCGCCAAAAACCACCACCACCACCGUCGUCCUCUUCACCCCUCCUUGCACGGUGGCAGCGGGUCGCCGCAGAGCCCGGCAUUCCCUCUAAACCCCCCGGCUGGCAGCCGCGCCUUGUGCGGUGGUAUCGGUCCUGUCAGCCGGUUGUCCGACACAUCGAACACCUGCAGCCUUGGCAUGUCGAGCAGCCCCUCCGGUAUCCCCCCUUCGAGCCCGUCCCCUGCCAUCCUCAACUCCGUCAACGACGCCAUCUUCGCCAUCGUCCCUGGUAUCCGCCCCCCCAGUUCCGGGUUUCCUGACACCGCGAACCUCUCCGCCGACCCCAUCGCCGCCAAUUCCCCGACGUCCUUGUCCACCCCUCCCGUAAACCUGUUCCUCGAUAAAUCCAGCGUCGUGUAGUGCCCCAAUGCGUCACUCGUGGCCUUCACGAGCACUGGCCGGAUCGGGCCGUAGAGCUUGUUGUCCGACAGGUCGAGCUCCAUGAGCCUUGCGAGGUUCUUGAAGCUCUCGGGGAUUGCGGACCGGAGCUCGUUGUGCGAGAGGUUGAGGGUGGCGAGCCCUGUCAUGUUUCCGACCCACGGCGGUAACUCGCCGGACAAUUUGUUGCUCGAGAGGUCGAGGACGCCGAGUGAGGGCAUCGCGGCGAGCCAUUCGGGCAUCGGGCAGGAAACGCCGAUCCCAGCGAGGUGUAGCUUGAACAGGCCCGGCAUUUUGCCGAGCCAGCUCGGCAAAGUGGGUUGAUUGAUUGGAUUGAAGGAGAGGUCGAGCAAUUGGAGACUCGGGAGGCCGGCGAUCUCAUCGGGGAUCGGGCCGGUGAGGUUGUUCCUCGAGAGGUCCAGAAUUUGUAACCGAGCUAAAUUGCUGAUGCCGGCGGGGAUUUUUCCGGUGAACCUGUUGUUGCUGAAGAAGAGGGUGUUGAGCGAGGAGAGGCUCCGAAUCGACUCCGGUAUCUUUCCGGUGAGCUCAUUGCCUGAUAGAAACCACCGCUGCAUGCUCCGGAGAUCGCCAAUUGACGGCGGGAGGAUUCCGGAGAGGCGGUUGCUCGAGAGCCGGCAGAAUUGGAGGGACACCAUCUUGGUGAAGGAAUGUGGGAUGGCGCCGGCGAGGCGGUUCUCGGAGAGAUCGAGAAUGGCGAGUUUGAUGAGGUUGCCGAUGGACUUCGGUAUGCUGCCGGAGAUUCGGUUCUUUGAGAGGUCGAGGUAGGUGAGGUUCCGGAGAUUUCCGAUCUCCAUCGGAAUUUCGCCGGAGAGGUCGUUGCUCCGGAGGUCGAGUCUUUCGAGGGCCGAGAGUUUUCCGAUGGACCGCGGGAUCGCACCGGUGAAUUGAUUUUCGUAGAGGGUGAGGAACGUGAAGGCGGGCGAGGCAAAAAUGGAAGGUGGAAUCGCGCCGGAGAGGCGGUUGUCGUUCAGGAGGAGGAAUUCAAGGCGGCGGAGGCCGGAGAAGGACGAGGGGAUCGGGCCGGUGAGGCCGUUGCCGAAGAGGUAGAGAUCAGUCAAUAAGGAGAGGCGGCCGAGGGACGGCGGGAGCGGUCCGGUGAGUUUGAUGAGGUUGGUGAGGCCGAGAAUUCGGAGGCCGGUGAGGUUGCCGAGGGCCGGGGGGAGGGUGCCGGCAAGGGUCGCGACGCCGUAGUCGAGCGCGACGCCUGAUAGGGUGAGGUUGGAGACACGGCCGCCAGCGCCUGCUGGGUCGCAGGAGACACCGUACCAUCCAGCGCAGCAUUCGGCAGCGGCAUCAGCUGCGGACGGGUCCCAGGUGCGGAGGAGGCCCCGGGGGUCGGCGGUUAUGGCGGCUUUGAAUGCGAGAAGUGCCGCGCGGUCCGCGGGGUGGCACGACGCACUACAUUGCAGCGAAAAGCAGAAGCAGAAGAGGGAGAGGAGGUUGAAUUGGAUGGAGAAGAUGCAGGGAAUGAAAUUGUUCCCCAUGAAAGUUGCUGCGAGUGUUAAACGUUUAGUAGUUUCUAUAGAAGUAGAGUUGGGUGAGAGGAUAUUCUUUCUUGUAUGAGGUAAGGGGAGCAAAUUUAAUUGGUAAAAAUGCGUUGUUAGGAAGUGUUUUAUACGGAAUGGUGAUAAUAAUGCGUGUGUUUGUGAGAAUCGAUGCUCCUCCACGUUUUGAACUUUUGAACUGAAGGCAUGCGCUAUAGCUGGCCAACAUCCAUUGAGUAAUCAUUUCAAUUUUUUUGAAAGUCGAAGAGCAACUUUUUCUUGAUUUUAUUGCAACGAGCGCACAAACAGAACCGACAAAAAGCGAUUGCAAAGGAGACAAAUCAAAGAAAUAGUAAGAUAAAAUUAAACACAAGGAUCUACAUGAAAAAAAUUUUUGUUAGGAAAAAAUCAUGGGUAAAAAAAAAAGAGAAAUUCACUAUGAAAAAAGAAGUACAAUAAUUUUGGAGAUUUUAAUUCGAUGUAUCAUCAGCAAAGAAAGAAUAAGUGGCUGAUUUUUGGGUGAGUGUUACCGAAAUGCCUUCAUCCCUUUCCAGACUUAGCUUUCAGAUUAGGACUGAAUGACUUGGGCAACCUUUACCAUUCUUAACCUCAGAAAAGAUCUAAGACUAAAGUCGCUCUCCUUGCCUCUAGAGCAAAAAAUAUGAAAGAAGGUGCUUAAACAAAUUUUAAUUCAUUGCAUCGCCUCUGAGGGCUCCACAAAUAUUCAUUUUUUCUUCAUAAUUUUUUUGUAAAUAUUUGUUGUACUGUGAAACUAACGGUGAAUCAAGCGCACAAAAUCGAACUCAAUAACAAAAUUUCAAGGUACAUCUAACAGAUUUAAAAAAUGAACAUGAUUGAGAUGGUUAGAUGAUGAGGAAUAAAAUAGAUGGUCCGAGGGUGCUGGGUCCUCUUGGAUGUUUUCUUUGAGACACACAUCAUGUGGAGGCAUGGGGUAAUGGAAUAAAGGGCUCUCUUUUGUGUUUUUGUUUACACAAAUUUGGUCUAGUUUGUGUACAACGGAGCAGUGGAGCCCAAAUGAAAGAUGUGGGUUGGUACUUAUUAUUUUAUAUUAUUUUCUUUAGGGAAAACUUCAAAUACCUCCCGUGGUUUCGAACUUCCUCAUUUUAGUACCAUGUAGUUUAAAGUGUAUUAAGUUAGUACCCUGUGGUUUCGCACUUUCUCACUUUAGUACUCUGCGGUUUAAAAUGUAUUAAGUUAGUACUCUGUGGUUUCAUUUUUGUAUCAAGUUAGUGUCCUGUGGUUUUUUUUUUUUCUUUUUAUUAUCCAUCUUGAGAUUUUUUUUUGUUAAAUCAGUGACAAAGUUAAAACUAAAAGCUACUAAAAUGUAUAUACGAUAAAACUAGGUGGGGUAUCUAAAGUUUUUUAUAUAUAAUUUAACAAAAUAUUAAACCACAGGGUACUAAAGUGAAAAAGUGCGAAACCACAGGGUACUAAAGUGAAAAAGUGCGAAACCACUGAAUACUAACUUGAUACACUUUAAACCAUAGGGUACUAAAGUGAGAAAGUGUGCGAAACUACAUAGAGGGUAUUUGAAGUUUUCCCUUUUCUUUAUGGCUUUUAGUUACUCUGCUGGAUAAAUCUGGUUCAUCAUUAGCAUGGGAUAAUUAUUGGUGGCAAAGUAGAGAUAGGAGAAAGAUUCAAAAGGAAUUUUGAAUUGGUAAAGAUGUUAUGAGAGAUUUGAAUGAUCAGAAGAGCUUCUUAUUAUUAAACUAACUAGAAUAUAAAACAUUUGCAGAAUAGGAAUAUAGGACAGAGAGGAGAUAGGAUGUUAACCAUCAAAACUUUGAAUCAUUUUAGCAAAACUCUUUACUAACUCAUUCGCAACUUAAAUUUGUUGUGCUCUGAGAGAGUUUACCACAAGUUUAAUGGAAUAAAAUAAAAUAAAUUAUUACUGCAAAGGCUAUUUAUGAGUUGUUUCCUAUCAAAUAGAUCUUUUAAGUAAUAUGGCAUAAGAAUCGGUCCUAAACCCUUAAUUUCGAGAGAUCAGAGUUUAAUCUUUCCAUCCAUCAUUUGAUAACAUAAUCUUUCAUCGGUUAUCAUCUUUCAUUACUUCUUCUACUGGUGCACACGGUACAAUUCAUCUGUCUUUCACCGUGCACGCGAGCAUAAAUAUUAAGACUAUUUCUGAGUUACUUACUGUUAGAUUUAUGCUAUCGCUUAAAGGAUGACAAAGAAUAUUUCAGCUAUGUACCUCAGAGCAUGCCUAAUAACACAAAUCUUUUUUCUUGUCAUCAUUGGAGGAACUGAGACAAAAGUUUUAGAAACUCUCGGGCCAACUCCUCAGGCACUUUGAUAAUUAUAGGUAUCAAUGAUCUCCAUAAGUACUCCACUGUUCAAUUGGGGUCCAUUGCUUUGCUGUACACAGGACCAAACAUUGCAAGAAAAGCCAGAAGAAAAGACAAAAGCAAGCCUUUUCCAUCCCUUGUGCACUUAUCAUCCCCAUCACCCUUAAUUUAUUCCUACAUCUUAGGUCCAAAGUGUCAGCAUUAAAAUCUGUAUUGAACAAAAUACCCAAGGGGAUCCACCACACUCACACUUGAGAGAGAGAGAGAGUCUAUUGAGUUGUUAUGUUAUUUGGGGACAAUUUCACGACAUUCUUACAAUUAUGACAACUCAUAAUAGAGUUGAGCUUCUGUGCUUUUAAAAGGCACAUAAGCUCAACAUGUUUGCAAUUUUUAGCCGUCGGAUCAACUCAAGAUUCGUGAGCAUUAGUAAAGAAAACUUAAUGAGAUACAUUGUUAAUAGUGUUACAUGAAACUCCGCCAGUUAAAAAGUCACGAGUACAAAUACUCAUAUGCUUUUAAAAGCACGGGAGCUCAAAUCCUCAUAAUAUAAGGAUUAGAAUUUGAAAGUCGGCAUAAGUUGAUAAGUUAUUCAAAAUAAAAACAGUCUAGUAUGAUUGUAAGAAUAAAGUUCGAUCUUUACUCUUUAAAAGGACUUGAUAUUCAUACUUUGAUAGGACAGCAUAUUUCACCUAUAAGGUGAUUAAUCUUAUCCGAAAAAAUGACUUUAAGGCUAAAUAUAGUAGUAUCCAAUUCGUGACAUUUAAUCACAUUCCUCAUUUACCAAAUGCACAUGCUUCUAAUUAAAUUAUGGAGAUGCAUCAAAUAAGAAAUUCAUACAACCAAAUAGGACUAUAACAGCAAAGAUGAUGCCAUGACACCAGAAAAUGAGGUCGGUCAUAUUCUCAAUUUGGUAGUUGUUAUCUCAUAAUUCAUACCACAUUCCAAUACCACUCAUUUUGGAAAGCUAAGAUUGAACUGUUGAGACCAAAUAAAAGUGCAUUGAGAAUCUGAGAUCUGAGGGAGAAUACUAGCAUUGAAACAUAAGGAUUUUGCCUACUGAUAUUCACUCGGCAACUUCGAACGAAAAAAAAAAAAAGGAAAACAGAAAAAAUAAAUAAAUUUUCUCUUCCAAUGCCCGACCUAAGUGAGCCCUUGCAUACUACAGAUGUUUUGAAACAUUGUGUUUUUGUUUGUUCUUCUGUUGUCCUUUUUUGUUACUUGUAAUUUCCUUCUUGUUAAUCUAUUUUCAUUAGAGCCCUACUGACCUUUACCUAACAACGAACAUCAUUUCAAUUACUCGCAUAAUGUUGAAUAAAAUAUGCAUAGAGAAAAAUUGAAGUUCGGAUGGAAUUUCUGCCCAAAAAACCAAUAUAUUAAUAUGCAACAAACAAAAUUCAUUACUCAUUACUUUCACAAGUAUUUAACAAAAUAAUAACGAAUGGAGGAAGCUGCGUGAAGAUUAGAUUUAGAAGAUUCUGUCAUGCUAAAGAAUCGACAUUAAAUUAGGAUUAAUAUUUGAGUGCAAACAAUUGAUUUCUAAGUAUAGAAACUAUGGUCUACAAGUUUUCAAGAAAUAAAUUCAAGAAUUAAAAAAAAAUCAAUUAUUUGUGAAAACUAGCAAUAAAUGCUGCAAAAGACUGGUUAAAUAAAAAAAUCAUAAACAUGUAACCUUUGAUCACGACCUCUCUGCAAACUGCUCAGGCCGCCAAUCCCCCUUCUCCGCACAAAUUAUACCUUCUUGAUCUUUGGAGAAGGUCAAUUGUACUUCCCAGUGAAGCGACUUCAAGAUAUCCGCCACCUCGCUCACAGUAGCGGACUCAUCGCGGAUAAUAAUUUUGCCACCCGGCCUCACAAUCCUAUCGACCUCCACCACAAUAGGCACAAUCGCACAUCUAAAAUUGGACAACCGAAGAACUCUUCUUAAUUACACGAACAAUAAUCAAAGGUUGAAAAAGAAAUUUGAAAAGAGAAUUUACCCACUCACCUCUUUUUUAUGUUUGAGAACAGGUGAUCAGCAUGCAAGAGGUCAUAAGUCCUAGGAUAGGUGCUAAAAGAUUCGCACCAGUCAUGAUAAAUACCAAAGAGGCCCCUCUCAUAGAUGAUUGGUAGUGUAUCUGGAGCAUCGAUGUUCACCACAUUCAUGACCCAAACUUUAAGAUCCUUAAGUGCAGCAGCAAACCUGAAAUAGUUCUUGUGAAUUAACAUAUGAAAGCAGUAAAUAGCACGAGGGAUCCUUGACCUUCUAGCAUAGUUUUAGUCUGAUCCUCAAUGUUUCAAUUGUUACAAUUAGGUUUGGGACCUGUGCAUUUCAUUGCAAUCCAAACCUCUCCAUUCCAUCAAAUUCCUCAAUUAAAUUGGACAGAUUUCCACGCAUUCAUCAUCAAACUGCUACGAUUGAAGAGGUUAAGCUUGCAUAAAAUGCAACAGUUAGUGGUUUAAAUAGAAACCUAACAAAAUGGCUUCGAGGGACCCCUAGUUAGAUUCCGAAGAAAAGAAGUGUUUUUAUGAGUCUAAAGCAUAGAAGCAGUAUUUUACCCGCCAUAGAUAGCUCUCAUGUCCAUAACAUUUCUCACUUUUGACCAGUUAAUGCCAAAGCCACUGAGGUAGGACUUAGUUACUACUUGUUUCCAGUGUUCAUGAUCUGCCGUGAAAUCAUCAGGAGCAGGUUUUCCAUAGAUUCCAAUCUGAGAGCUGUUUAGCCAGAAGGGUGGGACUCGCAGCCUUCUUGGCCAUUCCUCGGGCCACCUUGAGCCCCGCUCAGGUGCAUCAACUGGCACUCGGUGCAAGCAAGUCUUCAAAGGGAUGUACCUGCCAAUAGAAAGAAAAAUAAAGAAAGAAGUUAGAGCGAGACUUACGUAUCGUGAACAGUGAUCAUAGAGAUGUCCUAUAUCUACUUCGUUCGUAAGCUAUAAAAAUAUUUUAUGCUUCAGAGGUGGAGUGAAACUGUAAAAUAUUGAUGUUAUCUUGUAACUUAUUGCGAAUUAGUUCACAUUAAUUUCAGCUCCACAAUCUACCAUCUUCGGUAAAAACAAGUAACAAUAAGAUGAGGUCUAGUGUAAGGAUGAUCAUUAAGUAUACACUCACUUUUUGUCCAAACGGUUUUAUCUGACCAAAUAAAAAGAGUUAGCAAUUCAUACAUACGCCAUGCGUUAAAAAGGCCACGUACUAUACAGGAAACAACAUUUUAAUGCAAAUAUAUGAUAACAAGUUCAUUUACUGAUGAAACUACUCCAGAAACAAAAACGAAAGCUAAGUAGCAAUGGUUGCCAUUUUGACAAAAUUACUUGUUGAAAUGAAAUGUGAUAGUAUGACCCUGUACUGGUAAUUGUUGGAACUCACCAAGCUGCAUUUGGAUCAUCAUCUUCAUCACACAUCGGAGGGUUCUGAUGCUUUCUGGUCUUGUAGCAGUCAUUAGUAGUAGGUUUACGGUAGAAGGCAUCAGCAAUACCAUUCAAUCUGUCCUUUCUAAUGGUGACAAGAUUCCAACACAUGGAGCUGGUAAUAGACAUCAUGACUGGAAAAUAGGAAAUAAGAUGCUAUAACCUCAGUCAUAUCAAAUCAGAUUCACAUUAGGAGAUUUGACUAAUAGACCCUACCCUUCCAGAUUUGAACAUCUUCCUCAAGUUUCUGAUACACAGGCGUUUCUGACCAAAUGAAAAACCCUCCUGGGCGUAAAACACGGUUUAUUUCCAAAAGAAGAGUGCCACCUACAACAGAGUUGCAUUCUCAUAUUAAUUGUCGAAGCAUACAAAAGGCACCAUCAUCGAAACUGAAAAUUGAUUAUCUAGAAUGCAAGUUUUAAGACCAUUAGGGGUCCCUAAUCUUUUAACAUAGUUUCAUUUGGCCCUCUACCUUUAAAUUAUUACAUUUGUCUCCCUAAUCUUUCCACUCCUUUACAACCAAUCUUUCUCUGUUAAAAGAAAAGAAGAUGCCUACUUAAUUGCAACUAACUGCCAAGCAUGUAAUUUUCAGAUUUCUCAUCUUUUGUGUUAGGGUAGGUUUUUCUUACAUGACAGGUACUGAUAAUUACAAGGUGAUUAUGUGGAUUAUCUGUCUCGUUUAACACAGAAAUUUAACCGAAAGGAAAUGGUUGCAACAGACUACUAAGGUUAGGCAACCAAUUGCGGCACUUUCAAUGUUGAGGACCAACUGAAAAUAUAUUAAAAUUAAAGGACUCCUAGUGAAAUAUAACCAGAUAACUACCAUCUGAAUGCCACGGGACACGGCAGCGUGCACAAUGCACCAGAUCGAAAACCUUGCUGGGAAAUGGAAGGCGUUGAGAACCCAUCACGGCAGAUAUUGCUGGGAUUCCCCGCUCUAAUGCAAAUUGAACUUGAGCUUCAUGUUCAUCUUUUGGAGCGAAGGACAUUGCAAGAACAUCUCUCUCGAAGAGAUAACCGCCAAAGCUGGCAACCCCACAGCCUACAUCUAGUAUCACCCUAGUGUGCUUUCCCCAGGCAAGACCAUGAACAGACUACAAAAUAAGCCAAAGAUGUUUCAAGUAAACUAAAGUGUAGUUGCCGAUACCCAAGAAAAAAAAAAUCAAGCUUGCCGAUCUUUUGCAAUUAAGAUAAAAUAGUAUGACAAAAGAAAAAAGAAAACAACUUUGGAGUAUGAUUGUCUGCUCUUAAAAUUGGAAGGAACAUAAAGAAUGUUUCAUAGAGGUUAAUGUUUCAAGCUACGAAUUGAUUGAUGAUAAGCCAACAGUGUUUUGAUGUGCUCCGCACCAACUUUCAGACAUUUGUAUCUUUCUCCUCUAGAUCAUGUCUCCAUCAGUACGAUAUUUUUUGGGGUUACAACCACCCAAAUAGCUUUGUUUCUUUCAAACAAUCCCUCUUUUUCCAGAUUCCACUUGUCCUAGGAUUCCAUUUAGAAUUAACAUCAGGGAAGCAGUUGGCUGUAAACUUUCUAGGAGUUUUCUCAAAUAUGAUUGGAAAUUUUAGAAGCCCGCUUUGCUGUUAAACUCACAGCACCACAAGUAGUUGUUAAUGUCAUUUCGGAAGCUUCUUUUUUUAGCUCUUGAAUUCUCAUUUUAAAUGUAAAGGACAAGCUUCGUCAACUUCCACAACUUUCUUGAUUAACCUUUACAUGAAUUCUUUUCUGUAACCUAAAUAACUCGAAAGAAGGAACUACAUUAUUAGAACAAUAAAACAGAUCAGAAUAAAGUACCUUAAAUGAAGAAAUUAAGUUCUAGAGUUGUGAGAAAUCCAGCUGUCCUACUUAUUAGAACAAAGAUUACGGAACCUCAAAGAAAAGCAGAUUGGUUAUAAAAGGAUCCACACCUGCUGAAGAAAAUCAAUGUAAUGCAGAGCCCCAUGAAUGAAUUGCGUCCCCCCUCCUGGGAAAGAAAGGUACUCUCCUGUAACUUUUACCCAAUUUUGGUGCCCCUUCACCUCCGCGAGCUUUGUAUAAGGUACAUUAUUGUACCAAAUCUAAAGAAGUAUGUUAAAAGGCAUAAAUCAAUACGAUGCUAUGUUCAUAACUAACUAAUGUGCAUAAAACCAAUUCAAUUUCAAAAAUUUGGUAUAGUUCACCCUGUCUCUGCUCUGUGGCCACUCAAUAGACCUCCGAUAACCCUUUGGAAGCGGCACGAGGCAUGUCGGGCUCUCCUCAGGGCAGUGCCGCUCGCGGUGCUCGUAGUGCCUGUAGCUGUGGAUCUUCUUAAGGGCCUUCUUGUUAUCGAGGCAAGGGAUAUAAUCAGCACCAGCAGAGACAUUACACAUCUUCCACUCGAGAUCAAACGAACCCCCCGCAUUCUCCACUGAACCGUCUCCGCCGUCCGAUUGCAGCUCCUCCUCUUUCCUCCGCUCCUUCUCGUUCUCCGACUGGUCAGCCUGAGUCGCCCACGGCCUAUUCUCGCCAUCCCUUUCGCGCUCGUUCCGCACCUCCAAAUCGCCUCCAUUCGAAUCAGGGAGCCUCUCCGCCUCACUCUGCUGCUGGCCUUCCUCGUCACCGCCGUUACGGUUCUUGCCGCCUACCUCCUCUGUCAUCUCUUCAGAUUGAACCUGGCCCUCAUUAUCAUCUCCCUCCGCAUUCGACUUCUCCGACUCCUCCUCGAUCUCUCGUCGGUCCGAAUUGACCACCUGCUCGAUCUUCUCUUCCGACCCCGCCGAAUUCUCCUGCGUCUCCUCCUGCUGCAAUUCUUGGUGCGCUUCCUCGCCGGCGUUCGUCGGGAGCUGCUCGUCGUGCUCCCGCUGCAUCUCCUCGUGCCGCCGCUGCUCCUCCUCCUCCUCCUCCCGCCGCCGCUGGCUCUCCUCCUCCACUCCCCCAUCCAAAUUCCCCUCCUCCACCUUGCUUUCCCGCUCCUUCUCGCUCUCACCCGCCUCCUCUCUCCGCUCCUCUUGAUUCCUCUCCCCAUUGCUUCCCGCCUCCCCCGCCUCCGUCGAACCCUCGCCCCCUUCCGAACCCUUGCCCCCUUCCUCCCCACCUCCGGAGGCCGCGGCAAUGGCGGAGGCGGCGCCCGAUUUCUCCCCCGCUUUCCGAUCCUUCUCGCCCUCGUCGCCGCUCGCCGCCGCGGUCUCAAGCUUCUCCGAUUUCGCCCCUUCCUUGUCAUCGUCCUCCUCCUCCUCCUCCUCCAUCGCUGGGGUCGUCUCCUUCCUCAGACCCCGAGACGGAGUCGAAGAGGAGGAGAAGGACGAGCGAGAGUGGCGAGUUAGGGCUUGGGAGGGAGUAAUCGAGGACGAGGUGAGCAUCCACACCCCCGCGAUACACAGCGCGACGAAGACGACGGUGGCGACGUAGUACGACGACGACGACGAAGAAGAAGAAGAGGACGAAGGGAACGAGCGCUUCCCCCCUCGCGAGCUCCUCCCAAACCCCGCCAUUAAUGGCCACGCGGUAAGCUUUUUGCAACUACGAUCUAGUUCAUCGUUCGAACAACACUAGCACGCUAGUAUAAAGGACCGGAGUACGACUAAAUUGCAAAUCCAGUCCCCAACCUUUUCCAACGAUUCACUUUGGUCCUCAAAUACUUUUUUAAGUUUUAUUUCCUUUUUUCUGCCCCUAAGAUAAUGAGUUUAAAAACUUUUCAGAGACCGAUAUGAAACAUGGUAUAAGUAUAGGGACUGGUAGUGCAAUUUGUCCGAUGAGAGGAGGGGUUGUAAAUUGUAAUGGAAAGGUUCCGAGGAGGGGUGAUAAGAGAGAUCCCCGCGCGGCGGGGGCGCGCUGGGGAGGACACGGGGUGCGCGGAGAGGGGUAGGGGUUGAGAUCCAAAAUUUUGGCGGGGAGGCGCGAAGCGGUCUGUGGGGCCCACUACUUUACAGGUUCGCAGACCGUCGCUGUCUUCCCGUCAGUUUUUUUCGGGUGCUUGAAAAUGCGGACGGACAGCCAGCCAUACCAUACGACUAUACGAGCUGGUAUUUAAUAUGGCAGUUGCAUUAAAAAAAAAAAAAUUACAUUAUUAAAAAAUAGUUUUAGCUGGUAUUUAAUAUGGCAGUUGCAUUAAAAAAAAAAAAAUUACAUUAUUAAAAAAUAGUUUUAGCUGGUAUUUAAUAUGGCAGUUGCAUUAAAAAAAAAAAAAUUACAUUAUUAAAAAAUAGUUUUAGCUGGUAUUUAAUAUGGCAGUUGCAUUAAAAAAAAAAAAAUUACAUUAUUAAAAAAUAGUUUUAGCUGGUAUUUAAUAUGGCAGUUGCAUUAAAAAAAAAAAAAUUACAUUAUUAAAAAAUAGUUUUAGCUGGUAUUUAAUAUGGCAGUUGCAUUAAAAAAAAAAAAAUUACAUUAUUAAAAAAUAGUUUUAGCUGGUAUUUAAUAUGGCAGUUGUAUUAUUUUAUUUAUACCUUAAGUUAAUUAAUUAUUUUUAAAAAUAUAUAUCGUAAAAUUUCAAAAAAAAAAUUACGGUAAAAUAAGUGCAUUUUAGAGGUACAGUUUAGUUUGUUGAGAUGCCUCUAUCAACAUUCUAGAUUUUUUUUUUUUCCUUGCCCUAAAAGUUAAACUCAAAAGAGAAAUUAUCAUAAAAAAAAACAGAAAAAAAGGUAGACCCUAUACAAGACAAAAUUGAAUAAAAUAAUUAAAAUGACUGAUCCGUCGGCAAUAAAAAUUUAUUACGUUCAAGUCAUCAGUCCAAAAUAUUUAAAUUUAAUUAUUAUUAUUAUAGUUUAGAGUCUCUUAUAUACUCAAUUAUAAUUCCGUUCUUAUCCGAUGUGAGACUAUCGUUUAGGCUCUAACGUCUUCGUCAGCUCAAUCACAUAUACUGUCUAAGAUGAUCAAACGAUGUAAGGCCCAACUCACACUUUCAGCUGAUAAAUCGGUUCUAAUACUAAAUAUAACUACCCAAUCCGCUAACAAUUAUAACUCGUUGAGCUCAAAUCACCGGCCAUAAAUGUUUAAGCCCACUUAUUAUUACUAGCUUUCAUAGUUUUAUAUAUUUCAUUAUAAUUUCAUUUCCAUCCAAUGUAAGAUUAUGGGGAUAUCAUAAUAAACGAGUUUUUAGUUAAAAAAAAAUGAUAAAACUAAUAGAUGAAUUAUAAAUUAUAGUCAAAGAAAAACUGGAGUGCACAUAUGAUACUUAUGUUUUACAUGUACAGUUAGUAUUGCUAAGUAAUGUUAGAAAUGCACCUAUUUUAUGUACAUCUAGAGCACAGUGCCAGGACUUAGAAAUUUUCUCCAAUAUUUUUCUUUACAAACACUCAAACUCCAAAGCAGAUAUCUGUCAAAGGUUUUGUCUAAAUCUUCUAGAAGCAUCUCUACGGGUCUCGAGACUAAUGAUGCGGGAACCGAAAAGUCUCUUAAAGUUUCUAUGUUUCUAGAAAGUGUAUUUAUUAGGACUCUUGGGAGCUCAUAUUCUCUCCUUUUGGCUUGAAGUUUCAUGCCACUUGGCAUCUUUCUAUUUACUUUAUGGGCGACGAGUGGCUUUUAUAUAGAUAUGGCCUCCAUCCCCUCAACUCAAAAUCCUCAUUUGUAAUCCACUUCAAGAGUAAUAGAAGAGCUUUCUUCAUCUCUCUCUUUUAUUCUUAGUCUAGGGUGAGUAGGUUCUAACUUAGCAAGUAGAGAGGUAGGCUUGCUCACUUCGCGAAAGAACGCGAGCGCCAGGUUGGUUAAACAAGCGAUUUAGCUUAAGUCCAUGACAGUUGGUAUCAGAGCGAGUUCGUUGUUGGGGAGCCAUGUCCACAUCGGAAGCUACCGUCGAUAACAUUGUGCCUCAGCCCAGGGCGACCAAGCGUGGUAAGAGCAAGGAGCUACGAACUCUGGAGAAAAGGUCAGCCUCACUUGAAGACCGCAUGAGUAUGUUGAAGGAUUCUGUUGCUAAAGUGGACGAGCACUACUCCAUCCUAACCCGCCAUAUGGGGAUGAUGGAGGACAGGUUGCAUGUCAUAGAGGAUAGCAUUGCGGCUGUCAUGGCCACGUUUCUAAGCAGCUCAAGCAGUUCCGCCAUGACCUCAGUUGUCAUGACGAUGAUAAGAAAGCGCUGAUCGAGGAGAUCGUCUCUCGCAGCGACGAGGUAGAUGACUUCAAGAUGAGGGUGGCGAUCCUUAAAAAGGCAGUUGUUGUAGUAUCGAGACGCAGAAGAAGUACACCCCAAAGAUCCGUGUCCCUGAACCCCAAUGCUUCAAGGGCACACGCGAUAAGAAGAAGAUCGAUAAUUUCCUAUGGCACAUGGAACACUACCUCAAGGUGCUACGGUUGGAGGACGAAGACGGCAAGGUCCAAAGUGCUUCCAUAGACCUCGCUGACGAUGCGAUGCUAUGGUGGCGACGUCAUUCCGCAGAGGCCGCGAAGGGCCAAUGCAAACUAAACACUUGGGAGGACUUCGUGCGUGAGCUAAAGACACGGUUCUACUCAGAGCACGUCGAGUACCUGGCAUGGAGGCAACUUCGACGGCUCAAGGUUUAGGGUUUAGGAUUUAGGGCACAUGGGAACCCUCAAGGAGUACAUCAAAGAGUACUCUAAGCUGAUGCGUGUCAUCACUAGCACGGCUGAGGAGGACAAACUAUUCUUCUUCCUUGACGAUCUCCAACCAUAAACUAAUAAGGAGCUCGUGGCGAGAGACAUCAAGGACGUGAGCUCCGCUAUUGCUUUGGCAGAGAAGCUGCCGGAGUAUGAGAAGCUGGACUUCACUUGUGGCAAACCACCCAAGGCAGGCAAGGCCAAAGGCAGGGGAGAAAAAAGAAAAAGAUCUCUUUUUAUCCUACGGUUGGAGAACGUCAAGGAAAUGAUCAUUAGGCCAAGAGAUCAUCUUUCUCUCUUGGCCCUUGUGAUGUCCUACGGUUGGAGAACGUCAAGGAAAUGAUCAUUGGGCCAAGAGAUCGUCUUUCUCUCUUGGCCCUUGUGACAUCACAAGGGCCAAGAGAUCGUCUUUCUCUCUUGUCUCUUGGCCCUUGUGAGAUCACAAGGGCCAAGAGAGAAAAAAGAAGAAGAUCUCUUGCUAUGUCUGCAGAGGUGAUCAUUGGGUGCGGGAUUGUCCAAAGAAAAAGAUCGUUAACGCCAUCCAAGCCGAGGAGGGUCGAGACGAGGCGGAGACAAAGAUGGUCGCGUUGCGCCUUGUUAGCGUGUAAUAUAUCGAAUCCCUGGAUUGUAAUGCCAACUUUGGUCAAAUUGAUCAAAGUAUGGUACGAAGGCGAUAGACAAAGUUCUCAUAUUGCCUUGAAGGAGUUGGAAUGGUUAGAAGUGAUUUUCAAAAGUAUUUGAGUGUUUUCGGCGCAAACCGAGCGCGAAAACAAACUCCGAAGUGUUAAGUUUGCUGAGACAGUAGAAUUUUUAUUGAGUACCGAAACCAAGAAAGGAGUACCGAUACUCAAUUGAGUUACUGAGUUGGGGGUAUCGAUACCCAGUGCUCGCGUAUCGGUACGUCAGUUCGAGUACUGGUACUCAGUUCUGCGAAGUGCAGAAAUUGAAUGGUUGCAAAUAAUGAAAGGUGGAGGGUCUAUUUGUAAUUGCUGGAACUUAUAAAUAGACCCCAAUACAUUCUCUUCCUUUUGCAUGAGAAAACACUCUCAUUUCUCAUUUCCCCUCAUCUCCUCUCCUUUUCUCUCUAGAAUCUCUCCAACAAGAAGCAUUUGGAAGGGAUUAAAAGGGUGGAUUGGAGCUUUUUGAGGAGAAGAAACUCAAGAACAAGUAAGAGCUUGUGGUGCAAAGUGGUCAAGGUCAGUCUCUUUGCAAGUAUGAGUUAGGGUUUGGUUUCAUUGCCCUAAAAUACAUAUUUUUGGGAUUCUUGAGACAUGAGAACUCAGAGUAAUCCAUGAAUCUCCAAAAAAAGGGAAUGUUUAUCGUUUAUGUAAACCCUAGGGUCAAAAUUAGGGUUUUGUAGGAAAUGAGGUUUAUGAUGAAAUUGAUCUCUUGUAUUCCUAAUUGAAGGAUAAUUCAACGCGUUGGGCAACUCGGAUUGGAGUUUCUACGAGCCUACGACGUCCUAUUGAGGAAAAACGUCGUUUUGCUAUCAUUAGUAUUGGAUCGAGUUAAAUCGGCAACAAUAAAUCGCGGGACGUGAGUUCUCGCUCCUUGGCAUCACUAUGAGGUGAGUGGUGCUAUCCGAAAUAGAUGGAUUCUCUUUAUGUCUAAGUCACCAUUAGGGUUGUAAACGAGCCAAACUCGAGCGAGCUGGAGCCAGCUCGAGCUCGGUUCGUCGUCUUCAAGGUCGGCUCGUGUUCGGCUCGAGCUCGUGACGAGCUCGAAAACUUUGGCUCGUGAUCGGCUCGAAACUUAAUCGAGCCGGCUCGUGUUUGGCUUGUUAGCUCGAGUAUAUAAUGCGACCGAAGUUCGAUGCCGCCGAAGUUCGCUGCCGGAGGUUUGCGAACGGUGAAGAAUCGUUGCCGAGGGUGUGCGAAUGGCAAAGGGAACUAGGGUCUAGGGUUGUGAAAGACUGAGAGAGAUAGAGAAAGAGAAAGGCGGCUGUGGAACUGUGCGGUGCUUGUGUCCUUGUGCGAGUCUGAGAGAGAGAGAAAAAGAGAGACUCAUGUGUGUUGUUGUAAUGCUGUGUGCAGCUAUAGUGUGAAAAAAAUUAGGUAAAAGCUAAUUACGGUUGGGAGUUAGCUGGACAUAGGAAUAGAAAGAGUGGAAUUUAUUUCAUGGGCUUAUGGGCCAUGAGUGAAAAUAAGAAAUUCUAAAUAUAAAUAGGCCUACGGGCCUCUUUUAUAAAUAAGCUGAAUUUUUUAAAAAAAAAUUGGGCUAAAAAUUUAAAAUUAAUAAUCUGUAUUAUAUAUUUAUAAUACAAAUAUAAUUAUAUAUAUAUAAUAUAUAAAAUUAUAUUAAUAUAAAAUAAAUAUAAUCGAGUUGUUAUCGAGCCAAACACGAGCGAGCUAACCCUAGCUUGUGUUCGACUCGUUUAUUAAACGAGCUGAAAAAUUCAGCUCGUGUUCGUGUCACACUCCGAGACCCGCCUAUUUGGUCGGAUUCGGGCACGCCGACAGACCGCCGGAUGGACAGAGUUUUUUCUGUACAUUCUAGGCGUCACAAUCCAUACAAAGCGCGAGGUUCCAACCAGAAACAAUAAUCAAACAAGGAUUGCAUAAGGAAGUAUCAAAAACAUAAAUACAACUAUGCUAAUUACAAGCAUUCAUCCCAGGUUUUACAUAUUACAAUUUUCCUUUACAUUUAACUUCCAAAUACAAUCGAUAAUAUUACAACAUUAUUUUCUUCUUUUCUACAACCCCUAACUAGGCCGACUUUGGGUAUUUCUAUUUCUGGUCUUUGUGAUAGGGCGCUAUCUACGAAGCUACGCUCUUUCCUUGCGCCGCCGAGCCCCUCGCAUGUGAACCUGAAACCCCAAAACCACGUGGGGUGAGAACUAUAUGAAUAUAGUUCCCAGUGGGUACGGCAACCCAAGGAAAGAGCUCGACCCAUCAGAUCCGAAAGAGGCACUGCAAAUAUGUUAGUCCAGCAAUAUCCACAGAUACAUAUAUUUUCAUCAAAUAAUUUAUGCAACUAACAGUUACCAUGUUCAUGCCUCACAACAUGCAAUAAUGCAAGUCAUGCAACUCAACGUGCAACAUGCAAGUAGAUCUAAUGAUUCUACCUUCUAUUUCGCUAUCCACAGCUCAUCCAAUUGACUUCUAAGGUUUUCUCAACUUAGAUUCAUGUCAUUUACAAUUCUGCUCAUAAGGUUUCAUCUACCUUUACCAUUUACUCACAAGGUUUCAUCUACCUCUAUCAAGCUAUCUACCCGACUCAAUCUUGAGUCAAUCAUUUGCGGUGUACCGCGUAAAGCCAUGCUUGAGGUGAAGGACGUCUCGCAUGCACCUCAACCUUAAUUCCACUCAACUAGGAUACCGAAUCCACUCUACUAGGAUUCAACUACAGCUCAUAUGCUUGUCACCCAAUCAACUUAGCUAACCCGAAGGUUCGCCCCGACUCACAGUGCAAUCCAAUAGGUAAGGAGACCUUCCCGCUCACAAACCUGAGACGGUCUGCUGGACAAGUACGUUAGUCCAUCGUGUGAAGACUCUGGAGCUCACUGCUUUGGUGGAGCGACCACCGCCAGGAAAGAACAGACUAUAUGAGUAUAAUCCAAUCCUCUCCAACUAAGGAUACUCUAUCAACUAGGAAUAACAAUGACUCAAGAAAUCCACCAAUCCCAACAUUCAUGUCACAAGUGUCCCUACUACACUAGUAUCACAUGCCACAUAUCAACAACUCAGGAAAUCAUCUAUCCCUAUGUUCAUGUCACAAUGUCUCUACUACACUAGUCCAAAUGCCACUCAAUCUACUUUGACAUUCUAGUUGUCCACAUCGAGUAUUAUAGUUCGUAUGUCCUUGUUUUCCAAUGUCGAGUUCUCUAAUCCACCAAGAGUUUAUCGACCCAAGUUCAACAUGCAUAUUUCAUUUAACAUGAUCCGCAAUAUGUCAACAUGUAUAAUUCGUUUAGCAUAUUCUACAAUAUAUCAACAUGCAUUCAUCUUAGCAUAUUCUACAAUAUGUCAUCAUGCAUUUCAUCUCAAUGGUAGGUAACAUCGACCAACAUAAUAUGAUUCUUGCAUUCAUAUUAUAAUCCACAACCUACCGCUAUACAUAUAUGCAUCAAUAACAAAACCGCAUUCCACUUCGACAUGAAAGCAAGCUAAUAUCUUCGAUGAGCACAACCUACCUCGCAACACUCUCUGAUUGCUCGUCGACACUUGCAAUCAGCCUCCCGCGGCACUCGUGGUCCGGUUCAACCCGAACUCGCAAACGAUCAGUAGCCGCAUAUCAUUCCGCAACCUAGGGUCUUCAAGGGCCUUUAUCUAACCUUCAAUUAGAGAUUAAUAGGGUUCAAUUAGAUCAAAACCCAUUCUUGCCCCAAAACCCCAUUCCUAACCCUAGCAUAAGGAAAUCUCUAAAUAACCUAAAAUUAAAUGGAGAAACAUGCUAGAAUCACUCUAGAUACCACUAGAACAUUUAAGCAUAAAGGAUUUAACUAAAUUCUAAAAGCUUACCAAAAUGCGAAUGCCGAGACGGAAGCACGCCGCUUAACCGGGCAUAAGAAGGCUCGAACCGUCGCCCCACAUGAGUUCCCAUGCCCGCUCUCCACCAAGCUUCCGAAUUUCGGAGUGAGAUCUAGAGAGAGUAGAGAGAUAUCUAGAGAGAGAAAGGGAGGGUUUCUCUCUCCCUCUCCAUGCGUGUAUGUGUGUAGUGUGUGGUGUUUGGUUGAGGAGGAAGGAGGAAGGAGGAAGAAGGGGAGACAAGAAGCUCCUUUUAUAAUCAACAUCCCUCACAUUAAUAUAAUUUAAGUUUAGCAGCUCAGAAUCUGUUCAUUUUCGUCAAAGCCCUUCUGAAUGUCCGUUUGUGCUCAAAUUUGACAGUCAGGCUCAGUUUAAGCUAAUAAGAAGAAGGAAAUUUUAAUCUUUCAGUUUUGACCAUUUUUUAUUACCGAAAAUCCUACCGACUAAAAUCUCUAGUAGAUAGGAAUCGGAUUUUAUUUCUCACUUUUCGGGUGUCAGAAAAAUAUGAAACUUUAAAUCUAGCCUCAUAAAAAUAAUUUCAACAUAUACCCAGACUUUCAUAAUUUUCUGACACUCUGAAUUUUCUGCUAAAAUAUCAGCCCCGUUUCUCACAGAGAAGUCUAAAUCUUCUGUUUUCGUUUCGAUUUCAACACAAGCCAUUCCAGACUUAUAUUUUGUUUCUUUAAGUCCAAUAAAAAUAGUAUCUUACACUAUUUUUAUUUACACUUGCUUUUAUAUUAAAAUUCGGUACAUCAACAAUUAUAAUGUUUGAAUAUCCUUUUCAUUUAUUCUACACUAUAUUUAGAAUGCUUGUCAGUUGGCUUGGCACCGACUAUCUAUGCCACAUUCAUGAAAAGGAUAUUCAAACAUUAUAAUUNGAGCGAGCCGAUCUCGAGCUCAUUUCGAGCCGAACACGAGUUGGUUCGCGAACAACGAGCUGGAUUGCCACCCCUAGUCACCAUAUUGAUCAUGUACGUGUAUAUAUAGAAAUCAUGCAUUGUAGGGUUAAAUAGUAGUAUGCUUAAAUUUCUUGUAUGUUGCUAAAGUAAAGAUAAUGACGUGAAUUGAGAAUGGAACAUUGGACACAUGAAAACUCUAUAGAUGUAUAAACUAAGAUGUGAAUAUUGACAAUGUAGUAAACAUGGUGACAUUAUGACUAAAUGAGUUGAUUAGCACCUUGAAGCAUUGAAUGCUAGAGAAUGGUACACUUUUAGUAUUAUGACAUUAGUUGACAUGGUUUUCUCAUGAUUAGAGGAUUGGAUCAUACUCACAUAUAAUUUGAUGUACUUGAGGAUGGUCGCUCCACCUCAAGCGGUGAGCUUCGGAGUUGUCACACCUGGGCGGUAGUGAAAUUUUUCCCAGCAGAUGGUCCCAUCGGGUUGUAGCGGAAUUCUCCCCGACAAAAAAGAAUUUGGUUUGGUGAGUUGGACUCAACUUAUGGGUUAGCCGAGAUGAUUGGGUUAUGGCAAUAAAAAUGACAUGUAUCAUGAGUAUAAUGGUAUAUUAUUUUAGUUUCAUGUUACAGAUAUAGUAGCUGUAUUUGUAUUAAGUUAUAUAUAAAUAUCCUUGCUUUUUUACUUACGCCUAAUUAGACCUAGUGGAAAAGUCGGCAGAAUCAGCGGUCAAAUUCACUGGAAACUUCUUUUAGUUCUCACCCCACCAUUUUACAGAUCCUAGCGCGAGUGGAGCGAUCUAGGAUCGCGGCAAGGACAUAGAACCCUAGGUAGAGGACCUCCUUGCACUAGUUGUACCCUAUGUUGUCAUCUUUUGUACUUGAUGAAAAACUUGUAAAGGGUGAAUUUGAGAGAUGAACAAUAUAUGUAAUGAUAUUUGGGUAAAUGAUGUAUUUUGAGUUAAUGUAAUUAAUGUUUAACUGUUGGAUGUAGUAGUUAGUUAUUAUUCUCACUCACUCUUGUAUAUUUACCUUGUGCAAAUCAUGCAUAUUGUCGUUUUCUUGGGCAAACUCCUUACGCAUGCUGUUGUUGUGGUUGAGCCUUGGGCGGAUAGGAAAAACUAUGUCUGUUCGGCUGUCUAUGUGCGCGCCCGAACCGACCAAAUAGGCGGUCCUAGGGCGUGACACAACGUGAUCUAGGGGCAGGCGAGCAGCAGCAAGCCGCUCAAGAAGGAGCUUCUGUUUGUGGAUGUGACCCUCAAUAGGAGAGCCACUCGGGCGCUCAUAGACACUGGAGCAACCCACAACUUCAUUACUGAAGCUGAGGCCAAGCGACUGGGCCUCAACCUCGAGAAGGACAUGAGAAAAUUCAAAGUUGUCAACUCGAUGGCACAGCCUAUUGCAGGGGUAGCCAAAGGGGUGAUGAUCACUGUAGGACCCUGGAUGGGUACAGCGAGCUUUACUGCCGCGACCAUCAAUGACUUCAAAGUUAUCCUCGGCAUCGACUUCCUCGCUUCGUCGAAGGCAAUUCCGAUGCCGAAUCUCGAGGCCCUAAGCAUCAUGGAGGAGGCGGCCCCAUGCAUGGUCUUGGCAAGCUGCGGUGAGCCAGCGGCAACUGACACCCUUUACACUCUACAGUUGCGGAAGUGGGUGAAACGCAGAGAAGUUACUUACCUUGCAGCUAUCCGCAAAGUGAGAGAAGAGGACCUCGAGGAGGAGGGCCCUCCAGUAGAGAUUGAUGCGAUUCUGGGAGAGUUCAAGGACGUCAUGUCAUAGGAGUUGCCCAAGAAACUUUCACCUAGGUAGGAGGUAGACUAUAUGAUCGAGCUCGAGCUCGAGCCAGGAGCUAAGUCACCAGCGAAGGCACCAUACCACAUGGCCCCGCUAGCUCGAGGAGUUGCAACGUCAGCUAAAGGACCUCAUCGAUGUGGGCUUCAUAAGGUUAUCGAAAGCACUCUAUGGAGCACCGGCCUUGUUCCGAAAGAAGAGCGAUGGAAGCCUGUGGCUCUAUAUUAACUACAGAGCGCUCAACAAGGUGAUGGUAAAGAACAAGUAUCCUAUUCCCCUGGUUGCAGUUUUUUUUUACCAACUUAGCGGAGCGAAGUUCUUCACAAAAUUGGACCUUCGCUCGGGGUAUUACCAAGUCAGGAUUGCGGAGGGUGAAGAGGAGAAGACGACAUGCAUGACGAUAUAUAGAGCCUAUGAGUUCCUCAUCAUGCUAUUCAGCUUGACGAAUGCGCCGGCAACUUUCUGCACUCUGAUGAAUAAGCUAUUCCACCCUUACCUCGUUCGCUUCGUGGUAGUGUACCUCGAUGACAUCGUCGUGUAUAGCAAUACUCUAGAGAAGCACGUCGAGCUUCUUCGAACGAUCUUUCAAGUACUGCGGAAAAAUCAACUUUAUGUCAAGAGGGAGAAAUGCUUUUUUGCUAAAGAGGAGGUGCACAUCCUUGGCAAUUGGAUUGGCCGAGAACAAUUCCGCAUGGACAAGCAGAAAGUGUGGGUAUCUGUGAGUAGGAAGCACCCACGACGGUGUCUGAGUUGCGAUCCUUUCUCGGACUCGUCAACUAUUAUCGCUACUUCAUCGGGGGCUACUCUACUUGAGCAGCCCUAUUGAUGGACUUGCUGAAGAAGACCUAGUCAUGGGAUUGGACCCCUUGGUGCACGAAGGCAUUCGAGGACUUGAAGCGGGCGAUGACAAAGGACCUGGUGCUACAUCUUCCUGACUGCAACCGCCCAUUUGGGGUGCAUACUGACGCCUCGGACUUCGCUAUCACCGGUGUCCUCAUGCAGGACGGGCACCCCAUCGCCUAUGAGAGCUACAAGCUCAACGACACUGAACAGCGGUAUACGGUGCAAGAGAAGGAGAUGACCGCCAUAGUGUACUGUCUCAAGACUGGCGGCACUAUCUUCCUUGGAGCAAGUUUGUUGUGCGGACAGACAAUGUUGCAACGAUCUACUUCCUCACUUAGAAGAAGCUAUCACCUAAGUAGGCGAGGUGGCAGGACUUCCUAGCGGAGUUUGAUAUGGAACUCGUGUACAAAUUCGAAAAGGAGAACCAUGUGGUGACACACUCAGCUACAAAGCAGAGUUGGCAGCAAUGUGCCAACUCCAAGGCGCGAUUAGAGAGCGAAUCCACGAAGGGACUUGCGAAGACCCUGUGGCCCAAGAACUCGUGUGACUCGUCAAGGAGGGCAAAGCGCAGCGGUUCUGGCUUAGCGAUGGGCUACUCCUCACCAAGGGGCGUCGCAUCUAUGUGCCCAGGUAGGGUAAUCUUCGUCGAGAACUUAUGAAAGAGUGUCAUGACUCCAAUUGGGCAGGACAUCCGAGGCAGAAGCGGACCAUGACACUACUCGAGGCCGCCUACUAUUGGCCUCAUAUGCACGACGACAUGGAGGCGUACAUGCGGAUCUAUCUUGUGUGCCAACAGGACAAGGUGAAGCACCAGAAGCCAGGGGGCCUCCUCGAGCCCUUGCCUACACCAACGAGUCCAUGGGAGAGUGUCUCAAUGGAAUUUAUCUCUGCCUUGCCCAAGGUAAGGUUGUUAGGGUCCAUCCGCUUGGUGGUGGACCAAUUCUCCAAGUAUAGGACCUUCAUAGCGGCACCAGCGGACUGCACGGUGGAAGAAGUGGUGCGCUCUUCGUCAGCAACGUGUGAAGCUUUAGGGCAUCCCUGAAAGCAUUGUGAGUGAUUGCGACCCUAGGUUCACGAGCAAGUUCUGGACGGAAGUGUUCCGGAUCUUGGGGUCGAAGUUGCUCUUCUCCGCUAGCUUCCACCCGCAGAUGGAUGGUCAAACGAUGCGGGUGAACGUGUUGCUGGAGAAGUACUUGCGGCACUAUGUUAGUGCCAACCAGAAGGACUAGGUGCAUCACUUGGACGUUGCCCAAUUCUCUUACAAUCUGCAGUGGAGCGAGUCAACAAACUUUAGCCCGUUCGAGUUGGCAAGGGAGAACGUAGCCACUCACUCUACAUUCCGCUACUAAGGCGAGCAGGGCCGCAGCCCCAUGGCCCUCCAAUUCACCUCUCAUUUGCAGGAGAAGGGGGACAUUGCGAGGACCUAACUUGAGAAGGCGGCCUGCCGAAUAAAGAAGUGGGCUGAUGCAAAGCGGGGACCCUUAGAGUUUGCUGAGGGGGACUGAGUUUUGGUCAAGCUGCAAUCGCAACAAUUCAAGACCUUUCAGAAAGUGCACUAUAGGCUUUUGUGGAAGUACGAAGGGCCUUUCACCAUUGUGAAUAGGGUGGGCAAGUCAGCCUACAAACUGCAACUCCCCACCAAUCUGAAAAUCCAUCCUGGCUUUCAUGCUAACUGCUUGCGGCCCUACCAUGAAGACGCUGAAGCCCCGAGCUAGGGCGUGUCGCAGCACGCUCCCGCCACUAUGACUACUACUAUCGACAAGGAGGUCAAAGCCUUGUUGGACACUCACACCAUUCGUCAUCGUGGCGUCCCACGGAGCAUCGAGUACCUUGUCAAAUAGAAGAACCUCCCGCAUGGCGAAGCAAGCUGGGAGAAGGCUGACACUUUUUGGAAGUAUCAGAAGCUGAUUAAUGACUUCCAACACAAGCGUGCGACGAGGGCGACUGCGCAUUAGGUGGGAGAGGUUGUCAAGACAUAGAAAUUUUCUCCAAGAUUUUUUCUUUGCAAUCAUUCAAACUCUAACGCUGAUAUCUGUCAGAGGUUUUGCCUAAAUCUUUUAGAAACAUCUCUACGGAUCUUAGGAUGGCGCGAAAACCAAGAAGUCUCUUAGAGUUUUUAUAUUUCUAUAAUGUGUAUUUAAUUAUUAGGACUCUUGGGAGCUCGUAGCCUCCCCUUUUGGCUUGUAGUUUCAUGCCACUUGGCUGGCAUAUUUCUAUUUACUUUAUAAGCGGCGAGUGGACUUUAAAUAGAUAUGGCCUCUGCCCCCUCAACUCAGAAUCUUCAUUUGUAAUCCACUUCAAGAGUAAUGAAGAGCUUUCGUUAUCUCUCUCUCUUAUUCUUAGUCUAGAGCGAGUAGGUCCUAACUUAGCAAAUAGAGAGGUAGGCUUGCUCACUUCGCAAAGGAAGACGAGUGCCACACGGGCUAAACAAGCGAUUUAGCUUAAAUCCAUGACAACAAGCUUAAGAUCCUAUGGCUUGGAUUCACUUGCUAAUUUUAUCAAUUUAUUUUUAAUACUAGAAAUUUCAAGUGAAUUUUUUAAUCCCUUGGAUGUAACGGUAUAAGAUGUACUUCCAUAUAUGAGAUGUAUAAUUAGCAUUUUUUUAAGUGUUAGUCUUACACCACAUUCAUUUUAUAGUCUAGACUUAUUUACUUAUCUUAUCACUUUUUUCUUCUGUACUAAAAAUUCAAAAUGAGUUUUUUAAUUUUUGAAUUAUCGAGUGUAAGAUGUACAUCCCAUAAUAAAAUGUUAAAGUAGCAUUUUUCAAAAGUUUAAAGUGAAACAUAAUAAACACUUUUUAAAAUUUUAAUAUUAAAAAAAUGAUAAAAUUAGUGUGAAGGUGUUAGUCCUUAGAUAAGUUAUAAGAUUUAUAUCCUUAUUUUGAAUGCACAUGUUGCAUUAUUUGAGCAAUACAUAAUAGGAUAUUAAAAAAAAUUUGCUUUUUUUUUCAAAAAAUAAAAAAGUAAUGCUGCUUGUACAAGAAAGUAAUUUUCUCUAUCACAGUUUUAAUACACUAGAUUUGUAACAUUCCUUCAAAUAUCAUCACAUUGCAUAAAAGUAUAAGAAAAAAAAAAUUUAAAGCCUCAUUGCCUCAUUUCAAUAUGUGUAAAUAUCAUAUUGCUUCUGAUUAGAUUAUUUUUCGCCAACUUAGUACAAUACAAUUAGUUCAGAACAUAUCGUAAGUGUUAUAACUGCUAUAGAGAAAAAAAAGUUUUGCUUGUACACCCAAAAAGAGUAUAAAUCUUAAAUCUUACCAUCUAUAGGUUUAAACAAAUUCCUUAGUGUGAAAAAAAUUAACCGCGAAUGCCGUGUACAAGUAGCACCGCUUCAUUUAAAAACACCUAAUUUAAUAUUUUAAAGAGUUUAAAAUUUUAACAAUAAUGUAGAUUUUAGAGAAAAAUAAACACACACCUCCUCAAUUUUAUUAUAUAGCACAAUAGAACCUUCAACUCAUAUGAAAUUACUAAUUAUACAGUCAUUUUUAUUGUAUGCCUUAUAUCAUAAUCUUAUAAAACUUUAAAAAAUGAUAGAAAAAAUUAUUUCUACUCUAACACACCAAAAAAAAAAAAAAACAACACAAGUCGAAGAUAGGUUAAGUUUGUUCUUCAAUUCCAAUACUUAAUUUAAAAAUUGGAAGAGAAAAAAAGAGGUUUUUUAUAUUUGAAGUCCUACAAAAAUCAUGUAUAAGUGGCGCGAUCAAAAUAAGGCAUACAAUUAAUAAGUUAAAUUAAGAAGAAUAUAUCAAAUUAUGUGAUAAAGUUCAAAAUUGAAGUUUAUGAUAAACAAAACUAAAUUUAGGAGAAUUUUGCACUUUGUCCCGCUAUAUUUUAUUUUGUUUAUGAUAUAAAAUGAUGGUAGAUAUUAUUACCGACGUCGAGAACUCUUUCAAAAUUUUUGAAUCUUCUAAAAUAUCAAAGCGAGUGCACUUUACAUGCUAUAUUUUUAAACUAGGCCCACAAAAUCUACAUAGUCCUACUUAUGGAUGUAAAACCGAACCGGUGGCCCAUUGGCUGCCCGGCCCGGCAGGGCUUAGGGCCCAGCUUCAGCACGGCACGAGUACUAUAGCGCCUGGUCGGCCCCUACCGGAACUUUCGGGUUGUGCUGGCCCUUGAUCUUUGGGCCCAAUGGCCCGGCAUGGUUCGACCCGAAAAGGGCCUAGGCCGCGCCAGGCCGAGGAUAAGCCCGCAGCGCCGCACGGCAUGGUCCGCUUGGGCCGGGCAAAACGAGUCAGCAUGGCCCGGAUCCCCAAGGCCCAUGACAAGUUAGCUUCUGGCCCAGGAGCUCUCCUUACAAAGUCUGUCAAUGCAGACCUUGGGAAUAAUUUUGUUCCAAUGGACCAAACAAUUUUAGCCCAUUAAACCAAAAAUCCAUAUUCUUUUAAAAAAUAAUAAUAAUAAUAAUAAUUUAUAAAUUUUUUAUAAAAAAUUAAAAAUUUGCUAUUUUAUAAUUGUUUUUAUAAAUUUUAAUUUUUUAUGAAAAUAUCAAUUUGAAUGGAAAUAAUUUAUUAUUUUUUAAAAAAAUUUAUAUUUUUUUUAAAAAAAUAUAAAAUUAUUUUUAUAUUUUUUAAAAUUAUUUUUUAUGAAUUUUAAAAAUUAUUUAUAUAUUUUUAAGUACUCUAAAUUAAUUUUAACCAUUCUAAUCAUCAAUUUGAAAUUCCUAUCAUCUAAAACGAUUUAGGAGGACAAAGAAUUCCAUCCUCCUAAAAAAAAUGGUAGCUCAACUCUCUCUCUCUCUCUCUCUCUCUCUCUCUCUCUCUCUCUCUCUCUAUAUAUAUAUAUAUAAGCUUUUCAAGCCUUCGAUUGAGCCUGGUAAUAUUCAAACUCGACUGGAAAUAAAUUUUUUUUUUUUUUCUAUUCAAACUCGUUCAUUUAAUUUUGAGUCGAGCUCGAACGAGCCAAACAUGAGUAGAACAUGAGCCGGCCCACUCAUUUGCCAGCCCUAUCCAUUGAUGAAGUAAAAAAUAUUCUUUUAAGUAAUUUCGUUACAUAUUUUUUAAGCACUGUUAUUAUAAAGAAAUGUUACCUUCCACUACUCAUAGGGGUGGAUAUCAUACAAUUCUUUUGUUUGGAGUAUUUGUUUUUUUAAAGAAAUUAAUAAAAUAAGUGGAUUAAUAUAGAUCAAGCUAUGAAUGCCAACGAAACUACCCACUCAACGCCAGAAAAUUACUAUCAUCCUAACUAGGGAUCACUAUCAUCCUAACCUGUGAUCACUAUUAUCCUAACUGUACAUUUCUUUAUCCAACGGCUGAAAACUUAUGAGUAUGAAAGAAUUUAUACUCAUAAGAAUAUAAUAACUCUACUCUAUUUAUAAUAUCAUAUUUGAUUCGCUCAGAUAUAUCUGUUUAGAUAUAUAACUGCAACCAAAAAAAAUUGUAGUCAAGGCAUUGGUAUUCCACCUAAAUGGAGUAUAAGAAUAUAUAUAUAUAUAUAUAGAGAGAGAGAGAGAGAGAGAGAGAGAGAGAGAGAGAGAGAGAGAGAGUUGAGCUAGAAUACUAUUGAUAGCAAACGGGCUCCGUUGCCACCAAUUUGUUUUCGAUGACGGAGCCUCCAAAUCGACGAUCGGCAGCAUUGAACAUGAUCUAUACCACUUGAAGUGUUUAGAAAUCAAAUUUCAAAUCUUUUCGACAUCAUUUACCUAAUGAUUAAAAGGUUUCAAAAUUUGUAAUUUUAAUGGUCGAUAUGAAACGUUUUCUCGUUUAACGACGUAAAGAUAUUCAAAUCAAUUGAAUUUUUAUUAAAAAAUUCUUUAAACUAUUUAAAACAAGAUCUAUACUCAUGAUCUUGAUUACAAGACUGCUAUCAUCAUUUUUUAAAGAAUAUUCAUUUUUAGCCGUUCAUUUUUGUGUGCACUCGAUGGAUAAGAGAACAAUGUCGAAAAUAUAUGAAAUUUGAUUUCUAAACACUUCAAGUGGUAUAGAUCAUGUUCAACGAUGCCGAUCGUCGAUUUGGAGGCUCCAUUAUCGAAAACAAAUGAGUGGCAACGGAACCCGUUUGCUAUCGAUAGUAUUCUAGCUCAACUCUAUAUAUAUAUAUAUAUAUAUAUAUAUAUAUAUUUAUUUAUUUAUUUAUUUAUUUAUUUAUUUAUUUAUUUAUUUAUUUAUUUAUUUGUGGCUCUAUAGUCCUUUGUGGGAGGACUGGGCACAUAGAGGUAGAAGAGUCAAAGCUCCCAGAUAAUCAAUAAAGACAAAGAGAAAUGAAAUUACAAGCAUUCUCAAAAAAAAAAAAAAAAAAAAAAAAAAAAAAAAAGCAAAAAAUAAGUACCGGCACGGCACAAUGCCGCGGCACCCAUCUGCGUAUUGCGCGAGACACUCACCCGCGUAUGGCGCUGUCUUGUGGGAUACAAAGGUGUGUGCCGCGGCACGACGGGGNAUACUGGUUUAUGCUACAUUAUUUACCUUGAAGCUCUCUUCACUUUAAUUUGAUCCCUUCCCGGAUGAUAUAGCUUGCAGCUCGUAGUGUACAAUUGGGAGUAAUUUAAUCUUCGAUGCUCUCCAAUUGUCCACCUUUGACACUAGAUCCAAUAUAUAUGGACACCUAGAAGAAAGGAAUAUCCAAAUCGGAAAGAAUGUAAACAAAGCUAAAAGUCGAGAGUUUUUAAAAUUGUUAGGAAAUGAAGAUGUUAUCGCAAUAACAGUUGUAGUUUCCUUACCAAUUUAUAGUUUUACUUGCUUAAGCUGUCCAAAGAAAGCCCUAACUGCAUCAAGAUAUAAACAGUCUUCUCAAUAUAGAUCAGUCUCUUUACUAGUAUGCAUCAAAUUCUACUCCAAGACAAUCUGAGUAUACGGCAAAAAAACCAUCAGAAGCAUGUUAGUGAAGGUUAUUGUAAUUAUUACAAUCUAUUAUUGGAAACUUAAUCCCAAAUAUAAAGGGGUAAUUUCCAUGCUUACUAGAUUGGCCCGAUAGACAAGUGAGAACUAGUUUAAAUAUCACUGUUGUGGUCCUUGAAGCACUUUGACUAUCUCCUCGGCUCUUGAUUGGAUGCCUUUAAGAUACUCAAUCAGGAUACGCUGUUGGUAAGAACCUCCUUCCUGUUGCAAAAUAUCAUUUAAGUUAUCCAAAAUUGAAAUGGUAAAAAGGCACAGCAUGAUAAAAGAUAUUCGGGGGUGGUGGGGACUCUAACAUUACCGUGCGAAUUAAUAUUCUCUCUAUUCUUUUCUUGAUAACAGAAUAAAGAUCUUCAGGUGGAACUUGCCCCUUGCCAACUGUCAGUCCAUCGAGCAACAACUUAUUCCAAUUAUUUUCAGGAGCUGCAUUGGAACAACAGAGUGCAAGCAGAUAAAUAUCAAUCCAAGACAAAAUGUAGUGAGAUUAUAAAUAAGCUAUAUCUCAGGUGAAAAGGUAAUGGCCAAACAUACACGUGUUUCCUUGGUUAGCUUUUCAAGAGGAAAAACAAUGCACACGGAGUUAAAGUUUUCCUACAUCAUAGGUAAGAUCGGACUACAAUGUGCAGGAAUGCCCUUACAUCUAAUCCAGAAUAUUGCUUCAAGGUUUAUUAUUCAUUCCGCUAUGCAAAGCCCGCACAUUCAAGGGCAAAAAAUAAAGCCGCAUCAACUACUAAAAAGUUUGUAAAGCCCUCUCAAACUCAAAUUUCGUUGUUCACCAUAGUGAAGCAGCGAUGGAACAGAAGUUUGAUGAUCAUGUUAAAUGCUAGGGUCAAGCAAUAAUUGUGUUUAAAAACAACGAAAUAAAGAAAAUAGGAGAUGUUUUUUUUUAAUGCCACAAAAUAGAUGUUCUAUGCUUAAUAUUUGCCACAAAACAGAUGUUCUAUGUUUAAUAUUUGACUAAACACUACAAAAGGAGGUAUUCAACAGCCGCUCUAAGACACAUGAAGUAAGACCAACAGAUAAUCAACAUUGGAAGCUAUUAAUAUUGGUUCAGGACUGGUGAACCACGCCAAUUCUCACAAAAUCUGCUUCUUAUCGACCCCUCAGAACUAAUCUGCCGUUUCUUGUCAAAGAAGUUGAAAAUUUUCAACUUCAAAAUCUAUAAGAAAAUAUCUCUGAUUCAACUGGUUAUUCUUUUUGUUCUUCACUUCCUACAUCCAAACCCAAAAUGAACUGCUCAUAAGUAGAAAGCGAGGGUGCAAACCAACAAAAACAUUGUUCAGCAUAGAUAUAGAAGCAUUCUUCUUUGUUUUUGUACAUAAAUUGGAAAGAGAGGAUGCGAGCCAACAAAAAGCUAAGUAUUCAGCAGGCAUCCACAAUGUAUGACAAAAAAGUAAACAUACAUAUAUUGACUAAUUACAAAUAGAAGGUAAGGCUUGAGAAGGUUAAGUUGAUAAAUACUCUAGUUAAUAAAGCAGUUUCUAAACCAUCAAUAAUAGAGCACUAAGUUCAAAAUAAAGUGAUAUUAUCUCACUCACCCUCAAUUAUCGAUUCAAGGAAUUUUUCUGUCAUCAACACUUCUCCACCUGCAAAUAAGGAAAUGAGUAAGAACUGACAAGAAAUAGACUUUGACUUGAUAUCUACUGUGUACUAUCAUGUUCAAAGGGCUACUUGUUAAAAGAAGAGUAUGAUAUUCAACUGAGUAAUAGCCCAUAUACCAAAGAAAAUUAAAGAGAAAGCAUACUACUAAUUUUCACCAUCUACGAGUAUAAAACCAAGUAGUUGUAACUAUUUAGUAUAUGACAUGGCAAACAAGAGUUGAGCGUAGGCUUAAGAGUUCUUCAACGAAGAAGGUAACAUUGAAUCUACAAUUCCAUAACUGUGACCAGAAUAAGAAAGUAUAACAGUAAAAAAAUACGGAAACUAGAUUUAAAGAAAUAUACAACACUUCUCAUGAACUUGAAGUUUCAUUAAAUGGGCCUCGAGUCUCGACUCCUAAGUGAAAGAAAGAGCUUACAAUGAGAGAAAACAUGUACUAUAAGUAUAUGAAACUAACCUAACAAAUUAUAUGCAGAAUGAAAUUUACAUAAUAAUAUGCGAAAUUCAACAAACUGAAAAUAUGCAAGAAGAAGAAAGUGUGUUACCAUUGAUUCUGCUAAUGAAAGGCCCCUCUUAACCAACAAGAAUUUAAGAAACAUAAAAUUUCUUUCUCAGAAUGAACUUCUACAGUAUUGACGCUUUAAGUAAUUCUACAUGUAAUGAAGCAACUAUGGCUUUAAUUAAGCUGAAAGUAUGUCCUGGUUUAUACAUUUAAUAAGUAAAAAAGCUAGUGCUUCUUCCAGCAUUUAACUAGAAUAGGACAAAGGAUAGCGGGCAUAACACUCUGCCCUGUAAAGAUUCUGAAUAGCUGGUCAUAACUAUUAUUUGAGAUUAUCUUUCAGGUUAUGGCAAAUCACCAAAAGCUCUUCAACAGUUCAUGUCCUGCCACCAAGGGACAAUGUUAAAUAUAAUAGUUCGAUCAUCUGACAUUUCGAGUGUCUACAACUCUUUAUGACAUUCACAUGUAGUGCCUAUCAAACAUAGCAAUCAUCUUAUCAUCUAUAGCUGCCGGAGUAACGUGUCAUUGAAAAAACAGAGAAAUGCAAUUCAAAAUAAUAAAAAAUGUCGAAUAUCCUGACCUUUGUAAGCAUAGCUACGUUUUCGAAGAACUCUGGAAGCAUAUAAUUGCAAGACCUUUUGCAACAUAGCUUCAAGCCCAGGUUUAUCUCCAUCUUCUUUUGCCUGAAUAGACCAGAUCAUUGCAAUGUGGGUAUGCAACAUAAGCAUGCUGGUUGUAUCUAUAGUAGCCAUUAGCAGCCAUAGUAAAGUGCUUAAUAGUAGUAAUCAGGAAAAUCCAAAGAGAUCAUUCCGUGACCAAAGAAUGUUUAAGAGGAAAUAUAGCUAUAAUACAUGAUAUCAUGGUUUUGUCCUUCCACUUUCUCCGCAGCCUCCAAAUAGUUUCUGCUUACUUCAUCUGGCACAAAAUCAGCUCAACAGUCUAAUUACUCACACAAGCAAAAGAUCCUCUCAAUUCUACAAAAUACUCACUCAAAUCCAAAAGCAACUAAAAUCCACGAGAAAUUUAAUCAAAACUCCUGACCAUCUGCAAUAGACAAGUCAAGGAAAGAGAAAAAGAUGUCUGGAUAGUGAUGUCUACUGAACAACCAUUGGCACAGCUAAGUUUAGGUUAGAAGAGCAAUUUUCUGUCGUUUAUGAAUUUUAAAUGCUUGAUGCAAGUUAAAUUUAACUUUCAUAUGCAGAACACAAUGACACAACCGUCAAUUCAGAACUUCUAUAAUAUUUGUUGGGUUUACAACAUUGUUGACCUCAUAUAAAUAUUCAAAAAGCAUAGAGCAACCAUCACAGAUUUAGUUUGCUGCUCGAGUGAACAGGGAUGAUGAACUCAAAUCAUCCAAAGAAUAUAUCCUCAUGAAACUAUGUAAUCUUACAGAAUUAAGUAAUCAAUUGAUCAAAAUUAAUCGAUGACAAAAUUUUUUUAAAGGAUGAGUGCAAACUUACUUGACGUAAUUGGGCAUUAACCUCUGAAAGAAAUCCUUCAUCUAGUUGUCCUUCUUGUUCCCUGCUCACUAAUUCCUGACCAAUCAGAGGAGGCAAUAGUAAAUUCUUCAUGCAGAAGGUGCAGCUCAUGUAGCAAAGAAUAGGCACACCAUAAAGGAGUUCUUACAAGUAGGAUUGCCUCAUAUCUCUUUAAUUAGCAUGAUACAAUUAGUCUAGACAUUAACAACAAAUUAGAACACUAUGUGACACAAUUCCAUAUAUUUGAUUAUUUCCAUUAGGAUAGAACCUUCUAAAACAGAACUGACAAAAUGUUCUCAUUGGAACCAAAGACAUAACCACUUAACCAGAAAUAGAUCGACAAUUUUAACUUUUGCAUCCUAUAAUAAAUUCCCUUAAUUGCGGAGAAACAUUCCUCGACAAAGGCUGCAUCACGAACUACUUAUUUAACUAGAAAAUAGAAAAUAAAUUAACCACUUUUCACUAACUUCAUGCCAAUUUUAUAGUGCAUAAGGUUUUAAUUGCUAUUACCUUUUGCUUUUAGGUUUUAGCUGCUUUUAGCUUUGCUAUUAAAUCAGAGCAAACGGUAUUUAUGAAUACUUGAGGGAAAAAAAAAAAGAAAUUCCCGGGCAGCAAAUGUUGUUUGCCAAUAUGAUUUGUGAAUGAUAUCUGAUCAUACAGAAGUAGAAUAUUGAAUCUUGCCUUAACAUGUAGAAUAAUUUUGUGAAUAAGGUAAAGGUUCUACUCAACAAAAAUAAAAAGGAAGAAGGUAAAGGUGAUCGGUCUAUAAGAUAAAAGCCAUGCAAAUAUCUCUAUAGAACAUUGUGAAUAUGAACCGUUAACAAUGUCCCAACAAAAUAUCAUAGGUAAACUUAGUUGAAGAGAAAGCCAUCUGAAACUAGGUAAAGAAACAUUAUUUCAUGUGGAACUACAGAAACAACUGAUAGUGCUUGAUGGGGAUUAAAAGCACUGUUAUAGUGUUACAGAAAACGUAAUUUUAACUUGUUAAUCCGAUCUGAGUAAAUCCUAUUAUAAUAUUUACUUUUUCCAUCAGUUUGAGAGCCUCUGGGUCUCUUGGAGGCCAUGAAAUCUCUUCAUGUUCAUCCAUCACAGGAUGAAGAAUCGCCUUGAGAACAUCAGUUGCAGACUCUAUCUUUUCCUGAAAAGGAAAAGAAGAACAAUUGAAAAGCACUUCAUGAGUAAUUGAGGGGCAGAGUUUCUGCACUUGCAUAACUAGUUAUUCCAAUCUAAUCAAGAAAUAACACCAAGAAGCACAGACAGGAUCUACACAGGUAACAGGCACCAAAAGUGUUCAAACUACAGCACUUAAUUUAUUAAAAGAAAACCUCAGACACUAGGCUAACUAGUUACUGCAAUAUAGAAAUACAUACAUGAAAGAAAUCACGAAAAUUUUGAAAUCGGUUGUCAGGCAAUUACACAGUAAUGCUUCACUCACAAACAUAACUAAUAAAGCUAGAUAGCAGAUGUGCUACUUCUCCGUGAUAUAGUCACUGGCAAUUUGCACUUGACACUGAGCAAUUGUUGGCAGUUGCAACACUACAAAUGUAAUGCAUCUAGAACAACCCAACUAACUUAUUGAACAAAAAAACAGUAGAAAAGCUUUCUAUUAGGAAACUUGCAUUGGUCUUAUGAACAAGGCGAUCAACUAUGCUCAUGACUGACAAGGCCAAUUCUUCAUAAUCUUUCUGCAACAACCAAAAAACAGAGCAUAUCAAUACACAGAGAUAAAAUAACUGAAGUUAGACGGUAUAAAUAACAGAGAAUUCAGCAAGUCGCAGUUAAAAACCGUGCUUUAUCAUCAUCUGAUUUGCAUGUAUCAGUUCUAGCAGCAAGACGAAUCCAGAAACCCUCAUUGAAUGCUAAUAUAUUUUCAACUACGAGUUGUUCAAGCUGCUCAAAAAGUAAGAAAGGUCAAUCAGUAGUAUAUGUCCAACAAAAUAAAAAUUAAAAUGCUAUAUAAAAAAUAUAAAAGGUGUAAAAUUCUGUCAUAGCUUUCUAUCCAACAAAUAAAAGAGCUUGUUUGGUGAUCCUGAGAGAGAGAGAGAGAGAGAGAGAUGACAAAUGGACAAACCUAUUACCAUGAUAGCAUAUAGUUAAUCAACAUGUGCAAAUGUGAACUAAGAAUGAAUCCGUUAUUCGGACGAAUUCCAGGGGGGUAUUUUCUUUUGUUCUCAGCUUACUGCUAUCACUGGAUUACCAAGAAGAGAGUUAGUUUUGUUUCAGAGGUUUCACAGUAAUUAUUAAGGGUGAUUUUGUGGACUUAUUUGAUCGUCUUUACAAACGUAAGACUGAGAAAGACAGGCUAUAUUAUGCUUGCAUAGCUGUUAUUCUAAUAAUAAGGAGGUCAAUGCCCUGUAAGUUCAAAGACAUUAUCUUGUCGAAUAGUGUUUAUAAAAUUGUGGUGCAAGAGCUUGCUAACAAAUUAUCUCCUAUCAUGACAAAAUGAUGUCAGUCAAGUUUUGUUAAAAAACAGAGUCAUCCUUGAUUAUGAGGAAUGAGCUCGAGGAACCAUAUUGAAGUGUCAGGAAGAAAGCAUACGGCAGGUUAAACUUGGACUACAUGUGGGACGUGUUAGCAAUCUGGAUAAAAAUGGAUAAUUGGAUUAAGGUGCUAAUCAGCUCGUGCAAAGUCAGUGUUCUGUAAAAUGGUAAUCACAAAAAUGAUCAAUAAACUGAAGACCAGAGAGUGCAUUUAACUUAUCCACUUACUUCUCUAGGAUUUGAAUCCCUCAGCAUAUCAAUAAGUCUGUCCGCUUCGACAGUCUUCUUAAAAGAUUUUUCAGCAUCCUGAUCAACUGCAUAGACUAAAGUACUCCUGUUUAAUGAAUUCAGAUAUAUCAUGAUAUGGUUUGGCAUUCUAAUCCAUCAAAACUCAAAAUUGAAAAACAUCUAGAAUCAAAAAAAAAAAAAAAACUAAAUAGUAACUAGUUUUUGCUACUAUUGCCAACUACUAUAGAAAAAAAAAAAAAAAAAAGAAAAAAAAGAAGCAAAGUUUAGUGGACAAAAGAUUAGAAGAGUGCACUUACAAACACAUAUCUACAUGAUUCGAAAUAAAAUUAUUGACCUGCUAAAAACUUUUAUCUCUAUGUAUUAAAAUACUUAAGCUCACAUUAGAAAAUAUUUUGCACAUCUAAAUUUUUGCGGCUUAGAUGGCAACACAUUUGGUUCAACAAGCCUAGCUCUUUGCAAGGUCUUUGAUAAAAAUCCUCCAAAUUCCUUGAUAAUUAGAUUGUAUUAUUGUUCUUCCAUAUUCCUCAAUCUUCACAUGGUUUCAUUGUCAUUUUGCACAAAUAAAAUAAAAUAAUAUAAAAAUCCUAGACCUCCUUCAAUUGGUGAAGUUCUUGGCUGAAACAAAGCCAAUGUUUGAAUUUCCACAAUCAAAACCUCACAAUAGUCUAUGUAAUACGCCAUAUAAUGCCACCAUUUGACACCUACAAUAUUUAAUUCCGAUAUGAGUACCUUAUUCUCUUUUUUUUGUACCAACGUAUUGUUUAGAAAAAGUUGCAAAAGUCUAAUCUGCCAUUUGAAUUUCUUGCUCCUCAUUUAGAAACAUGUCUUUAACCUCACCAGUACAAAAACUCACACCAAACUUAUCUCCGAUCCCACAAACCUGAAACUCCAUCGAUCAACGGGGUUGUGAACUACUGCUACAUCAUUAAAUGCAAGAGACUAAAGACUAAACGAGAAUGCGACCUGCCACCUAGAAACCCUAAAAUCAAUUAAGAUGACACAAAAUCUGAAAUCAAAAUACUCAAUACAAAAUAAUCAAUAUACGAUAAUCUACCAAACAUUGCAAGCUUAUAGAUGAGAACACAAAUUUAAACAACAUUCCAUAAUCAAGAAGCUAAAUAAGAUUAAGCAAAACCACCUUCCACGCUUCUUGGGAUGGAUCAAAGGGUGACCCUUCCACAAUUCCGCACUAAAAUCCACAAAACUCCCCUGCUUCCAUCUGCGCAAUCUCUUCAAGAACAAAGUGUAAACAACAAAAAUUUGAUCAAAAACAAUAUUAGGGCUAAAACAAAGAGAUAUCAAUUCGUCUUCUACAUGUAAUCUUAACCAAAAAAUAAAAAAUAAAAAAUAAACUACCGAGCUAUGAGAUUGUGAUCGGAAUAUGGUGGCGGCGGGAGCUGCGGUGGUCACCGUCGCCAUUGGAGAGGCGAGGGUUAAUGGCGAGAUGCGAACAGAGAGAUAAGCACGCCUCGUCUCCUCCUCUUCGCUGAGGCGCGGGAGAUGAUGUUCACACGAGGGGCUCGAGAAAUGAGAUAACAGGGAUGAGUGAAAAUACAUAGAGACCCCUCUAUUAGAAAAUAUUCUCAAAUGGCCCCUUCGGCUUAUAUCCUUUCCGAAUUAAAUUUGAGUUUAAAUUAAAAUUAAAAAAAUUAAAUUUUGAGUUUAAAUCAUGAAUUAAAUUUAAAUUGGGACAUCAAAGUUGAAUUAACCAAUUAAAAAACUUUAAUUAUAGUGAAUCAAAAUUAAAUUUUAAUCAAUUUAAAGUUAUAAAUUUUGGAUAUCAAAUUUGAAUUAAUAAUUAAGAUAUUUAAUUACGGUGAAUCAAAAUUAAAUUUUAAAUUUAAAAAUAAAAUGUAAAUUAAAUUUUGAUGCGUUUAGUUUAAACAAUAUACUUUAAAUUUUAAAUUUAUCAGAAUUCAAAAAUAUAUAAAAAUAUUCAAUGUAUAUAUUAAAAAAAUAAUAUAAAAUAUUACAGAUAUUUUUUAAUAAAAUAUAAUAUAUAAAAUUUAUAAAAUAUAAUUUUAUUUUAAAUUUUUGGAUAAAUAUGAUGUAAAAUUUUAUAUUGAUUUAAAAUAAAUUAAAAUAAUUUUUACGUGUAUUUGUACAUACACUCAAUUAGUGUGUGUCUAUAGAGAGAGAGAAAGAGAGAGCAGGGCUAAUGUGCUAUUAGGAGCACAGCAGUUCUUGUGCUUCUAACUUUCUAAUCACCCAUCAAAUUUGAUUAAUAAAAAUAUUUUUUUAAAAAGUAUAAUGUGCAGGUAAUCUCAAAGAUCUAAUGUUAUAUUAAUCGGGAGACACUAGAUAAUUUAUGUGACUUUUAUAUUUUAGAUAUUUUUUAAAAAUAUUAAGGUUAAAUUACAGAAAUUUCUUUUUAUAAAUAUUUAUUUAAAAAAAUAAUUAAAAAACUAUAUUUUUACCCUAUCAACAUGCCAAGUUCUUGUAUGUAACCUUCUCCCUCAAGGUUCCAACACUGUUUCAUCCAUUUCUCAUAAUUUAUACUGAAAAUAACUUUCUAAUUAAUAAAAAUAUAUUAAAAAAUUAUAUUUCUUGUAGAAAAAAUAAAAAUAAUUUAGUUAUUUUGUUCCCUCUAGUAAUUUCAUAUUUCUGAAAAUCUUUAUGAUAUUUUAAGAAGGAUUAAUUUCAUAUACAUCCUUAUAAAUAUAAUGAAUUGUAAAUAUAUUCCUACAAAGUUCAACUUUAAUAUGUUAUUCUUGUAUAACUACUGAUGUUUUCAAAUAUGUCCUUCUAAUUAGUUAUCGUUAAAACACUAUUUAUUUUAUAAGUGAAAUGACCUUUUUGCCAUUACAAAUAUGUCGCUCAAAAAGUCUCAACUGUUAAUUGAAGAGAGGUAAAAAGAUCAAUCCACCUUAUUAACUAAUUAGGAUUAAGUAUUUUAUCUAUGGUUAACUAAUUUUUUCUAACGGAUCCUCACGAUAGGAACAUAUUUGAAAACAUCAGGAUUUUUACAGGAAUAAAACAUAAAAGUUGAAUUUUGUAAGAAUAUAUUUGUAAUUCACUAUUUUUAAAAAUAGGAACAGUACAAAAUUAACCUUUUAAAAAUACAAAAUAAGAAAUUUUAAAAGGCCAAUUUGCAUAAAAAAUUCACAAGUUUUAAGGUUUUACAAAAAUGGGCCGCCUUUUUCGAUUUUACAGAUUCGGUCCAAAUUUUCAACAAACUGACCAAAAUACCCUUAUAUUUUUUCUCUCUUCUUUUUUUCUCACGUUUUUUUUUUUCUCGCCGAAGAAGUNCGAUUACGCCAAGGCCGCGCAGCGACCCUUUUUUUUUUUUUUCCUCUCUGACCCUCCACCCGCCGGCCCCACCGCCGGUGACAAAUAAGAAGUGCUUCUCGGGGCCCAGAAGCACGCCAUCGAGGAAGAAGGAGAAAAAUAGUUACACUCCGGCGAGAACGAUGGUUGCGAUAUAGAGUAAGGGAGAGGUCGUUAUAAAAAAAAUUAUAAAGAGAAAAAAAAUAAGAAUAAUAAAAAAUAAAAAUAAAAAAAUAAUUUACAGGAAAAACUAAAAAUCAUAAAAGACUAAAGAAAAUGAUGAAAUUGCAUUGUUGAAAUAAAAUUGCACUAUUUUUUAAAAAAUUUGUACUGUUUUAUAUGAAAGUUAUAGUCUUUGAGACAGAUAUUAUACUCUUUGGAUAAGAGUUACACCUUUUAGGUGAACGUUGCACUAUUUGGAUGAAAUUUAUACUAUUUCUUAUUCUCUUUUUCUUCUUCCUCCUUCUUCCCCUCCGUUUUCUCGUCCUCCUCCUCCUUGUUGCUUUUCCACCUUCUCCGCCACCGUCGCCGUCAAGCGCCCCUCGAUGCCCUCCUUCUCCACCGGCGCCGCUACCUCUCUUCUCUGCCGGCGUCGAAUUCACACCCGAGUUUCGGGAGGAUAGCGCCCACGCCCAUGCCAGGAGCACGCCCUCGACGCGGCUGCCUGCUGGUCUGGGGCGCGUCCCUCACGAUGCUCCCCAUGCUCCGCGCUUUGGACGUGGCGGGAAACGCGCUGGAGCCGACUGGUGGCGGAGGAGGAUGCGGAUAAGUAUGAGAGAUAGGAGAAGGAGGAUAAAGAAGAAAAAUAAUGUAAAUAUCUCUUAAAGGGUGCAGUUUACAUCUCAAAAAGUGCAACAAGAGGAAAAAUAGGGUAAAUAUCUCUCAAAAGAGUAUAUCUUUUAUUUAAAGAGUGCAACUUUCAUCUUAAAUGAUACAGUUUACAUCUCAAAAAGUGCAAUAAAAGAAAAAACAAUAUAAAUAUCUGUCAAAGAGUGCAAUUAUUGUUUAAAGAGUGUAACUUUCAUAUUAAAGUGUGCAAUUUAUAUCUCAAAUAGUGCAACUUACGUUCAUAAUAUGUUCUUUUAAAACAAUGCAAUUUUAUCUUCAUUUUUCUUCUUCUAUAAUUUUUUAUCUUUGUUUCUUUCUUCCUUCUUAUACAAUUUUUUUUUUUGUCACGCCUCUCCGCCAACGGCCACUGUGCCGGCGACAACGCCGCUAAGUACCCCCGUUCCAAGGCUGCGGCGCUGCAGCGACCUCCGCAACGUCAGCAUCGGUGUUGUCGUUAGAGGCGGCGGAGGAGGCGGAGAAGGAGGGAAAAUGAGAGGGCGAGAAGGGCAAGGAAGGACGAGAGAAGGCAAUAGAGAUGUCGUCAUCGAAGAUGGUGGAAGAGGGUCGGAAAAGGGAAAAAAAAAAGAGUUGCGGCGUGGUCUCUGCGAGGUCGGAAGCGAGGAAAAAGGGGGAUGCAUGGGCGAAGGCGAGGGCUAGAGCGAGAGCAUGAGAGUGAGAGGUGAGACGGGCCAUUUCUGCCUCCGCCUCUGCCUCUGCUGCCUUCUUCGGCGAGGGAAAAAAAAAUGAACGAGAAAAAAAAGUGAGAAAAAAUAAUAAGAGUAUUUUGAUAAGUUUGCUGAAAAUUCGGACUGAAUCUGUAAAAUCGAAAAAGACAAUACAUUUUUACAAAAGCUCAAAAUUUAUAAUUUUUUUUAUAUAAAUUGACCAUUUUUAAAAUAUAAAAUUAAAAAAAUAUAUUUAUCUACCGUUUGGUUCGGGGUUAAGGAAAAAAUAGCUAUUCCAGGAAUAUGGUCAAGUUCAAGGUUAAGGUGGGGUUAAAGUUUUUUUAUGUUUGGUUGGGGGUUGGAUUUAGUCUAGGAUAGUGAUAAAUAGUGUUUGGUUGGAGUAGGUAGGAUAAGAAGAAUAAUGAUUGAUAAAGAGAGUAAAAUUACUAAAAUACCCUCACUUUAAUCAUUUGAAUUAAAUAAUUUGCUUUUAUUUUAUAAAUUCUUUGAUGGCAAUUAGUUUUAAUGAGUAAAGUAAAUUUAAUUAUUUUAUAAAUUUUUUUAUUUUAUAAAUUCUUUGAUGGCAAUUAGUUUUAAUGAGUAAAAUAAAUUUAAUUAUUUUAUAAAUUUUUUUAUUUUAUAAAUUCUUUUAUUGCAAAUAGUUUUUUGUAGUUAGUGUCUCCUAAUUUAAAAUCUCCCUAGCGUGCUUGAUUAAUUAUGAACUGAGAAUAUAUGUUAAAAAAGUAAGUUGUUGGUAUAAACUUAUUAUAUUAGCAGUUAAUUAUUCUAAAUUUAUUUAUUUUAUUAUAAAAUAUUUAAUUUAUGCGCUCCCUCUCCUCCUCGCCCCUCUUCCGACAAUGAAACCCUAACCCCGUCCCGGAACUACGUCGUCCAGUUCACGGACUACUUACCGGCGCGUGGCGGAGCACCGCGCCUACCUAGAGGAGGAGCUCCGGGCGCCGCCGGGGGCGUGGCAAUGGAUCGAGCAGCGGAACCCCGCCGCGGCAUUCCCCACCGACUUCGGCGUCCUCGAGAUCCGGGAUGCGCGCCGGAGGGCGGUGAUCGGGGCGAUCAAGGGGCUGGCGCGGGUGAAGGAUGUGCAGGAGCUUCGAGCGGAGGUGGAGGAGCUUCGAGCGGACGUGGAGAGGCUUCGGGCGGAGGUGGAGGUGGAGGGGAAUGAGCUUCGGGCGGAGGUGAAGGGGAUCCGGAGGUUAAGCUUGGGGAGCAAGACGUGAAGCUCCGGGGUGAGAAUAGGAAGGAAGAAGAAGAAGCAACAGAGAAGAAAGAGAAAAGUGGAAUCUUGGAAAGCGUGCGGGAUUAAAGAUGGGAGGGAGGGUGGGGUUAGUAAACCCCACCCCUUAAGGGUGCGUUUGGUUCGCGCUAUCUUUUAAAGAUUCCUAUUAAUCCAAUGAAAAUAAAAAAAUAUAACGGUGUUUGGCUAAACGCACUAAGUAAUCUAGUUGGUAAUAUUAGAUUCACUUGGGAAUAAGAUUCACCCCAAAGUGCUAAUCUCAUUUUCUUGAGGGAGGAUGGGUAUUCUCAUAUUAAUGGAUUGGGAUAAUCAUAAUAUGUCUAAUCUCUUUCUUUCUUCUUACCCGCCGGCUAAUUGAUAUUAUUUUUCUUUACAGUCUAACCUUAUUGUUCUCUCUAAACUUAUUUUUCUCUCUAAAAUUCAACUUUUUUUUUCUCUCUCUAAACUAAGCUUUCUCUCUCUCUCUCUCUUUCUAAAAUUUCAACUCUCCAACUCCCUCUUGUUUCGACUAUAUUUUUCUUUCUAUUUUUUUAAUUAUGCUCUCUCUCUAACUUAUACUCUCUCUCCUUUUUUUCUAAAAAGAUGUUGAAACUUUUGUUAACAUUAUCUAAAAUUAAAUAAAUAAAUAAAUAAAUAAAUUGUAUAUUUUUUGUAAUAUUAAAUAACAUGGCUAAUUAAUAUUACCGUGCAAACCAAAUACAGGAAUUCCACAUUCUUAGUAAUAGGAUGAAUAUGAAUAAGAUUCUCGAAUAUCUUUUAUUCCUAAUAAUCUUUCAUAAUGCGAACCAAACGCACCCUAAGGCUGCGUUUGGUUUGGGUAUAAGUAAGAACUGUUAGUUCUAGGGAUAGGUACAAGUUCAGGUAUAAGCAGGAAUUAGACCAAUUUUGCGUUUGGAUGAAAAUUGGGUUGUUCCUAGGAAUAAGGUAAAUAGUGUUUGGAUGGUUAGAUUGGAACAAGAGGAAUAAGAGUUAUAAUUUGAAAUUAAAAUUAUAUUAUGUAAUUAAUUAACAUCAAAAUAUUAUUUAAAAAUAAAUAAUAAAUUUAUUAUUAAUAAUUAAUUCUAAAUAAUAAUAAUUAUUAGUAAUUAAUUAUAAAUAAUAAAUUAAUAAUAUCGAUUAUCUAUUUAAUAAUUAUUAUUAUUAUUAAUUAUUAAUAAAUAAUAAUAAUUAUUAAUUAUUCUUAUUAAUUAAUUAUAAAUAAUAAAUUAAUAAUAAUAUUGAUUAUCUAAUUAUUAAUAAUAAUUAAUAUUAAUAUUUAUUAAUAAAUAAUAAUAAUUAUUAAUAAUUAAUUAUAAAUAAUAAAUUAAUAAUAAUAUCGAUUAUCUAAUUAUUAAGAAUAAUAAUUAUUAAUAAUUAUUAAUAAAUAAUAAUUAUUAUUAUUAAUUAUUAAUAAUUAAUUAUAAAUAAUAAAUUAAUAAUAAUAUUGAUUAUCAUUAAGAAUAAUAAUUAUUAAUAAAUAAUAAUAAAUAUUAUUAAUUAUUAAUAAUUAAUUAUAAAUAAUAAAUUCAUAAUAAUAAUUUCUAAUUAUUAACAAUUAAUUAUAAAUAAUAAAUUAAUAAUAAUUAUCUAAUUAUUAAUAAAUAAAUAAUUAAUUAUUUAAUUAUUAAAGUAAUAAAUAAUAAUUUAAAUAUAUUAAUUAGAUUAAUUAAUAAUUUACUGCCAUUAAAAUUAAAUUUAGAUUUUAAUUAAUAUUAUUCUCAUCAAGGAACAAGCUAGUUCCAGAAAGCGGGUGGAACAACAGUUCCAACCUUAUACUAGCUUGUUUCAGAAAUUCGGGAACUACUAUUUCCGGAAACCAAAUAUAUCGUUUGGAAAAAAAUAGAAGACCAAAGGCUUAUUCUUCUUUUUGUUCUUGAACCAAACGCUAUCUAGUAUUUGGGUAUAAAUUGGGGGUUAAGGAAUAACCCUUUAACACCAAUCAAACGGUGGCUUAAAGUAGGAAUUUUAUAAUUUAGCCAAAAAUGGGUUGUAUGUACCGUAACUCUCAAGUUUUUUCUCGCGUAGUACAACUGUGUCCAAAACCUGGCAUAGUGUACGGCACACGCACGGUCACAUCACUGCGUGGCUGUUAAUCCCAUCUCCCUCCCUCUCUCUCUCUCUCUCUCUCUCUCUCUCUCUCUCUCUCUCUAUACCUUCACAUCUCCAUUAAUGGAGCAUCAUAACGCCUCCGCCGGAUCUCGCAGCUACACUGACCGGCGUCUUUUCCGAGCUCCUCCUACCCCACCUCAUCAUCAUCAUCAUUCCGUUGUUUCCAUCACAUCAUGCCCAAAAUUGUGCCCAAAAGUGCAUAAACCCAUCGACACUGGAUCACUGAUUCACUGCACCCGUAAAGAAAAAAAAAAUCAAAACAAAAAACAAAAUAGUACUUGCGAGUGUUAUUGUCUUACUAAUGCAACCGAAAAAGAAUAAAAAAUUUUAGCAUUUCUUGCAUAAAAAAAUAGAAAGAAAUAAUAUUUAGCAUUUCACACACACACUGGCACACACAAUAUAUAUAUAUAUAUAUAUAUAUAUAUAUAUAUAUAUAUAUAUAUAUAUAUAUAUAUAUAUAUAUAUAUAUAUAUAUAUAUAUAUAUAUAUAUAUAUAUAUAUAUAUAUAUAUAUAUGAGUUGAGUUAGGAUACUUUUACAAGUAUCACCCCACUGGUGCUAUUAGGUUUUUAACUAUUGGAUCUACUUCUUGAUUACUAAUAGUUCUUGGAUCAAAUACUAUUCUACCUACCACCAUCUACCACCAUCAUCUCAACCUCACAUCUCUUCAUCCAAGGGCUAAAAAUACUAAAGCACCAUGGGGGUGAUACUUGUAAAAGUAUUCUAGCUCCACUAUAUAUAUAUAUAUAUAUAUAUAUAUAUAUAUAUAUAGUUGAGCUAGAAUACUAUCGAUAGCAAACGGGCUCCGUUGCCACCCAUUUAUUUUCGAUGAUCGAGCCUCCAAAUCGACGAUCGGUACCGUUGAACAUGAUCUAUACCACUUGAGAUGUUUAGAAAUCAAAUUUCAAAUCUUUUCAAUAUCAUUUGCGUAAUGAUCAAAGGGUUUUAAAAUUUGUAAUUUUAAAGGUCGAUAUGAGGCAUUUUCUUGUUUAACCGUGUAAAGAUAUCCAAAUCAAUUGAAUUUUUGUUAGAAAAUUCUUUAAACUAUUUAAAACAAGAUCUAUACAAUUGAUCUUGAAUACAAGACUUAUAUCAUUAUUUUUUAAAGAAUAUUUAUUUUCAGCCGUUCAUUUUUGCGUCCACUCGAUGAAAUAAGAGAAGAAUAUCGAAAAUGUAUGAAAUUUGAUUUCUAAACACUUCUUUUUCUUUUUCUUUUUCUUCGUUCUUUCUUUUCUCUCCGACCUUUAUCACCUCCACCACCUUCGCAGCCCUCAACGACGAUAACAAGAGCGGCGCAACCUUUUCUUCCUCCAUCUCCUCCUUUGCCGGCGUUGGCGGCCCUCGGCGACAGUAAUGAGGCAGCGCCGCCUCCUCUUCCUCCAUCUCCACCUUUGCCGACGUCGGAGAAGGAGAAGGAGAAGGAAACCUCAGAGCGGGCCCAAGUGAGGCGGAGCGAACAGAGGCGAUGAAAUCGUUUUUAUGUUUUGAGACUCCGAUGCGACGCGCGGAGUAGAGAGGCUUGCGUUUGUGAGGAUGGAAGUCGGAUCAAAAAGGAGGGCAAGGGAAGAGGAAGAAGAAGAAAAUAAUGAGGCGAUGAGGGUUGAAAAAUAGUGCAAUUUUUUUUUUUCUGAAAUAGUAUAAUUUUCGUCGAAAGAAUAUAACUUUUUAUUUCAAAGAGCGUAAUUUUUUUCUUAAAGAGUGCAACGUUCAUAUUAAACAGUUGAUUUUUUUGUAAAACAUAUGCAAUUUAACAGUACAAUCUUCAUCUUCUUUUCUUUUCUUUGAUUCUUGCACUUUUCGAUAGUAGUAACAAUAUAUAAUAAUUUUUUUAAAAAAAUUUAUUUAUUUUACUUUAUAUUUUUAUUUUUUUCUACCCUCUACAUUUUUGUUCGUCUCUUAGAGAUGGACACGUUUUUUUUGCCUCACCCUCACAAGCGACGAGCACGUUUUUAAUAACGACCUCAUUGUCUCCGUCCGCUCGGCACUCACCCAAGCCCGUUUUAAGUUCUUCUCCGGCGUCGGUGGAGGCGAAGAAAGAAAAAGCGUAAGAGUUAUGUAAUGAGUGUCAGAGAUAGAAUGAGUGUCAGAGAUAGAAGAUGGAAAAAGAGAUGACGCCGCCCUCAUUACGUCGGUGAGGCCGCAAAGACGGUGAAGAAGGUAAUGAGUGUCAGAGAUAAAAAAAAAUAUAAGAAAAGAUGAAAAAAUAAAAAUACUGUGAAUCAGUUGGCUAAAAAUUCAAUCCAAAUCUAAAAAAAAAAAAAAAAAAAAAAAAAAAAAAAAAANAAAAAGGCCCCAAAAGCUAAAUUUUUAUACAAAUUGGCCAACAAAUAACUUACUACUUUUUUAAAAAAGAUUUUUUUUAAAAACCACGGGAACAUUAAUUUGAGGUGCAUAAAGAGCCCAUCCCUUCCUAAAAUUGUAAACGCACCAGCAGCAGUACAGCAGCCUCUUGCACAAGGCUAACGUCUAACGUAUGACGCAACAUUCCUUCAAAACUAUCUCAGUGAUGGAUAAUACAAAACGUUGCCCAUGCCAUGCUCACUCUCAACUGUUCUAAUUCAUACACGUACAACUCAAAACCCUAGCAUGGUGUACGGCCCAAGCAAGGUCAAAUCACCACUCCCUCCCUCUCUCUCUCUCUCUCUCUCUCUCCUGUAUUAAUAAGCCAUAAAAGCAAAAGAGGCCAUGUUCAUUCCUUCACAUCCCCAUUAAUGGUAAUGGUAAUGGUAAUAGUAAUGUCCCAACAAAAUAAAGCGCCGGAUCACGGUGCUACACUGGAACAGCACCUUUUCCAAGCCCGAUCAUUCCUUCCACUCCCAUCAAAUCGAAACCACCGCAUACAAAACAACAGUGUGCAUAAAGUGCGAGCAAAUAUCAUAGAGAAGAUACAACAAGUCACUACAAUAACACUACAUAUGCAUAGUACAUUCUAGUAUGUAUAACACUGGUUAUAUAGCAAGCUAGGAAGCGUUGGUGAAGUUCGUAACUUAUACUAUCAUAAUAUUACACACUCUCAUAGGAAGCGUUAGUUUAGUUCAUAACUUAUAUAUCUAAUAUUACAACAUAGGGUUAAACUCUCUAUUAAAUAUAUCCAACCUUUCUCCCCUUCUAUCCAUCCAUCUCUCUCUCUCUAUAGUUGGAUAGAAAGGUAGAUAGGAGGAGAUGGCGUCGCUAACAAAGACCAAGUAUGCAUAUCCUAACUAUUCUUCACCCUUUUUCCUCCCUUUAAGGCCUGCAGGAGGCAGCGACGUGGGCGAAAGCCGCUUGCCAAUGAACUGCUGCUCCGGCCGACGGACGCCGUCGCGAGGAGGGUCGAAGGAGACAGGAAGGAACUCAUCGUAGCCGCAGAUGAAAACCGAGUUCUUGAAGUGCCUCAGAAGAGCCUCCAGGCCCUGGCAAACAUGAAAAAUUAACCACUACAAAUUUGAUGCACUUAUAGAGAAAUGCAAACUAGUACGAACAAUUUUGAACCGUUUGAAUCGAAACAAUACCUUAGAAGCACUCUCAAUACCAUUACUCCGCUGAAACAAAUAUUCACUCUCAAAGCCUAAAAUUUGCGAUCUAGCAUGAACUGAUCAUUCAAAUUCAACACUCGCACUCACUGUUUUUGAACUAGAAAAGAACUGUUAACCUCAAAAGGUCAUUUGAACUUGAAAAGAACUGUUAAACUCAAAAGGUCAAAUUAAGCUACACAAUUACAUAAAACCUAACUUCAGUUCGAGCACUACUCGUGAAAACACAAACGCGAGAAAAAAACAAAAUAAAAAAAACGAAUUCCCAACCACUGAAUGAACCGCGUGUCAAAACACAGCAUUUUAAUCAUUUACGUCCGCUUAUAGUGUACUCAACACCUCGAUUAUCAAUAACUUGUAACAAAUGAGAGAUCACUUUGAAUCUAUUACACGCCGAGAACACGCGUACGUUGAACACCCAAAACUACGAACUAAAUAGACCCCCUAAAAACAAGCACGGAAUUAGGAUUCCUUUUGAACAGUGCACGUACCUGAAUCCGAGCGUAGGUCACCUCGCACACCUUGCGGGAUCCGUGGAGCUUCCACUCGUAGUUGUGAAGGAACCUAUGCAACCUCCACGCCGCGGCGGGGGUGGUGAAGUUCACAAACGCGUACCCCAAGUUGCUCCCACUCCUAUUUCAACAAAUAUCGAGCACGAAUUUCAACGCAAGCAACGUAACGCGCGGAAGGAAUUAUUGGGUUUUUUUUGUCAUUAAUUGCUACACCUGAAGUCGAUUGGGAGGUAGAAAAAGUCGAACUCGCUGGAGUCGUUUUCCAGCGACCCUUCGCCGUCUUCCCCGCGCUUUAAAUAUCGCGACUUCUGGUUUUCCUCCACACAGUGCUGGUCCAGUAUGCAAAUCAACUUCUCCUUCCUUCAAUUUUUUUUUUUUUUUUUAAGAACCCACGGUUUAUUACAAAUGAAACUAUGUAGAGAGAUUAAUAUAAACAUCAAAAAUAAAUACUCUUACGUGAAUUUGUUGGGCAGGUUCUUGAUCAUGACCGUGGUCUUGUUCUCUUCAUUACAACCGAACUCGAAUUCUGCGCACGCCCUCCUCUUCUGCAACAGUGGCACGGAUGAAUGCAGCAGCUGCGGCGGAGAAGCCGAAGAAGGCUUCCGCCGGCUCUUCGGCUUCGGCUUCGGCGCGAAGAUCUUCUUGCGCCCGAAGCACCCGUAGCUCCUCACUCUCACAUCCUCCUCCGCUGCGUUGGCGGUGGCGGUGGCGUUGUCGCCUGCUGUGGUUUGAUGAUCCCUUUCCUUGAACUCUUCGAUAAUGGCUCUCUGGCCAGGGAACGAUAGGGGGGGUGAGGUGAAGUGGUGGUGGUAGUAGCAGGAGUAGAGGGUUUGGGGGAGCGGGUGGUAGUAGUAGAAGGGUUGAGGGGGCGGAGAGGAGGCGUAGAGGAGGGAGGUGUGGGAGGGGGUUUGGUGGUACUCGAAGUAGAAGGGUUGUUGUUGCUGUUGUUGUUGUUGUUGUUGUUGUUGUUGUUCAUGGAAAGAAGGGUUUGGGAGGAGGAGAAGGGGUUGGGAAGAGUACAAAGAGGAAGGUGGGUUGUAGAGCUCUAGCGUAGUAGGAUGGUAGAGAAGCGGCGAGGGGUAGUAAACUGGGGCGUUAGGGUUUAGUGAUGCAGUAGCCAUGGUUGUGUAGAGAAAGAGAGAGAGACAGAGCGAGAGGGAGAGGAGAACAGACAACGAGAAAAAGGAAACAACACAACGAGAAAAAGGGAACAACUGAAGAGGGAUAUUUAUAAAGAAGGGUUUAAUAUACAGAAGGAGAAGGAUUAUGAGAGAGAGAGGGGGGGGGUGGGAGAGCGAUUGGAGGGGGGGAGGGGGGGUGGGGGAUGGUUGGAAAGGGGGGUGGGGUGGGGGAGGGAUUGGAAAGGGGGCGCAAGUCUCAUUAGCAUGUUUUAAUGCAUGGAUUCGGGCUCGGAGAUCAUGCGCAUGUUAGCCUAGCUCUCCUAAGGGAAAAUUUUUUUUUCUUUUUUUUUUCUUUUUUCUUUAACUUUUUUUUAAAAUUUUUGGGUGUAGUUUAAUAUAGUAGUAGUACCUGUCCUAUAAUCUCAUACAAUUAUUGGUAAAAAUAAAUAAAAUUUGUUUUAAUUAUAAAUUAUUUUUAAUUAAUUAUCUAUUUUUUUAAAAAAAAAUUUAAUUUUAUUAUUUAGUUUUUCAAUAUGCUUGAUUUAACCCGGUUAAUAAUAUUAUAAUAAUACUCUAAUUUCAAAUUUUAAAUACGUUGUAUAUCAUAACAGAUUAGCUAGUAUAUAUACAUUGUAUAAUUUUUUCAACUAUAAAUUCUUUAUAGUAGGUAUUUUACUUAAAUUUUGAAGUGAAAAUCACAUUGGCUAACUCAAAUCAAAUAAAUUUAAAAGUUAAAAAUAAAAGCACAAUUUUAAAAGAUUUAAUAGCAGAUUCAAAAUGGUCACUAGUUCAGAUAAAUUAUGUACAUUUUUACUUAUAUUAUUUUAAAAGUAAUACUAUUUGUACAUUUUUAUAAUAUAUAAAUAUAAAUUUUAUAAUUUUGUCUCUUAAAAAUUCAUAUUUAUUUAUUUAUUUAUCUUUUCAAUCUCUUUUUACUCUUUUUUUUUUUUGAAAAAAUAUUUAACUCUUAUAUGAUAAUAUAAGUAUUAAAUAUAACUAUUAAACUAUCUAAAAGGUUUAUAUAAAUGUUUUAUAGUAAUGUUGUCUUUAUUUACAUUUCUUGACAGGGUAUAAAUUAUACACCCCACUCCUCCAAAAGACUUUUUUUUAUUUUUAUCAACUAUUUUUUUACUAAAAUUUAUAUAAAUUAUUGUGAAUUCUAGAAUAUAAAGAAUGUAAAAUGUAUAUCUAUAUUUACAUUUAUGGAGAGUAUUUUUUAAUUUCUUAUAUCGUGAUCAUGUGGAUUGAAUAAUGGCUCUUAAAGAAAAUUCUAUAUUAUUAAUUUUUUUUGUAAUCUUGAUAUUUUGGAAAUAUAUUCUUCUAAAAAAGAGUAGAUUAUCUUUUGAAUAGGUAAAAAAUUAUUAUAUAUGACAAAAUUUAGAAAUUAAAAUGAUGCGGUGACAAGAACGUGUUCCAAUUUGCAAUAGGUAUAUAGAUUGUCGAAAGACCACCGUUGCAAUAUUUACCGACCGUCCUUAGUGUAAGUAAAAAUGAACUUGUUGAUUGAUACCCGAGAUCCCAAGUUUGAAUUCUAAUUGAUUUAUAUUUCCAGCUAAGUUUAUUUCUAAAUGAAUAAAUAAAACGAGUAGCAUGCUACUUAUCUCUCUCAAAGAAAUAUAUAUAUAGAACUAGGCUACUAUACUAUCGGUAGCACGGAGCGCUUCGUGCUACCAAGUUGUUUUCGAUGAUGCGGUUUCCAAAUCGACGAUCGGCUUCGUUAGACUUGAUCUACACUAUUGAAAGUAUUUAGAAACUAAAUUUCAUAAUUUUUCGAUAUCAUUUACCUAUCAAACAAGUAGUCUAAAAUUGAACGGCUGAAAAUAAAAAUCUCAUGAAAAAUGAUGAUAAAAGAUUUAAAUUCAAGAUCAGAUAUACUGAUCUUACUCUAAAUAGUGAAAAGAAUUUUCUAUACAAUUUUCAUCGCAUUUGGAUUGUUUUACACCGUUAAACUCACAAACACACCACAUCGGCCAUUAAAAUUGUCAAUUUUGAGAUCUUUUGAUCACUAGUCAAAUGAUGUCGAAAAAAUCUGAAAUUUAGUUUCCAAAUACUUUCAAUAGUGUAGAUCAAGACUAACGGAGCCGAUCGUCGAUUUGGAAGCUGCAUCAUCGAAAACAACUUGGUAGCACGGAGCGCUCCGUGCUACCGAUAGCAUAGUAGCCGGACUCUAUAUAUAUAUAUAUAUUUUUUUUCUUUAUUUUUGGCAUGUUUUUUGGAGCCUAUUUUUUUUUUCUUUAAAGGAGAACCUUUUUUUUUUUUUUUUUUUUUUUUUUUUUUUUUUUUGGCGUCGUGCUUUGUUUCACAACUCUUGCAAUAAAAAGAGAACUCGGUUAGAAGGGAUUGGGUGGUGAAGGGGUGUUUGCGAUCUCCUCUGAUUCUGAUUUGCUGCUGCCUCUUCAAGUGCUUUUCUUUAAAAGCAGUUGAGUCCAUUGAAGGUGGACCAGCGAAAAUAAGGGGAUAUUGUUAAUGUUGCUGUUACUUUUUUUGUAUUUUCCAAUCAUGUAACAUUAAUGAAAAUUCCAAUUUCUUAGGACUCAAUAAUUGAAUUGCUAAAAAUAGGAAUUGCGACUACGAAGCUCUUUAUGAAAUUAAGAUUAAAAAACAGAAAAGAAUUAAAAAAAAAGAUCAAAAGAAGAAAUAAAUAUAAAUAACAUCAUGAAGUUUAUAUUGAUAUGAUAUACUAAAUAAAUAAGUAAGUUUGAUUUUCUCUUUUGUACAAUUCAUUUCUUCUUUUUGAUAAUGUAGAUUUAUCAAACUUUUUUGAUAAUGUAGAUUUAUCAAACUUUUUAAAUAAUAAUUAAGAGAGAAAAAUAAAACAAAAGAAAUCUGCUCAUAUAAGGUAAAAUUUAGUUUCUUACAUUAUUCUUUCAUUUAUCUGGAAAAGCAAAAAAAAAAAAAAAAAAUUAUAAAUCUGGAUGAGGCUAAGAAUAAUUUGUAUUUUGAUUUUUUUUUUAUUUUUGAUGAUUAUACUAUUUUUUUGGGGGGUCCAUAAAGAAUUUUAAAAAAUGAGAUAUUGAAAAUUAAAAAUUUAGGCCCAAUUUGAAUGUAUAAAUAUUUUAUUCAGUAUAUCUUAUUAAUUUAAUUAAGAAAUAGAUUUAGUAGAUGAGAAGUAUCUAGAAUUGAAUAUAUAUUUAGCUUUCAAAAUAUUUAAUUAUCCUAUUAAAUUAUAUUUAUUAAAAUCUUUAAAAGAAUAUAAAUCAAACUUAUUUUUUACAAUUAUACUAAAAAUUUCUUAUAAGGAAUAAAUUAUUCCUGAAUGCAUUAAUAUCUUAUUCUUAAUUGAUAAAAAUAUGAUCAAAUAUUUUAAAUAGAAUAAUAUAUUGGGUCUUUUAAGUCAUUUUUCGAUUGAAAUAUUUAUUAUCUUAUAAGUAAAAUAUAUUAUUUUACCAAAUAAUAAAUAUUAAAAUUGUUAGAUUAUAAGGUUUUUUUUUUUAUGAAAGGUUGUGUACUAUAUGAAAGAAUUUGUCCUUUCGUAAGGUUAUAUUUCUUAGUUUAAGAUUGCGUCUCUUAGCUUAGAGUCGUCCUUUAGUAGAAAAAUUCUUGUUUUAUUGAAGAGUUGUGUUAUUUCGUACUCUAUAAAUAAUGAGUACGUUAAUUGUUGGAGUUAUGUAGAUUAAGUUAUAUUAAUAAAUUUUUGUGUAUUAAAAUUUAGAUAUAUUUAAUAAAGUUUGUUGUUUUAGUAUUAAAUACUUUUAUAUUUUUUAAAUAAUUUAUUUAAUAAUUGAUUAAUAAAAAUAUUUAAAAAUAAAAAUAUUUUUUUAUAAUAUUAAAAAAUUUUAUACCAAAUAAACUAUUCUCAUUCAGCCUAUGCAACCAAUUAUUACUGCUCAAAAUUGAUGAUUCGAAAUUCUCGUAAAAGGGACUGUUAAUUAAUAUUAUCUAAUACAUUUAUUACAUAGCCAUUUUUACUCCCGCGUACAAGUGAAACGACUUGUCCAUGAGAUAUAUAGGUAGAGAGAUCCAAACGAGUACGUGCAUGCGCAAGGAAACAAAGAGCUCUCUUGCGUGUCACUCUCGGUCUCCUUUUUUGUGUGAUCUCACUCGAUUGUUUCCAACUUACGAGAUGGGGAAGCUCGAGAAACAAAAUGAGUUUAGAUUUUGUAUAAAUAGAGAGAGAGAGAGAGAGAGAGGUGAGAUGAAAAGUUAUCAUCAGCUGACGAAUUUCCUCAUAAUCUAUUUAUAUUUUUAUGAUUGAGUAUCCGAACAUAAUAUAUACUAUUUAAAAUAUGUAAAAAUUAAAUUACAAAUCUUGUUGACAUCAUUGAUGUUAUGAUCAAAGAGUUUCUAACUUUAUAAUUUUAAUAAUUAUAUGAGGCGUUUUCUUGUUAACGUGGCGCAUAAAGAUAUACAAAACAUUUGAAGUUUAAUUACAAAAUUUUUUAAACUAUUUAAAAUAAAAUCUAUAUUCUAAAUUUUGAUUACAAAAUUCAUAUCAUCACUUUUUGAGAAAUAUUUAUUUUCAAUCGUUCAUUUUGGUAUCCAUUUGAUAGAGUAGACAACAAUAUCGAAAAAAUACGACAUUUAGUUUAUAGAUGUUUCAAGUGAUAUAGAUAAUAUCUAAUAAUGCCGAUCAUCGAUUUGGAGGCUCCAUCAUUGAAAAUAAAUAGAUGACAACGAAACUUAUUGGCUACAAGCAUUUCGGCUCAACUCUAUAUAUAGAGAGAGAAAGAGAGAGUUAUAUUUCUAUAAUAUCUAUAAUGUGCGUGCUCUAGCACUAUUAAAUAUAAAAAUAAAAAGAUAUCAUUUUUUACUAGUUUAAGUUUUCAGUGUUCGGUUGAAGGAUAAAGUGGGAAUAGACCAUUUUAUCCCUCUAAUUCAUCUAAAUACUAGAGGGGGGAAUAGGUUUAUUUAAUCCCCUCUUAACGAAAUAAUCUGAUAAGAGGGAGAAAUUAUUGUUCCACCAUUUUGGGGAAUAACGAUUUCUUUUUUUUAUACCUCUACUAAUUAAAUAAUAAAAUACUAUUUGUUAAUAGAUUAUAUAUUAUUUUAUUAAUUAUUAAUUAUCUAAAUUAAUAAUUAACUAAUUUAAUAAUAAAAUAUCAGGCAAAUUAAUAAUUACUAGUGUAGAGACCCGCGCGAUGUGGCGGAUAAAAAUAUUUUAGUAAAAAUUUAUAGAUUUAAUAAACAUAUUAAAAUGUGAAAAAAAUUUAAUAAUAUGAAAAACACAGAAAAACUUUCAGAACGAAAUUACAAUCUCACGAAAAAUAAUGUAAGAAACAAAAAAAAAAGUAAAAAGUAUAGGAGUAAAAAAAUAAUUAUAUAAAUAGCCUGAAGAGAUAUUUAGAAUAUUGUAAAAAAAUAUAACAAAUAAUAAAAGAUAAACUGAAGAGGCUCAAAUUUAUAUUUAACUACUCAUAUAAAAAGAUUUAUCUAUCCUAUUCUCUUUCUUACCUAAAAUCAGAUUUCUUUUAAACACCAACUAUUAUUGCGUUUAUUUGUGAACAUCAAAAUUUCAAUGCCACUAUAGAAUUAGUACAGAAUGCAAGGGAAUCGAAGAAAAAGUAGUAAGAAAUAUAUGACAGCCAUGUAAAUAAAUUUUAAAAAUAAUAAUAGUUAGUUUUAACUAUCUAAAUUGUAAAGAUCCAUUUUUAUACAUCCAUGAACCAAAUAACCUAUAUAUUAUUUUAGUCUGUCGAUACAAUAGGACAAUUUAAUCAAUGCUCUUAUUAAUUUUACUUUGUCAAUUUUUAUAUAACUCAAAUAACUUAUUUAUGAAUGGUAGUGUACAAUAAAAAAAAACUUAAGGAAUAAAUUCUUCUUUCUUUAAUUAUCACUUAUUAUGAGGCAACGCUUCGUAAAAAAUAAAAAUUAAUGAGCCAGUAAGCCGAAGAGGUAAUGAUUUUACGGAGGAGACGAACGGGCACACUGUGGAGAAGCGAACAAAGAGCAAAGUGAUUAGAGCAUAACAUUUAAUAAGGGGGAAGUCGAAAAGGCAACGAUGCUACGGGGAAGAUGAGCGGACACACUGUCGUGGAGCGAACGAAGAGUAAAGCGAUUGAAGAGUAGAAAUCGAGAAAGGGAGAGACUCUGGAUGUGAGUCCCAUGGGCAAAACUUAAGGAAAGCAAGCCACGUGGAUUAAGAUUAUGGAGAUUAAUAGUGUUUUAUAGAUAUGAGGCAACGUUUCGUAAAAAAUAGAAAUUAAUGAGCCAGUAAGCCGAAGAGGUAACGAUUUUACGGAGGAGACGAACGGGCACACUGUGGAGAAGCGAACAAAGAGCAAAGUGAUUGGAGCAUAACAAUUUAAUAAGGGGGAAGCCGAAGAGGCAACGAUGCUACGGAGAAGGCGAGCAGAUACACUGUGGUGGAGCGGACAAAGAGCAAAGCGACUGAAGAGUAGAAAUCGAGAAAGGGAGAGACUCUGGAGGUGAGUCCUAUGGGCAAAACUUAAGAAAGGCAAGCCACGUGGAUUAAGAUUAUGGAGAUUAAUAGUAUUUUAUAGAUUUAGUGUGCUUAUACAAUAACUAAUAUCUAUAUUGAUUAGUCAAUUAAUAUUUUAACCAAUAUAACUAAUUAAAUAAAAGUGCUUAAUUAAUUUCUUACUUUAUUGAUAUAUUAAUUUAUUAGCUUAGUUUGUUAACUUAUCAAAUUAUUUAUAGUUAGUUAAUUUAUUAAUUAAUAUUACUCGUGAUUAAUUAAUUAAUGAUUAAUUAAUGUCCUAAUUAAUUUAUUAAUUAACAUUUAUGACUAUCUAAUAAUAUUCAUGAUAAAUUAAUUAAUUAAUUAAUUUAUUAAAUAUCAUUUACUUAAUAUUUUGUUGCCGAUUAAUUAUAUACAAUAUUAUUAUUUAACUAUUAUAAUUACUCUUAUUUCUAUUAUUUCUAUCUAACUAUUCAAACACAAUUUUUCUUAUUCUCGAAAAUAACCACUUUUGAGCCAAAUAUAAAUUAAAUUGAUCUUUAACAACUAUAUAUUCAUAUAUUUCAAUGAAAGGUUAAUUCAGGGAUAUGCGCGCAUUAUGCAUGGACUUAAAAAAAAAAAAAAAAAUCCCCAAACCAAGUGAUACCUCAUACCUCCCACGUUGAUUCCAUUCGCAGAUACGUGAUAUAUCAUAUUCUGGAACUUAUAUGGGCCUGCUUUGGACCUAUAACUCUCUAACAAAACUGUUGUUUGUUUUGAUGUCCUCAGGCUUCACCCAAUCAGUCGUCGAGCCUAGGUAAUCCGGCCCAAAAAGACUUCUUAAUUCCUUACCUUCUGGUGAGUCCGGCUGGGAUACUAUCGAUAACACCAAUGGUUUGAUAUUAGCGAGUUUUCAACCGUUAGAUUUAACUCUUUAAUUAUUUUUACCAGUUAGAUUAUACUAUUCAACCAACCAUCCACUCAACCCUAGUGGCUCCAUAUCAUCCUAAUCGCACAUUUCUUAAUCCAAGAGCUAAAAAACUAAUAGCACCAAUAGCUUGGUGCUAUUAAUAGUAUUCCAGCUUAGUUCCUAGACCUGGCAAUCUUGACCCAAACUCGCAGAUACCCACGGGUUACCCACAAAUUUGCGGGUAUGAGUAUCAAUUUUUCCAACCCAAAAAAUUAUGGAUAAAACGGGUGGGUACCCAUUAAGCAGUGGGCAUUUUGGGUAACCCGUGGGUACCUACGGGUACCCGCACAUAUAUUUUUUAAUUACAAAAUAUAUUUUCUUAAUUAAUAUAUAUUUUUUAUUUAUCCAUCCUAAAAAUUUUAAUCCUAGUUUCUUAUUACGUGUCUUUUAUAUUAUGAAAUAUUUUUGUUUUAAAAUUUUAAAUAUUUUUACUGUAUGUUAUAAUAUUUUAAACAAUGAGUUAUAUUACGCUUUUAAAACUUAUAUAUAUGUGUUUUGCAUUUAAAAAAUAUAAGAGCCAAAAAAAAAAUUUGCGGGUAACCCCCAUACCUACCCGCCCACCCGCGGGCGGGUAUGGGUAAAGAUGUUGACUACCAAAAAAUUUAUGGAUAAAUUUUAUCCAUGCCCAAGUAAACCGCGAGUACAAUAACCCGCCCGCGGGUUAUCCAACCUGCCCGUUUGCCAGAUCUAUUAGUUCCCUUCUAGUUGAACUUCAACGGGUAUUCACUAAAAUAUUUUAUCCUACUAUGUUCAAACACACGGUGAGUAUAAGUUUUUCACUAUAACAAAAACAGUAUACAGCGAUACUUUUAAAUAUCGGUAUAUGUCAAAAAAAACACUGUUGGCUAAAUUACCGACACUUUUUAAAAGUGUUGCUACAUAUGCAGUUGCUAUAUAUGGGGUCACCUUGAUGUCUGGCACCUAGCGAGCUCGGUGGAGUUGGUUGAAUAGAGAAACUUUUUAUUUUUUGUUGGAUUGGAGUUUAUAUUUAAUUAGAGUUUAGUAGUUUUUGUUUAAAAAAUUUGGCAUAAAUGAAACAUUUACAUAAAAGUGUCCAAAAAAUGUAUCCCUAUAAUCUAAUUCUGUUCUAGUAAUUGACAAGUUUGGCCGAGUUACUAAGUGUUGAGUACAAAUGCAUUUAAAUGAGAGAAAUAUAGUAUACUAUCUGUUCCGUUCUUUUUUUUUUAGAAAAAUAAACUCAAUGUAAAGCAAUUAUAUUUGGAAAUUGAAAAAAUCCUAUACCAACUACCAAUUGAUGAAUGUGUUCAAAUGUUACUUGCUAAUAGUUUUAGGUUUUUGAGACAAAAAUUUUACUUUAUAUAUUGUUAGAGUAACAAAUCGUUGGUUCGUUUCAUUUUGGAAUUGUCUCAACUAAUUUUCUUCAUUUAUUUCAGAAAUUUACAUGCAUGAGUGAGAGUAGGGUGGCAAUCCAACUCGCAGUUUGUAAUCUAGUUUGCAGUUUGCGAGUCAGCUCAUAUUCAACUCGAAAUGAGUUUGAAAUCGAAUUGAUCGUUUAGUAAACAAACUGAAUACGAGCUUAAUUGUGUUUGGCUCUUUAAUAAACGAGCCAAGCACGAGUUGAAUUUUUCGGCUCGAUAUUUUAAUGAGACAGCUAGUUUUCUCCACAAUAUUUGCUUAAUAAUCGAGUGGUUUCAAAAUUAAUCGUUUUUUGUCACACAUGGAUGUAUAAACAUCUUAUCUNUUAAAAAAUACAUCCCAUGAUCCGCCCCGCCUCGUAACCUGCCUCCCGCCGGCGCUCCGAAUCCGCCUCGCCAACUAAUAUUUUUUAUAAAAUUAUAAUAUUAUUAAUAUUUUGUAAAAUAUAAAUUAAUAAUUUUUAAUACUAUUAUAUAUAUAAUUUAACAAUAUUAAUUAUAAAAAUAAAAAUUAUCAAUCACAAUUCAAAACAAAAUUCAAAAGUUUCAAAUACAUUAGAAAUGAGAGUACUAAGUUAUUUGUAUUUUGAACUUUUUUGUAAAUAAAUUAUUUUUUAGGAAUAUUUUUUUAAAAUAUAAAUGAUUUUCGGGGCGGAUUCGGGCCGGGUCAAAAUUUCUCCCGUUUCGUGUCCCAAAUCCGUCUCGAAUCGUAAAAUUUACCCCGUUUUCCAUCCCGAAUCCGUUUAUUUUCUCCCAUUUACUACUCCGUCAGGGCAGAUCGGGGCGGGAGCUCCACCAACCCGGAUCCGUUUGCAUCCCUAAAUACGAGCCGGUCCAAGCUCGCUCGCUGGUUGAUGCCCCCAGUGGAGAGCUUCUGAUCAAAAUUUUGAUGGCUUUAUAUAUACUGAGCCCCUUAACGUGACAUAUCUCACUGGAAGCGUUCCAACCAAAAAAGAUCUAAGCCUCUAGCUUGUAAGUUAUCAACAUAUACCAAUUAUGUAAUAAUCCUUCAAUUAUUAGUCUCACAUACAAAUUUUAAAUAGGGGAAGUGCUAAAGUUGAACAAAAUGGCCUUUUUUUUUUGAGAAUACAGAAGUUGUUUUAUAUGUAGUUUCCAAACGACUCUUUUGAGAACAUAAAAUAAUAGAUUUGAUCAGCAACAUCUAAAAUAUAUCUAUAAUUUAUAAAAAGAAAAAUUGUAGAAACUUAUUAUUUAGACACUAAAAUAAGCUUUAAUCAUUUAGAUAUUAAAUUGUUGGAUUAUAUAAAGUCAUGUUCCGAGUCGAUAUCACGGUGGAAACGUCGAAGAUUUGAGGUUUCUGGAUGUUGGGUACUGGUACUUGAAGUUUUAGUACCGGUACUAUUGAGUACCUCAGCAGUUACUCAAAAUUUGAAAGCUGAAAAACUAUUUUUUGUAUUGAAUACCGAUACGCAACUUUGAGUACGGUACACAAUUCCGCGAUGGGUCGGAUAUGUAGAGUUUGACUCUAAUUAGAUAUAAUCUUGUUCCAAAAGAUUCGGAAUGGUAAAAGUGGUUUCUUAGAGGAUAUCGACGAUUAGAUGUGAAUCAGAGACUCGGAUGGAAGGCGGAGAUCGUUUCCUACUAAAAUUAGAAUUUUAGGGUUAUAUUAACUCUUGUAAUUAAUCUUUUAGGUUAUGGACUUCAUUAAAGACACCUCAAUUGAGAGGAAAACUUGGAGAGCUUCUGAGAGAGAGUUUCUUGUAAUCCAAUUUACUUCUUUGUACUUUUGUGUCGUAGAUUAAUUGAAGAAAGCAUUGAGGAUGGUAUACCAUGGACGUAGGUUGACUCAUCGUUGGCUGAACCACAUAGAUUUUGUGUUCUUGUGAUCUUUUACUUUCUUUAUUGCUUUGCUAUCUUCCUGCUUAUUUUUCUACCAUCAUUAUUGUCUCUUACGUUUAUGAAAGAUUCUGUUUCUGCUACGCUCAUGUGUUGUAUGGAUUUGAGUUGUGCUUGGUAACCCAACGGACGUUCCCUUCAUAAAUCUAUAUCUAUACUAUAUAUAAAAACAGAUAGAAAAUUUUCAAUUGACAAUCGAAUUUCUAGAUAUAAUAAUACAAUGUUCCAUAUACAAAAGGAAAGAAAAUUUUAAGUAAUUAACUAGCUAAUUAAAAAUAAAUAGGUUUGAAAAAUAGAAGGAUUUAAAAUAGACCUAUCAAAUCAAGAAUUUUUUAAAUUCAAAUAAUGCAUUUAAAAUUAAAUUCAAAUUUUGAGUUUGAUAAAUAACUUUAAUUUAUAUUUUAAAAUUAAAUUCGAAAUUUUAAUUUUUGAGUAUAUAUAAUAAAAUUGUAUGUUAUGGAGUACAUAUAAAUAAUAUUUACAGUGUAACUAAAUUAAAAACAUACUUAAAAAAAAAAAAUCAGAUUUACAAAAUAAAUCAAUUGAAAAAUAUACUGUGCCACCUAUAACCAUUUAAAUUCAAAAUUCAGGUCAAAAUUUAUUUUCAAUUAAAAUUCAUAUUUAAAUUAAAUUAAUUUAAUUUAUAAAUGUGAUGUCCAUCAUACGAAUUCUAUAACUAGUAAUCCUAAUAAAGUUGAAGGUGUAGGAAAAAACCCCUAUCUGUAACAUUAAAAAGAAGUAUGGAAAAUUUAUGAAUUUUGAUAUAUAGUGCCUAGAAUGUGCAGGUCACAUCAAAUUAUUAUCAUUAAAAUUUUAACUUAUGAUAAUCUUCAAAAAAAAAAGUAGUUCGUUAGGCGAACAACUCUGUAUCUUUUAUGGGAAUGAACCUGAAAUAUGUGAUCACUUGUAGUAUGUCAAUGAGUACAAAUAUCUGCGAUCUUAAUUACUUGAACUUCAACGCGAAUAUGAUUGUGUUUAACUGAUGCUAAAUGGAUAUAUUUUUAAUAAUAGGUAUAAAAAAGUUGACAGAUAUGGGAUCAAAUAUGAUUUUAUCUGUAUCCGACUCGAACCUAAACAAAAAUGCCAAGGAUUCAACUAAUUCGGAUUUCAAUAGUCCGGUUUGCAUUCAAAGUUUUAAAAAUCUCUUCCGAAUCUGAUCCGUUGGCAUCUCUAAGCACUUGUACGCAAGGAGUACAUAUACAUAUGGUUUAUACUCUCAUCUGCUGAGACAAAGACUAUCAUAUGCCAGAGAACACAAAAGAAGUGCAAGAACUAUGGAAAAGUUGACCUUAUAAAGAGAAGUAUAUAAUCAAAAAGAGCCCCACUACAUUAACGGCCACUUAACAUGUGAUUUAGUUAAAAGGGAACCAAGGGGCCAGCAUUCUGCUCUGUGGCAGUCAGACUGGAACGAGUUACGUUCGCAAGGGCGUAAGACUGAUUCGGCCGAAUUACAAUCGAGAUCCGUAAAAACUGUAUCUAUAUCCUUAAGUGAAUUGAUUGCAUUUUUUUAACAGCUCAAGCUUUUAGGACUAAUGAUUAGCGCCAAUGAUCCAACAGAUAAUUUAAUUACUAUAUUAAUUCUCUCAAAAUUCGAUUUUCUAUUUCAUGUAAGAUACACAGAAAAGUUGUAACUAGCCACCACAUGCAUAUCCACACAUAUGAAAACAGUGGUUUCUAGAUUUUUCAAGGUCUACAUUCUCGAAUUUUAGAUGAGGAAUCCAUGAUGGACCCGGUCCAUGCAAUAAUUCACAGCAUAAGUGGGUGAUGAGCAUGUGACACCUCUCAAGUACCACAACCCCAUUAUCACAACCCCCACUCUAAUGGCCUAAAAUUAUUCCCAAAGAAAGCCUACGUUCCUUAGGCUCUUCCAUUCCUUUAUAAAUUUUCCCUCUAUCAUGGAUGGACGAGGACAAAGAAAGAACAAAGAGAUGGAACCCUAGAGACCCUACGUGUCUAUUAGCAUUAGCAUAAAGUAUGAUGUAGGUUUGUUAGGAUUGCAUUUUUUUUUAUUUUUUUUAUUUCUUAAUAUCAUCUUUUCCACCUUAGGGAGUGUAAAUAGCUGCAUAUGGUUUGCAACAGUGUGAUCUUAAGUGGUCCACAAAAUCUAAAGUUCCCACAUAUAUACAUUAUAUAUUUUAGAAUCCUUUCCCCAUGGUCCUGAGCUCUAUUAUUAACAAUCACCAAUUGCACACAAAACAGCAAAAAGCAUAACUCAGGUAGUCAUUUUUUAUACUAUAAGCGAUUCCGAGACGAUAUGAGACUACACGGGACUUGGACAUAUCACGAACAAAAUAAUUUGCCAAUUUUGAAAAAAUAAAAAAAAAAAAGAAUUUGAACACGAAAGAAACACAGCAUUUUGAUGUCAUAAAUGAUACAUGCAUUCUCAUUUUCUUCUAACAAAUAAUGUUCUAACUAUUGUUCUAUAGCGUCCAAAGAGCACUUGAUCUUCUUCCAUAAUCAACAGACAAUAAAAUUAAACAUUUAUAUUCAUUUAUUUAAAACAUAUCAAUCUCAGUUAAGAUUUAGCCAUGGAAUGUAAAGUAACACAAAAUUAAUUUAUAUGAUCACAUAAAACACUAUGUAUACAAAAUUUAUAUACAUGUAUAAUAUAAAUAUAUAUAUUUUUUGCAUGUACUGCAUACAAAAUAUAUCUACAAGUAAAACCCAAUGCAUACAAUGCAAAUGCUGUUGCACUAAUGGUAAUGAAAGAAAGACACUAUAGGAGAUUGUUUGUGCACAAAUACGAUACUGGGAAAACUUUAAAAAACAGCAUUUUUUUUUAUCUAAAUGACAUUUUACUUAAAUGUAUCCACUACAACAGAAUUAGGUUAUAAAAACAUAUUUUUGAAACAUUUUUUAUAUAAAUUACCCAUUUAUGCUAAAACUUUAAAAAAAUUCUACUAAGGCCUAAAUAGAAAGCCCAAUCCAACCAAAAAUAAAAAAUUACUCUACUCAACCCACCCCACCCAACCCACCCCACCCAGCCCAGCCCAUUUGUCCCGAUUACAAGCAAAAAAGAAAAAAAAAAAAUAUAUCGAUCACCAUCUCCUCUUUCCCCCUCACUCAAUCCACUAAAACUCUAGAUGAAAAGCCCCUUGCUCUCCUCCUCCGCGCUGCAGUCGAUACUAAAUGCUAAAUGCUUAAAUAAGUGUUGGUAAAUUAGUAUCAUUCUUUUUCAAUUAUACCGACACUCUUAAACUGUUACUAUAUGCCUAGCGACCCCAUAUAUAGCAAUACUUUCUAAAAGUGUCGGUAAUUUAGCUAGCAGCAUUUUUUUUUAUCUGUAUCGACAUUUAAAAUGUUGCUACAUACCGUUUUUGUUGUAGUGAUCCAUCUCAAUUCUGCCAAUAUUGUACUUCAUCAAUCUAUUUAUUUAACUUAAUCUAAGAAAAUUUAAAGUGACAAACAAGUAACCAAACCAUUAAACAAAACAAAAUCAUCUCAACAUCUUACCAUACAAAUGUAUCAAUUUUGAUCAGUAAAAACUAUGCAUCAACUUCUCUUUUCUGAUAGUUUUUGUAAAAUGUGCAGUUACCAAUAGUAUAUAUAACAAAUAAAAUCAUUUCACAUAAUCACAGAUCAAAUCAUCAGUUUCCCGUUAAGUAAAGCUAGAACUGAUGAUUUUAUAAUACUAAAACAACCAGGAUUAAUAGCAGUCCACAUACACAUUAUCAAGCUUCCAGGGAAAAAACAUACAGAUAUACCUUUCCAUUGUGCUGCUAGCAUAUAGUAAUUUUCAAUUUCAAUAAUUGUGAAACAUAAAUGAUCGACGCUAAACAUUCGAUUAACAUUGUUAUUUUGAUAACAAAGAGACAAUGCAUAUAUCCAUUGCAAUGUUAGUAAUCACAAAAGGAAAUUAGAGGAGAAUACUACACUCGAAGUUUUAACUUGUUGGGCAUGAGUUUUCACCAAAGGUGGCUUGUAAUAAAACACGCCAAAAACAAUUGCAGAGCUAUUUGCAUAUUACCUUCUACGAAGACCUAUAUCUUGAUAAACAUAUAUACAAGAGAACGACAAGAAUAACGAUCAAAGUACGAAGGCUUUCGUUGCCUUAAAGGACACAUCAUUGAAUGUAUUAUAGAGAGAAUAUUAAUUGUUUGAGUCGGAACUGUUUUUAUGCAUCAUGAAAUAAUAAGGUAGUACUACACGUUGAACCCAAACCAACAACUUGAAAACUCAUAGAUGCAAUGUUCCACCUAUAAUACAUAUUGAGGACUUUCUCAGCAGUUGGACAUAGCCCUUUGCCCUUUAUAUUCUAGCAUAUGUAGAAAGUUUGACAUGAUAUCCAUUCGGAAAUUUACUGAUCACAAAGGUAUUGACGUUACACAAUGAUAAUAUGUUUACAGUGCCUAAUAAUAGAACUUAGUGCAAUCUAUGUACUAUAUGAUUACAAAUAGCAAACAAAUCGUGGCGCAUGCUAAUUUCAAUCCUGUGCUUUUACUGUGUUAAACAGCUUGGGACGUACAAACAACUCGCAGCAGUAAGACGACAUUCAUAAUUUGUAUGGUGAAAUGUCAUAUAAUAACAAGGGACCAAUCAAAAACUUUAAUGGUGAAAUGUCAUAUAAAAACAAGGGACCGAUCAAAAACUUUAAUUAAUCAAACAGACACAUACUAGGGUACCACAUACACACACUGAGCCACCCGAAAUUAAUGACUUUGAAUACAUCCAUCUCCUCCGUACUUCAUGACUUCUGAAGGAAAAAACUAUCUGGCAUGAUAAUUUUAAUAAUCGCUACCGAGACUUGUGCUAUAUGAAAUGGAAAAUUGAAAGUUUUCAAAAUCAUUUCGGCGAAAAAUGAAAAGAACAUUAGCUCUAAAAGAAAUCUCAUUAUUGGUAAAGAGGAGAAGUAGAAAACUAAAUGCAAGGGCUCUAGCUAUUCUCGCAAAUUACAACAAUGUUGAAAUUUUGUUUUAUUGUUUUUCUCUUGUGCAAGUAAUGUACAGCACAAAGUUGUGUUAGUCAGAAACUUACAUGACAGACAUGGAACCCUCCUCCAUUUGCAAGCACUAACCAAAAAUUGAACUUAUAAUGGACAGUAAUAUAUACAAGAUUAAUACAAGAUGAACUUUCCAAACAUAUAUAGUUGUAGCAAGUUUAAUUGACUUCGCAUAUAGUUAACUUCGGAUAUCAUUUUUUCGCAUACUGAUUAUUGAACAAAAAAUCAGUUUCAAACAAUCCACAGAAAUUCACUUAUUAGUGAGUGGAACAACAAAAAGAUCUGUCAUUAAAAGCCACAAAAUGUUUUUGUCACAGAAACCAUAAAUUUUUUUACUCAUGAUGACUACUAUACACUAUGUAGACUAGGGCUCAAUUGUUUCCAUUAAUCUAUGAGCCCUCAAAUUAUUAUCCCUACAUAUCCGUUACAAAUAGACACAUACCAAUUUGCUGAAUAGUAAACUAUUAUUUAAAAUAACGAAACUAGGUUUUUGAUCCGUUCAAGCUCUAUAUAACAGCUAAUUCACCAUCAUUAUUAAUUUCAAUAGUUUUACUUAGAUUUGUUAUAUCCAUGAUAUGGUACAAUAAUACAUGUCUCUCUAGCACACAACAUGUGACAGAAAGAGGUGCACAAAUAAUUUAAGCUCUAUUUUGGAUGCUGUCUGAAGAAUAUAUAUAUAUAUAUAUAUAUAUAUAUAUAUAUAUAUAUAUAUAUAUAUAUAUUCUGACUAUAGAAUGUAUGGAAGAAAUGUGCAUAAAAUAUAUUUACACCAAAGCUUGACAACUCAUUCCUGACUUAAUUUUGUCACAAGAAACAAUCCAUCUGCAAAACAGCUAAAACCACAAACAUAUAUUAAAAUAUGCAAAGCAUAAAGAUUACUUAUAUCUAUUAAUAUGUAUUAAAUGUGUCUCCAUGAAAACAAGCGACAGUUACCUAGAAAAGUAGGAACAGUAUCAUGACAAACACUCAGUAGAGAGAGAGAGAGAGAGAGAGAGAGAGAGGAGGCACGACAUUUCAAGGGCCAGGGAAACAAACCGUAGGCAGGCACUGAGGAGAUGUGAUAUAUGUGGUAUUAAUCACGUCCUACAGUAUGAGGAUUUGACAAAUUUCAAUUUUGUUUUUCCUUAAACAAUAAUAGGAAAAACACAAUAAAAUAAGUUGAAAAGGAACACAAAUUAGACUUACUACUGAUGAACAAACAAACCCAGUUGUUUUCUUCCCCUAGACAUGUAAUACGCCAAAACAAGAGAGAGAAAAAACAAAAAAAAAAAAGGCCGAGUCAUAUAUUAAGCAUGUGAUACAAAGUCACAAGUGUAGAUGAGAAACACUGCAUGAGAUGUUUGAGUCUCUCUCUCUCUUAAAACUGCUAUAGAGCUAAUACCCAUUCGAAAAAGAAAGAAACCAUUUUUUCAGGCGAGGAACAGAAUUUAAAGGAAAAAAAAAAAAAAACAAACUUAUAUACUAAAGAGUAUGAUCUGAGUAGUUAGAUUCGCUUUAUAAAUUUGUAAGACUCAUAGGAAUGAUGAGAUUAUAAUAAUCUUUUAGUUGUAUAGUAAUUCAAUUCGUUGGUUCCAUAAACAUGUUUGAAGAAGUAUAAAUUAUUAGUCAUAGAAUAAUCAAAAGAACGCAUUGGCACCGAGAAAAAGGAACGCUAUCUGUCAGGUUAUUCAUUGCCGAAUGAAAGAUGAGAAAGAUGCGGCAGUUACUAACUUACUAUCCCCUCUGUCUCGGUUCAAAAGAUCACAUUCGGAACGAGUCUAAUUAAGUUAAGAAAAAAAAUAAUAAUAAUAGUAGUAGUAGUAGUAGUAAUAAUAAUAAUAACGGUGCACGAAUUCAUGAAAAGCAUGAAAAUAUACUGUAAAAGCCUAAUUAAAGAGAAAGCUCAGCGAGAAAUUAAAAUGAACCGAUCUGAGUUGUUUUCAGGAUCUUGGGUGGUGGUGGUGGUGGUGGUGGUGUUGCUGAGGGAAAAACUGCGUCCCCGCCGCGAACGCGCUCAGCGGAGUCGGGUAGGGGUCCAUCACCGCCGCCGGCGCCGCCGCUGCGGAAGCCGACGUUAUUGCGGCCUCCGCAGAAGCUGCUGCGGCAGCGGCAGCGGCAGCGGCGGAAGAAGAGGACUCCCCGGGUUGCGGUGGUUGGGUAUGGUAAUGGUAACCCGAAUACGAAUAUGAAGAAAGGUCGGGGCCUUGGUCGCGCAGGAUGCCCUUGAACACGUGGCCGCCGAUGCUGACCGUGGCUUGGUAGGCGUACUCGUCUUCCGCCUCGUCGACGGGCCCGAUGCGGACGCAGCGGAACACCGCCUCCGAGCUCACCUCCGCCGGGAACCGCGCUUCCACUGCACCCGCCCCUAGGCCUCCUCCUCCUCCUCCUCCUACACACCAGCAGCGCAAACGAAUUACGAGAGACAGAUAAAGGGGAUCGAACAGCAGCAGCAGCAGGUAGCUAGCUAGCUUGUUCUCCAUCCUCAUCGAAACACGCAAAUGAUUUGCGGCAACAGUAGCGAGAUGAGAUAGUGAACAGUGGUAGUAGUUAGUAGUAGUGGUGGGUGCAGUGAUGAUGAUGAUGAUUGAUGAUGAUGAUAAUAAUUGUAGCAGUAGUAUAGUAGUGGUGGUGGUGGUGGUGGUGGUGGUAUAGUAGCUAGUACGUACCGGAGGUAGAGGGAGGGGGGAGGGAGGAGCGGCGGUCCCUAGGGCGGCGCUUGGAGGGGUCGGCGGGGGAGGAGGAGGAGGGGAGGGCGGCGAGCUGGAGCUGGUGCUGAUGCUGGCGAUCGCGGCGCCUGGCGGCGGGGACCCACGUGCUCUUGACGUGCGUCGCGCAGUGGAACCCCCGGCUCUUGCAGCACGUGCGGCACCGCUGGUGCGCGCAGUCUUUCUUCGCCUGGUUCCCGCAGUCCUGGCAGCUCACCCCACUCCCGCCCCCGCCUCCGUAUCUUCCGCCCGACUGCCCCGACCCCGACGCCGACGCCUCAUGAGAGAAGCUCAGAAUCGCGCCGCUCGAAGAAUAGAAUUGCGCCUGCUGCUGCUGCUGCUGCUGCUGCUGCUGUUGCUGUUGCUGUUGCUGCUGCCAUAGCUGAAAACCGCUGGUGCCGGUGCCGCCGGCGCGGGCGUAGAGGAAGAAGGUGUCGGGCGGUAGCGGAUUCUGAUCGUCUCGACUCGUCGGGAUAUGGCCGCUGCUCCCUCCUCCUCCUAGAGGGAACCCAGCCAUUCCCCCCAAUCCAUAGACCUAUUCUCCUCUCCCCCCCUCCCCUCCUACUCGCAUCAGAUCUCAAUAAUAACAAUACCCCCAAAAACAAUCCUACCUAGUCCUCUUCUCUUCUUCUUCUUCUUCUUCUUCUUCUUCUUCUUCUUGAAUUUUGUUGUUUCUUUUUUCUUUUCUUUUUUUUUUUCCUUUUCGGCUCUUUUAUUUUGCCCCUUAUUGGUUUAUAGUAGCAGCAGCAGCAGCAGCAGCAGCAGCAGUAGCAAUACUAGUAGUAACUCGUCUCUGCCCCUUCAUAAAAUUCCCCCCCCUCUCUCUCAUUCUCAAAAGAGCACAGCUCUAGAUACAUAUAUAAAUAUAAUAUAUAUAUAUAACAUACAAGAAGCCAAGAGGAUCAGGGACCGCCACGCCGCCAUGGAGCACGGCUAACGCUCGCAAUUCCAUUUAUUACUACUACUCCUCCCCCCACAACCAUCUUACUUAAUCCACCCCUUAACGUCCCCCCCACACCCCACACCCCCACAAGAAGGCAAAAAAAAAAAAAAAACCCUACCCAAUCAAGAAGGAGAAGGAGAAGAAGAUUAAAUAAAAAAGAAAAUAAAUAAAAGGAGACAUUAAAAAAAAAAAAGAAAAGAAGAGAAAAGGAGGAGGAGAAGAAGGAUAAACGAAGGGAAUGGGAGAAAUAAAGGCGCGUGUCUUUCUGCGGCUUCUGCUGUGAACCUUUACGGCUAGAAAUCUAACAUUAACCUUUUCUUCGCGAGGUCCUGUACGCGGGGCGAUCGUGGCCGUCCGUGGAUGGUCGGACGGCGGAUGGGGGGGGGAUGGGGUGGGGGUGGCUCAGCAUCCGUCACCGUCUUCGACCGCCAAAAACCGCCUGCUUUUUCGUGAACCCUCCCUACUUAAUGUCGCUGUUCCUGCCACGUUCAAAGUCGUCGAACCAAUAUUAUGCGUGCGCCGGUAUAUAGACCCGUUUUACGUGCAGCACCGAAAACUCUCUCUCCCUCUUUUUUCUUUUUUCUUUUUUUUUUUUUCGGUAUCAUUGAAGGGAAAUAGCUUAGAUCAUUUGUUUUCUAAUGGUAAAACAAAACUAUCUUUUAAAAAAAAAAAAAGGUUGUGUAAAAGUUCUGAGUUUGAGUUUAAAUAAGAAGGCUCUGGUAACAUCGUAAAAAGUCAAAUUCUUCAUUCUCAAAAAAAAAAAAAAACAAUUGCUCCCACUACAACAUAUUACAUGAAAUUUAUACCUAACCAAAUCUAUUUAACCAUGUGAAAAUGGUAAAGAAUAUCACUAGGAAUAUCUGUGUAAAAUAAAUAACUAAAAUUAAAGCAAUUAUUUAAACCUAAUUAAUACAACACUUAGAUUUCAAGUUUUAAGAAGAUUAAUUUUUCAAAACCCUUGUAAAAGGGUGUAGUUUCAUAUAUGGCCCACCAAAUUAGAAAGUAUCGUUAACAAUAGUUUUAUAUGUUUAGAAAAAUAUUGAUAAUAUUUAGAUUCUUGAGGGGUAUCUAUGAUAUUUUAAAGUUUUUAGAGAAACGGGUUUGAAAUUGCCCCAAUUAAGAAUGACCUUAUUCUAUUAAGAUAAAUAGUCAAUUUAUGUUUAAUUUUUGUUUCUGUUUACUAUCUAGAUAAUAAAAUUUAAUACAUAUUCAUGUCAAGUUUGGGAAUUAAAGACAAUUCACAUCAAGUUGUUUAUAUUUAAAUUUUUAGGCUUCUAAUUUAAAGUUUUCAAGAUAAAAUUGUCUAUGCAACUGCCACUUUUAAAACAUUUAAUUUGAAAAAGACUACUUAUACUUUUUAUACACCUAGUAAUAAAAUAUAAGAUUUAUACUCCGUGUUUCAGAAAGUAUAAAUAAUCUUUUANAAGACUACUUAUACUUUUUAUACACCUAGUAAUAAAAUAUAAGAUUUAUACUCCGUGUUUCAGAAAGUAUAAAUAAUCUUUUAAAUUUUUAGUAUUAAAAAAUUAAUAAUAAAAUUAUAUAUAUUUUUUUUGAGAGAAAGAUAGUACGUUACCCGCUUCAUUCAUUUAACAAAUAAAUUUAGCUACAGGGGUUGAGACAAUGCGGUCUCGAAAAAUAUUGAAGGCAACCAAAACAAAAAAGAUAAAUAAAAACUAAAAUAAAAAACUAUAAAAAAUUGAUAUUUGUACUCCUGACUCAAAACUAAGAUAUUAAGAGCUACAAAACUCAGUUUAUUUUCUGCUCACGUUUCGUAUUCGUCUAAUAGUUUAAAAAAGAUGGAAUGAUUGGCUUGUAGAUUAGCACGGUGUAAGAUUCAUAAACCCUACAACGUACAUGUUGCACCAAUCCUUUUUAGUUUUUAAUAGGAUUAAACGUUAAUUUCGGUCUAUGGACCUGGUCGAGGAAAUAUAUUCUUGUGUGAGAGGGUUAGAGAAAACAAGGGUCUUUUUCUCUCUCAUUCACCCAAAAGUAGAUACGCGUAUUGAAUAGGACGUGUACGAUACUACGAUCUCCUUAUGCUAAUCUUUCAUUUCCAUUUUAAUUUGAUGGGAUAAUUUUAUUUGUAUCCUUGAGAAGUUCAAAAUUAUUGUAAACGCCUCUACAAAAGUUGUAAUAUCAAAAUUAUCCCCGCAAAUAUCUAUUUAGUUAAUCUUAAUUAUAUUAUAGUAUAAUGAAGGUUAAGAAUGAAAUUAUCCACUUUAACAUGGUAAGGGGCAUAUAUAUUGAUGUAUGUGGCCCACUUCUUUUUUUUCUUUAAUUUUUAUCCAUUCAAAUUUCAUUUAUUUUGAUCUCAAAUAUUAUAAUUAGUUAAACAAAAAAUUUAAUUAAUAGGUUAAUUAGCUAUUAAUAAUUAACUAUUAAAUGAAUUUAUGCUAGUUUCAACUCAAAAUUAAUUAGUCAAGGAUAUUAAAUUUAAUAGAAUAGUUAUCUUACCUUGUGAAAUUUUUAUCUUUUCAAUUUAUUAUUUAAAAUUAUUAUUUUCAUGCAAAGUCCAUUGAUUACGAGAAUUUAGUUUGUCUUUUCAUAAUGCAACUAAUUUUUUUAUUUGAUUUCAGAUCUUAUACUAAUGUUGUUCUUAGUUAUAAUAUAUUCAUAACAACAAAUUUUCUCUACACUAAGUAGUCAAAUAAAAGUUGUUUAUUACUUUACAAUCGGUGCAGCAAAAAACUAAAUAACUAAAAUGAAUUAUCCUGUCAUUCUGACAAUAAAGCAAAAUAAAAUUUAAUUUAAGAACAAUUUAUUCCAAAUAGAAAAUUUUAUUUAAUUGAAAUGAAUAUAUUUUUUUCAACUAAAAUCAAUUGAAAUUUACUAAAUUUUUAGUCUAUAUAAAGUUUAAUUACUUUUGAAAUAUAAGGGAGGAUAUUUAUGAAAUAAAAUUAGUAAUUGAUCAGGGAUAAAGUUGAAAUAUAAAUACUAUUAACUUUAAUAUAGAUGAUCACUUAAUGGCAGGGUUAUUGUUGAAAGUUUCUUAAAUUUGAGGGGUUACAAAUGAUAUUUUAAUUUUAAAAGGGGUUCUUAUAAAAUUUGAUGUUUUUAGAAGGGUAUAGGGAAAAUUUUCCCUAAUUUGAAUAUAUAUAUAUAUAUAUAUAUCCAGUGAGAUGAGAACGGGAAACAGUGUGGAGUAGUACCCACGGUGUUGUGCACCCACUAAUUUCUUUAGUACGGAAUUUUGCAUACUAAUAAAACCGAAUUAAAUUGAUUAAUUGUUCGAGGGUUCAAUAAUCAACAACCAAGUUUCUAACAAUGUUAAAUAUAAAUAUUUAAAAAUACCGUCAUCUCAUAACUUAGAUUUUUUAAAAAAAUAAUAAUUUUUUAUUAUUUAAUAUGAUAGGAGAAUAGAAAAUUAUGAUUUUGAAUCGCGUUGGUUUUCCAACAAAAUUAAUUUUUUCUUAUUUAAUUUAAAUCUAUGUCAUAGGCCAGCUAAAAAUAUUGUUCUUUUUUAUCUUAGGCUUUUAGAAAAAAAAUGAUCAUUUCAUUUAAUUUACUACUAAGAAGAAAUAAAUUUUUUGCGUAAUAUAUGGAGAUUUUUUUCACCAUACACAUUAAUAAUAAUAAUAAUAAUAAUAAUAAUAACCAUAAUUUCAUGCGCAUAGGAUCAGUUGUAAUUAUCUAUUUGACUCGGCUUUUGACAUUGCGGUGUUACCCACAAUAGUGAGAUAGAAAAUUAAGCUCCGAAUUUGCAGGUUCAUGUAAUAGAAAAAAUGUGUUACGCUAGAAGGCAAGUAAAAUAGGUUUAUAUAUAGGCCUAGUUGUCUCGACCUUUCAUGCAAUUACUGCAUAUGCUUAUAACGCAAAUAAGACAUUUUACCUCCGAAUUUGAAUUACAGGGUUGGUUUACUGUUACAAAUUAAAUACUACGUACAUUUCGUCACAGCACCUCAUGAUAUGGUGUCUUUACUCUCUCUCUCUCUCUCUCUCUCUCUCUCUCUCUCUCUCUCUCUCUCUCUCUCUCUCUCUCUAUAUAUAUAUAUAUAUAUAUAGAGAGAGAGAGAGAGAGAGAGAGAGUCCGGCUAAUAUGCUUUUUAUGAAUAUAUUUUUUUGUAUUCAUAAUUUUCGACCGUUAGGUCUACUCGUUUGACCAUUUUCAUUCGUGAAAUUAUACUAUUCAACGAACCACCCGCUAAAUCCUAUGAAAUCAUUAUCAUUUCAAUCGGGGACCACUAUCAUCCAAAUUGCACAUCUUUUCAUUGAAUGAUCGAAAAUUCAUGAGUAUCGAUCGAUAGUAUCAAACACUUUGUACUAUCGAGUUUUCCGCCGUUAAAUCUAUUCUUUUGACUAUUUUCAUCCGUUGGAUCAUGCUAAUCAACCAACUAUCCGCUCAACCUUAAGGGGAAACACUAUCAUCCUAAUUGCACAUCCCUUUAUCCAAGGGUCGAAAACCUAACAGCACAAAGUGCCUGAUACCAUCAAUAGUAUAGUAGCCUUAAGAUAUGGUCGGGGUGCUGAAUUUAAACUUACCAGAUUAACUUUUGGAUACUAAUUAAGUAGACCUGUAUUAACAGUUUUGGAAGAAUAAAAUUAACAGUUUUAAUCACUUCAUAAUAAAAUAAAAUUACUGAUAAUAUCUAAUUAAACUUUUUAAUUUAAUAAAACUUUAACAUAUACUCCUAGAAUGACUCAAACAAAAAAAAUAAAGUUAAAAGAGGUUUAAAUUAAGAAAAAAGGCGGAAUGUGUUUCAGAGACGUCUAUAGUUGAGAGGUAUCCAUAUAUUUUUACCUAACUUUUAAUAAUGCGAGGGAAUGAUACGAACAAAUUAGAGCGCAUUUGGUUCAAGUUAUAUAAUAUUACAGAGUGUUCCGAUAUAUCCAUAUUUUUUAAAUUUCUAAAUGAGAUUAUUAUUAAUGCUGCAUUAGCGUAUUUGAUUUAAUACAGUAAUUAAUAUAAUGCUAGAUUGAAAUAUUUAUACUGGAUGAACUAAACGCAAUAAUUCUAUCAGAAUUACUUGUAAUCCUGUCAGGAUAAUUCGAAUCAAACGCAUCCUGUUGUACAAGGGGUGGCCAUAAUAAUAAGUUAAUGUUCCAAAUAAAAAGUAACACGUACAUUUUGUUACUCAAGCGAUAAGAUUUUUUAAGUGGGAACUGUGUAUAAUGAUUUUCACAGUAGUUGCAUUUUGGGAAUCUUGUCCUGUCCAUUUAUCUGAACGAAAAAGCAACAUGCAUAUGCUAGGACUCUCCAGCUGCAGAUCAUUUGUACAUAAGAUCCCCGAAAUCUAGGUUAGGAAAUUUUGUCAGGUUCAUUAACCAAAACCAGAUUCAUAAAUUUUAAUAUAUAAAAUUUAAGAUUAAUUGAAUGUACGGAUCCUUAAUUUUAGCGCAUGCAAGCUGGAAUUUGAUUUCAGCUUCCAGUUGUCUAAUCACCAAGCUACUGAACUAUUUGAUAGAUAGCAAAAUUGGUUCAAUAACUUAAGUUGGAAGUAAUACUACGAAGAGCAUUCUGUUGGUUUAAAGGAGUCAGUGUUUUGCCCGGCUGUGAGAGAUGAGAUUAGGCCGAGUCACGUUCGAAGUUUGAAAUAUAUGGAGAUCGGAUUGGCUCGAGUCAUGUUCAAAGCGGCAUGAGGCUAGAUGGUUCGAGUCAUAAUCGAAAUUCGUGAGUGCUGUAUUUAUAUGCUUUAAAAUUAAUUGAUUGUAUCUUAAUUUGUAAAAGUUUGAGCUUUUGAAAUUAAUAGUUAGCGUCGACGAUCCGGCGCAUUCAACUUCUCAAUAAGAAUAGAAAAUAUAAUUGGAUUGCAUUAGAAUGGAAAAUAAAAUGACAAUCAUUAAAAAAUAUUUUGUUCAUUAUUAGAAUAGAAAUCAGAUUGGACAUCUAGAAUUUUGAGAGAAAAUUUUGAAGAGAGAGAGAAAAGUGAUGAAAGGAGAGAAGAGAGAGGUAUUUGUGCGAGAGGAUUUUGAGUAAUUUACUUUGAGAUGGCAAAUCCAAAAUUCAAAUUCGAAUUGGGUCACAAAUAGAUUUAGGUCAUUCCUAUACUAGAGUGGAAUGAGAAGCAAAAUCCAGUUAUCAUAAAACAAACAGCAAUCAUCGGAAUAAAGGAAUCUCAUUUCAAUUCCACAAUCUAAGAUAAGUGAACCACACGAAUUCUUAAUAUCUUCCAAGAAAAGAAUUUUAUACAUUUUAUUUUUAUGUCACCUCAAAUGCUAACAGUGAAUCAAGAAAUUGAGAGAAAAACCAAGAAAUUGAGAGAAAAAAUAAAACAAAUAAAUAAUUUAUGUUGUUCAGCUAGUAACCUUCGUCCACCGAAAUAGAUGGAGCGAAAAUUUCUAUUAUUAGAGUACAAAAGAAUGGAUCUAGCUUUAACAUACAUCAAAUGCUCCUGCUCCUCCAAAAUACUACACAAUAUUAUACAUGGCAAAUUUAAAAGAGAAGAGCUAUAUUUAUAGAAAUAGCCAAGUGCAACUAGAAACCAAUUCCAAUUGGGUCACAUAAGAUAGAAAAGUAAGCUGAAUUCAUAAUCCAGUUAUUCUUAACUUUUGUUUCAUCGGACACAAAAUAUAUUUUGAACCAUCAGAACGUACUGUCAUUACCAAUACUAACCUCUACAAGUUUUUCCAUCACGAAUUAUGGGAACUAUCAUUAGCAACACUAAUCUCUACAAGUUUUAUUUUUUCCUGCUCUUACUGUUCUUCUUUUUUUUUUCUCUUUAACUUGAAACAUUCAGAUUUGAUAUGUUCUUUCUUCUUAUAAUAAUUAAUAAAUCAAAUCCUUGUGUUGUGACUUCGAUUUUAAUCUCUAUCAACUAGUGUCAAAAUCCCUAUAUUUGGGUCUCUCUUUCGCAAUAAGGCCCUUUGCAAUACCUUCACUCACAUUAUUAUUAAUUUGCUUAUCAAUCCUUUUUUUACAAAGAAGAGAUGACUUGAUAUCUUUAAUAGGUAGGGUCCUUUUACCAAAGAGAAAAAUUUCUCUAAGGAGCUUAUAUGAGGAAGCUAAAGAAUAUAACAAUAGAAAGGACAUCAUUUUCAUCCUCAAUCUUUACAUUUAUGGACUAUAGGUCUAUAAUAAUAAAAUUACAUUCAUCAAGAUAAAAUUUAAUGUAAUAUAUGUAUCUUUAGAAAUGCGUAGAAUAAACAAUUGGUGCUUCACGUAUAGCUUAUUUAUGGGAGACUAUUCAUCAUAUAAGGGGGACUCAGAGUUUCAACCUAAAGUCUCAGUAGCCUUUUAUUGAGCAUUUCACGUAAAGUGUCACUAAAGAGACACAAUUGAAACGCUAUAAGAGCUCUAGAAUCCAUAUCUUCUUUUGCUCCUCCGUCAAAAGUGUUGAACAUCAUUUUUUUUUUUUUUCUUUUUCCCCAAAACCUCUUUCUACAACCCCUAUUACGCUAAAAUGGUACACAUCAUAUACACAUCAUAACUUGCUACAUAGUAACUGCGCGCUUGAGUAAUUAAUCAAGCUUUUUGAUCUCAAAUUUCGUUGAUAUUUUACAUACCCAAAGUAAACUCCCAGGCCAAUAAUAGUUGUUAGGACAAAUGUCGAAAAGAUUUAAUUUUGUUGGGUGAUAAAAAAUAAAAGAAAAUCUAAAAAGAGAGAAGAAAAAUAAAUGGCACAGAUAAGUAAUAUAAUUCAACCACUGGCCUAUAUAUAUCCAUGCGCACAAAAAUAGAACAAAAACCUUAGUUAUAACUAAAGUGGAGUACAAUAGAAUGCUUCUCUCAGAAUAACCUAGCUAGUCCCAAAAUGCAUCAGAUACUCUUUCUCCUCCAAUAUGCUAUAAUAUGUUACACUACUAUACUACACACCAAAUUUAAGAGAGAAGAGCAAUAUUUAUAAAAGUGGCUAAGUUUCAAUUGGACUAGAGUGGAUUUUAGUUUAAGACUAGGAAUAAUUCUACUUUAUCUAAAAUCCCACUGGGGCUAAAAUUAUUUCCAAAAUGAUUAGACAUAUCUAAUUCCUAUGAUACUAAAAUCCAAUGGGAUUAGGAAUAAUCGCAGAUUAAAUAAAUAUGUUGGCCAAAAUAGAAUAUAAUUAAAAAAUCUUUGGACUUCAAAACUCAAGAUACAUUUAACAGUCUCCAUUGAAACUGUUGCAUCUAUUCGCAUCAAGAAGACAAGGAGGUGAACUAAUGAUCAGUUUCUUUCGCUUUUUUCUCGACUGCUACUUAAGAAACUCUUCUAUAAAAUCUCCAAUUGAGCCAAACAAGAACAGUACCUGCAAACACUGGACAUGAUGAUACAAUAUUAAUUCCUACUUGUUGAGAAUUGGACAAUUACUGAUUCUUUGUCAAUAAUUGUUUGAUCUCCAAAGCAAAUUAAAUCAUCUUAAUUAGUAUCCUUCUUGCCCUAUUUUAAAUAUUUCUUGUGCAACCAAAUUGACAAGAAUGAUUUCUCUUUUCUACUUUGGAAAGAAAGUGAUAUUUUUGGAGGCUAUACCUAUCUUUUCAAGUGAAAGAACACAACCAACACUGUAAGGGCCAAGUUGUGACCUUGGCAAUCCGGGACCUGCUCAUAAUGGAAUUGUCACUGUAGCCCCCCAAAUUCAAUGUCUUGCUCCAUUCAUGCUCAACUUGGAUUUUAAUACUCAACAAUUAAUGCCAAAAACAUUAUUAGUGUGUAAGAAAAAAAACUCUAAAUAUAGGAAAAAAUUAAAGCUUGACUAGCUAGCUACCAUCAUCUGCAAAGAGCAUGGUCGAUCGGAAACCAACACAAAAUUAAGGUCUCGUUUGUUAUCAUUGUUGUUUCUUUAUUUUUAAAACAUUAAAUAUUAUGUAAUUUAAUAUAUGGGGAAUUAAACUUUCUUUUAUUGUUAUUAUUGACUAGAUUAUAAUACAUUCUGACCAAGUAACGGUAGAUGGCAACUUCUAUGAAAAUUUUAGAAAAAAAAAAAUUUACCUCCAAAGUUUUAUAUUUUAUUGUCCAAUAAAUAGAAUAGAUAUAAGAGUUGCAAACAGUACUCUACUGUCCUCGUCUACACUGCUAAGAACUAUAUAUCUUAAAAAACAAAAAAAAACAGACAAUAAUGCCAUGCAAGGCCUACACUUCUUUGGGUCUUGUCUAGUCCUAUCAUUAAUAUCUUCUAUUUUAAGGUAUAGUUACUUCUAUUUAAAGGUAUAUAUAGUUCGUUGUUUUCAAAUGUGUAAAAAUAAAAAGAAAAUUUUACUAUGAUUAGUUUUUUUUCUCUAUGCGAAAGCUAUAUAGAUAUAUACACACACACUAUCAUAAAGACUUUUUUUAACAAAGAGAAAGAUAGUAAAUUAUUCGUUUUAUUUUUUAAAAAAAAAUUAAAUUUGAAAUAUAAAAUAAUUAGGCUUGAAAUUUAGGACUUGAAUAUCAAUUAUUAAGGUCUUAGCUAAUUACGUCAGGGACAAUCAAUAUCAUAAAAAUUUGAUACAAUACAUGUCUUAACAACAGUAUCACUUAAAUGGUACUAUAUCAAACAUAAUCGUAUCCUUUACUGUACAUAUAGUAAAGUAACUUCUAAUUGAGCCAAAAAAUUAAAAAGAUAUACAUGAUAUUUGACAUUCUUAUAAUUAAAAGACCUGCCCCCCAGAUUGAUCACCUAAUCAUAGGUUUAAUUUUUCUUCUAUAUUCAGUCUUGGGCUAUAGAAGAAACAAGCAAAGAUAAAUCUAUUUAUUUAUCUAUCUAUCUAUCUAUCUACAUUCAUAUUUUGACUAAUAAGGAACUCUCAGGAUCUUUCUAAACACUAAUAAAAGGAGGAAUCUUUAACUCCUAGAUUAACAAAUGUAGAAAUUGGAUUGAAACAUUAUAAACAGUAGUGAUUAGGUGCAUACAUAAAUAUAUAUAUAAUUGGGCUUUGAUUCUUCUGCUUGAACAUGGAUAGCUUAUGUAGGUAUUUGUAAACCAUGUAUACGUCAUGAUUCCAGGGGUUGCCAUUCAUCAUCUUAAGCAUAAAAAAUAUGUAAAAAAAAACCAAAUAUAUACAAUUAUGGUAGCUGUGCGAACAACAAUAGGACAAGGACCUAAAAGUUUGUUACGUUUUUAAUGGCCUAAAAUUCUUGUUGUCUAACGAAUAUAUUUCUCUCUCAAAAUGUAUUAUAUAAAAAUUAACUGAGUCAAAGGAGUCGAAUUAAUAUGAUGAUGCCACGUACGUGGUGUGUCCAUUCCUCAAUUUUGUUGGGUUUGUUGAUGUUUUUUCGGUGUUUUAGUUAUCCAAAUUUAUCUACAAAAGGAAAAAAAAAGCUCACAUAAAAAUAGAGUAAAACUAUUCAUCCACCCCAUCUAGUGGUGAAUGAAUAGCAUAUUUAUAUAAUUUAUGUGACUAUAAAUUUAUUAAAAUAAAUAAUUAGUUUAAAUUUUAUAUCUAAAAUUUUUUUAAAUUAUUUAAAUUAAAUAAAUUAAAAGAUGGAAUCAAAAUUAUCUAUAAUUCAGAUAAGUUUUAUAUAUCGUUACAAAAAAAAUAUGUUGGAAAAAUAAAAGAAGAGAGAGAAGAAACAUCUUUUAUUAUUUUGCUCUUAACAAUUAUUGCUGCAAUGGGAGGAUUUUUGGACGGUCCUCACUUACUUUAACUUGUUUUGUUACAUUUUGGCAGGUUUUAGUUGAGAGUAUCCAUCGAUUUUUUUUUUUUUUAUUAUUUUUUUUUUGGGAGGCUUUGAUUCUCAAGAUUAAUUGCCUCGCUUCUGUAACUUAGAUCAUAUUCGUUAUAAAUAAAGCAAAUAAUAUGCCGUUUUUUCCUUAAAAAAAAUUAAUAAUAAUAAUUUUUGCUGCUGCAGGACGAUCAGCUCUCUUUUUGUUUUCAAAUGGUAUUUGCUGCAAAGACCAAAACAAACCUUAGUAUGAAGAAUAUAUACACAAUAAAAGAGAAAUAUGCUUAGGAUUUUGUGUGGGUAUGGGGGGGAGUCCCAAUAAUUGAGCCCUCUAGGGUCAUUCUCGAGCCCUGUGUCAGUACCCGAGUUGACUCUUCUUUCCCUCCUUUCAGUCUCUUCCUGUCUCCCUCCCCACCCUUUCUCUCUCAUGCUCUCUCUCUCUCUCUCUCUCUCUCUCUCCUUCUCUAUUUUUUUUCUCUCAAUAACUCAUGCAUUAUCAUAUUCUUUUUAAUUAAUUUUUUUUUACUAUUUGGCAAUAAAUAUUUUAAAACCUAGAUUCACUAUAAGGACACAUAUUUAGAAUAUUUUUGUGUAAGUGUCCUAUUUAUGCCAAAAUAUAAAAAAAAAUCUACUAAUACUUAAAUAUAAAGCCCAAUCAAACUAAAAAUAAAAUAUUACUCUACUCAACCCACCCCAUCCAGCCCAUUCGGCUCGAUUACAAAAAGAAAAGAAAGAAAAAGAAAAAUCGAUUACCGUCUCCCUUUCUCCUCUAACUCAAUCUACUGAAAUCCUAGACGAAGAGCCCUUCCCUCUCGUCCUCUUCUGCCACCGCAGCCAACGAAGUAGAGUUCCGACGGUUGCUAAAUGUUUAAAUAAGUGUUGGUAAAUUAGCAGCACUCUUUUUAGGUUAUAGCGACACUCUUUAACUGUCACCAUAUAUCCAGUGACCCCACAUAUAGCAAUACUUUUUAAAAGUGUCGGUAAUUUUGCCAGCAGCACUUCUUUUGACCUGUACCGACGUUUAAAAGUAUCGCUAUAGACCGUUUUUAUUGUAGUGAUUGAAUAGGACUUAUCGCACAAUGACCUAAUAUCAAAAGAUUUGUUUCAAUAAAUAAAGAUAGGACUGACUUUCUCUCACUUUUUCUCUCUAACUUAUGUAUUAUUAUAUUAUUUCUACGAGUUGAGCUGGAAUACUGUCGGUAACAAACGGACUUCAUUGCCACUCAUUUGUUUUCGAUAAUGGAGCCCCCAAAUCGACGAUCAGCACCGUUGAAAAUAAUCUAUACUAGAAAUCAAAUUUCAUAUUUUUUCGAUAUUGUUUUCUUGUCCAUCAAGUGGGCGUAAAAAUGAACGACUGAAAAUGAAUAUCCUCUAAAAAGUGAUGAUAGAAAUUUUAUAAUUAAGAUUAAGAGUAUAGAUCUUGUUCUGAAUAGUUUAAAGAAUUUUAUAAUGAAAAUUCAAUUGAUUUGGAUAGUUUUACACCGUUAAACGAAAAAAUGCCUCAUAUCUAUCAUUAAAAUUAUAAAUUUGGAACCCUUUGAUCAUUAACCUAAUGAUGUCGAAAAGAUUUGAAAUUUGAUUUCUAAACACUUUAAGUGGUACAGAUCAUGUUCAACGGUGUCGAUCGUCGAUUUGAAGGCUCCAUCAUCAAAAACAAAUGAGUCGCAACAGAGCCCAUUUGCUACUGAUAGCAUUCCAGCUCAACUCUUAUUUCUACUUAGAUUUUUAGUUAAUUUACAUAAAAAUUAUUAGUUUUUAGUUUUUACAAAAGUAUGCCAUUUUUUAAAUUAUGCAGUUUCUGACCGAAUUUUCAGAAAACUGAACAAAAUAUUAUUAUUCCCUUUUCUCUCUCUCUCUUUUUUUUUCUCUCGUUCUGUUUUUUCUUUCUCUCCGAAGAGGGCGACAGAGGCGGAGGCGUCCGCCUUGUCUUUGUCCCACGCGACCUCGUCCUCGCCCUCUCCCACGCACUCUCCUUCCGCCUUCUUCGCCUCCGAUCAGCUGAGGCCACACCGCAAGCCUCUUUUUUUUUUUUCCUUUCUGACCCAUCUCCACCAUCUUCCCGGCUCUUUACAAUAAUAAAAAGGGCAACGUCACGUCCUCUUUCUUUCAUUUUUUCUCUUGUUCUUUGUUUUUUCUCUUCGACCCUACUCUAUCGCUUCUACGACGCUCCACGACAAUACCAAGGACAGUGUCGUAUCCUUUUCCCCUCCUUCACCGGUGUAGGCAUUGACGCCGGUGCCGGAAAAGAAGAACUCGGAGAGAGUGCUAGUGAGAGCGAAGUCGAGAAAAAAAAAUAUGCAGAAAAUAAAAAAAUAAAAAGAAUAAAAUAUAAAAUAUAAAAAAAUACUUUUCUCUAUAAGAAAAAUGAAGAAUUAGAGAAAGAAGAACAUGAUAAAGUUACACUAUUUCAGGAGAAUGUUGAACUGUUUCAGGAGGACGUACGUUGCAAUAUUUUAGAGAAAAUUUAUACUCUUUGAGAGAAAAACUAUACUUUUUGGAUGAAAGUUGCACUCUUUAAACUAAAAUUGUACUAUUUGAGCAAAAAUUACAUUGUUUCUCCUCCUCCUCUUUCUUCUCCUUCCUUUUCAUCUUUGUGUGUUUCUUAUGUGCCUAUCUCUUCAUCGCCCUCCACCUCCGUCGGCAGAUCCUCCAUUCUCGCCUUUGCCCUGUGCGCCCUCGCCCGUGCCCGCGCACCCCUCGCCCUCGUCGCCUCCAAUCCCAUCUAGGCCGCACCGCAACCUUCUUUUUUUUUUCCUCUUCGACCUUCCUCCACUGCUGGAGAGGAAAAAAAAAAAAGAGAUGGUCAGAGAGAGAUUGGUAGAGGAUCUGCCGAUGAAGGUGGAGGGCAAAGAAGAGACAGGCGCAGAAGAAAUACACGAGAACAAAGAGGAAGAAGAAGAAAUAAGAGGAUGAGGGAAAAUAGUGUAAUUUUUGUCCAAAAAGUGCAAAUUUCGUUCAAACAGUGUAACUUUCAACCAAAAAAGUAUAAUUUUUCUCUCAAAAAGUGUAUGUUUUCUCUAAAACAGUGCAACGUUCUCCUGAAAUAGUGCAAUUUCAUCAUCUUCUUUUUCUCUCUCUGAUUCUUUAUUUUUUUGUAGAAAAACGUAUUUUUUAUGUUUUAUUCUUUAUUUUUUAUUUUUUAUGUUCUGUAUAUUUCUUUCUCGGCUCCACUCACCCAUUUUUAACUCACUUUGAGAGUCCUUCUUCUCCGGCGCCGACGUCAGUGCCUGCGCCAGCGAAAGCGAAGAAAGAGAAUGCGGCGAUGUCUUUGUUAUUGUCGUCGAGGAUCGUGGAGGAUCGCGGAGGCGGUGUAGGGGGGUUGAAGAGAGAAAAAAAAAACUACAGAAAAAAAGAGAAGAAGAUAUGUGACGCUGCUGGCCUCUUCACUGUUGUAAAGAGCCGAGGAGACGAUGGAUAAGGAUUGGAGAGAAAACAAAGGUCCUGGCGCAAUCUCGGCGGGGUCGGAGGUAAGAAAGGCGGGGGGAGGGUGCGCUGGUAAAGUUGAAGGCGAGGUCGUGCUGGAGAGAGGCGAGGCGGGCCACCUCCGCCUCCGCUGUCACCGCCCUCUUUGAAGAGAGAAAAAAAAAAGAAUGAGAAAAAAAAAGAGAGAGAAAAAAGAAGGAGGCCUCCGCCGCCCUCUUCGGAGAGAGAAAAAAAAAAGACGAGAAAAAAAAAGAAAGAAAAAAGAAUAAGAGUAUUUUGAUCAGUUUUCUGAAAAUCCGACCUGAUUAUGUAAAAUUCAGAAAGGUGGCCUAUUUUUACAAAAGCUUAAAAAUAAUAAAUUUUAUGCAAAUUGGCGUAGAUUUUUUUUAUUACUUGCCAAUUUUUUAAUACCUGGAUCGACUUUAUCAAUCCAAGUGAUCGGAUAGUGACCUAAUACUCAAAUCGAUUCAGUUCAAUCCAUAAGAUCGAACUAAUUUAAAAUCUACUUUGAAACGUUCAGAUCGAUAGUUCAAUUACUCAAAUUUUUUAUUUUAUAUUUCGAUAAUUAGUUAAAAAAAAUGCAUUGGUUUUAAAUAAUUUAUGCUUUGAUAUACAUUAAUUAUAUAUAAUAUAAUAAAUUUUAAAAAUAAUAUAGAAUACCAUACUUCGUAUAUGUUGAUACCAAAAUUAAGCCGACCUAACCCACGUACGAGCCAAUAAGGACACGUGGUACAUCAGGAGUCGGCAAUAAGGCGCCUGAAGGACAAAAAGGCGGGAACGGUUGAAGAUUGGGGCGUAACUUCCAUGAGGAGUUAGCGUAAUUUCCAUGAGGAGUUAGUAUAACUUCCACGAUCAUGGUUACAACCACUCCCCCCAACUACUUUCAACCAACUAAUAAUGUGGGCUAUAAAUAGUAACUUUGAAGCUUGCAAUAGGGGUCUUUGCCCUUGCGCACAAAAGACCACCAUUAUUUUCUCUGCAUUUUAUCGCUUUUCUAGGAGUAGUCUAAAUGUAAUCUUUUUCUUUUCCGCAUUUACUGCUUUCCUAGGAGUAGUUCUUGUAACUUAGAUCUUUGGAGUCUGUCUGCCCUAUGGGCAUCACUCCUUUAUAGAAUUGGAGUAUGUCUGCCCCAUGGGCAUCACUCCCUUAUAAAAUAUACUUGGAGUCUGUCUGCCCCACGGGCAUCACUCCCCUGUUCUUGUACUUUUUCAUUUUCUAUUCAAUAGAAAGUCACGUUCGGCUAUUCAGGCCGACCAGAUUUUGUGUUGUGCUAGCCAUUCAACUCAUCUCUCAGUCGAAUUCUGGGCUUCCCCUCUUCAUUCGGCUCAUCCUACCGAAGCGAAUUUACUGCGGAGGUUUUCGAACCCGGCUCAUUCGAUCCCUCAUCGGCCUAAUCGCUUGAUCCUCUGUGGGCGCAUACUGCGAGGGUCAUAAUCCGCAGCCGUCUCGUAGCCCGACGAUCUUCCCAAGGAGAAUUGUUGACUGGGUCAAGAGUCGGGUCGUUCGGCACGCAACAAUUUUUGGCACGCCCGGUAGGACACAUUUUUGGUAAAUUUAUAUUUUAUAUAAAUUAUGGCUGAUGAUCUACGUAAUAGGGUUGUUCCUAAAAAUUUUGGGAGUGAUCAACCUAGUGAUUCAGACAAUGCUGGCGAAUGUCAAGCAGUUUUGCCAGUUGAAGGAGAAACUAGUGGACAGUCGGCUCAUCAAGAGCCGAGUCUAACUCAGGCACUCGGCCAGAUGAGCCGAGUCCUGCAAACUUUAGAUUAAAAUAUCCAUCAAAGUACCGCUCGACUAGACGCGGUGCUGGCCGCUAUCACGGCCUAUAAUAAAAAUAUUGCACGAAUAGGGCAAUUAUUGACUCGAAAUGAGCAACCAAUGACAGGCUUACAAAGGCCUAUGAUGACACCAGUGUUGCAAAAUCCUGCGACACCAGUAAAUGGACAGCCCCAAUACCAGGGGGCACCAUUCCAAGCGGCUUACAGACCGGCCAUCGUCAAUACCGGUCAACAGCUGGAAAUUACAUGGGGAUUGCCACUACCUCCGUCGAUGGCAGCAUACCAGCCCCAAAAUGUAGGGGUUAGAGCUGGGGGGCAGGCCCCUAAUGAUAUGCAAGGAGCGAACCCUGCAAUACAGAAUUCUGGAGUUCCUCAAGGGCCAAAUUCGGCUCAAGCACAAGCUCCGCUGUAUGCUCAGAUUGAGGAAGUCAUUCGGAAUACCUUCGGAGUAGGGGCUAGGCCGGCUAUGCGGCCUAUUUUUUGAUCCCCGUAUCCAGCAAACAUAGAUACAGAGCAUCCGUAUCCGGCAAACUGGAAAAUGCCGAAGUUCGACAAGUUCUCGGGCGAUGAGACCGAGAAUACGGUCGAGCAUAUAGCCCGGUUCACGGCCCAAUGUAGAAAAGCGGCCGCUGACUCAUUUUUGAAACUUCGAUUAUUUAACACGUCGUUAAAUAAAACGGCGUUUACUUGGUAUACGAGUUUAUCAGCCAAUUCCGUCCAAGAUUGGGACGAAUUGGAAAGAAAAUUUCAUGAGCGAUUCUAUAGAUCGGAGCCACAAUUAUCGGUCGCCGACUUGGCUUUAUACCGACAAAUGUCAGGUGAAACGGUCGAAGAGUAUUUGGACCGUUUCAAAAUAGCCAAAACCCGGUGCUUUAUGAGAAUGCCGGAAUCAGAGUUCGCCAAAAUGGAAUUAAAUGGUCUGCAUUUUAAGAUAAAAGACCAUUUUGAAGAUAAGUAUUUUUCUAACCUAUUUGAUCUAGGUGUUCGAGUUGCCCAAUACGAGCAAUUUCAGAAGAAAAGUGAGGACGAUCGGCUGCAAUGGAGCCGAUAUAAAAAUCAAAGCAAAGGCAAAGAGAAAUCCUUGCUAGAAGAACAGUCGGUUCAAGAAGAGCCGAGCAAAUCGAGUGAAAGUAAAGAAUCGGCUGAUGAAGCCAAGAUAUAGCCACUUUCUUUAAGAAAAAUUUCUUGAUAGAAAAGCAUUCGGUUCAAGAAGAGCCGAACUAAUCGAAUAAAAGUAAAGAAUCGGCUGAUGAAGCAGAGAUAUAUGUGGCUGGGAUGAUAAAGCGUCGUUUUCCUAAAGCCGACUAUGACCAGCGAAACUAAAGCUUGGGUCUUGGCUGUGCUUUUGAACAGUCGAUUUGACACCAAUAGUCAUCCGAAUGUUCAUUUGAAAGACUAUUGGGGGGCAUUGUUGAUACCAAAAUUGAGCCGACCUAACCCACGUACGAGCCAAUAAGGACACGUGGUACACCAAGAGUCGGCAGUAAGGCGCCUGAAGGACAAGAAGGCGGGAACGGUUGAAGAUUGGGGCGUAACUUCCAUGAGGAGUUAGCGUAACUUCCAUGAGGAGUUAGUAUAACUUUCACGAUCAUGGUUACAACCACUCCCCCAACUACUUUCAACCAACUAAUAAUGUGGGCUAUAAAUAGUAACUUUGAAGCCUGCAAUUGGGGUCUUUGCCCCUGCGCACAAAAGACUACCCUUAUUUCCUCUGCAUUUUAUCGCUUUUCUAGGAGUAGUCUAAAUGUAAUCUUUUUCUUUUUCGCAUUUACUGCUCUCCUAGGAGUAGUUCUUGUAACUUAGAUCUUUGGAGUCUGUCUGCCCUAUGGGCAUCACUCCCUUACAGUAUUGGAGUCUGUCUGCCCCAUGGGCAUCACUCCCUUGUAGAAUAUACUUGGAGUCUGUCUGCCCCACGGGCAUCACUCCCCUAUUCUUGUACUUUUCCAUUUUCUAUUCAAUAGAAAGUCACGUUCGGCUAUUCAGGCCGACCAAAUUUUGUGUUGUGCUAGCCAUUCGGCUCAUCUCUCAGUCGAAUUCUGGGCUUUCCCUCUUCAUUCGGCUCAUCCUGCCGAAGCGAAUUUACUGCGGAGGUUUUCGAACCCGGCUGAUUCGAUCCCUCAUCGGCCUAAUCGCUUGAUCCUCUGUGGGCGCAUACUUUGAGGGUCAUAAUCCUCAGCCGUCUGGCAGCCCGACAACCUUCCCAAGGAGAAUUGUUGACCGGGUCAAGAGUCGGGUCGUUCGGCAUGCAACAGUAUAUAUAUAAUUUUUAUUAUACAAGCAUAAAAAGUAAUAGUUCUGGAGUUAUGACAUUAUACUGAUUUCAUUCAAUUCAGCGGUCGAACUGCUAGUUGAAUCAGUGAUCUGUAAUUCUGCAAUAUUUUUAUCUAGUAAAUGAUUUCAAAUUUUAAAAUAUUGGUGGACAUAAUAUAAUGAGAUUAGAACUUGUUUUAUGUAGCUAGGAACAAUUGCUUAUAUAUUUCUAAAAAGUUUCAGAUUUUCUUAUUUACUCCGUUUAGAAGGCUAAUAUAAAAGAGUAAUGCUUCUAUACUUUUUUUUUUUUUUUUGUUACCGUUCAUUCAUGCGUAUUCAACGGCUCAGAUUUAAUUUUUUUAAAAUUGUGACCUGCAAUACCAGGUCAUUUUGGGAGAGGUAUCGGUUACCAGGUAUCUCAAAAAAGGGCAUUUUUGGCUUUUAAUAUAUGGGCAAUUUAGUCAUUUUACCUUUACUAUAGUUUACCUCAAAUUUUUUAUUUUUUCUUUAUUUCCUUUUUCUCUCUUUAUCUUUCCUUUCAUAAUUUGGCAUUUCAUAUAAGAAAAUUUUCAAAUGAUUUGACAAUACGAUCUUUUAAUUUUUCUUUUCUCUUUGUUUAUUUGUUUAAUAUUGCAAAUCAAUUUAAUUUUAAGAAACUAUGCAUUAAAAUUUAUUUCCAUACCUAUUGCUUUCUAAAUUUUUUAAUAAAAUAAAAUGAAAUUUAGAUUAUUUUGUGAUUUAAUUUGUAGUUAAUUUUUUUCUAGUUCGAUCUGCGAAUUUUCAAAUUUUAUCAUAUUGUAGGAUAUUAAUUUUGUUUAGUUUGAUAGUAAUAACUUGUUGAAAUUUGCAUGGCUAAUGGAUCAGAAAACAAUAUUCCGAUGGAAAAGGUGGUGGCAUUAUAAACUUAAAAUUGAAUUAUAACAUAUAAAUUUAUUUAUUGAUAAGUUUAAACUGUACUACAUUAUUUAGAUUUAUUGAAGAUUUCUCUAUACUUUUUAGGUUCUAAACUUUAAAUUUAUUUUGUUUCGGCUUAUAUUUUAAAUUACAAUACAUGAUCUUAUUAUUUUUAAAAAUUAAUUUUUACGACCAAAAUUUAAUUAAUUUUGUCUAUACAAUUCUAUUAUAAAAAUAAAUUUAAAUUAUACCCUUACCCUAAUAUUCUAAUCAAUUAUCUGCAUAAAUUUUUUAAAUAGUGAUAAAGAUUACUAUCUAAUAAGAAAAAUUAUUAAAUUUUUUUAAACAUAUUAAUAUGCUGAAUUUAAAUAUUGCCCACAUUUAAUUUUUUAAAAUUAGUAUACAAAAUUAAUGAUUAAGAUGAAUUCCUAAUUUUGUUAAACGUAUUAAAUAUGUUAAAUUUAAUAAUUACCAACAUUACGAAUGUUUUUAAAUAGUCAUACAAAAUUAAUAUCUAAAGUAGAACAAUUCUAAAUUUUUUUUAACUUAUUAAAUACAUUUAAAUUAUAAAUAUUUUAACCUACAUUCAAAAUUUUUUAAAUAAAUGAUACAAAAUUAAUGUCUAAACUAUAGGAAUUUAAAAGUUCUUAAACAUAUUAAAUAUGUUGAAUUUAAAUAUUUACCAACAUUACAAUUUUUUAAAUAGUAAUAUAAAAUUCCUCUAAUUUUAAUUACACUUUAAAAUUUUAAAUAUUUAUAUAAAAAUUAAAUUCAUAGUAUUUAGAAAUAGAACUAUUUCUAAAAUUCCUAUAAUUUAAAUUAAUGCAUAAUUUUAGAAACACUAAAACAUUUAAAGUAGAUGCCUAAAUUAAUGCCUAAUUAAUGCAUAACUUUGGUUAAUCAAUUAAUUUUCUAAAUUAGUGCAAAUUAAUGCGUAAAUUUAGGACCUCAAUUAAAAGUUUCUUUAAAUGUUGUAUUGUUUAAUUACCAAACUAAUCUUGAAUAAAAUAAUCCUUUUACCUGCUAAGUAGUAAAAUUACAUUUUUACCCUCUAUUAAUCAAUGGUUAAGAUUUUUUUAAUUUUUUUUAAAAAAAGUACCGAAUCAUUUCUCAACAUAAAAAAAUACUCUUUUAACAUUCCAAGUUCUUUCAUAUAUAUCACUAGAGUUAAAUUUUGUUAGUGAACUGUUAAGAAUAGUCAUUAUUUAUAUAAAAUUACUAUUUUGCCAUUUUAAGUCACCGAUUUUUUUUAUUUGUUUUUAAGUAAGUGACAAAAGAGGCAUUUUUCCUUAUUUUUCUUUCAAAUAUAUUCUUCUACCGUCGCUAACUUUUUGUACUGUCCUUAAGUUAAAAGCAAAACAUAUAUUUUGACUUAUUUUAACUCGACUUAAAAUUUAACUUGUAUUUAGCUUGAGAUGACUGAAUCGAUAUUAACAACAAAUUAUUUAAUGAGAAAUAUACAAUGGGUAUGUAUAUUUGAAACGAAAGUAAAAAUAUAUAAAAUAUUUUAAAAUUUUUGGGAGGCAUAAUUAUUAUGCGUUAUAAACUUAUAUAAUGGUUUAAAAAGUUUUUUUUUUUUUUUUUGGCAAGAGAAACAAAGAAAUAGGAAAGAGAGAGAGAGAGAGAGGAUGAAGUAUUUUCAAUGGGUGGGACUUUCGAUGCUUAACGAACUGAGUCUGAGCACUUGCCCGCUUUAAAUUUCGGGUCACGAGCGCAACAUGUGAAGAGGAGACUAGUAAAAAGUAGUAGUAAUAGUAGUAAUAGUAGGCGCGCGUGGGGAGGCGCGCUUCGUUUGUUGUUUGGUGCUCGAUCCCCCGCACUGGGAAUUAGAUUAUGCUGUGCGGGGUGGGGGGUGAAAAUGUUACGUAUAAGUCCCUCUACUAUCCUGAUAUUGCCUCUCAGUACGUCUCUGCACUUUUUAUUCCAACAUUAUUAUUUUAAUUAGUCUUUGAACUUAAUUUCUAAUUUACCCCAUUAUAAUCUCUAAUAUAUAUAUAUAUAUUAAAAAAAAAAGGUAGAUUACACUAUAGUUGCUCAAACUAUGGGGCACGUGACACUUUGAUACUCAAAUUUUUAAUUUGUUGUAAUUUCUAACUUAGUUUUUUUUGAAUCAUUAUAAUAUAACUCAAUUUGUUUGACUAAGUAUAAAUAAAUUAUUGAUAUAAAAGUGAUCGAUAUAGUAUUUAAAUUGUUAUCGCAUCGUGAAUCACCAUACUUUCACAUUUCUUCUAUAUCAAUAAUUUGCCAAUAUAGGUCGUGAGACUUGAUUGCAAUAAUUUAUAAAUUUCGAAUAAAAAACUAUAACAAAUUAAAGUUUGGAGAUCAAAGUGUCACUUGCCUCACAGUAUGAGGAUCAAAAGUGUAAUUUAUCCCAAAAAAAACAUAAUAAGAAAUUGUUUCGCUUCUUCCUUUAUUAUAUCUCUCUUAGUUAAUUAGUUUGCCCAAAUGAGUGCCAAUUUAGUACCUCUUCUAAUUCUGAAGUCAGUAGUGUUGAACAUACAAUAUUUGACACCAUUCCUGGCAGCUUAAGCUUUUGGUGACCCUUUUUUUUUUUUUUUUUUUCAAACUAGUAUCAGAUCAUGCGGUCUUGAAUUCCAGUCUCACCAAACACCUUGCCUUGUUUAGUUUUUUUUAAUCUAAUUGAAGUCCAAGUUUUUAGCUUAUUAAACUAUCUUACGUCUAGGCGUGGUGAAAAAUAUAGAAUAAUAUAAUAUUAAAUACUAUUCUCUGUCCUGUUUGGUUGGGGAACAAUGGGAGAAUAAAGGGUUAUCUCCUUCUUGUUUUCCAAACACUAAUUUUUAAAGGUGAGAAUAGCUGUUUCCACCCCUGCAUGGAACAACACUAUAUCCACCCUCUUCCUCUCUCCCAUCUUUUAUAAUAAAUUUUACAUUUUAUAAUUUAUAAUUUAAAUUUUAAAUUUUAAAUUUUAAAUUUUAAAUUUUAAAUUUUAAAAAUUUAAAAAUUUAUAAUUUAUUAUUUUAAAACUAAAAAUUAUAAUUUUAAAUUUUAAAUUUUAAAUUUGAUAUUUUAAAUUUUAAAAUUUAAAUUUAGUCUUAAAUUUAAAAUUUAACAUUUUAAAUUUUAAAAUUUAAAAUUGGAGAUUUAAAAUAUAAAUUUUAAAAUUUAAAAUUUAAAAAUUCAAAUGUAAAAUUCAAAAUUCAAAAUUAAAAUUUAAUGAGAGGAAUAAUAUUGUUAUUUUAUAUUUAUAACUACCGCCUAUUUUUUUUAUUCCAUCUUAUCUUUUCAAACAUUAUUUUUUUUGUUCUUGAAAAUAAUCUAAUUUUUAUUCAGGCGUAAAAUUAAUCUAAUUCUUACUGAUACCUGAACUUAUAUUUAUUUCUGAAAUAAACAGUUCUAAUAUAUACCUGAGUUUACCAAAGCGAAGCCUAGUUUAAACUUUUGAAGACAACAACUGUCUCACAUCUUUUAUUGAGUAGUAGCUUGUCUAAUAAAAUACUGGUUAAACAAAGAGGUAUGGAGGUACGAAACUUCUAUUACCAUGAAAAUUAAUAAAUGUAUGCGUUACAAACUUAUGAGCAGAGCUUUAUUUUGAUGCUUCUAAUUUAUAGAAAGGAGUUGUACACAGAAAUGUCAAUGGGUAUGGAUACUCAAAAUUUUAUCAGAAUUUGAAUCCGAAUGAAACGGAUAUAUCCGAUGUUAAAUGGAUAUAGAUUAAUUUGGAUAUGGAUAUCAAAAAUAGAAAUCCGACGGAUAAGGAUUUGGAUAUGGAUUUUGACUGUACCGAACCCGAACCCGACCCGAACACGAAUUUAUUUUGUAUUAUAUAUAUAUAGUCCGGCUGCUAUGCUAUCGAUAGCACCAAGUACUUUGUGCUAUCAAGUUUUCCGCCGUUAGAUUAAUCCCUUUAAUUAUUUUUAUCCGUUAGAUUAUACUAUUCAACCAACCACCCAUUUAACUCAACUUUAGGGGGUCCGAAUCAUCCUAACCGUAUAUUUCUCAAUCCAAGGGCUAAAAAUUCAAUAGCACCAAUAACUUGGUAGUAUUGAUAGUAUUCCAGCCUAAUUUUAUAUAUAUAUAUAUAUAUAUAUAGAGUUGGAUUGGGCUACUAUUAGUAGCAAAAUUUUAUUGUUGCUACUAGUUUUUUAGCCUUUGGAUCAACUCUUUUUAUUAUUUCUAACCAUUGGAUUAAAUACUAUAACUCAGUGGGGACCACUCAACCCUAGAGGGACCACUCAACUCUAACCAACUAAUAUCAUCCUGAUCUUACAAUUUUUCAUCCAAAGGUUAAAAACUUGAUAGCAAAAAGAGUGUUUUACUAUUAAUAGUAUUCCAGCCUAAUUCUAUAUAUAUAUAUAUAUAUAUAUAUAUGAGUUGAGCUAUGAUACUUUUACAAGUAUCACCAUCAUGGUGCUAUUAGGUUUUAAGCCAUUGGAUCUACUUUUUGAUUAUUAAUAGCACNUAUAUAUAUAUAUAUAUUAGAUGUUAUAUUUGAAUUUGUAUUUUAAAAAUUUAGAUUUAAUAAAAUAUAUUUUGAAAUAUUUAAAAAAAAAUAAUUGUUUCGGGUUCAAAUUUUUGGGUUCGGAUUCGGGUUCGGGCUUCGAAUUUUUGGUCAGGUUCGGAUUUGGAUAUGGAUUUUUAAAAUCCGUCCGGUUUGGGUUCGGGUCUCGGGUUUGAAGUCGGGUUCGGGUUUGGGUUUGUAAAACUCCACCCCGAAUCCGACCCAUUGACAUCCCUAGUUGUACGAGGAAUAUAUGAAUAUUACGUUUUCUAAAUAUACCACCAGCACUAUAUUUAUAGCAGAGCUAAAUAUAUAGAUCUUAUUAUUAAAAAUAUUAUUAACAAUGAAUGUCAGCAAAUAUCAUUAUUGUUUUUUAAUAAUUAUGGACUGUUGAUAAGUAAUCUAAUAUUUUUGAUAAGUUUAUAUUUAUUUCUGUCAAGUUUAUCUCUUAAUAUUUUGUUGGUUAGACAUAAGAGAUAAGUUUAAAUCUAGUUCAAUUAUUAUUAUUAGGAUUUUGAUUUAUGUCUAUAUAUAAACUGCUGUAAAUAUGUGAAAAAUUAUCCACCAGCGAAAUUUAGUUUAAAAAUAUUUAAUAAAGUUUUAGUUUUAUACUCCUCUCCUUUCAACAAAUGGUAUCAGAGCAAGAAAAUACUAUGUGAUUUAUAAACCAGAUGACAACAUAUUCGAAAUGAACAUAGUCCUAAUAGACCGGAUAGCUACGUUAAAGUCAAGUGACUCGUAAUUGAUUAACGAAGGUGAAGUUCAGGUGAAACCAAAGCUACGAAAUCGUUUUGAAGAAAUUGGCCUCCGCACAAUAAACGACAGCAGGAGGUUGUGACACUUGACGAAAAGAGAGUAAGGAGAGCCCAUGAAGAGAUCCAAGAAGAUUUGACCAGAUAACCAAGAGGGCUAGGCAAGCAAGCCAAAAUACAAAAAAUUUGGCAAAAUCUCGAUGAACUAAGAACGUCAUCUAAACAGAAGGUACAAAUCUGAAAAUUUUUUUUCGGAUUUUCAAGUUUUGUUAUGGAUUUAGAUAAUUAGUUUAUUCAACCUGGCUUACCAAAGUUCGAUGGAACGAAGUUUAAACGAUGGAAAACUAUCAUUCGAUAUUUUUUUAAAAUCCCAAGAUUUGUGGGAUGUGGUGGAAAAUAAAAAUUAUGAAAAAGAAUUAUGUAAAGACGAAUUUAAAAAGAGAGAUAGAGAAGUUCUAUCAUAUAUUUUUUAAGCAGUGGAUUUAUUGUUGGUUGGAAAAAUUUCAAUGAUAAAGACGACACGAGAAGCGUGGAGAAUGCUAUCGAAAAUUGGAGAAGAUUUGUAGGGAGAGAAUGAAAUUCAAGAAGAAGAAAUUCAAUCCAACAGCGAAAAUACAGAAGGCCCAAUUUGGAAAGAAAAUUUUGAUCAAAAUCAUAAAGAAGAUCAGAUUCGUGAAGAAUAUGUUGAUCAGCAGAUAUAUGGAAAAGCCGACUCAGAUGCAUCUACAAGUAGUAAAGCGUAUUUUACGUUAUAUAAAAGGAACGGUCAACUAUGGUAUUUUUUACGCUUACGGUGGCAAAUCCGAACUCAUCGGAUUCACCGAUAGCGAUUGGGCCGGCGACGUAGAAGAACGGAAAAGCACAUCAGACAACCUAUUUUUUCUUGGAAGCGGCGCAUUCACAUGGUUGUCGAAGAAAUAGGAUAUCGUGGCUCUCUCGACAGCAGAAGCCGAAUACGUGGUGGCAUCAGCAAGCGCUACACAAACAAUUUGGCUUAGAAGAGUUUUUGAAGAAUUUGAUGAAAGUCAAAAGGCACCUGCAAAAAUAUUUUGUGAUAAUAGCUCGGCUACAGCAAUCGCAAAAAAUUUAAUUUUUCAUGAAAGGUGUAAAUAUAUUGAAGUCCGUUAUCAUUAUAUUCGAGAACUUGUGAAGAAGAACGAGAUCGCGCGAACUACACUUUUGCAGAAGCGAGAAUCAAAUCGCCGAUAUAUUUACGAAGCCGUUGACAUCGGAAAAUUUCGUGAAACUACGAAAGCUACUCGGAAUGCGAAAAAUUGGAUUAAGGAAGAAUGUUGAUAAGUAAACCAAUAUUUAUGAUAAAUUUAAAUUUAUUUCUAUCAAGUUUAUCUCUUAAUAUUUUGUUAGUUAGACAUAAGAGAUAAGUUUAAAUCUAGUUCAAUUCUUGUUAUUAGGAUUUUGAUUUAUAUUUAUAUAUAGACUGCUGUAUAUAAAUGUAUGAAAAAUUACCCAUCAUCAAAAUUUAGUUCAAGAAUAUUUAAUAAAAUUUUAGUUUUAUACCCCUCUCCUUUCAACAGGGACUAAAGUGUAUACAUAAGCAAUGGUUCAAGGACUACAGAGCCACGAAAUUGGAAUAGUACAAGGACUAUUCAUACAUUUUACCCAAUUAUAUUAUAGGGUGGUAAACUUGGGGUUCACCAGUAGAUUAAGAAUCCAAAUCUUACUUAUUAAUCACAGAGCGCCUCCACAAAUGCGGAGUAUUUUACUCGGAAUCCUCUUCAAUUAUUGGAUCACUCAUAGAUGUUAAGUAUUUUAUAGUCAACAUAAAUUAUUUCAGGUCAAUUAGAUAAAAUAUAUCUGUAACUUAAAACAAUUGAGAGAUUGCCCUCUCAGUGGCUCAUGGCUAUAUCAAUUAUCAACACUAAUUGGGUCGUGUUAAUAUAUAUUUUGAGGCAUGUUUUCAACUAGAUCGAAUCUUUAGAUAAUAUGGUAUCAGAGCUAAUUCUAAAUACUUUCAUUCUGUGAGAUUGUAAAUUUAAUCCUCACAUUUAUUAUUUUGCAGGUUAAAUUUCUGCAUUACGUAAUAGGUUAAAUCUCCCUCCUAUUCCGUACUAUAUAAUAAGUUAAAUUUUUUCUCUUACCUUGUCUUUCAUAUCUAUCAUACAUGGAAGUAGAGAUGUUAAUUAUAAAAAAUUGAGUUGAGCAGAGCUGAUAAGGUUAGAUUUAUUCUAGCUCUGUAAAAAUCCGUCUCUUAUCUUUUUCUUAUGUUGGUUUUUUUAAAAAAACUUAUUACCUUUUCUUUUGUUUCCUCAAUGAAUUUUGUAGGCUUCACAAUGUCCUCCUCUUAACUAGAUUUCUUGUUGAAUAAAAAUAGGUUAAAUUACAGAAAACUACCAGUAAAUACCUUUUUACUUAAUUUUUCUCUUUGGCUUUCAAAAACCUAUAUUUUGCUCCUCUUAAAAUUUCAGAAAUAUUUUCAGGAGGGUAUAACGUUAAUGAAGAAGGCAAAAUGAUCAAAUUAUCCUCAUUUCUUUUAUAAGAAAAAAAAUAUUUUUUUAAUAUAUUUCUAUCAUUUUGAAGGAUAUUUUCGAUAUAAAUUAUAAGAAAUGGAUGGAAUAAUAAUGAAACUCUAAUGAAGGAAUGCUAAAUGCAAUAAAUUAAAAUAUUGAGGGAGUAAAAUAUAAAUUUUUAAAAAUCAUGAAGGGAAAAUAAAAAAUACAAAUAUUUAUAAAACAUUUUCUAUAAUUUAGCUUUGAAAUUAAAAGUAGAUGUGCAAUAUCCAGCCUAGUUUUUCCAUGAUACUUAAAACCAAGUAGAGGGCACAAAAGGAAUUAUUGAGUACAUGCAUGGACCAACAGUUGGUAAUCACCUUUGAGUCUUGUCCUCAUCAUGCAUGUCUGCCCCAACUAUUCAAUAAUAAAUCACUGUACAUUCUCUACAGGAAAACCAUUAUAUAUAUAGAGAGAGAGAUGGUAAGCUCCAACAAUGAAAUAUUACUUAAAUUAUUUUAAAAAAAUUUUAAUGAUGUUAAGUCAAAAUUUUGAUUUAACUUUGGCUGUUAAAUAUAAAAAUAUUUAAAUACUGUUCUCUAACAGCUUAAACUUUUAGAGUACAACGGUUGUUUCACAUGGUAUCAGAGAACGGUGUUUAAAUAUUUUUAUAUUUAACACCCCCCCUCACGUCUGGGCUCGAAACUUUUUGCAAGAUCCCUAACAAGGACUUGAAUUAAAUGGUAGGAAAUUAAUUAUGCUAGGACCUGACAUGACUUGAACUCAAGAUCUCCUACUCUGAUAUCAUGUGAAACAACCGUUGUACUCUAAUAGCUUAAGCUAAGCUAUUAAAGUACAACGGUUGAGUACAACGGUUGUUUCACAUUGGCCAAUCAAUUAAUUAACUAUUAGCCGAUUAAUAUUGCUUUAGCUUUUAUUACUGCAUGCUAAGUGAUUAAAGUAUUAAAGUCUUAUAUAACAGAUAAAUUCAAUAAAACCUUCAAAUUAAUUAACUAAAAUCGCUCAAAAAAUUUUAGAAUAAGCUCUAUAUAUAUAUAUAUAUAUAUAUAUUAUUACCUUAUAUUUACUAGGAUAUCACAACUCACAAGCAAACUCUUUCUCUCGUAUUAUUCUACUCAAUCAGUGACAUCACUGCAACAUACAUUAUUCGUGACAAGAGAGAAUGGAAUAGGAGAGUUGAUAGGCUGGGCCAGCAUUCACGUGGCAUUUUCACCAACUUUUAAUUAACUCUUAAAUAAAUAAACAAAAGCUUUUCUCAACACGUAUUCACGUACGUAUCCAUGUCAAAAUCUAAUGGCCAUUCUAUAUGGUCGAUAGCUAGGUUGAUUUUUUUUCUUUUUGUUUUGUUUUUUUGUUUUUUUGGUUCUGUGUUGGUUUGGUUAGAGCCGCAACAAGAAAAGAAGGGUGAAGUCUUUACUCUCACUAUCAUUGUUAAUGAAGGCAUCGAAGUUAGGGCUGCCAAUGAGGUAGGUAACACAUGAGCUAGCUGGGGCGACUUGUGUUCGCCCAUAUGUUAAAUAAGUCAAAUAAAUAUGAGCUUAUUUGUUAAAAUAUUAAACUAAAUAAUUUAGCUCGUAUUUGACUUAUUUAUUAACAAGCCAAAUACGAACUUGCUUGUGAAUAACAAAUUAGAUUGCCAACGCUAUUACUGAAUGAAAAGUUUUUAAAAAAAUUACAAAAAAUUAAAAUUUUAAUCUAAUAAUUGAAAUCUACAAAAUAUAAGUCUCUUUGCAUUUGGAUUAGCCUAAAAUCCAAAUACUAAAAUUAUAUAUAUAUAUAUAUAUAUAUAUAUAUAUAGAGAGAGAGAGAGAGAGAGAGAGAGAGAGAGAGAGAGAGAGAGAGAGAGAGAGAGUUGGGCUGGAAUACUAUUGAUAGCAAAAUAUUCUUUUUACUAUCAAAUUUUUAACCCUUGGAUGAGAAAUUGUAGGGUUAUGAUGAUAUUAGUCAGUUAGGGUUGAGUGGUCCCCUAGGGUUGAGUGGUCUUCACUGGGUUAUAAUAUUUAAUCCAAUGGUUAGAAAUGAUAAAAGGAGUUGAUCAAAGCCUAAAAACUUGAUAGCAAAAAGGACAUUUUGCUUUUAAUAUUAUUCUAGCCCAACUCUCUCUCUCUCUCUAUAUAUAUAUAUAUAUAUAUAGUAUAGGGCUAUUAUACUCUUAUGAAUAUAAACUUCUUAAUUUAUACUCAUAAAUUUUUUGUCGUUGGAUGAAGGGAUGUAUGGCUAAGAUAAUAAUGAUUCCCGAGUAGAACGAUAGUAAUCCCCUAGGGUUGAGCGGGUGGUUGAUUGAAUAAUAUGAUCUAAUUGGUGGAAGCGAUCAAAAGGAUAAAUUUAACGGCCAAAAAUUUACGAGUACAAAGUAAUUUAUACUCAUAAAAGUAUAAUAGCUGGAUUAUAUAUUGAGCCGAACACGAGCAACUGAUCUUAACUCAUGUUCGGCUCAUUAAAAUUUCAAGCUAAAAAAUUCAGCUCGUUUAUUAAACGGGUGAUCAGUUCGAACUCAUUUCAAGUUGAACACGAGCUGGCUCGCAAAUAGCGAACUGGAUUGUUAGUCCUAAUUAAUUGUAGUGUUGAGCAUAAAUUUUAAAAAAAAUUUUCAUUCUCACUUUGAUAACUUAAACAUUUGGAAAACAACAAUUAUUUUAAAUUACUUUAACAUGAUAUAAGAGCAGCAUUUGCUGACUGAUUUGAAUGAAAAAGAUGUAAAGUUUACGCACUUUUGAGUGUACGUAUAAGUAGUAUUGCUCUGUAUUCAAAUUGUCCGAGAGAAAGAGAGGAAAUACAUUAAAUGGAAGGAAGGGUCAUAUAUAUGGUUAAUAAUUGAAACAAAUUAAACUAUUACCAAAUAUAGAACUAACAAUUUUAAUUGAAUUAGGAUAUGUGUUAUGAUAUAUCCUAUAACACUUAUCUUAUCCUCUACCAGCAUUUGCUCCAAAACUCUCUAUUUUGCAAAAUUCAAACUUUUGUACACACUUUUUACACUCACUCUUUUGUGAAUGGAAUUUAGAAGUACUUCAAAGGAUGUUUUUAUUUUCUUCUUUUCUUGUUUAAAAUAUUACUGUAAUUACCAAAACAGAGUGGUAUACAUUAAUUUUUAAACAUUAUAGAAUAAACUCUCUCUCUCUUUAUUUGCAUUACUAAUUUUCCAAUUUUAAUCUAGACUUGUCAGAGGGGAAUAAGUAAGAUCAUUAUUGUGUUGGCCAUCACACCUUUUCCCCUUUUUUCAAGCCAUAUGUAUAAAUAGUUCUUAUGUAUAAUUGGGUUUAAAAAAUUAUUGGUGUGGACCUUGUCCUACUCUUGAGCCUAAUGAUUAAAAUGGUGCCUCCUCUCAACCAGCAGUAGAAUCAUAACUCCUUGAUUUUGAUGAUCUGCUUAUAUUGUAUUGUUUCAAUAACAGUACAUCUUAUGUUUUGGUGCAUUCCCAUUUCUAAAUUAUUAUUAUUAUCAUCAUCAUUGUUAUUAUUCUGCCUACUCUAUGCCAGUGAUUGAGUCCUCUCAUACUAAAUAAAUGGCCAAUUACAUAAAGCACACGCCCUUAAGAUUAUGUGUCCGUUUUUCUCUGCUAAAAAAUAUAGAAGUUUCUAGAAACCAAACGGUUGGGGGAAAACAAGUUCAGAGUUAAGAUUUUUUGUGUUUGAAAAACUGUUACUAUUUUUUUUAAAUAACUCUAUCAAACAACACUUCUACAUAAACAUGCUGGUCAACUAGUCUCUAUAUACACAUAAAUCAAUACAAGUUUCAAAAAAACAUUUAGUGAGGGUGUCAUGGGGAAAACAAAGGCCACUAUUCUAGAUGUAUGGACCCCCAAAAAAAAAAGGCUAGGGUUCAUAUGAAUCUCUUAAAAUCCAAAUGGUGAAGAACAUGUGAGUCCCUCGCACAAGAAUAUGUCCCAGUUGUUGGAAUCAACUGGGACCAUCUUUACUUUCAACCCCUUUCUCUCUUUUAUAUUUCUCUAUUAGUUUCCAACUGUGAAGCCUAUGAACUGUGAAGCAUAUGCUCUCUCUCUCUCUCUCUCUCUCUCUCUCUCUCUCUCUCUCUCUCUCUCUCUGCCCCUCUUAACUGGAACAUGGCAGCAUCCUAGGUAACCUACCAUAACUAGAACAAGUUGGAAUCCUAGAUUAGGGUUGUGAAAGCAUGCAUUAGUUUACCAUAAAGUAGUUUUUUUUUUUUAAUCUUUACCCUCCUUUUCUUCUGCUUUAUUGGAUUCUGGUGACAAGCCUUGUGUCUAAACUAAUCAAAGGUUUCAUAAAUAACUCUGAUAUGUUUUAAGUUGAUGAUUCUUCACUUACUAUAAUUGUUACCACUAUUCUAUUUUGCAACAAAUCAGUUUUUUUAAGGUUGUCCUAAACCUUGGUUCCAGGAGGAAGAGGUUGUUAUCUCCCUGCGGUAAGAAGCAACGAACUGAUUCAACUUCUAAGUAAAUAGCAUGUUUGGAUCUUAGGGGCUGUUGGUUGAUGUAGUUGCGACCGUACUACAGUCGCAACUACAAAGAGAUUCAAAUUUGAAAGUGUAUGAAACUAUAUUAAUAGGCUUAACUAUCAAAGUUGAAACUACUCCCAAAUCACCCAUAGUUCCAACUACAUCAGUUUGAACCAAAAAAUAAAACUUACCUCCCUAGUAACUUGUGAAAAAAAAAAAAAAAAAAAAAAAAAAAAAAACUACAAUGAAGGUAAUCUCACUAGUACAGAUAUAAAGUAAUAAAAUUUUAAAAAUGCAAUUCUUAAUAGAAUACAACCAAACAAAUUAUUUAUUAUUACAACACUUUCUACUACAUCCAACCAAAUAAGAUACAUAUAGUUACAACUACCGUACGCUAAGUGCAUGCAUAUCUAACUAUAUUGUAUUUGUAAUUACAUCCAUUCAAACGACCUCUUGGAGUUGGAUCAAGUAGCUAAUUGGAUUGGAUUAAGCAAAGAGCUUUAGAUUGUACAACAAUUUAUUUAUCCAAAAUAGAAAUAGUAUCAUAAAUAUGAUGAGCACCAAAUAGAUUAUCAUGGUUGUAUUUAUGCCUUAGUAAUGCCCACUAGCACUCCUACUAUAAUAAGGCUUUCAACUGGGAUGUCAAGAAGAAUGCAAUUUCAGAAGUACAAAACCACAUUUACUGACUGCCAUAUAUACAAAACAGACUCAUCGAUACUAUUUUGAGGUAUAUUGAAUCGACAAAGCAUUACUCUACUUCUUAUGUUUUCGUUAGUUCAAAAGAUGGGACCACGAGUUACAAACUCAGAUUGUAUUAAUAUCGAAAGCGAGCCUGCGGAGGUUCUUCAGAAGAGUUACCACCGCUUCCUGCUCCAUUCAUCAGGGAAAUGAGUAAGCGAAGAACAAGUGAGAUAGCUGGACCUCAAAAACAAAAAGUUACAAAGACCAAAAGGAGCAGCAAUAAUAGGAAAAGAAAACAAGAAGUCCAAAAGUCGCAAGAACAGGGGCAAAAAACCAUCAAUCCCCAGCCAUCAAUUGUAGGUUUAAGUCGCAGCUUGUAUCAUGGCACAACUCUUUUUGAACUGCUGUGUUUCAUAUUCGGAUUUUGUCUCGCUCCACUCGAUCCGAGAUUGAGAAGUCAUCACUACCAGAAUCACUCUUGUCAUGCAUCUACAGCCUUCAUGCUUGUUGCUGCUAAGGGCACGGACCCAAAAAGAGAAAUCAAGUCACUGAGACAUUUAUUCCUACCCUGUUCACGAAUCUUAAAGGCUGUCAUGUCGUAUCUGCCGAUCUCAUUCAUCUUGCCUGUUAGAAGUUGGAAAGACAAAUACAAUAUCAUACCACUGACAAAAUGUGAUCCGAUUUCAUUGUUUUCAAAUUGCAGCUCUAAAGUAGAUCCAAAUAAGUAAACAUAUAAAUCUAAAGUAAGAUGCAACUAAAGGUAAGGUCUUUUACAACCACGAAAAUCUAAAGCAAUAAACACCAGGAAGUGUAGAAUUGAUAACAUGUGAAUUGCCUUUUCACUUGGAUUGGGAAGCCCAAAAACUUUUGAGAAAAAAGGCAGUACUUCAAAAAAAUUAGGCCUUUGAUCUCUGCUAACCCUUCGGACAAUCAAUAUCUGUUUACCUUUCGGUACAAUGUGUACAUAACUUACAUCAACUAAAUAUCAAUUCCAAAAAUCUGGACAUAAAUAGCAGUCAUUAUCUGUUCCGGUUAAAUAUUAUAAAAGUAUGUCUACAUAUAUAUGGACCAAUUAAAUUCUUGCGUUAUGUAAUAUGCAUGAUGCAACUAUAUAUAAAACCUAUUUCAACUAAAAAGAUUAAAAAGAUAUACUACCUUGAAGCUAUUUAAAUUAUAGUGAUGAUUCUUUGAUAUAAUUAUGCUUAUGUAGGGAAGCAUAGUCAACCCAGAAAUGACAGUUGAUUUGCUUUGUUAGUCCUUCAAAAGUGAAUCAUCCAAAGUUCAUCAAAGAGUUGGUAUAACCAUAAGAUUAACUUUUUAUUUGAGUAGAAAAGUAGCUUCUCGGUUUGCCUUAGAAGGUACUAGAGAAAUUCACAAACCAAGUUCUCAGAAAUUGAACGUCAGUAUUAUCUUCAGGGCCAUGGAUAGUUUUCUAAUGCCAAAUGCAAGGCUAUGAGUAAGCUUCUAGUAUUAUCAAAAUGUUGAAGAACGCAAAAUGGAUAGAUUUGAUUUUCUGCCCUUCAGCAACAGAUUGUGUUCCUCAUGUGUAAAUGAUUUGUGGCACUUCUUUGGGAAAAACAAAUGAAAAGAAAAUAACCAACAUAAACGAAUCAGCUAAUCAAAAUGAGCCUAACAAUUCAGAAUUAAUGCUAAAUCUCAACAGUAUCAGUUAGUGUGACACCAUCAGAGUUUAAAAUAUUCGAAUAUAUAAGGUAUAGGAGGACUAAACCUCUUAACCUGGCUAUAAUAUUUUGGACAGUGGUUAGGCCUAAAAAGUUAAGAGGAUUACGCGAGCCUAGGACUAGAGUAGUUCUAGGUUGGGUGACUCCCUGUGAGGCAGAGCAUCACAGUAAGCGGCUGCAGUGUCAUUUUCAUGCUUCACUAUGUAAAUCAACAGCAAUAUCUGAAUGAUUAAGACAACAUAACUGCAGGUUAUUUUAAUAGUUAACUGUGAUUUGCUUUUCACCAGAAGAAAGAAACAGCUGAUCCAGACUUCAUCAAAUUUCAGUGCUGUUGACAAUGGCUUCUUCAGAUGCCCCGGAUACUACUAAAAAAUUCCAUAGAUACUACCUGAAGGGAAUGGAAUUUUUGGCAAAUGGAGUCAGGAUCCACUAAAGGACUAGCUAGUAAACAAUCGUCAGCAUAACACAAUAUGCCAGGCAAUAAUAUAGGAAACACAAAAAGGCAAUAUUUGCAGUCUGAAAGCCACCAUAGAGAAUUAAUCAGUAAAUUCGAGUCACCAGUGUAUCAUGCUAAAAGAGGGCAAUAGCUUAAUAGCUGCACCUGAGUGCAGCAACAAAUGUUGUCACAAUAAGAUAUUACACCCUCAAUCUUGAUAAGAUGACAUUAUCAAUCUGCUUAAUAUUCACGCAGUAGGUUCAGCAUAUAAUAUAGAUUCAUCGAACAGUGCAUACAGCCAUCUGAAGCUAUAAAAAUGUGUCAUGCAGACUUAGCCAUUUAUCUUUGAUCCAGAUUGGAGGAGCUCCUGUAGCAUUAGCACUGAGGAACGACAUUGCAAGGUCUUCACAAUUCCGACAACAAGAAAAUACUUGAGCAAAUGACAGCAAGACCAAAGAAAUGUGCUUAGAAUUCCAAACAGAAUGUCACAAACCUUUCCUGGGCAACAGAGUCAUGAAUAGAUGAUGGCAUAUGUAUAUUGCUCCAAAUACUUUUUGUAGAAAAAUGCUUCUUUUGGUAGAACCAUACUAUAGGGUAUGCAUCCACCAAACUGACCACCACCCUCCAUAUUUAUAUUGUUGCAAACCAUUCUCCUGUUAUGGGCAAAAUUAUGCAACUCUUAGAAACAGUAUUCUAGUACCAAAACAAACAACAUAUAGAGAUUAGAAGACUAUACUGUGUUGUUGCAAAAUGCAUGCCUACUGAUAGGGCAUUUGCAUCACUUUGCAUCAUUUGGAUAUAGAAGUAUUUGAAUUCUCUAAGUAUAGAAGCAACAGAUAUAGCAAAGAAAUAUACAACUGAAGCAGUCGUGACAACUGAUACAUAAUUUUAGUAAGGGCAUCGUUGUCCCGCUAACAAAUUUUCAAAUAGAACAGGAUCAAAAGCUUCCCGCUAUAGCAGAAGCAGAAGCAGAAGCUUCUACUAGGUUUCUACCUUUAAAAUCCAAAAGCACAUUUUGGGUUUCCGCAGCAAAAAGGCUCCAGAUUCUUUAUUUGCUAUAUGCUUGGUUUUGCCAAGCAAGAAUAGGUCACAAAAUGAACAGUUAUCUUUCAGUACUUACCCUAUCACUAUAGCAUGCAUGGUAAACAGAAAGGGGGAAAAAAAAUAUUUGGUUCCAAUAAAAUAUAAAUAAAUGUACAUUAUCAGAGAAGAGUCUUAUCACAUGAUCUGGCCAAUGCACGCGGGGAACAAACCCCACUACAAUCUCCGGUGCACUUGCCAUACUGCGAAUGCAAAAUCCAAGGCAGCACAAGGGACAAUUACAUCAUCAUCAACUGAAAAGAUUGUGCCGCUAUUAAGGUCCUCGAUUGGCUUGAAUCUAUUAUUCAAAAUCUAUUAUUCAAAUUAUCUUCCGCAUUCAACCCAAAUCUGAAUUCAGUGUUACAUUGAGACCAUGAGAAUACAAUGUCUCGAAUAUAUUCAAUAAGACUAGCUGGCGUUGGGUUCUUUGCAUCGCAAACUACAUGUAUUAGAUUAGCGUGAGUACAAGAUGCAUAAUCAGUGGCAUGUUACGGACAAAAUGUUUUCCGCUGACUUCUCCUUGAUAGUAGCCCAAUCUCCAAAAGAGCGUUCUGUCAGAGGUUCUGCUGGGGUGUUCUAGAAGCUUCUACGUGGAUCUCAAGACUGAUGGUGCGGAUGCUGAAAGGUCAAGAGUCCCUUAGAGCUUCUAGGUGGGAAAUAAUUGUAGUCUCUUAGGAGCUUGUAGCCUCCCUCUUUGUCUUGUAAUUAUGCGCCACUUGUCGCCUUUUCAUUUGUAGCCUGGGUGACGAGUGGCCUAUAUAAGGUUGUGGCCUCCACCCCCUCUCUUAGGAAAUCAGUUGCACUCUCAACUUUUAUCAAUACACAACAUUCCUCAAACUCUCUCUCUCUUGUACUUAGUCUAGGGCGAGUAGGUCCUAACUUAGCAAGUAGAAAGGUAGACUUGCUCAUUUCGCAAAGGAAGGCGAGUGUCGCAUGGGCUAAACAAACGAUUUAGCUUAUGUCCGUGACAGUUGGUAUCAGAGCGAGUUCAUUGCUGAAAAGCCAUGUCUUCGUCGGAAGCUACCGUCGGUGACGUUGUGCCUAACGACCAAGCGCGGCAAAAGCAAGAAGCCACGGACUCUGGCUAGAGAGUCCGCCUCGCUCGAGGACCGCAUGAGCAUGCUAGAGGACUCUGCUGCAAAAACAGAGGAGCACUACUCCGUCCUAUCCCAACAUGUGAGGAUAAUGGAGGAUGGACUGAAUGCUAUGAAGGAUAACGUUGCGGCUGCCAUGGCAACUUUCCGCCAUUAGCUCGAGGAAUUCCACAGGGACCUCGCCCGUCGCGAGGACGAGCGGAAGAUGCUGGUGGAGGACUUUGCCACCAGGGUCGACGAGGUCGAGGACCUUAAGAUACGGGUGACCAUAAUUAAGAAGGCGGUGGCUCGUGGCAUCGAUAUGCAAAACGAGGACACCCCAAAGAUCCGCGUCCCUAAACCCCAAUGCUUCAAGGGCAUGCGCGAUGAGAAGGAGAUAGACAAUUUCCUAUGGCACAGGGAACGCUACCUCAAGGUGCUGCGGUUGGAGGACGAGGGCGAUAAGGUCCAAACAACUUCCAUGUACCUCGCCGACGACGCAAUGUUAUGGUGGCGACGGCAUUCGGCAAAGACCACGAAGGGCCAAUGCGAGCUAAAGACUUGAGAAGACUUCAUGCGCGAGUUGAAGGCACAGUUCUACCCUGAACAUGUCACAUAUCUUGCACGGAGGCAACUUCGAUGACUCAAACAUCGAGGCACACUCAAGGAGUAUGUCCAAGAGUACUCAAAACUCAUGUUGGCGAUCUCCAACAUGGCCGAUGAGGAUCGGCUAUUGUUCUUCCUAGAUGGCCUUCAGUCGUGGGUGAACAAGGAGCUCAUGGCGCGAGACGUGAAGGACUUAAACUCCGCGAUCGCUUUGGCGGAGAAGUUGCCUGAGCAGGAGCGAACCGAGGGCGAUCGAAGUAAACCACCAAAGGCGAGGAAGGCCAAAGGUAGGGGAGGGCACCGCGAUCCAGGGGGCGCGAAGGGGCACAAGCUAAACCGUGAUGCGAGGAGGCAGCAAUAGAAUCCCGCCCUGCCACCUACAAAGAUCUCUUGCUAUGUUUGUGGCGAGAACCAUUGGGCGCGGGACUUCCCAAAGAGGGGCAACCACAAAAGAAAGCAGGUUACUGCGGUCCAAGAUGAGCAGGGCGUGGUCGAGUUGUCGAGGAUGGGCGCGCUAAGGCUCGUCAACGCAGUCCGCAGUCAGCCAAGCGGCAACAAGCUCCGAGAAGGGAGCUCAUGUUCGUCGAUGUGAUCCUCAAUGGAAGGACCAUGCGAGGCGAUGAUCAACAUCGGCGCGAAGCACAACUUUGUCACGAAGGCGGAGGCCAAGCAGUUAGACCUCACACUCAAAAAGGAUGCGAGCCGCAUCAAGACGGUCAACUGUGAACCGCAGCCAAUCGCAGGAGUUGCCAAAGGCAUGGAGAUAGCCAUCGGCCCAUGGAGGGGCAAGGUUAAUCUUAUUGUUGGGCCGCUCGACGACUUUGGAGUAAUCCUUGGGAUGGACUUCCUUAUUUCGUCCAAAGCGGCACCAAUGCCACACUUGUGGGUGCUGAGCUUCCUGGACGAGUCAGCACCGUGCAUGGUUUCGAUGUGUUGGGGCGAGUCGACGAAGGACCAAACUCUGAUAGCCCUGCAACUUUACGAGGAAGUGAAGUGCAGGAAAGCUAAGGAACUCGCAGAGGAAGACCUGAGCAGCGGCGAGACUGUCAAGUCUCAUGAGGUGCUGAAGCAGUAGCGCCCAAUCAAGGUGCAAGUCAUUCUAUCAAGGAACCCGCGGGGACCAAGGGGCGUUCUGCGGCUUGGCGGAGUGCGCGUGCGUGUCACGAAGGACAUGCACACUUGGCGGAUUCUUUGCAUAGCGGGCUCACUGGUGCACAUGCUCAGAGGGGCAAGGCACUAGGAGCUGGUGCGGGGGCAAAGGCGAACUGUGGUAGCAAGGCAUGAGGCCGAUCGAGCGCGAAGGCAUGACAGACUGUGCGGAAGGCUACGCGGACCAGGAGCAGCUCAGCGCAUGACGAGGGCAUCUGUUCGUUAGGUGGGGGAGGUUGUCACGGACAAAAUGUUUUCCGCUGACUUCUCCUUGAUAAUAGCCCAAUCUCCAAAAGAGCGUUCUGUUGGAAGUUUUGCUGGGGCAUUCUAGAAGCUUCUACAUGAAUCUCAAGACUGAUGGUGCGGAUGCCGAAGGAUCAAAAGUCCCUUAGAAUUUCUAGGUGGGCAAUAAUUGUAGUCUCUUGGGAGUUUGUAGCCUCCCUCUUUGCCUUGUAAUUAUGUGCCACUUGGCGCUUUUUCAUUUAUAGCCUGGAUAGUGAGUGACCUAUAUACGGUUGUAGCCUCCACCCCUCUUCUUAGGAAAUCAAUUGUACUCUCAACUUUUAACAAUACACAACAUUCCUCAAACUCUCUCUCUUGUACUUAGUCUAGGGUGAAUAGGUUCUAACUUAGCAAGUAGAGAGGUAGGCUUGCUCACUUCACGAAGAAAGACGAGCGCCGCAUGGGCUAAACAAAUGAUUUAGCUUAAGUCCGUGACAGACAGCUCUCUUGAGAAGAGAAUGGUACUUCCGAGAGUUAAUCAACACCGUGUAGCCAUUCCUAGAAGCAUAGGUGAAAGUUUUAAACAGUAUAAUAAUAAGAUGUAGAUAGAAAAGAAAAGCUACAAUAUGAUAAUACGACAUAAGAUCUACUUUACAGCCACUUUGGACUAUUGGGAAAGACAUCAUCCCCAUAAUGAGGUAUCAAAAAUCAACUUAUAUUUCAUAACAAAAUCUAUUAGGUGAGGAACAACCACAAGUUUAAGUGAUCCUUAAAAAUCUAUCAAUUAACUAAAAGUUGAUUCAUAUCACUCUAACAAUUCACUGUCAAGUUGACCAAUAUAUCUGCAUCAAAGAUGGCAAAGAGGAUUAAAAAACUUAUGUCAGCAGAAUGAACCUAUGCAAUACUCAGAUUUGAAAUAUCAUGUCAACAUAAGUUUCAACGUCUUUAAAGCCUGCAAAACGGAGAUGAGCAAAUUAGUAUAACUGAGGUAUGUCACAUCUCAUAGCCCAAGAAUUUCUAGAGAGGUAUAUCUCAUGUGUCAUGUAUCAUUCCUUACCAACUCUGUUUUCGGAUCAACUAAAUGCGCCAAAGGCACUGCAAUACGCAGGGAGGACUGAAGAAUGCAAGGUAAACUCAUGUAUUACUCCUUUACCAAUUCAUAUAUCAUUGCAUAUCCCAAGUGUUCGUAGAAAGCUAAACCGUUUAACUAAGGAAGUUCCAGAUUUGAACUUCUAAAAUUGCUUGGAAAGUCUUCUUUCAACACAAGAAACUGAAGAAUUCGAUUGAACCACAAACUGUGUAAUCAAGCGCAUCAGUAGAGGAGUAGAAGUACAUGGAAGAAAACCCUAAUGGAGGCACGCGAACCAUUCUGCAAAUGGACAAAAAAGUCCUAGUUAUACGUAGUCACGUUUCCUAGAAAGAUUUCAAAGGUCAUAUAUUUGCCUAAGCCUCCAUGGUUUGAAAGAUUCCGAAGAUCAUAUAUAUGCCUAAGCCUCCUUUGUUUGAAAAUUGAGAUGUUCGAUGGUUAUAUGAACUAUCAACAGCAAGAAUAACCUUCAUAGAUCUAAAAAGAACUCGUGAAUUUCUAUCUCAAGGCCCCUCUUCUGAGCAUUCAACAAGAAUAACCUUCAUAGAUAAUAACAUUAUUUAAUUCUGAUAGUAUAAACACCUUCGAACCAAAAACAAACCCAUAAAUGUUCCAAAAGAUAAAACCUGCUCCAUCAUCCCCUUUAAUUAGUUCAAAAAUCUGUAAAUGCAUACUUUGAUCCAGUCCAUGUGAGGCAAUUUCUAACUGCAUAUGUUGAAAAAUAUCUUUACAUAUCUCCUCUAAAGGAUACUACUGAUUCAACUCCAUUGAAAAAUAUGGCCUCCGAAUAGCCUUCAGUUAAUUACUCCUCUUUGUUUCCUUUGGCCACAAAACACCCUCUAGUUAGCUAACAAACAGAGAGAUGGCCACCUUCGAAGCAACUACACCCAAUCAUAAAAGCAGAGUUGACUACAUUGUACCUCUCACAGAGUUGGGGCUAAAACAAAGAUCAAAAUUAAGAGAAACUGAAUUAGGAUUUUGAUAAGAACAACACUUGAAUAGUAACAUAACAAACAUAAGACAAAAAUUAUAAAAAAUAUCUUUAUGCUUGAGCCGUCGUAUCAUUGAAAAUGCUGUACAAAAAGAAAUAUCACAAUAUUUUUCUCAUUUACCCCUUAUAUACAAGAUCUUUGAAUAGUAAUAUGACAAACAUAAGACAAAAUUACAAAAAAGAAGUCCUUCACACUUUAGCUCAUGGCCUUGAAUAUGCAGCUCGAAAUGAAAUGUUACAAUAUCUGUUCUCAUUAACCUAUACAAACAAGAUUUCAUCAAUUUCAACCUUGACUCAAGAAAAUUUAGAAAUGGUUUAAUCCGAAUGCACGACUUCACAGUAAUGAGUUGGUCGAUGGCUAGCGUUAUUUAAUCAAGUAGCAUCAGAUAAAUAUAAAUAAAUUUUCCAACCAACUGCCGAUUCUGGCAACUCAAGUGAGGUCAAAGAUCUCUUUUAUCUGGUUUUAGAUCUCCUGUUCAACUUGCAAGUUAGAUAGAUGUUCAGAUAUAGAACAAACUUAAUAGGUCAACUUAUUUCAGUCUAGUUUUGCAUCCAAAUUCAAAUAUCAUCCUAAAUGCUGGGGUUUAAAUGAGGCAAGGUGAAAUGCAGAGUUGAAAUUAAUAAGAGCUUUUAUUAUAGACACAUACAAAAGUGCAGAGGUUUCUAAUUGAAUAAUAUUGCGCUUAUAUAUAUCACACUUCCAUUGGUGGCAGUGGAGAUGGCGAACUAGUCCUGAAUGUCAUCCUACUAUAAAAUUAGGAAAAUGCUUUUGUCCACUUAGUUUUACAACUUUUUACUCAAAACUCACGUGGCAGUUUCCUGAUAGUUCUCUUUCUUAUUAUAAUUACCAUUCUGCCUAUAAAUUAAACCACUUUUCUCGUGAAUCGUAGCAGCCAUCCAAGUGAAGUUCUCCAAGACAGCAUAUCAGUCAAAUGUUGUAAAAUGUGUAUGUACAAAAUUAUAUCGACUCCUAAAUGACAUAGUUCAUCUGCUUUUUGAAUUCGUAGGCCUUGUUAGGAUGUCAAUAUAAGUUAUUCGCCGAUAACUUACUCAGCAUGAAGAUUUCUUAUGUAAUUGGAAGGUAGGAGUCAGAUUUUUGAUCCGUGAAAGCUUCGGCGUCCAUGAUUUGGUAUGAUAGUAUAUUUCACCUACGAUAAAAUUUAUCUUUUUUCCAAACAAAAAGAUAAAACUUGAAGGUCAAACAUACUAUUUUAUUUUAGAUAUUUGACCACACUCCUAACUUCUAAUCAUGCUAAAAAUUCUCAUACUCAGUAGGAUAUCAUUGGAUAACUUAACUUAUUUUGAUGUCCAAAUAGGGACAAGUUAUUCUUAGUCAUUAAAAUUGAUAAAAACAUACAAAACUUACCUGAACUAUGGACCAUUUUGAGUUAGCUACCCAACCUAUCAAAAUUUUAAAUUUACUAUCCAACAUUUGACUUUAUUUGAUUUGAGUCGUCGAACGGUACUUUGACUUCAAAUUUUGAAUACAUUAUUUAUCUUUACAGGUUUAGCCGGUAUACUGCAUACAAUUCUCACAAGUAUAAAUUUAUUAAAGUAAGUAAUUAGUUUAAAUUAAUUAGAGAUAAGUUUAAAUCUUUUAUUUGAUUAUGAUUAGGAUAUGUAAUUAUUCAAAGUAAAAUUGGAUUUAUCAUCUGUUAUGAUUUGAUGGUUAUAUAUAGUUAGGCAUGGGUUAAUUAGAUGAAUAAGGCAUAGUAGACAUGGCUGCAUAGGUGUUGCCCACAAUGUAAUCAAUUGCUUUUUAUUAAUAAAGCAUUAAUUUAGUUAUCUUCUUCCCCCUCCAAUAUCUCUUCUCCAUAUUAUUUUGUUCUAUUUUAGAUCUCGGGUUAUAUAAUCAACAUCAGCACAAAUACUGAUUCCAACAAUUGGAAUUAGAGAAAAUCACACUUCCAAUAAGUGAUCAGAGCAAAUCACGCUCCCAACAAGUGGUAUCAAAGCCGGAAAGUAUCAUAUGACUUAUAAACCAUAUGAUAGCAUAUUCGAAAAGAACAUAGAUCCAAUGUACCGGAUAGCUCCAUCAAAGUCAAACAACUCGUAGCUGAUCGACGAAGGUGACGUUCAGGUGAAACCAAAGCGAAGGAAUCGCUUUGAAGAAGUUGCCCUCCGCACAACAAACGACAGCAGGUGGUUGUGACGCUUGAAGAAAAGAGAGCGAGGAGAGACCCUGAAGAGAUCCAAGAAGACUUGACCAAAUAGCCAGGAGGGCUAGGCAAGCAAGUCGAAGUACAGAAAAUUUGGCGAGAUCUCGAUGAACUAAGGACGUCAUCCAAACAGAAAGGUACAAAUCUGAAACUUAUUUUUCAGAUUAUCAAGUUUUUGUUAUGGAUUUAGAUAAUUGGUUUAUUCAAUCUUGCUUACCAAAAUUUGAUGGAACGAACAUUAAACGAUGGAAAAUCAUCAUUCGAUGUUUUUUAGAAUCCCAAGAUUUGUGGAAUGUAGUGGAGAAUAGAAAUUAUUAAAAAGAAUUUGAUAAAGAAUUUAGAAAAAGAGAUAGAGAAGUUCUAUCAUAUAUUUUUCAAGUAGUGGAUCUAUCGUUGGUUGAAAAAAUUUCAAUGAUAAAGACGGCACCAGAAGCGUGGAGAAUGCUAUCGAAAAUUGGAAGAGAAGAUUUGCAGGAAGAGAAUGAAAUUCAAGAAGAAAAAAAAAAAAUUCAACCCAACAACGAAAAUACAAAAGUCCCACUUUGAAAAGAAAAAUCUGAGCGAAAUCAUGAAGAAGAUCAUAUUCGUGAAGAGUAUAUUGAUGAUCAAAACGGUGCAACUCAAAUCGACGAGAAAGUUUACAAUAAUGAUGUAAUUAAAGAAUUUUCUACCGAUGAAGUAGUUAUGCAUAAGUCAAAGAGGAAGUUGAGUAUUUUUCUAAUGUUAGUGAAGAAAUUUUCAUAUAUCAGAAUGUGGAUGAAGAAAAGAAAAAGGCACACAAAAACAUAGAUUUAAAAAUACAGACUUUUGACAUAGUACAAAACGUACACAUUGAAACCAAGGAAUCCAAAAUAUCAAAUUCAGAUAUUUGUAGGAACCCGCAGAUCUUUAAGGAUGAUGUGGAUAACCACAACUACAGGCGGCAAAGAUUUUGUGCAUGGCAACAUCAUUGGACAGGCGUCAUGCUGCACAAUUCGAACACGACGACAACGACAGCAACGGAGAUUGCAAAAUCAAAGUGCACGUUUCAUGAAGUUCACAGCUUGAAGAUAAAGUUUGAAUUAAGGGAGGAUGUUGGAAUAAUAAUUCAAACUUAAUUAAAAUAUAAUUAGAGAUUAAUUUAAAUCUUUUAUUUGAUUAUGAUUAGAAUAUAUAAUUAUCCAAAGUAAAAUUAAAUUUAUCAUAUGGCUAUUUAUAGUUAGGCAUGGGUUAAUUAGAUGAAUAAGACAUAGUAGACAUGGCUACAUAGGUGUUUCCCAGAAUAUAAUUAAUUGCUUCUUAUUAAUAAAGUAUUAGUUUAGUUAUCUUCUUCCUCCUCCAAUAUCUAUUCUCCAUAUUAUUUUGUACUAUUUUAGAUAUUGGGUUAUAUAAUCGAUAUUAGCACAAAUACCGCUUCCAAUAAAUGGUACCAGAGCAAAUCACGCUUCCAACAACCGAUUCAAAAUAGUUCAUAGUUCAGGUGAGUUAUGCAUGUUCUUACCAUUAAAAUUUAACCCCAAAACCUAGAAGGGGACCGAGGAGGAGGGGCAGGGAAUUUGCGGUCCCACCGGAUCAACGGCCCGACGCGGCCGGAGAUGAUGACGAGGAGGAAGAGAGCGAUGGCGGCGGCGGAGACGACGAUCCAGGCCUUCGCGGGCCCGGCAAGCUGUCGGAGGCAGAGGGGGAGGAAAGACGGCGGGCCAGAACGAAGGGCGUUUAUUUUUGUAAAACAUUAGUAUUUGGUUUUUUUUUUUGAAUAUUUUAAAAAGAUAAAAAAUUGAUUUUUUUUUUUUUUUUUUUGAGAGAGAGAGAGAAAGGAAGGACACGACCUCAUACUAUUUGCUUUAUUUCUUAGAUGAAUAAAUUUAGCCAUAUAAUAAAGUAAAACAGUAAAAACCUCAAAAAGACAAAAAAUCGAAGGAAAAAAAAACUGAAAAGAAAACAGAGUUGAAGCGGAAACAAAGAGAGUAACAAACCCCGAUGUCAUUCAACUCUACAAAAGUCGGCUCAUUCCUCGCCAGCAAACCAAUAUGAUGAACAUUUCAGAUAGCGUUAGUAGGGAAGUUUUUAUAAAUAUUGUUACCUCUUUCGUUCAGAUCAUUCACCACAUGACCGCCGCAAGUAUUUGAGUCUUCAAAAAAUCAGGCUGUGAUCCCUUUCCAGCAAUCUCUUUCGGACGAUAUUGACGUAUGGAGUUCAUCGAGGUGCAAAAUAAAAAGUAAUUUAAUUUUUCUAUUUAUAUUCCAUAGCAUUUAAAGAAAGAAAAUUGACGGCCCUGUAAAAUUUUUACAUAGGCUUUUUUUUGCAAAUGGCCCCUUGAAAAAAUUUUAUUUUAAAAAUAGUCCUGUCAAAAUUUAAUUUGCAAAAAUGACCCUAGUCCUGCCACGCAGGCGUCACGUCAGCGCCACGCGGGCAGGACUGGAGCCAGUGUGUUAAGUUGAACACGAUAAAUCAUUCACCGUGUUUCGCACGGUGUAUUUAUAUUUUUUUUCUUCUCUUUUAGGAAUGCCAACGGGUCGGGUUUGGAUCGGGUUUUAAAAAACCCGAAUCCGAAUCCGAAAAUCAAAUUAAAAUGCGAAUCCGAAUCCGAAUCCGAACCCGGCGGGUUUCAAAAAUUCAUAUCCAUAUAACUUUAACAUAUGGAUAUAGGUAUGAAUUUUUAAAACCCGCCGGACUCGGAUUCGUGUUCGGGUUUUAAUUUGAUUUUCGAAUUCGAUUUCGGAUUUUUAAAAAUCCGAUCCAAACCUGACCCAAACCCGAUCCGUUGACAUCCCUAAAAGAGAAGAAAAGAAAUAUAAAUAUACCGUGUGAAACACGGUGAAUCAUUCACCAUGUUUGAACACGGUGAAUGGUUCACCGUGUUCAACUUUUCUGCCCGCGUGGCGCUAACGUGACGUUUGCGUGGCAGAACCAUUUUUGCAAAUUAAAUUUUGACAGGAUUAUUUUUAAAAUAAAAAUUUGCCCGAGAGCUAAAUUGAAAAAAAGCUCUUUUUACAUCUAAAGUUUAUAUAAAAAAAAAAAAAAAACUUAAUCCAUUAAAUUACCAAACUAAUAUAAUUAUGUACUAUUUUAUACUAAUAAAUUUUUGUAUAACAAGGUAUCAAAAUGAGUUAUAAAUCAUUUUUGUUUAAAUGACUGUACCCUUCCAGUCUUCCGCAUCUGCUAUUUUAUAUAUUGAGAAUAAUUAUGAUUUUCAAUAAAUUCAUAAUUCCAAUAAUUCCUUUUUUUGUGUUUGUGUGUGUGUACUAUAUACAUGACGUUUAUAAUUGCAACAAUAAUUCCGAUAGUUGUUUCAAUAAACCAUUAUGAAACCUGAGAACAUAUCACAUGGCAAUAUUGCUCUUCAAUCAAUCCACCACAUAAACAAACCACACACACUUCACAUUUGAAGUAUAUGAUUCCUCAAGAAGCCUCCGAUUCCACCACACCUCCGCCGCCGACGGUGGCGAGCGCGGCGUCGCCGUAAAUGAAUUCACGGAUCUCGGCAAACAGGGCCUCGGCCUUGGCCGGGACGAAGAGCUCGAUCGCAUGGAACCCUUCGUCGUCGAGAUUCGCCACCACCUCGACGCCUUCGCCUUCCAGAAACUGGGCGAACUCCCGCUGCCUAUCGAUCAACGGGUCCCCCUUGCACCCUUUCACAAAGCACCUGCCGAAUAUAGACAUUAUCUAGAAUCACCGUUCGCUAGUAACUUAAACAUAUUCAAACAAAAUAACUUCUCACAUAGUAGUUAAUUCAAAUCCAGUCCAGGCAUUUUGGACAGGGUUCUAGUUUAAAAAUAUCACUAACAUUCCUCUAAAUCACUAAUUUGGAUGAAAUUGUAAUUAGAACUCUAUAAAUUCUGCGUCCGGAAAUAUUAACGGAUAUUAAUUGAGUUAAUUUGUCGUAAUUUGAGAUGAUUUCAGAAAACGUAAGCUAAUAAAAUGGUUUAAAGUUGGACUUGUCAUAAUUUGUUUCUCACUAUAAGAACAAAAUGUCCAUCCACCAAUGCACUUCCUAAUUUCUUACAAAGUCAUGUUGAGUACAGAUAAAACAGAAAAAAUAGAUAAUUAAAUUUAAUUCAAUUUUUAUUAUUCCAAACAAAAAAAAAAUCAGCUUCAAAAUUAAUUCACUUGAAUUAAUGAAAUUAUCAAGCAUUUCAAUUCUAAGGUGAUUUGAUAUUAAAAAAACAGAAAAAAAAAAAUACAAAACGCGCAAAGUUUAUCUGGUCCAAAAUCAGCAUAUCCUAGAUCAGGCACACCUUAAGGCGUGUUUUGUUCUCCGAAAAAUAUUUUAGAAAAUAGUUUUCUACCUGGAAACAGAUUUUUCGUCCGUUUUGGUUUGCAUAAAGAGUAAUUUUUCUGAAAUUUUUUUUCUCAAAUUUCAUAAAGUCUUCUUUUCAUGGAAAUUAUUUUUGCUGAAAACUACAAAAAAAAUUAUAUUUCAUGAAAUUUUUUUUUUGAAAAAUAAUUUUUAAUAAUUUUUUGAGAAUCUAUACAUCGCGGCCUCAUGGUCAGGUCAAGUGAGAAAAAGUGUUGAAUACAAAGAUACUAAAAAAGCCUAUCUAAUCAUGCGUUCGCUUUAAACACAACUGCUUGUAAUAAAGCAGUGACAACCAGAAAAUUAUCAAACUUUUGUAGUAGAAAGAGACAUAACUAAGAUUCAGUCCCAAAAGCACAAGAUCCAAUUUUAACCUAUAAUUUCAUUACAAUCGAAAAAAAAAAGUUUUGUUGAAAAAUUUUAAUAUAAUACCUUUUAAAUAUCAUUUCCUAAGCAGUAAUUUAGGGGUUCUUUGGUUUCUCGAAACAGCGUGAAAAAAAAAAUCUAAAAAAAUAUUUUAUGAAAACUCGUUUUCUAAUUUUUUGUCCGUUUGAUUUGCAGAAAAACAAGUAUUUUUUAAAUUUUUUUUCAUAUUUCAAAAAAAAAUUAGCUUUUUGUUUUACGGAUAUAUUUUUAGAAAAACGAAAAUACUAAUUUUUCGUAAAAUAUGAAAAAUAAUUUUUCAUAAAAGCUUAUUUUACUUAAGACCCUACAGACAAAAUACUGAAAAUACAAUUUUUCAUGAAAAAAUUUGUUCUUGAAAAUAAUAAACAGUACAGUGCUCUCCUGUAAAAUUAAUCAAACAAGCUCCAAAGCCCUGUUCUCCGAAAUCUUAAGCAUUUUAGGCCCUGCUUGGAUAUUGGGCAUGAAAUUUUUUUUUAUAUGAUUGAAGGGAACAAGUUUAUUAUUAUUAUUAUUAUUUUUUCUUAAUCCUUGAAUGAUCAUAGAUAGUAUGAUUUAGCAGAAUAAUAUAUUCCAGCAAUAAUUUAUCUCACUCCAAAAAAUUCACUAAAACAUAAACUACGUUGUUAUUCGAUUCUAAAUGUUUGAUCGCAACCGACUGUCCCUCGCGCAAGUGACAGAGAAUUUGGUGAUUGAUAUCCGAGGUCCCAAGCUCGAAUCAUAAUUGAUUCAUAUUUUUAGCUAAAUUUAUUUCUAACAACUAAAUUUAUUUUUUAAAAAAAAUAGUAGAAGCGAUAGCAUACUACCUUUCUCUUAAAAAAAUGAAAAAAAAAAAAAGAAGAAUUUGAUUGCAUUUCUCAAUCGGAAAUUUUGUGAAUUCCAAGAGAACUAAAAAGGAUUUAGAGAAAAAGGGUUGUUUAUGGAACCUGGGCAGCUUCCUUAGAGCCGGCGGCCGCGGCGCGGCGAGGGGGUUGCAGAAUUCGUGAUCCCUGUCUGCCCCGGGGGGGAGGGAAAGCCGCCAGAGCAUGUCAUUGGCGCGGAGCGGCAGCAUGAAGUCGUCCUCCGACGCCGCUUCCGACGCCGUCCUCUCCGCCCCGCCGAAGUAGGGCUGGUUCAGCACCAGCCCCCUUAGGGUUAGGGUUUCCGAAUCAUCGGCGGCGAAACGGAGCGCGGCGUGGUAGGCCAUGUUCGCCCCGGAGCUGCUCCCCAUCACGAAGCACCGGGAGAAGUCCCCGCGCCGCGCGAUCCACGGCUCCGGCGCGGCGGCGGCCGUGGGUUGGGAUCGGAGCCACAGGAGGGCGUCGAGGGCGUCGUCGUAGGCGGCGGGGAGGCGGUGCUCCGGGGCGAGGCGGUAGUGGAGGGAGACGACGAGGGCAGGGACGGAGGCGGCCAUGGCCGCGCAGGGGGAGUCGUAGAUGGCGGAGUCGGCGCCGAAGAGGACGAAGCCGCCGCCGUGGAAGUAGAGGAUGAUCGGGAGGAGCUUCUCCUCCUCCUUCUCCUCCUCCUCCGCCGCGUCUCCCUCAUGGGGGAGGUAGAGGCGGAGCCAUGUGUUGUGCGCGGGGUUGAGGGGGACGUCCUUGGAGGAAGCGGAGGCGGAGGUGGUGGGGACGAAGGGGCGGGAGAUGGUGCCGUCGAGGUGUUCGACGAUUUGCAGGAAGAUGUUGGAGCUCUUCGAUGGAGUCAACGCUGCUGCGGAGUCUCGAACGUCGUCCAUUUUUCGGUGCGUUUCGCACUUCUCUUCUUACGCUCUGUUUUAUCGUUUGUUUGUUCGAAGUAUUCUUCAAAUUUUAGUUCUUUAAUAUAAUAUUUGUCUUAAAUUUUUUAAAUUAUUUUAAUUAUCAAUACAUUACUAAUUAUAACACAGCAACAUCAAUUCUAUAUUAGCGAAUUAAAUACUUAGGAAUUAUAAUACAUUAUAAUUUAAAGACCAAAAAGGAUCACUUUUCUCAUAGUUUUGAGGGUCCCAACCUGCAAUUACCCAUUUAUUUUUAUUUUAGUUGAAAAGAGGAGUUUGAUUCAGGAGAGUUGGAAAUUAAUUUGGGAAUGAUUCCACCAGGCAGAGGAGGUUGGGCUCAUUAAAUAUUGGUUGAGAAAAUGCUUUGGAAUUUCUACAUUAUUAUUAUGGCGCGUUUGGUUCAAGUUAUAUAAUAUUACAGAGUAUUUUAUUUUAUCCAAGUAUCUUAGAUUUUUAAAUGAAAUUACAACUUAUGUUAUAUUAGCGCGUUUAGUUUAAUACAGUAAUGUAAUGCUGGAUUGUAGUGUUUAUAGUAUUACUAUGUUUGGUUUUGUUUAUAAAAUUCAAUAAUCUAGACAAUAAAAUAUAUUAAAAAAUUUAAUUUUUUAAAUUUUAAAUUUUAAAUUUUAAAUUUGAACAAAAGUAUAAAUUUAAUAUUUUAAUUUAAAAUAUAAAUAUAAAAUUUAUAAAUUUAAAAUAUAAAAUAUAAAAAUAAAUAUAAAUAUAAAAUUAAAAAUUAAAAAUCUAAAUUUAAAAUUCAGAAAUUAAAAUACAAAUUUGAAUUUUAAAAUUUAAAAAAUUUAAAAUUUUAAGAAAUUUAAAAUUUGGAAUUUAAAAUUUAAAAUUUGAAUAUAAAAUUUAAAAUUUAAAAUUUGAAAUUUGAAAUUUAAAAUUUAAAUUUGAAAUUUGUGAUUUGAAAUUUGAAUUUGUGAUUUGAAAUUUGAAAUUUGCGAUUUGAAAUUUAAAAUUUGAAGAAAUUUGAAAUUUAAAUUUAAAUUUGAAAUUUAAAAUUUAAAAUUUAAAAUUUAGAAUUUAAAAUUUAAAAUCUAAAAUUUAAAUUCAAAUUUAAAAUUAAAAUUUGAAGUUUAAAAAUUUAAUUAAAAUAUGAGUUUAAAUUUAGAAAUUAAAUUUUAAAUUUUAAAUUUUAAAUUUUAAAUUUUAAAUUUUAAAAGUUGACAAUUCAAAAUUGUAAAUUAAAUUUUUUAAAAUGAUGUAUUGAAAUGGUUUUGAGAGUUAGAAGGAUAAAAUUGUCAUUUUACAUAAUAUGCUGUAUUACUAGCUUUCAGUAAUGUAAGAUACACACUCCCUCUCGUUAAUAUUUUUGGUGUAAUCCUACACUAUUUGUAAUGUUACAUUAACGACCCGAUUACGUGCCAGAUGAACCAAACACGGUAUUCCUGACAGGAUUGCCUGUAAUCCUGCCAAGAUAACCCAAACCAAGCACACCCUUAAUUUUAUAUGUUAUGUAGUAUCCUUGGUGUUUGGUUGCCCGUGGAUUUCAGCAUUUGAGGCUUGUUGACACAUCUGGAGAGUGUCGGGACAAGUCGGAGUUGUUUUAGCGCGAAAUAGACGCAAAACGGACUCGACGCGAGGCGAGAGUAGAGUUCUGACGCUGAAAUCCGCAAAGUGCAGUAUUUCAGUGUUGAGUACCGGUACAGCAUUGGGCUGGUACCGGUACCCUGUGUGCGAGUUUGUGGGCUGAGAGGCCGAGCACCGGUAACCAAAUCAGGUACCGGUACUCCAGCUGUAAUUGAGUUGGUGAGAGAUAGGAAGGUCAUUUUAUUGGUGGUUAUCCACCCCACCUACUGCCCUCUAUAGUUAUCCACCUGAGAGAAAUUUUUCUCAUAAUCCUCUCUCCCUAGUGUAAUUGUGUGCUUGGUGGAGGCUACGGCUUGAGCUCGGAUCGACGUCGAUGUUGCGCCGGGGAGCCGUUCGAGCGCGUGGAUGUCGCAGUUGCGCUAUUGGAGGCCGGGCGAGCGCGUGUUUUCCCUUCUCUCGACUUCUCGCCCUUUGUUGGACUAGCUUUUUGAGAUGGGUUAAAGUUUACUGAAAUCGCCGGAACAUCUCCUAAGUUUUUAUAUCGUCAACAUGUAUCAUGUAUUUAAUUUCUUACUAGUGCUCGAAUUCAUAGAUUAGCCUUAAAAUCUGAAUUUGGAGUUAAGUAGUAAUAGUAUAAGUUUACAUGUUGGACUUGAAAUUGACUUAGGAGAAAACUGUAAAUCCUACACUGUAAGUUUCUUAAAACUAUCAGAUUUAGCUUUAGGAGCUGUGGUUUGUUUGUAUUGCCGCAGUUUGUAUGUGGUAGAUACCCAGAAUAGUGUAGAAUGAAUUUACACUCGUGUUGGGAUGCCGAAUUUAUUUUACAGUAGUGUGUAGACUGUUUCGGACUGUCAGGUGCCGUCACGGUUGACAAUGGACCCAGAUUUCUAUAUUUGCAUCAGAUUGUGCCAAGGGCACGUGAGAUUUGAUUGUUAGACCAGUUAGACCCAUUUGCUUUGAUUAUAGCCUGUGAGAGCCUGAUUGAGCUCGGUAGAGACAUACUUGCAUACUCGGUUGGAUAGCGCCCACGAGUGCCACUCCGGAGUCGAGCUUUGUGCUUUUGUGUUCUUGUCGUAGCAGUCCUAUUUGGACGAUACUUUAGGACCGGCCACCUCAAUGGUGGUGUACGGUAUAGCUCGGACGCAGGCAAGACGGGCCUGUUGGCAGUCCCUUGACAGUAUAGUCGUUGUUGCAGGGGAUGCAUAUCUACAGAUAGUUAGAGUUGGUUAGUGAUAGUAUAGUGGCAUAUAGCUGUAGAGUUUUACCAGCUUCCUUUACUAUCCUUCUGCCUACUUUCUGUAGACUUAGUGGGUGAGCCGUUGAGGUCGGUAGCGUUAUCCAUUGAGGACUAUUUCUUUUUGCAGUAAUUCUCACACCCAGUUAUGGACCUAUUUUUACAGAGCCUUCUUCUGUAGCUGCUACUGUCGCCGAUACUGAUCGUGGAAAGGGAGUUGCGAGCUAGAUCCCUUCCCUGGUUGCAAUACUAGAGGAGUACCAGCUGCAGAUAGUUUUGGUUUCUGGUUCAUGUACAUACUUAUGCUGUUACUUGCUGGAGCGAAAGAUGUUGUAUCAGGAAGACUUUGUAUGUAUGGUGAAUCUGAUGUUUAUUUAUAUACAGUUCUGUUAGCAACUCUAUACUACUAGUUGUAGUUUUGUAUGAUUAUAGGUACAGGUACAGCUAUCAUUUCGUAUACUGAGAAAAUUCUUUUGUAUACGGCGGGUCUAUUGGCGUGCCCGGAGAAACGUGGUAAUCCGGGGCGUGACAUGUUACUAGUGUAGAAAUCCGGGCGAUGCGACAAAUAAAAUUUUUUAAUAAAAAUUUACAAAUUAAAUAAAUAAAUAUAAAUAUAAAGAAGAAAUAGAAAGAUAGUGAAGUUAUCAGUUUCCAAUGGCUGUUCUUCCGGCAUUGUAUUCAUUAGUUACUGAUUUCUUGCUGUAACUGAUCAAAAGCAGAUAAAAACAAAAAAAGAUGGCAACAAAAAAAAUACAUUGAAGUCAAUUAUUCAACAUAUACAUAUAUCCCUUAAAACAAAAUACUAAAGCUACUAAAAGUAGUAAAGAAGUAACUACAACCCACAUCACCUUCAUUCUUUGAAUGUAGUCAAGAUUAAACAUAAGUCAGAACCUACAAAAGAUAAAGAAAAUAGAGGUAAAAAAUAGAUUAUAAAAGAUACUUAUUGUCAAAAGGCCCUAACAGUGAUUAGAUCACCAAAUAACAAUCGGAGGGGAAAAAAAGAAAGGAACAUAGUCAAUUAUUCAACAAAGGAUUUGAACGGAAUACCAAAAAUUGAUAAAAUACAAUGAAGUAACUGGGCAAUUAGGAGCCUAAAACCAAUGUAAGAAACAAUCCAACAAUGACAUCAAAGUUGGGAAAAAAAAUAUUUAAUAAUAUCAUAUAAAAGAAAAACAGGUCAACUACGGUACUAAAAGUUUAAAGGCACCGAUCGUCUCUAAAGCAAGUGGCAAAGGGCUUGGUGGUUGGUACCCGAGAUCCCAAGUUCGAAUCCUAGUUGAUUCACAUUUCCAGCUAAGUUUAUUUCUAAAUGAAAUAAACGAAGCGGGUAGCGUGCUACCUAUCUCUCAAAAAAAAAAGUUUAAAGGCACACAGAAAGUUCAAAAAAUAUAUAAAGCUCAUAGAAAACUUAGUUCACAGGAAACAAAUGCUAUGUAAAAGAUAUUAGUUUCUAAUAGCCUCAACAAUACUUGCCAUCAAGGCACAUAUCCUUAGAAAGGCACAAACAUAUGGUGUAGAACAUAUAACCAGAAAAAGCUAUGGAACGACUAGGCUAUUGAGGCCUUAAUUCCUAUACAGUAUAAACAGUGGCUCAACAUACACAUAUAAUCAAAAGCAUUGCUCACCAUCAGGGAUCCAAUCACAGGGCGACAACAUCGCACACUUACAAAUCUCACUAUGUUAAAUAGUAGUAAGAUACACAUUACAAUAAUUUUUUUUCCUUUUUUUUUUUGCUGCUUACUACAAAGCAAAAAGAAGAAAAAAAAAAAGUAUGAGCAAAUCCAACAGCACACUUCAAAACUAAAAUGUUUCGACCAUAACCUAGCAAAGAAAUUGCUAAAAGGCGAAAAUGUUGCAAUAUUAAAAUUCUUCUUUUUUUUUUUUUAGAAGUCAAACUUGAUACGGGAAGAAAAAGUCAAUAUCUAGGGAAAAACACGAAAGUUGCUAUAUAAAAGAUACAUGACAUAUAACUGAGAAGUAGUAGGUACCAUUGAUUUUCCACUCCCCUAUUUCUAUUACAACUAACUCUCUUUUUCAUUUCCUAUAAACCACAAUCUAAGAUGAACACUCAGCUGAAAAAGUAAUUUUUUAAAAAAAAACUAAUUUUUAAUGUGAAAUCGAGAACAAAAUUAGAAGACGUAAAUGAUAGACUAAUACAACUAUAUUGAAACAAACACAAAAAAUACAGUAAAGCAAAUCGAAGCAAACUAAUAUUAGAUCAAUGCAACCAUGUCAAUAUAGUAAAUUUGAUCGAAGUGCAAACCUCAACAGAAGUACAGCAAGCAAUACAAAAUAGAGAAAGCCCAAUUGCCCACCAAGCACACCAAACAAACCACAGAGAUUCUCUAAAAAUGAUAGCAAGUUUAUACAUUCGCAAAAUCUUAUAUUCAUGGCAAGAAUAGGGGAGCUUGUAGAAUGAUAUAACAUUUUAAAGUUCAAUCGAUGAAUGUAUAGAAUUAAGCAUAGCUUUUAAAAUAAACUUUAAACAAAAAUUGUCAUGCAAUCCAAUAUGUCCAUUAUAUAUAGGGAAAGGGAAAAAACAUAAAUCAUAUUUGUAUUUCACAACAUAAUCUAAACCGAAAAAACAACAAAAUAGAUGGUAUAAAAAUAGGCUAAGGGCCUGAGAAUUGUUAAUUUUCGUUAAAAAAGUUCAAAGAAAAUAUUAAUCCCCAACUACAUAAAAGAAUAAUUUGUAAGGGAUCUAACUUAAUACCAAGACCAGCUUCAAAGUUCACUCACCAAAAAACAAUAAAAGCAACAAUAAUGAAUAGCAACAGCAACAAAAUGAUAAAUUUGUCCAAUAGCAACUUUGAAGAAGAAAUAAAAAAAAGAUUAUAAAAAAAGAGUGCAGCAGUUGAAAAAUUAAAGGCUUAAACCCAAUGCAGCCCCAACCCUUCUUUUAAAUCUAUUUAAAAUCACCAUAAACAAAACAUAUUAUGAUAUCUUAGCUAAUAGCUAGAAAUUUGAAUAGCAACAUUUUACCAUAAUUAUAAAGUUAAUACCGGUAGAGUUAAAAGAAGAGGCUUAGAAUCAUAUGCCCUAUCAAAUAUAUGUUAAAUUUCAUUAAAAAAAGGAAAAAAAAAAAAAAAAACAUCAUAAAAUAAUAUAAAGUAAAUUAAAGAGGUUCAUAAUGUGCCUUCAAUUAGUCACACAAUAUCAUGAUAACUCACCCAUCUGAAUAUUCUAAAAGUUUUUUCUGCAAUUUUGGUGCUCAACACAUACAAAACUACCACCUAAAAGGCAAAAAAGAACAAUUAAUUAAGAAUUGGCCCUCGGUCGGCAUAACAAAAAAUAAUUCUUUAUAAACUCAUUAUAUAUUAAGCAUAUAUAACUUGUGUAAUUAUAGAGGACAUAUCCUUACAAAUCUAUGUUGCUCAAAUGUGCGGGUUCGAGGCUAUGACUCUAUCGACAAUUUUCUCUCCAUUUUCAUAUCCAAUUAGCUCAUUAUCUUAAAAUUGCAAAAGAAAAAAAAUGCUGUGAGGCUUUAUAUCGCAACUGGUCCUCAACUUCAGUUCUUCAAACUAUUAAAUAAUUAAAAAAGAUUAAUAAUAGAAAUUUAAAGAGUUGUAUUGAUGUAAGGGUAAAUUACAAAGUAAAUUAUGGUCUAUUUUGUCUUAAAAUAAUAGAAAAUAAUUUAGAGGCGUAAUGUAGAACAAAAUUGCAGCAAUAAAAUAUUAGUCCCAAUGUAGCGUCACCUUAGUAAAGUAUGUAGUAUUUUAGUCUAAUUUAGUAUAAUAUUUUCAUGUAAAACCUAAAAAAGGCAACUCAAAACUUAUCCAAAUACUUAAAGCCUUUUUGCCUCCACUUCUUUUAUUAUUAUUAUUAUUAUUAUUACAUUUGUCAAAUAAAACAAUCUGGAGUUUUUUUAUUGUGCGAAAAAUUAAAAUAAGAUUUUAACUUUAAAAGUAAAAAAGAUGUCGUGGGAGUUUCUUGAUUUUAUUGCAGUGAGAAUCUAAUCAAAAUUUUUUCUUUGUAUCACUUCUUCGGGAAAAAAAAAACAGUAUACAAUAAUAAUGAAUAUUAGUAAAUAAGGAUAUUAGAAUAGCUAUAUCCAACAAAUAAUUUUAUAAUAAAAAUAUAUAUAAAAAUAAAAAUUUCUAAGAGUUAUUUUAAUAUAAAAUUAUAAUAUUGUCUUUGAUUAGAUUCUUUACUACUUCGCAUGCCAUAAUAAAAUUAAUUUAGAAGAUAUUUUAUGCAGUAUACUUGUUGUAAAAAAAAAAAAAAAUUUGGAUCCACUUUGCUAUGCUUAUUAAAUAUUUGUAGCACACUACAAUUGAUGACAUGAUGUAGCUUGCUUACUUAAGAGAUUGAAAAUUUUGGAUGGUGACUUAUUUUAGCCCUAUGUCACUUUCUAGCUUCCACCACCUUCACCCAUUAUUGUUAUUUAUAUUAAUUUCAUUAGAUGUAUAUAUAUAUUAGGGAAAACUUCAAAAACCCUCCCCCUGUGGUUUCAUUGUUUCUCACUUUAGUAGCCUUUAGUUUAAAGUGUAUCAAUUUGCCCCCAUUUGGUUUCGUUUUUAUCUUUUCGGUAGUUUUUUCAUUAAUAUUUUAUUAAAUUUUAUACAAAAAACUUCAGAUAUCCAUCUAGAUUUAUCAAAUAUUCACUUUAAUACCCUUUAAUUUUAACUUUAUCACUAAUUUAAGAAAAAAAACUAAUAAAAUUGAU
rnacentral:lncRNA from 1 species